UCCCAAAGCAUACCUUGUCCAUUACUGGAACAAGCAAAUCACCAACAACCUUCCCAAGCCACCAAUCCUCUUCACCAAAGCGUCACCUCUGACGGCCGCGUCAGCGACCAUCUUCGCCGAACUCGUUGCCAAAGGCGCCAUCUCGGACCACCUCUUAUCGUUCUGCGAGGAGGCGCAAUUGCUCUGCUUCAUGAACUCAUCAUCUUAUGGGGUCGCAAAGACAAUUGACGCCCAACUAUACAAAGUAUACCCCCGCGGCCCACCCCCGGAUACAAUUGUGGCAACUGAUGACAAGAAAGUAAAUGGGGGCAUGGAGCAGGGCUUGUUCUUUCGAGAGUCGAUGCUGAAGAGCGGGAAUGUGAUGCCAAUGCCCGACCUCCGGGAUAACUUUCCCAAAACGUCAUUUCUGCCUCGCCGCAUUUCCUCCAAACUGCCAUUCUCAACCUCGAAGCUCGCUGAGUUGAAGCAAAUCUUCCAUGCCAUUGAAAAUUCCACUAUGGAGAAGAUCAUGGCACAAACGCUAGGCCUGUGCGAGGGUGCAGCACUCCAAGACGAAACCAAGAGGUGUGUGGCCUCCAUCGAGGACAUGAUCGACUUCGCCACCUCGGUUUUGGGUCAUGACGUCAUGGUCCGAUCCACGGAGAGUGCCAGAGGGUCGAAGCAGGAGGUCUUGAUCGGGGUGGUCAGGAGAAUCGAGGGCAGCGAAGGGAGCAAGCCCGUGGCCUGUCACCAGAGUCUAUUUCCUUACAUUGUCUAUUACUGUCAUGCAUUUCCAAACGUCCGAGUUUACGAAGCAGACAUACUAGAUCCCAAAUCCAAGGCUAAGAUCAAUCACGGUGUCGCCAUUUGUCAUAUGGACACAUCAACUUGGAGCCCUGCCCACGGGUCAUUUCUGUUGCUUGGAUCGGGUCCUGGCCAGAUCGAGGUCUGCCAUUGGAUAAAUGAGAAUAACAUGAUGUGGACAAUUGCCAAGUAAUAAUGGAAGAACGAAGUGUGGUCAAGAUGGAAUAAACAUGGGUUCGGCCUGGUGAUCAAGAGAGAACUUGGUCUCUAGCUACCUCCGACCGAAAGCCUCUCUUGCUUUGCAUUACAAUCUAUUUUGGUAUCUGAAUUUGACAUCAAUAAUAACGUGUUUGUGUUUGGUGUGAAACAGUCGUUAUGGUCAAUAAAUGUCGAGUGUUUUUUUAUUUAUUUGAGUACCUGUUCAAGUCUGUUGCAUUCUCCUGUCCUUUGCGUUUAGAGAUCUUCCUAACUCCUGUCUCUCAAUUUGCGUUACUAUCUUCGAGAAUUUUCUUCAACUUUCGACGAGGACCAAUAAUCAUUUUCACAGUAUUAUUAUUAUAAGAACGAGAGACGGAUAAGAAUGCAGUGUUUUUCGAUAAAAGAAAAAAGUGAAAAAGCUGCAAAAAAUAGUUCAAGUGGCCCAGUGGUUGGGAGUCCCAACGUGAUCGCUUUUUACGCUUGACGUUGAACAACAAGUGCUGCCUGGUUCAAUCUUGAAGUGGCACUUCCCACUUUUUCUUCCUCUCAAUUUUGCUUUUAAACUUUUCUGCAUUUAUCUUUUGUUUGCACUUUCUCGGUUACAUAAACUACAUAUCAUCAGAUUAUUGCUUGCUUUUUCUUUUCUGUUCUUUUCUUUUUUUGCUUUUUUUAAGCGUUUGUCAUUGGAAAAUGAUAAUUCAAUAAGAACCCAUAAUACGGGAUUAGACUUCUAAAAUCCUAAAAACUUCACAUGAAUGAUUCUCAUAUGAUGAAAAUGUAAAAACUAAAUUUACUUUUGUUUUGCUGGAAUUGCUCUCACAAUGAUGUAUCUUGCACCGAAAUUAUUUGAUUUUAUUAAAGAGGAUAAGGGUUAUGUGCCAAUCCCAGACAAUGGAAAUCUUAUUCAAUAAGGAAUUGAACUUCUUUGGUCCAAACAUCACUAAUUUUAGGCUGAGUUGGAAUUUAAUCAAUAACAAGGCAAAAAAAGUUACAGGACCAGUCUCAAACUAUCUGGAAUUUGAUCAACAACACAAAUUAAGGAUAGUAAGAUGUGGAGUCGGAAUUUAAUCAAUGACAAUGUACUAGGAUAGUAAGAUACAAUACUGGAAUUUAAUCAACGACAAUGUACUAGGAUAGUAAGAUACAAUACUGGAGUUUAAUCAAUAAUGAUGUACCAAGAUACAGAAACACGUUGGAAUCUAAUUGGCGAGGAGAAUCUAAAAGCUAUAGCUAAGAAAAUUAAAGUGCAGUAUAGGAAAAGCAAAGAUAAAAAGAUAACGUUUUGAUUGAUUUGUCAGGUGGCUUCUAGUUGGAUGACUAGUGGUAUUUAUGGUGAAUGUAUGAUAACUGUCCGAUAGUUACAUCUACUCUAGUACCUACUACUAGCUUUGUCCAUGAUCCUUUAUUCUUGUAGAUCACUUCACCCAUACUUCAUAUAAUUGUCCUAGUCAUGUUUUGAGGAUUAUGCAACCGUUGAUGCCAUUCCAUGACUGGGGCUCCAAAUAGCAAUUGCUUUUUUACAACGUGCGCCUUUGAUGCUAACUACCUUAGCACCUUGAGUAAUAUUCAAAGUGUCUCCAUUGAAAAAGUUGUUGCUAAAGUUCAUACGGGCAGCUACUAAUCGUCCAUCGUCAUAUUUCAACAACUAAGCAUGUGGCAUUUCUUUAUCUCAUCAUCAAUCACCGGAUAUCUACCCUAUGUUUGUUGAUAGUCCGGCAUACAUCAGACAUCACCCAUCCAUUAUGCACAUGACUGUAACUUAUUUCUAAAGAGCUACAGCCGAGGUAAAUCUCAACUUUAAUAUCAGCUAUACAGUUCACAAUGUCACGAAAGAUCCUGUCAUGUAACAUUUUCAAUUAAGAUAAAUAUUUGUCACUGUGCAUUUCCUUGUUUAUAUAAGCGACCCAAUUUGUCAUGCGAUUGAAAAAUCUCCUUGUUUGUAGCUAUACUUUUAUCUUUUAACAAUCUUAGCCCAUGGACCUGCAUCGCUGAAUGGCCACUUCUGAUGUAUUCGUUUCUUGGAUGAGCAUUUUUCUAGCUUGGCAGUGAUCGACCCAUGUGGCCACGAUGAAUAGUGGAAGCAAAAUUGACAUUGGCGAACAUAGCUUAAAAGAGAAGAUGUCGAGUCCAAUUGAAGAAAUCGUACAGAAGAGGGGUGGGACCGUGCAUCGAUAAAUCCAGGUUCUUUCUACGUAUUCUGUCGUUGGGAUGCAAGAGAGAUCAUUGAGAAAGCAUAUAGAUGAAGUUCCUAUUAUCUUUUAUGAGCUAAGGACACGAGCAUAGAGGCUCGGUUAUCUAAAGGUUCAUGAAAUGCCCUAUGAGCCUCAUAAAUUGUUUGAGCCCUAAUUUUAUAAUUAUUGGCAGGUUUGUAUAAAAGUUAUAAGGCUUUGAUUGAGAAGUCAUGGGAAAUCGGGUGAAUAGGUUAUUUGCAUAUGGACAGUUCUAGUAAAAUUGUUGACUGUGGAGAAAUCAGCUUAAGGUUCUUCAUGGGAUCCAAGAACCACAUAGAUUGCAAGUUAUAUUAAAAAAACAUCAUAUGAUAGAAAAUACGGGUUAUACCUAUUCUCUGAUGUAGUUUCGUUUUGUAAAUAAACCAAUUAGUCCUUUCCUCUCCUAAUCCCUAGAAAGUAAGCACCCAUCCUAGAGAUUUCAUUUAUCUCUUGUGGAAGUGAUUAUAAUUAGGUUUACUCAGAAUGGCAUCCAUUGGAUUUAACCCUAAUUCAGGAUUAGCUACCCAAUUACAGAGUUUCUCUACUGGAGUACAUGCACAUAUAUGGAAAAUCAAAGUUUCACAUCUUAAAAAUUUAUCAGAUCACUGUCCAACUUGAUUAAUUAACCGAUAGCUGUCCAAUAUGAGAUACAGAUGGAUGCCCUUUUGUUGUUUAAUCACAUUAAUACAAAAGAUUUGUCCUUUUGCGAAAUUGGCAUUUUGCAUUAAGCCAUUUGUUUUGCAUUACCAAGACUUACCAUGUCUGAAGCAUAGAUAACUGCUUUUCUUUAAUCGCGUUUUUAUCAGUUAGAUUAAUGUGACUUACUACCUAAAUGGUUUUUGUUUGUAGCUAAUUCCGAAGUGUUUGUUCUUAUACUCUUCCAGCCUUUCAUCAAUCUCAUGGGCUUUUUUUCCCAUCACCCUACCCUACUUUGUUUUGUGCUCAAACGCAAGACUGAUGGCAAGUGUAUCUCCAAUCGAUAGAAUCUUUUAGGAGGAAAUUCUAUCCAAAUCUAACUUUUAUUUACACUUUCCCUUCAAAAUUUGAAACAUAUGUGUUUCUUGUGGGUGAUAUCCAUAAAUGUAACUUACCCAUUAGAAGAUUGAGCAAGAGGAAAUCAUGACCUUUUUCAAAAACAAAAGAAGGCAGAGAAUAUUCGAUAUGAUACUUAUUAAUUGCAAGUUAUAUUAAAAAAACUAAUUAAGUUUUAUUUCUUCCACUUGGUAGAGAACAUUUGAUAUGAAACUUUAAUUAACUGCAGAUUGCGAAACUAGUGGUUAAGAGUCCCAACUUGAAAGUUUGUAUAAUAAUGUCCAACAAAAAAUUUACGAAACUAAUAGGGGUGGACACACAUUUACGAUAGGGACACCCCCACCUUUGUCCCAACCUAAUAAGCCCUCACUAUCGUCAAAUCUAUCAAUUGAUGAAUGGAGCAGAUUGGAGCCCUUUGAUUGGUCCGAUCAUAUGAUUGAGAAAUCUCUAUGUUUGUAGCUAUACUUUUACCUUUUACCGAUUUUCUCCCAAAAUUUAUUACGCAUGGAAUAAUGAACGGCCUAUAAUUAUUUGAAAUUGCUGCGGAAACGGACGGGAUCUUUCUAGCAUCACCUUACUACGAAGACAUUGUUGUGGGCUAAGAUUAGAGCAGCCCUUGGGCCUGCAUCGCUUGUGAAGGGCACUCACGAUGUCCUCGUUUCUUGGAAAAGCAUUUAUCUGGCUCGGCAGUGAUCGACCCAUGUGUCCUAGAUGAAUAGUAGUAGCAAAAUUGACAUCGGUGAAGAGGGGUCGACAGAGAAGAUGUCCAGUCCAAUUAAAGAUACCAUACACAUCCGGGGUGGACCCGCCUUUGUCCAUGCGAUCCCAAACUUUAGGGACUGUGCAUCGAUAAAUACAGGGUCUUUAGAUGUAUACUGUCGUUGGGAUGCAAGAGAGAUCAUCGAGAUCGCAUGGGGACCAAGUUACUAUAUUUACGAGCUGACGGCAUGACAGCAGAGGCUUGGUUACCUGGAAGCCUAUAGAAAACCCUGCAAGCAUCAUGAAUAGUCCAAGUGGUCUGCUCAGGUGGUUCUGACUAGAGCGGCUUGUACACGGUUAUUGGAAUUCAAACAAAUGAACUCCAAUUUCUGACUUACCAAUCUCUAGAUUUGCAAUAGGCAAAUUGUUUCCCAUUUUAUCCAGUUCAGUGGGUCAAGUUACAAAGAUAAUCUAAUUCGUUUGGAUAAAAGUUCUUAGGCUUUGAUUGAGAAGUCACGGUGAAUCGGGUGGAUAGGCUAUUUGCAAAUGGAGAGUACUAGUGAAAUUGUGGACUUGGGAUAAAUCGGCUUAGGGUUCUUCAUGGGAAUCAAGAACCACAUAAAGAGAUAUAUUCUAUCAUAUGGUUAAAAUUUUUCCACCAAAACAUCAUAAGAUAGAAUACGUGGAUUAUGCAUAUUCUCUAAUGUAGUUUCAUUUUGCAAAUGAACCAAUUAGUCCUUUCCUUUCCUAAUCCCUGGAAAGUAAGCACACUUCCUGGAGAUUUUCACUUAUCUCUUGUAGAAGUGAUUAUAAUUAGGUUACUCAUAAUGGCAUCUUAUAACAAUGACUUUAAUCCUAAUUCAUGACCAGUUAGCCAGGGACACAGUUUAUCUAUUGGAGAGCAUGCACAGAUAUGGAGGCAGCGGGAGAAUCUCAUCUGCACGUGAAAUCACAGCUUCCCAUCUUGAACAUUUAUCAGAUUACUGCACAUUUUGAUUAAUUAACCAAAGCCGCUCCAAUCUCAGAUAUAGAUGAAUGCUCUUUUCUUGCUUAAUCACAUUAUUAGAGAAGAGUUGUACUUUAGGAUAUCGGCAUAUUGCAUUUUUCCAUUUGUUUUUCAUAACCUAAGACAUGUCUUAUUGGAGGCAUAUAUGGAUGCUUGUCUUUAAUCAAGUCUUUUUCAAGUAGAUUGAUAUAAUUUACUACCUAAGUAGCUCUUGUCUCUAGCUAAUUCUUAAGUGUUUUUUUUUUCCUAUUCUAUUCCAUCCUUUCACCAAUCACGCGGGCUUUCCCAUCACCUUCUUUUAUUUUGUGCUCAAACGCCUUACAGAUUCCACAUGAUAAUAGAAUGAUUAGAGUCCAACAAAAAUCUAAUGCCUUGCUCUUUAUUAUUUAGAACUUAGGAGUUCCCCACACACCAACUUAUUUUUUGAGCUUAGGAGUCCCUAGACACCAACUCAUUUUUUUGUAUUUUGUAUUUUCCUUUAUAUCAUGUUUUUGAUUAGUAGGUCAUAGCUUAUGGACAUCAUCCACAUGUAUGCUCAAUUAAAUUUCAAUAGGGGCAAUAUCCGUAUAUGUAACUAACCAAGCAUAACACUAAGCAAGAGGAAAUCAUGACCCUUUUUAAUAACAAAUAGAGUCAAGGGAUUGCAAAGGGGAAAAGUGCCAAAAAAGUCCUAAACCUUUUUUUUUUGUGCCGAUUUAGUCCUAAACCUUUUUACGUUAUGCCAAUUUAGUCAUUUCCGACCAAUUUUAGCCGGAAUUUGCUAACUGGACAUUGGUCGACUGACUUGGCCAGAUCGGCAUUGACGUGGAUAAUUGUUAAUAAUAUUUUUGAAUAUUUGAAUUUUUUUAAAUUUUCUUUUUAUUUUUUUAUUUUUCAUUUUUUUCUUCCUCCAGUCGGUCGCCGGACCUAGGCGACCGGCCAAAGGUGACGGCCGACAAGGGCAAGGCUGCCCUCGUUGGCCACCUUGCGAGCGAGGGUUGAGCCUCGCGCUAGGCAGCGAGGCUCGCCCUUGCCAAAUUCGGCUAGGGUGGAGCCUCGCCCAUGGCCGGUGAGGCUCGACCUCGCCAAAUCCAGCGAGGGUGAGCCUUGCCUGCCCGACGUGAGGCCGCCCUCGAGGCUUGGGCGGCGAGGCUUGCCCUCGUCGGAUCUGGCAAGGGUUGAGCCUUGCCCAUGGCUAGUGAGGGAGAGCCUCGCCAGCUUGGUGCAAGGCCAACCGGCCUGAGUUGGACACUAAGAAAACAAGAAGAGGAGUUGGCGUUUGUUACCAACUCUUGGAAUAAGACCGUGUCUUGCGCCGAGCUGGCGGGGGCUCGCCCUCGCCGGUUGUCGCCUCUGGCCGAUCGCUGAGGUCUGGCGAUUGGCUGGAGGAAGAAAAAAUAAAGAAAAAAUAAAGAAGAAAAUAAUCCAAAAGUAUUAAAAUAAUAUUAAAAGUUGUCUAUGUUAGCGCCGAUCAGGUCACGUUAGCCAGCCAACGUCUAGUCAGCAAAAUCCGGCCAUAAUUGGCCUGAAAUGACUGAAUUGGCACAACGUAAAAAGGUUUAGGACUAAAUUGGUACCAAAAAAAGGUUUAGAACUAAAUCGGCACAAAGACAAAAGGUUUAGGAUUUUUUUGGCACUUUUCCCGAUUGCAAUGAUAUACCUCACUCAAGCCUUAGGUUCAAAUCACCCCAUUUGUGCAAGUAUAGGCCUGUGUAUCAACAAUAAUUACUCGAUUGACGUCAUAGAUUUGUUUAAGAAUUAAACGGAAUAUGGUACUUAUUAAUUGCAAGUUGAACUAGAAUAACUAUCGAGUUUUAUUUCUUUCACCUGGUAGAGAACAUUUGAUAUGAAAUUCUAAUUAACUGCAGAUUGAACUAACAUUCUAAGUUUGUUUCCUUCGCUUCAUCCAUUUGUCCUAGAGGAAUCUCUCUCUCUCUACCAUGGUCCUAUAAAUUUCGUGCUCAAUCAAGCGAACUCUCCAACAACAUCAGCAUUCCCUCUUCCUAAAGAAAUGAGCGAGAUCAGUUUUAGCAAAAUGUCUCUGUUCUCCCUCUUCCUCGUCCUGCUGUUGUCACUCCAUGUUAGUUUUCUCAAGCUCUCUUCCUCCCCUUCCACACACCAUAAUUAGUGCUCAUCCUAUCUUCUAACUUCGCAUGCAUUAACACUCAUAGCUCGUUGAUCUUGUUUGUGUUCCUAUAUAUGUUAAAAGAGACAUGCAAAACACGAACCCGGAAGUGAGAGACAUGUAUAACGCUGGAACGCAUAGGAGGUUUGUGUGUUCGCUUGUUUCUGUAUUGUAGUGUCAGUCUCCAUCGCUUAUGCUAAAUCAGACAUGAAGCAUUGACCGAAAGAAAAGGGACUGUAUAUUAUUCAGAUUGUGGACAUAAAUCAAAGGAUCUGUCAGAAAUAUUUGUCAUGUUAUCUAUUCUAUCCUCAAAAGUUGAUUUCAUUCUUGUUAUCUUGCGGGUAAAACUUUUUGUUACUUUGAUUACAACCAUUUGCACGUUCAUUGCAGUUUCAUCCAUGUCCCAUGUAUAUGCUGCAUAAAUAUUUGACCACUUCUGUUUGGCAUUGUACUGCGAUUGUGAUGUAGCCUUGUUUGUCUUAAGACUGAGUUGUGAUGUAGCAUUGUACUGCGAUUGUGAUGUAGCCUUGGGUGAACUAUCCUAGGUCGGUCGCAUCAUGCUAACUUUCUAGUCACUCACUGAUUUUCUCUUUUGUCCCGCUGUAGAUUGUUUUGACCACCGCGAGAACCGCCGCCAACGCCAACUCCCUUGCCAGCGAUGCCAACUCAAUCCCUCCCAAAGAAUACCUUGCCCGUUACUGGACUGAACAAAUCACUAGCAAUCCUGCCAUGCCACCACUGCUCAUAUCCAAAGUUUCCCCCUUUAACUGCUGCAGAAACAACCCUUUUUGCCCAGCUUGUGGCUAAAGGUGCCAUCUCCGAUCACCUCUCAUUUUUCUGCGGGGCAGCACAACUGCUUUACUUCCCAGCCUCACCACACUAUCCAGUUAGUUACUCUUUCCCACUAGCAUGAACUGCCAAGAAGCAAUUGAAUUUGAUAUUCAUGCAGUCCCUAGAUUAAUCCACAAGAUGACGUUGAACUCAAUACUCACGUGAUACCGUAUGGAGAGAGAAAUUUGCUUUGCCUGCUUUGACGUCAACAUCUGUCGGAAAUUUUUGAGGAAGAAGCCUGCGUGAAAUGACAAUUCACCAAGUCAGUAACUUAACCACGGAAAAUUCAGGUAGACAAAGCAUGAAAUCAUCAUAGGAGCAUAAUUACCAUUGACUGGUCCUCUUCGUGGCAGUAGAGUUCCCAUUAUUGCUCUUCACAUGAAGCCAUGACUCAGAUCAAUCUCUUACUCAGGAAGAGUUUUAUGUUAAGAGUCUGAGCUUUUCGGGCAUUUGACCAAACGCAAGGGUGCUCCUCUAUCCAAGUUGAGUUGAGCUCACUCGUGCUGCCUCACCCUGGCUGGCAGUUAGUAACCAGAAAGAUUGAACUUUAAAGUUAGUCAACUCCGACGGUAUUCAGUUAAAACGUGCAAAAAGAGAACCAAAAUCUAGCGGAAUCAGGUUCUUCUGUUGAUAACAAAACAAUCAUUUUGCAACCUGGAAUCAUUAGAAAUUGCAGAAUAUGGAACCCAUUCAUUUACAAUCAUCGCCUUCACAGCUCGUUUGGUGAUUUAUAAUCGUCGUCGUCAUAAGCUAGCCUGUUUUUCAUUUGCAACGACUCGUGCAAGGAUGCCAAAUAAGGGGUUCUGCAAUAUUAUUCUGUAAGAAUGCCCAGAAAAAAUACAUAGAGUUUUCUUUUUCUCCAAAUUUGCUAAUCUAUUAAUGAAGAAACGACAACCUAAUCUACGAUCAUGCCAUAAAAAUAAAAUUUCUGACCCAAAACGAUCAGCUAGAUGAUACAGGGCCAAAGUGUCAAAUUUCGUUCCUUAGCUGGGUUGAUAAAGAUCUUGGUUAACAUUAGGUAAAGAGAGAAGCAACAUUGCCAUGAUAGGGGAAAGAAUGAAAAAUAAGAUUCGUACCCUGCUCUUCCAAGUUCCUCUGUUCCUUUUUCGAGCUACUUCUGAACCCUGUUUCGAUCAGGUUUACUUUUCUUUUUCUUUUUUUCUUGUGGAUGAGAAUACCAAGAACCUCUUGAUGGGAACUUAUAGAGAAUGGCUUCAUGCAAGAUUCAGCAAUGUCUCGCUCAGUCAGCCAAACGAAGUGGACCCUCUUGGUCUAGUAAUAAGCUGAUUUCAGACGCCAAAGUCCGCUUGCUCUCUCGAGCGUUUUGUAAUUUUCCCUUCUUUUGGAGUCCCCACUCUGCUUUGAGGGAAAAAAACAAAUGUUGGACAAGAUAAGGCUUCCCAAUCGGGCCAGCCUUCCAACUUGGAAGGGGGAGGUGAGGGGUUCAAAUCCCCACCUUCUCAGGGGGGAUGGAGGGUAGGGACGCGUAAGUUUCGAGAGUGUGUUGCGACUCUCACGCCCUGCAAGAGGUAGGGCACAAGUCUGCGAGUGAGUGUAGAGUAGGCAUAGAGUAGGACUGACCAAAAAAAAAAAAAAAAAAAAAUCGGGUCAGGGUCCCACAGCAAUCAACCCCCGGUCGCUGUCGGCGAAUGAGUUACUCCCACAUGGCAUUCCCGCCGCCAGGUCAUCCACUCUCUCCUCCCUCUGGUUUCUCUGGAGUUAAUAGAUUGGUUUCGCCACACAGCGGAUCCAUGUGGAUUGAAUUUAGUAAGCUUCCGUCCAUCUCAUAGGACUAGUCACCAUCGACCAAUUUGGAAGUCCAUGAGAGGGACGAUUUGAGGAUUUGGGAGUUUAUUCAUUAGUAAUAAUUUGGUCCCUUAGUCACUUACAUGCACAUCAAAUUUAUUUAUAAAAAAUUAUCGUGUUUUGCAUAAUUAACUUCAAAAGAAUCAUGUACAUGAGUUGGUAUGUUUCUCAUAUAAAGAGUCUCGUUUUUGGUGAUAAUUUGCAUUAAUAAAUCUUUUAUGAAUAGGGAAAUGAUACAAAUAAUCUAUAAACUUGAGUUCAAUAUUGUCACUAUACCUCAUAUUUAUUCAUUGUGAUCUUUAGGUUAUUAGUAAAUUUUCAAUAAAGUCAUUCCAUUUGCUCAAACAACAAAUCAAACUUUAUUUAAUUACAUGAAUUGUCAUUUGUUGAGCUGAAUAUUUUUUAAUAUGAUGAUUCAACAUGUCGAUAUUUUCAUCCACCUACUUUAGAAAGGGAAAAAAAAUUAUGGCGUUAAUAUACAUCAUUAGAUGACGUGGAUCAUUAUAUCUUGAUUUGAUAUGAAUAUAUUAAUUGGAUUAUUCACAUGUAACUUCUUCUUUUCUUUUAUUAUCCACCGUUCAAACUCAACAAAUUGAAAGCCACACCAGAACAUUCCACUAACUCAAACAGCACAGAACUUUUUUAUGUACUCUAGAGACUAAAUUGAACAUUUAGUAAUAGUUUGGAAGCCGCAUUAAGCAAAUUAAAAGUCCACGGAUGACAGUACACAACAGGCCAAAGUUGGGAGACAUUUAAGUCAUUUUUCACUUCUAAAUCAUGUAUGAAAAAUCAAAAUGUCGAUUUUAGUGGUCUGAAUGGAAAUAUCCAAUUUGUUGCUGAUCAACAGCAAUAAACAAUCUGCAUAUUAAUACACACAAGAAGGAAUAGGGAGAGAGCAGGCGAAGAAAAUAGAUGUAUUAUCAUUUCAUACAUCAUCGGUAGGCAACAGAUAAGCACCCGACUUCACCCAACUUCACGACAAAGAGAAAACACCAUUGUUAAUGGGGUUUUGCAUGGGAGUUUUCGUCCACAACCACCAUCUGGAAGCCCAAUAGAUGGAAGUGGACCGGACAGAAAGAGAUAUAUAUAUAUAUAAAGAAGACUUUGGACCUAAGUGCAACUUGAACUUAUACACCAAAGUCUAGUCCCUUUCGCUAGACCCCAAAAAUGGGACAAACCUUGAAUUUGUGGAUGUCAUGGAGACAUACUUUCCGGUCAUUCCUAAUCGAUGUCCCCAGUUUUGGACGCAUGCACAUGGUACAUGUGCAGAGACACACAUCUUCCUUCCUUUACUGAUUACUACACCGGAUAAGGUGGAUAAGAAUCUGUCGCCAACACAAUCAUUCUCACAGGAAUCCAUCUUGAUAUGUAAGAGACAUAAUCGGGCGGGCCUAAGAAUGGCUUUAGUGAGAGACGUGAGGUCGCGAUGGGACGUGGUAAAAAACUCAUCAAGAUAGAUUUAUAUGACGCACUUGUCCAAUCAGUGGCUUGCGGUUUCUCCUGCGAAUUCGUAGGGUAAUUUCUCCAACUGAUCUCUCUUACCACGACCAUUGGAUUGACGUGAAAAUGAACGAGAAUCGGUCUGGGUGUGGCGUUGCCUCGGGCACCCCUUGAUUGGUGUGGGCUCUUGACGGACAUGAAGUUUGGAAUUUUUGUUAAUUGGGCUAAGCCCAAAGAAAGAUGUGAAAUUCAGCUCAUGUUCUAAAAGCCCAGAUAAGCUUUGUUACUUCCCUGGCUUCUUCAGGAUGGCCGCCCGGCGAGACUUUAGAGGAGGGUUCGAAACUUAUGGGGAACAAAAUCUUGCUCAUUGAAUCGCUGAACUUGCUCCGUUGUUCGACGAGGUCCCCGAAUUUGUGAUUCGCGUGACCAAAUCAUUGAACCGGUGGAGAAAUAUGUUGAAUCAAGGCCAUCUAUCUUGAGUUCCAGCAAAAUCAAGCUCGUGUCGAUUGGUUUUUGAUUAAAAGCCUGAUGUGGAUAUCAUUAAUACCCCUCGCGCAUUUGAAAGCAAAUGAAAUAAGUUUAAUUGUAUCUUUUAUUAUCUUACUUGUAUUUGGGUCCUUGCAAAUUCAUAGUCCUAAUUGUGAAAAGCCUGAUGUGGAUAUCAUUAAUACCCCUCGCGCAUUUGAAAGCAAGUGAAAUAAGUUUAAUUGUAUCUUUUAUUAUCUUACUUGUAUUUGCGUCCUUGCAAAUUCAUAGUCCUAAUUGUGAACGUUCCUUGUUCGUAUAGAUAUUAGAGAUUUAGGUCAUCUAUCAAAAUGAUUCUAAAUGAACGUUGAGAAUAAAAACACUCUAUCAUCAAGUUUUGUAUCAAUAUGGAAGGGAGCGUGAAUAAAUGAGAUAAUAAGGGUAUAACUUUACGAGAAGAUUAUUAUGUGCAUAUGUAUAGAGUGUGACGACCCUAAAGAACUAGCUAGUUACGAGCAAAUUUAAUAUUUUACUUUUAUAAUGGCAAGCUUUUUGUGGAGGAGUGGCGUGAUGAUUUUAGGUGAGCCAACUCUUCCUGGACUUAACCACUGGGAUUCGCCCCAGUGGCCACCCUUCCAACAUGGAAGGGGGAGGUGAGGGGUUCAAAUCCCCACCUUCUCAGGGGGAUGGGGUGGGGACGCGUAAGUUUCAGGAGUGAGUUUCGACUCCCACGCCCUACAAGAGACAGGGCAAAAGUUUGAGAGUGAGUGUAGAGUAGGAAUAGAGUAGGACUGACAAAAAAAAAAAAAAAAAACUCUUCCUGGACUUUUUUAAUGUAUUGUAUUUGUUUGAAUAUUGUAUCAAAUUAAUAACUAGUGGUGUUAAAAUGAAGAAGCAUAUGUAUAUUUAUUAAACACGUUAUAAGGAAAAUUAUAAAAUUUUUAUUGAGCUUCUACUUGCUAUUAAUAAUUUGAAGAUAAAAUUAAAAAGGAUUGUGUGGUGGUUACAUUCUGGGGCGUCACAAGUAGUCCUUUCCUUUCCUAAUCCCCGGAAGUACGCACACAUCCUCGAGAUUUCAAUUAUCAUGUAGAAGUGAUUAAUUAGGUUACUCGCAAUGGCAUCUUAUCAUUAUGACUUUAACCCAAAUUCAUGACUAGCUAGCUGGUUACACGGUGCAUGCACAUAUAUUAAGGCCAUGUGAAGAAUCUCUUCUACAUGUGAAAUCACAGUUUCCCAUCUUGAAAUUUAUCAAAUUACCAUACAACUUGAUUAAUUAACCAAGGCUUGUCCAAUCUGAGGUAUAGAUGGAUGCCCUUUUCUUGUUUAAUAACAUUAUUAGGGGAGAGUUGUCCUUUACGAUAUUGGCACAUUGCAUUAAGCCAUUCUUUUUUAAUGACCAAGACCUGUCUUGUCUUGAGGCAUAGAUGGAUGCUCUUCUUUAAUCAAGUCUUUAUUAAGUGGAUUAAUAUAACUUACUACCCAAAAGUUUCUCUCUCUAGCUAAUUCUUAAAUGUUUUUUUUUUCUAUUAUAUUCCAUCCUUUCGUCAAUUAUGUGGGCUUUCCCAUUACCUUCCUUUGUUUUGUGCUCAAACGCCAUACUAAUGGCAAGUGCAUCUCCAAUCGGUGGGAUCGUUCGGGAGGAAAUCUAUCUGCCUUUAACUUCUAUUUAUGACUUCCCCUUCAAAAUUUGAAAUAUUUAUCUAUGUGCGUGCGCAUUAUAAGUGAUAUCCAUAUGUGUAACUUUCCAAUAAGAAGACUGGGCAAGUGGAAAUCAUGACCACAAAAGAGUGAAGGGUGUGCUUAAGUGAUCACCGUAAUUAUAUCCCUCACUUAAGCCUUGGGUUCAAAUCACCGUUUUCUCUUUUAGAUCAAACGGAGUAAUUGAAGCAUCAUUUGUAAUAUGGAUGUGCUAAAUAAAACUUUUGUAAGUAUAAGCCUAGGUAUCAACAGUAAUUACUUGAUGUGUAUGGGAUGAGGGAACUACCACAACUAAUAGAGAUUAAAUAAUUUUUGAAAGAGUCAUGGAAGGUCGUGGGGUGAAUUUUAUAUAUAUAUGUAGAUUUAUUUGAUAAUCAAAGGGAAAGCAGAGAAUAUUCACUAUGAUACCUGUUAAUUCAAGUCGAACUAGAAAACACUAUUAAGUUGUAUUUCUUUCGCUUGGCAGAGAACAUUUGAUAUAAAACUUUAUUUAACUGCAAGUUGAACUUACAUUAUAAGUUUUUUUUUUUCGUUCCCUCCAUCCAUUUGUCCUAGAGGAAUCUCUCUCUCUCUCUCUCUACCAUCACUCCUAUAAAUGUCGUGCUCAAUCAAACGAACCUUGCAACAUUAUCAGCAUUCCCUCUUCCUAAAGAAAUGAGUGAGAUCAGCUUUAGCAAAAUGUCUCUCUUCGCCCUCUUCCUCGUCCUGCUGCUUUCACUCCAUGUUAGUUUUCUCAAGCUCUCUCGCCUCCCCUUCUACACAUCAUAAUAAUCACGGCUCAUCCUAUCUUUGAAGUUCGCAUGCAUUAACAUUUACAGUUCUUUGAUCGUGUUUGAUUUUGAAAAGAGACAUGUGAAACACAGACCAUGAAGUGAAGAGACAUAUAAAAUGCUUGAAUAUAUAGGAGGUUCAUGCUUACGCUUAUUUCUAUAACGUAGUGUCAAUCUCAAUUACUUGUCUAAGGUAGACAUAAAGCAUUAACAAAGAAAAAAUGGACUGUAUUAUCAUUCAGAUUGUGGACAUUAGUUAAGGAUUUGUCAGGAAUAUUUAUCAUGCUAUCCAUUUUAUUUGUAAAAAUUGAUUUCAUUCUUGUUAUCUUACGCGUAUAGUUUCUUGUUACUUUGCUUACGAACAUUUGCAUGUUGGCUACAGUUUCAAUAAUGUCCCAUUUAUACUGCAGGGAUAUUAUACUCAAUCUGUUUGGUAUCCUACUGCAAUUGAGUCGUAGCCUUGUUGUCUUAUAACUGAGUUGUAAAUUGCAUUUUAGGGUUACGACAUUUUUAAACUAGAUGAAGCAUCCUAGCUCGGUUGUGUCAUGCUAACUUUUUAGUCACUAACUGAUUUUCUCUUUCAUCCCACUAUAGGUUGUUUCCACCACGGCUGGAACCACCACCAACGCCGACUCCCUUGUCAGCGAUGCCAACUCAAUCCUUCCCAAGGAAUACCUUGUCCAUUACUGGAACGAACAAAUCACCAACACCCUCGCCGUACCACCGCUGCUUAUAUCCAAAGUGUCACCCUUAACUACUGCAGAAACGGCCCUUUUUGCCCAGCUCGUUGCUAAAGAUGCUCUAUCCGACCACCCCCUAUCUUUCUGCAAGGCAGCACAACUGCUUUGCUUCCCGGACUUAUCAUCCCAUCAAGUUGGCAAGGACGGUCGUGUUUUCUACGAUUUCAUUAACGGUGCCACAACACUGGUCGGUGGCAUGAACGUGAACAAAGGCGUGGAGCCAGGGAAAUACUUUCAGGAGUCGACACUGAGGAGUGGGAAUGUGAUCCACAUGCCGGAUCUUCGUUCCAAAACUCCCGAAAGGUCAUUUUUGCCACGCAGUAUUUCCUCUGGAUUACCGUUCUCGACCUCGAAGCUCGCCGAGCUGAAGCAAAUCUUCCAUGCUGGGGACGAUUCGACUAUGGAGAAGAUAAUGGUACGCACACUUAGCCUAUGCGAGAAAGCACCGAUACGAGGUGAGACCAAGCGAUGUGUUAGUUCUGUUGAGGACAUGAUAGACUUUGCCACCUCAAUACUAGGCCACGACAUCAAGCUUCAUUCCCCGAAGAGCGACGAAGGGUCAAAGCGUGAUAUCUUGAUUGGACGAGUGAAAAGGAUAGGUGGGAGUAAAUUGAGUGCGCCUGUGGCAUGUCACGAUAGUCUAUUUCCUUACAUGGUUUAUAACUGUCAUGCGGUUCCAACACUCCAUGUUUACGAGGUAGAUAUACUGGAUCCCGUGUCCAAGGCCAAGAUCAACAACGGCGUCGCAGUCUGUCAUAUGGACACGUCGGCAUGGAAUCCAAACCACGAGGCAUUUCUUGCGCUCGGGUCGGGCCCUGGUCGGAUCGAGGCCUGCCAUUGGAUCUAUGGGGAUUAUGCGGUCUGGACUAGGGCUAAUUAGUAAUGGAAAAAAAAUUGAAGUGUGGGUCAAAUUGAAUAAUAUAGGUUGGACCUAGAGGCCGAGAAAAAUUAGCCGAUAGCUCCAUCGCAAGUCAUCAUUUACUUGAAAGUAUUAUCUAAUAUGAUAUAUGCUGUCUGAUAUACACGACUAUGAUCGUGUGUGUGUAUAACUGUUAUUAUGGUUAGUAAAUGUCAAGUGUUUGUGUGACUUUUAUCUAGCAUUUGUAAUUAUUGUGGUGUGCAUGUGAAAAAGUUUGUCAUGUGAAGUACUUAAUCUCCUUCCAGAACAUAACUUGACUACAUGUCUCAAACUGUAAUAUACAAUCGUUAGAUUUUUCUUCUUUUAUAAACUUGGUUUUCCAUCUUAUAUCUCUACCAUCAGCGCCUUGACAUCAAAACAAAUGGAAUUUUAAGAGAUUAAUGGACAUAGGGUGAAGCACCUCAACUGAUCAAUAUCGCUUGAUUCGAGAUGUGCAAAUACCAUUUGCUAAUUAUUUUCAUUGAUUGUAACACAGAGCUACUUCUAAUCAUUUUUGCAAUUUUUUUUCAUGUCUAACAUCAGCAUUAUUUGAUAACUCAAGAUGAAGGCUAUAUCAAGACUGAAAAUUCUUUUUUGUCCCAGUUAUUAGUCUCUAUUGCCAUUAUGGAUCAAGUGAUCUACUAAUUGAAGUUCUUUUCUUUUGUGUUUUCUCCCUUCGAUGAGUAUAUGUUGUUAAGGAAAUCCCUUAUGAUGUUCUGAAGAUGACAAAUAAAUCAAAGGCUACUAACGUGUUUAAUGGUUGAGUAAUAGACCAUGCAAAUGAUAGAACAUGUAAAUGAUAUUAUCAAAGUUUAUACUUGGAAUAACCAGAAGACUGAACGUAACUUAUGUUCAAAGUCUAUUAUGAAGAUUUCCAGACUUCUGUGUCAAAGUAUGUUCUACAUCAGAAAUUUGUCAACUCUGACAAAUUCUAGACUGCAUGUGAAUGAAGCUGAACUAGAAGACAGACUUUAUGCUGAAGUUGAACCAGAAGACAAACUCUAUACUGAAGCUGAAUUUAUUCAGACUGUGUUAAGACCUUAAAACCAAAUCUGUUCAUAAGCAGAAUAUGUUCAGACUCAGAUUGUAAAGUCUAUUGCACUCAGACUCAGGUUGUAAAGUCUAUUGCACUCAGACUUCACAUCUAGAUUCGAUAGAACGUAACACAAGAUUGAUUUGAUUGACUUAAUCUAAUUGAUUGACAAUUGGAUCUUAAAGACAAGAACUUUCUAUACAAAGAAGCUCUACUUAUGGAAACCAAGAUUCUGUUUGUAUGGGCGAUCGGAAUCAAUUUGGGAUUAUACUUUUGUCACUCAAUGUCUACCAAAUCUUCUAGAUACAAAUUUGUCAAAUUGGUAGAUUGGAAGACGAUCCUCAAGAUACUGUCCAACAACUAGUUUGGAAGUAAAUGAGUAUUUAAGGAGAUCAAGGACUGAUGAGCAAGUAAGAGACGGAGCGUAGAAUUUAUAAUUCCAAAGUCUGAGCGAUCUUCGAUCAUACACUUGUCUCUUGUGAGCUUAAACGUUUGUGAUCGUGAGAGAAAUACCAAAAGAGUGACUUAGUGAGAUAGUGUGAUUUACUACUAAGUGUUUGUACUCAAAGUUGUAAUCUUUUGUUGAUUGCAUAGUGGAAUCUAGCCAAGAAGGCUGUUAGCGUGAGAGAGUAGACGUAGGCUUGGAUUAAGCCAAACCACUAUAAACAUUAUGUUCUUAUUCUCUUCACUGAAUCUCUUUAUUUUGUUCGUAAUUAUAUUUAACUGCUAAAGUCUGAUCUCGCUCAAAAUCUGCUGCUCUUUAGACUCAGUUUCAAAAGUCUUUUGUUAUUCAGACUCAGGUUAAAAGUAAAGGUUUUCAUUGUAUUUUGCAGAAUAUGUUUUUACACCUAUUCACCCCCUCUAGGUAUUCAUACUAGCACUUUCAUAUGUGACCAAAGUUCAAUAGCUUAGAAGAAGAUUAAGCGAGUGGCACUCCUCAAUAGAUCAACUCACUGGUCAAGUCUUUGAUUUAAGUUCGGUAACUCAGGUCUAAAUCAGAACAUUGUCCCCUCAAAAUAACGUCGGGAACAGCAUCUUCAACCGAUGCACUUAGGCAAAGCUUUUGCAUGCAUUGUAGAGAUUAGCCAAGACGAGUUCGGAUAGGCCGUCGUCGCCGAGGAACAAAGAGAGAACGGAAAAGGCUCGCGUCCACACGAAUGUUCCAAGAUCUUGCUGUCGGCGAUAUGAAAAACAACCCUUGGGCCAGCGUAGUCGAAUGCCCCAUGACUAUUCAUUCGAUCGACCCAUGUGGUAAUGAUGAACUGGAAGCGCAUUUGACAAUUGAUGAAGGGAUCAGUGAUGGGUCCAGUUGAAGAAAUCAUCCAACAUCCAGGGCGGACCCGCAUUUUUUCUCAUUUACGAUCCAAGGUUCGUUGGACGGGCAGUAACAAUUCCAGGUUCCUUCAAUGCCAAUUUUGUCCUUGGGAAGGUCAUCGAGACACCCUCACCAAUUGCAUCUUCACCCACUUAUCAAUCAUUCAGGUGAUGCGCAUGGUAAAUUGAGCUUGGUUUUCCCCCUAUUGGGGGCAAAUAGAUAUCCAUGAGGAACAUCAGUCUAAAUAUGGUUUGCUCGACUCUUAGUUGCUUAUUGAUUUUACACUUUGUCGUUGGAGAAUGACGAUGUUCAGUUGCAAUUACUUUGUGCGAUAUCGAAACAAAUUAUACAUACACUAUGAUCGAACCAACUCACUAUUGAAUUUGAUUAUCUAGGCAAAUUCGAAUGGCGGGUCCUAUGUCGAAAGUUACCGUGCACCUUGUUGGAGAAAUCCUCGUGAAGAGUUUUGAAGUUGACAAAAUGUUUCCGUCAGUCUAGUCUGAAGGUCAGCAGACUCUGUUGGUUAAAGUCUGAAGACUUCCGGACAGCCAGACUCAAGACUCAAAGUCUAUCCUCAUUGACAGUCACUGAUCCGUUGAAGAAAGGUUAUCCCGAACUGGAUGUUUUGUUCAGGAUUUAACUUUGUCAUCUGGAGAAGAUCUCGUGGCUGGAGAAGACGUAUCAGAAUCCUUUGAUUGAUCAAGAUUGAUUCAAUGACUGAAGAUUCGAUGAUUGUCUAAAUAUUAUUGGAAGGUUCUACUUAUGGAAACCGAGAUCCUGAUUGUAUGGGCGAACAGGAUUGAUGGGCUAUCAACACGUUCCUUUAAUAGCUCGAACGAUCUUCUUAAUUGAUUCCGUCCAACGGGUAGAUUGGAGGAAUUCCUUUGGAAAGUGCCAACGGGUAUGAUGGCAUAAAGGAGUAUAUAAGGAAGACGUUCUUAGUUGUUUAAGAAGAGUGUGCGAUAGAAGAAUUCCAAAGUCUGAAGCUCCUAUUUGUUUAGAUAAAUCUCUUGAGCGAAUACUUGUAUACAAAAGAGAGUCUAUAUUUGUGAGAGACCUUGAGGAGGUGUGAUAGAACAUCUACACCGUGGAAUCAAGGCAAAGCUGUGCUGUAACUUCUCUUUUGAUCAUAGUAAAAUCCAGCCGGUGGGCUGUCAGUGUGGAAGAGUGGACGUAGGCUUGGAAUAAGCCGAACCACUAUAAAUCCUGUGUUUGAUUUUCUCUUCCUUACUCUCUCUACAUCGAUCGUAUUUCAAUCUGUUGCUUCCGUAUAUCGAAAAAUUGUUUGUGCGCCUAUUCACCCCCCCUCUAGGUGUUUAUACUAGCUAUAUCACACCUAUUGUUCUAGAUCAUUCGAGAAAGAGUUGAUCGUGAACUAAACGGCUGCCGGGUUCAUAAACUAGUGUGGAGCUUGCCACCGUUACUUAACAAAUGGAUCAAAAAAGGGAAUACAAUUAAGGCACUAUUUGUUUCUUGGAAAAUAUUUUAUUUUUGGAAAAUGUUUUUCUAGGAAGUCAUUUUUUGGAAAAAUGACAAUAAAUUUCAGUGUUUAGCUGAAAUUUGAAAGAUAACUGAAAAAUAUUUUUCAUUAGAUGAAAAUGACAAUAUGAUUUUUAAGCGUUAGUGACUUGCACGGGGGUGGCUGACAAAACCAGGCAUGGACACCAUGACUUCAAGUUCGGUAUUGAUGGACCUAGGCUAGAGGGCUAGUGCCUUGAGUUUGGGUGCUCCCAGGUGUGGGGAACCGAACAUGGGCUUCUAGAUCCUAGGCCCAGCCUCGAUGGACCUAAGCUCGGAUGCAAGGAAUCCGGGCAAAAGAAUUGAGGUUUUGAGCUCGAGUAUCAGGGACUCAAGCAUGAACAUUGGGGUCUUGAGCUAGAGCUAGAGCCUGGUCUUGAUGGACUUGAGCCUAAGUGUCAGGGACUUGGGCACAAACACUAAAAAGUAAAAUAAAUAAAUAAAUAUAUAUAUAUUUCUCUGAAAAAUAUUGUUCGCGAAACAAAUGGAGUCUAAAAAUAUUAACAUCAUCCUACAAACUCGAUAUACCAACCGAUGCCUAUCUUGUACUCUACAUUGAUAAUUGCAUGGGAACGGAUCACAUAAAGAUCGCCACGCGUUCACGAGCUCCCUCACGGUUCUUUAAUAGGAUGUUCCGUCCUUGUCGUUCCCAAUAAUGCAUUAUUAGCGUGAAAGAGAAGGAUCACCAAAAUGUGCAUGGGACUAGAACUUUGCCGUCACAAGGAAACAAGAGCAUUAGCGGCUAAACGCGUCAACGAAUAUGCAUUGAGAGCCACGUUCGAGCCAACAAGACGACGCCUCGUAGUCCGAAAACGCAGCAUCCUCGAGAGCAGCCAUUCAUGGAUGUGGGAGCUGUCGGCUUCAACGAGAGAGGGUAAUGAACCGAGGAGUCAGAGCUUCAAAAUCCUACCGAUUGGUCAUCGGCAGCGUCUGCUCUCUGUAGCUUUUGAAGCAUGCAAUGCUCGAAUCGACUCAUUUGAGAUGAGGUCUAGGAAUUCCAUUUCUCCAUCUUUUACGAGUUACCUACUCUCCAUCCAGCCUCUCGUAACUAUUUCUUGGGCUCUCCGUUAUUAUUGCCUUGACAACGGAUUUGAGGGAGAAUUUAAAAUAAGCUAAGCUAUCCAAAUCAGGCAAACUUAAUGAUCUAAGGCUUAAGAAACACACAUCAUCUUAAAUAGAAGUUAAAAUCAGGAACGUAAAUCUAAAAAGUACCAAUAAUGCCAAGAUUAGUAAUUGGCAAAAUCCUGGUAAAUAACCAACAUCCGACGAACUUAGGAAAUAUUUGUUUGGAAGAGUGUGUAUAAUCUUUAAAGCUUUAGAAGAUAACCCAACAGAGAUUUCCCAAUUAUAUCAUCUAUCCACUUAUAAAUAACAAGGGCUCAAAUAGUACAACAAAAACCGCCAACUCUCUGACCCAGUCCCGGAUUUCAAGCUCAAACAUAAUGGCUCUCUUCUUCCUCCUCUUGCUCUAUUCUUUCAGCGUUAGUGAAAGCUCUCUCGCUCCUGCCUCGACUGUCUUCAGUAUUAGGAGAAAGUAUUGACUGGAACUCGAAUUUCACUAUAUCAUCAUUUGGGCAAAAGAACGCCUCAAGUGCCAAAACUUGAUACAAAAUGGACUCUUAAGUGCUAAAACUUACGAAAGUAACACUUAAGUACCAUUUUUUUAUGAAAAAUUGGAUACUUAAGUGCCAUAUCCAACAAACCCCGACGGAAAUCCUACGUGGUAAUUUUUUUAUUAAUUUUCUCACUUACGUGGCUCGCCAGAGGCUAACUUAGCAAAACACACCCAAAAACGACGUCGUUUUGAUAUAAUUCGAAUUUUAAUAUAAAAAUUAAAUUAAUUUAAUUUAAAACAAAUUGAUUAAUUUAUAAUUUAAAAAAAAAAAAGAAAAAAAAAGGGAGGAGUAGGAGGGAGGCAACCGGCAGUUGAGGGCUCAGCUAUCGCCGUCACCGGAAAGGUGGGGGAGGGUUAGCCGGGGCCGCCGCAGGGGCCCAAGUUUUGUCUCGUCAUCAUCAAACUAAGAGGGGUAGUAUUUUUCUAAAGAAAACUGCACUAAAAGUCUUAAAAUUUAUUUCAAAAAUGCAUUUAAAUUCUAAAACUUUCAAAAUUAUAAUCAGAUGUUAAAACUGGUUAUAAUAAUGUAAGUAAGUCCUAUGUGCUCUAUUACCCCCCCCCCCCCAAAAGAUCUAAUCAAUUAUUGCAAGAAAAGAAUUUUUGCGAAGGCAAGUGACAAUAGAUUUUCGAUUAUUCAAUGGCCAUUAAUCCUCUUACAUGCGUAAGGUGACAAUCAACAAGGAAGAGUCUAUGACAUGAUUGAUGGUAAUGGAUGUGUAUCCCUCCGAACAAUCCUACAUGCUUGUCUCAUAAUGCUUAAAUCUUUAAAUUGUGAGCUAGAUAAUUCAUAAGCAUUUCCAGAUUUAUCGUUGUCGCUCUAAAAUAUCUCAAUUUGCAAGUUGGAGCACUUCUUGCCAAAAAUGAGGAUGCUGAUGUGAAAUUGACACCCUAAAUAUCUAGAAGUGAGUGCACACAUCCUUUUCUAAUAUUUCCUAUCUAACAAUAGCAUAAGUUAAAAUUAAACAAUGCUAAGAUAGGUGGCAUGCAUUCACAUGUCAAAUCAAUGCACAUGUAAACUUAAUCUAGACAUAUUUACUCUCCGUUAGGCUUUUCCAGAUUUAUCGUUAUCACUCUAAAAUAUCUCAAUUUGCAAGUUGGAGCACUUCUUGCCAAAAAUGAGGAUGCUGAUGUGAAAUUGACACCCUAGAUAUCUAGAAGUGAGUGCACACGUCCUUUUCUAAUAUUUUCUAUCUAACAAUAGCAUAAGUUAAAAUUAAACAAUGCUUAGGCACAAGUUUUGUCUCGUCGUCAUCGAACUGAGAGGAGUAGUAUUUUUUUUUUAAAGAAAAGUGCACUAAAAGUCUUAAAAUUUAUCAUAAAAAUGUAAUUAAAUUCUAAAACUUUCAAAAUUGUAGUAUGAUGUUAACACUAGUUAAAAUAAUGUAAUUAAGUCCUAGGUGCUCUAUUUUUUUUUCCCAAGAAAAAGAAGAUCCAAUCAAUUAUUGCAAGAAAAGAAUUUUUGUAAAGGUGAGUGACAAAAGAUUUUCAAUUAUUCUAUGGCCAUUAAUACUCGUACAUGCGUAAGGUGACAAUCGAUAACAAAAGGUCUAAGACAUGCAUGAUGGUGACGGAUUUAUAUCUCUCCAAAAACGUCCUAUUAUGUGCAGUACAAUCCUAGAUGCUUGUCCCAUAAUUAAUCCUUGAAAUUGUGAGCCACCUAAUUCAUAAGUAUCUCCAAAUCUAUCGUCAUUGCUCUAGAAUAUCUCAAUUUACCAAUUGAAGCACUUCUCGCCAAAAAUAAGGAUGUUGAUGUGAAAUCGACACACUAGAUAUCUAGAAGUGAGUGUGCACAUAAACCUCAAUCGGUCCUUUUCUAAUAUUUUCUAGUUAACAAUAGGAAAAGUUAAAAUUAAACAAUGCUAAAACAGGUGGCAUGCAUUCACAUGACAUGUAAUUGCACAUGUAAAUUUAAUCUAGAAGAAUUUACUCUCCAUCAGCUUCUCCCACAACUACACCAAUUGCACUAGCAUUGGCCUCCAUAGCAACACCACCGAUCCUGGCAUCUUUCUCCCAAGCGUAACCACCUAGACCGAGUACUGGCUUACACUAGUUCUAAAAUUUGUCGAAAAGUGCAACCAGACCAUAAAAUUUUCAAAAAAUAUAAUAAGGUUGUAGAACUUGUCAAAGUUGUGUAAUCAAGUCCCUUUGUCAACUCUCUAUAAUUUGACUGACAAAAAUGCCGACAUGAUUAUGUUAAUUACUUUUGUUAUGACCAAAGCUGAAACUACUACGAAAUUAAAACUAAGAAAAAUAAAAGAACACAAAAAUUUACGUGAAAACUCUCAUGACAAAAAACUACGGGGAGAGAAGAAGCAAAAUCUACUAGUGAAAUUUAAGGAUUAUCAAAGAUGGCUCGAAAAACCUUAAGACUCUUUUUAUCACUCAUUUUAAACCUAAUAACUUGGGAAAAAAAUAAUAUUUAUAUUGCUCCAUAUGACGGGGUGCAAUCCUUGCACCUUUGCCGAGGAUUAGUGUUGAGGUACUAGCUUGGGCCUCGACCAACACUAAACCUCAAUUUGUUUUUAACAAGUCGAGUAGUCACAAAUUUCAAUUUAAGUAUCAAAACUCAAUUUAGGUCGAAUGGCGGGAGCACAAUUCAAGAUAUACUCAACAAUUUCUUGAGACAAGCGGCGUCCACUAAGCACCACAUCAAUAACGAAACUUUUGGAAAAAAAUUAAAGAAAGAAAGAGAGAGUAAAAGUACAAUAAGAAAAAAAGGGAAAAUGUUCGAACGAAAGGCUAAUAAUGAAAAGAAAGGGGAUUAAAAAAAAAAAAGCAAGACUUCCGCUUCUGGUUUCCCAAAGAAACAGUGAUUUCGAUUCUUGCGAGCGAAAGUUGAGAUUGAAGGAAUGAAUCUCUUUCUUUUUUCUUUUUUUUUGGGGGGGGGGGGGGGGGGGGGGGGGGGGGGGGGCCGCCCGGGGGUUUUUGUUUGUUUGUUGGUUGUUUUCAACCUUCGCAGAUCGCCUACGGACACUUCUUGGAUCAGUUUUACAUAUGAAAGGCUUUACUAUUCUGCCAUGGGCCCAUGGCUGUGGUAGGAUUGGCCAUUGCCGCCACAGCUGUACCUUUAUCACAUAUGCUGCGUCGAUGGAGAGGUGCUCUCGAAUUUGCAGGCUGAGUCCAACCUUUUCUGCAUCGACCCAGUUCAGUCGGUUGCAAUUCGCAAUUUUGAUAAGGAACACUAAAAAUUGUAUUUUAUUUUUUUGGUCGAAAGGGAACACUAAAAAUUUGAAAAAUACUUCCUACGCUCGCGAACAUAGCAAUAAACCAAAAAAAGAAAAACGUUCAGGAGGAAGAUGUAGAUGUCUACGCUAAGGCAACGACAUCAUCCCCCCCUUUUUUUUCUGGUCUGGUUUCGCCUUCUAUCAAGGAGGAGCUUUGCAAUAGUUCCCAAUAAAAACCCCAUGUUUUUGUUCUUUUUCCCCCCUAUCAUCCUUUUCUAUUCAUUUUUUUUUAAUUUUAAAAUUUUAUCUUUUUAAAUUUUCGAUUUCUUUUUUCUAAUGUGGCACUUGAUAGAUGCAUGUAUCUUAAAUAAAAUAAUAAGCCAAAUUGAACUGAUUGGUGAAAUGACCUAAUUGUAUCAUUUUGACAAAUCUUAGAACUCAAUUACAUUUUUGCGUCAAUGAUCACGCAUAAUGUCCGUGACAAGGCAAUCAAAAUUUCCUUAAUUAGGUUUUCAUCUAUUAUUAGUCGGUGGCUCGACCCAUAAAAAUAUUCUAAAUUAGUAUGUGCAUAUCUACAUGCCCUCAAUGGGUUUAUAGAGACACACACUAAGCAUAAUUAACCUCAAUCUCCAUAAUCCACAACCAAAAUCAAAACCCUUCUCACAAUUUAAGUUUAAUAACCAAAUCACAACAUUUCACCAUUCAAUAAAUAUAUAUAUAUAUAUAUAUAUAUAUAUAUAUAUAUAUAUGGAUGUAUAUAUAUCAAAGCGCCUCAAAAACCACAUUCAUAAAUGAUAAACUUUUCGUGAUUCUUUCAUAAAAGGUUUCACGAACCAUUUAGAAGCAAUCGGUUCAAACUGCAGUUAAAGGAUGACUCCCCAUUUUAAACAAACAAAACGGUAGUAAAUGUUCAAUCCUAUUUUAUGCAACAACAGAUGCAAUUUCUUAACAUAUCGUUUUCAAAAUAUAAAAACACAAAAGAAGAAAUAGUAUCACUUAUAUGGGAAAGCGAAAAACCAGCGGGAGUAGUCCCCGCACAGGACGCCGCAUACUUAUUUGUAAUUAUAAAGGGAAAACCAUUUGCUAGUUGAACUAGAUACACAGUGGUUUUGUUCCUUUCGCUUUAUCCGUUUUGUCCUUAUCGAGUCUCUGGUCCUAUAAAUUUCUGGCUCGAUCGACCAAACCCUUCGACAAUCAUCAGCAUUUCCGCUCCCUGAUUGAACAAAUACAUGCACAACAGUUUCAGCACGAUGGCUCUCACCUCCCUCCUCCUCCACCUCCUCCUCCUCCUCUCUUCUCUCCAUGUCAGUAAUUUGUCAAGCUUUCACUCUCCAUGCGUACCCAACUGCUCAUCUCUCUCUCUCUCUCUCACUCUCUCUCUCUCUCUCUCUCUCUGUGUUUUCAUGCAAAGACAGGGCUAUAUGUUUAAUUCGAUAUCUCGCCCUUAAUUAGUAUAUACUUCUUACCUAAGAAUUGCUGAAAAAAUUUUGCGGCCAUUUACUCCAUUGGCAAUUACUUCUCAUCCAUUAUUUGUCAACCCAAUCUCUCUAUACUGGUUUAGAGUGCACAGGCUAUCGGAUCAAAUGGGGAACCCAGGCUUCAUAAGAACUAUUCGAUUUAAUUUACGCAUGCAAGAAGCUAAACAUAUUAGUUUGUAUCAAAAUUAAACCUCAUAAUAUUAUAUAUAUCUUCAUACCAAAAAAAAAAUAUAUAUAUAUAUAUAUCUCAUUUGGGUUAUCUUAACGCAUGUUAGUAGAUCAAUUGUGUUUAUGUGUUCUUUAGGCUAACAAAGAAAUGUGAAUGAAACGUAGAUAAUCAAGGGAACAUAUAAUGAUUUGAUAAUAUGAAAGCAUGUAAGUUGCAAAAGUCAUUUUAAGUGAUUGAGCAUGACGUUACUACUUUUAGACACAAGUAUCAAAUAACAUACAUUAAUGAUUGUUAGGAAUAAAUUGUUGGGUCAUCCAUGUUCAUUGUAAAGAUAAUUCCGAUGAUGCUAUUAUGCGGUUCUAAUUUCGUGUCACGUGACUUGUACCUUUUUGCAUGUUCAUUACAAUUUUCAGUAUGUCUAUUUUACUUCCAUAAUUAUGUCAUUGCACAGUUACUUAAGUCCAUAAUGUCCAUUCUAAUCGUGAUUAUAUAAACUUCUAGCUCACAGUCACUCUUUGAUUUUCUUCUGUGGAUUGUCCUGCGAUAGGUCCCCAGCACCGUCGCUAGGGCCACUCCCGAGGCCGACUUCCUCGCCCGCGAGGCUAACUCGAUCUCUCCCAAAGCAUACCUUGUCCAUUACUGGAACAAGCAAAUCACCAACAACCUUCCCAAGCCACCAAUCCUCUUCUCCAAAGCGUCACCUCUGACGACCGCGUCAGCGACCAUCUUCGCCGAACUCGUUGCCAAAGGCGCCAUCUCUGACCACCUCCUAUCGUUCUGCGAGGAGGCGCAAUUGCUCUGCUUCAUGAACUCAUCAUCUGAUGGGGUCGCAAGGACAAAUGCACAGGUGUAUAGUUACACAAAUUGCCCCCCUCCCCCCCCAGCCGAUACAAUUGUGGCAACUGAUGACAAGAAAGUAAAUGGCGGCGUGGAGGAGGGCGCGUUUUUUCGAGAGUCGAUGCUGAAGAGCGGGAAUGUGAUGCCAAUGCCCGACAUCCGGGAUAACUUGCCCAGAAGGUCAUUUUUGCCUCGCGGCAUUUCCUCCGAAAUGCCGUUCUCAACCUCGAAGCUCGCUGAGCUGAAGCAAAUCUUCCAUGCCACUGAAAAUUCCGCGAUGGAGAAGAUCAUGGCACAAAUACUAGGCCAGUGCGAGGUUGCAGCACUCCAAGACGAAACCAAGAGGUGUGUGGCCUCCAUCGAGGACAUGAUCGACCUUGCCACCUCGGUUUUGGGUCAUGACGUCAUGGUCCGAUCCACGGAGAGCGCCGGAGGGUCGAAGCAGGAGGUCUUGAUCGGGGUGGUCAAGAGGAUCGACGGCAGCGAAGUGAGCAAGCCCGUGGCCUGUCACCAGAUUCUAUUUCCUUACGCUGUCUAUUACUGUCAUGCAUUUCCAAAUGUCCGGAUUUACGAAGCAGACAUACUAGAUCCCAAAUCCAAGGCUAAGAUCAAUCACGGUGUCGCCAUUUGUCAUAUGGACACAUCAGCUUGGGGCCCUACUUACGAGGCAUUUCUGUUGCUUGGAUCGGGUCCUGGCCAGAUCGAGGUCUGCCAUUGGAUAUAUGAGAAUAACAUGAUAUGGACAAUUGCCAAGUCAUAAUGGAAGAACGAAGUGUGGUCAAGAUGGAAUAAACAUGGGUUCGGCCUGGUGAUCAAGAUAGAACUUGGUCUUUAGCUACCUCCAACCGAAAGCCUCUCUUGCUUUGCAUUACAAUCUAAUAUAGUAUCUGAAUCUGAUAUCAACAAAAACGUGUUUGUGUUUGGUGUGAAACAGUUGUCAUGGUCAGUAAAUGUCAAGUGUUUUUUUUUUCUUGUGAUUUGAGUACAUGUUCAAGUCUUUUGCAUUCUCCUGUCCUUUGUGCUUAGAGAUCUUCCUAUCUCUCGAUUUGCGUUACUAUCUUUGAGAAUUUUCUUCAACUUUCGACGAGGACCAAUAACUAUUUUCACAGUACUGUUAUUAUAUAAACGAGAGACAGAUAAGAAUGCAGUUGUUUUAUUCUUACCUUUUACCAAAAAAAAGAAGAAGAAUGCAAUUGUUUUUGAUAAAAGAAAAAAAGAAAAAUAGUGAAAAGCUGCAAAAAUAGUUCAAGUGGCCCAGUGGUUGGGAGUCCCAACGUGAUCAUUUUGAUACACUUGACAUUGGGCCCGUCUAGUUCGGCUUUGGGAAAUGCCAUUGGGAGAAUGCAAAUACCUUUGAGGUAAAUGUGUUUUUUGAAAUGCUAGACUGUUUGGUAAACUAUAACUGAAAAGUGAUUUAGGAAAAUGCAAGACCGUUUGGUAAACAUAUAUUUAAAAAGCCCUUUAGUGUAACCAAAUUAAGUUUUUUAGUUUUAGUAUUUUUAAAAUUGCAAAAAAGAAAUAAUGACUAUAUAACCUUUUACAUUUUCAUGUCGAAAGUAAUGUAAAAGACAUAUAUUAGCAAAUUUAUUUAAAAAUUAUAUUAAAAGAAUUUGAUUAUAGAUUAGAUGCAAAGCUCAAUUUUUGGCCUAGGGUUCUUUUAGGUUUGUUUUCAACUUUGAAUAAUUUUUUUAAAUUAUUGUAGUAUUAAUCAUCUUCGUCAAUUAAUGAUCAUUCUAGUGUAUUGAUAAAAAAUUGGGCUAUUGAUUGUCAAAAGAUAAAAAUGACAAAAAAAAAAAAGGCGAACCCAACAUUUGCAAAGAGUUUUUAUUAUUUUUUUAAAAUAUAAAAAUAAAAUCCGAUGAAACUCCAUCGCCGAUCAACGGCGGUUGGGGUGUGGGGAAGAUGAUCGGUUUAAAAAAAGAAAAAGAAAAAGAAGUCAACGGAUGAAUAGUAGAGGUGGACUUGUAUUUCCGAAAUGCUGGAAGCUCAAAGUAAGCCCCCAUUUGCUUUGGGCUUUCAGCAUUUCAAAGGCCAGCAUUUGGCCAAGAACACCUCCAAAUGCUGAACCAAACACCUAACUUUUUUCCCAAUGGGUUUUCGAGGCUGAGAGCCCUUUGGGAAUGCUAAACCAAAUAGGCCAUUGAACAACGAGAGCUGCCUGGUUCAAUCUUGAAGUGGCACUUCCCACUUUUUCUCCCCCUGAAUUUUGCUUUUAAACUUUUCUGCAUUUAUCUUUUGUUUGCACUUUCUCGGUUACAUAAACUACAUAUCAUCAGAUCAUUGCUUUCUUUUUUUUUUCUUUUUUCUUUUUGCUUUUUUUAAGCGUUUGUUAUUGGAAAAAGAUAAUUCAAUAAGAACCCCCUAUACGAGAUUAGACUUCUAAAAUCCUAAAAACUUCACAUGAAUGAUUCUGAUAUGAUAAAAAUGUAAAAACUAAAUUUAUUUUUGUUUCGCUAGAAUUACUCUCUUAAUGAAAUGUCUUUUACCAAAAGUUAUUCUUUGGUUUUAUUAAAGAGGACAAGGGUUAUGUGCCAACUCCAGACAAUGGAUAUCUAAUGCAAGAAGGAAUUGAACUUCUUUGGUCCAAACAACAUUGAUUUUAGGUUGAGUCGGAAUUAAUCAACAACAAGGCAAAAAAAAGUUACAAGACCGGUCUCAAAUUAUGUUGGAAUUUAAUCAACAACACAAAUUAGGGAUAGUAAGAUGUGGAGUUGGAAUUUAAUCAACGACACAAACUAAGGAUAGUAAGAUGUGGAAUUGGAAUUUAAUCAACGACAAUAUACCAGGAUAGUAAGAUACAAUACUGGAAUUUAAUCAACGACAAUGUACCAAGAUACAGAAACACGUCGGAAUCUAAUUAACGAUGAAAAUCUAAAAGCUAUAGCUAGGAAAAUUAAAGUUUAGUACAAGAAAGGCAAAUAUAAAAAGAUAACAUUUUGAUUGAUUUAUCAUAUGGCUUCUAGUUGGAUGAUUGGUUGUAUGAUAACCGUUUGGUAGUUACGUCUUCUCUAGUGCCUGCUACUGGCUUUGUCCAUGAUCCUUUAUUCUCAUAGAUCACUUUGCCCAUACUUCAUAUAACUGUCCUAGUCGUGUUUUGAGGAUUAUGCAACUGUCGAUGCCAUUCCAUGACUGGGGCUCCAAAUAGCAAUUGCUUUUUUACAACAUGCGCCUUUGAUGCUAACUACCUUAGUGCCUUAAGUAAUAUUCAAAGUGUCUCCAUUGAAAAAGUUGUUGCUAAAGUUCAUAUGAGGGGCUACCAAUCAUCCGUCAUCAUAUUUCAACAACCGAUUACAUGGCAUUUCUUUAUCUCAUCGUCAAUCAAAGGAUAUCUACUCUACGUCUGUUGAUAAUUUGGCAUACAUCAGACAUCACCUAGCCAUUAUGCACAUAAUUGUAACUUAUUUCUGAAGAGCUACGGCUGAGGUAAACCUCAACUUUAAUAUCAGCUAUAUAGUUCACAAUUUCACGAAAGAUCCUGUAUUUAUGAGAGGACAUGUAACAUUUUCAAUUAAGAUAAAUAUUUGUCACAUGUAUUUCCGUGUUUAUAUAAGUGACCCAAUUUGUCAUGCGAUUGAUAAAUCUCUUCGUUUGUAGCUAUACUUUUAUCUUUUAACAAUCUUAGCCCAUGGACCUACAUUGCUGAAUGGACACUUCUGAUGUAUUCGAUUCGUGGAUGAGUAUUUUUCUCGCUCGGCAGUGAUCGACCCAUGUGGCCACGAUGAAUAGUGGAAGCAAAAUUGACAUUGGCGAAUAGAGCUUAACAGAGAAGAUGUCGAGUCCAAUUGAAGAAAUCGUACAGGAUAGGGGUGGGACUUUGCAUCGAUAAAUUCAGGUUCUUUCAACGUAUUCUGUCGUUGGAAUGCAAGAGAGAUCAUCGAAAAAGUGUAUAGAUUAAGUCCCUAUUAUCUUUUACGAGUUAAGGGCACGAGCAUAGAGGCUCGGUUAUCUAAAGGUUCUUGGAACAUUCUACAAGCCUCAUAAAUCGUUUGAGCCCUAGUUUUAUAAUUGUUGGCAAGUUUGGAUAAAGGUUCUAAGGCUUUGAUUGAGAAGUCAUGAGAAAUCGGGUGGAUAGGUUAUUUGCAUAUGGACAGUUCUAGUAAAAUUGUUGACUCUGGAGAAAUCAGCUUAAGGUUCUUCAUGGGAUCCAAUAACCACAUAGACAUAUAUAUACCAUUAGAUGGUUAUUUUUUUCCACCAAAAAACAUCAUAUGAUAGAAAGUACGGGUUAUACCUAUUCUCUGAUGUAGUUUCGUUUUGUAAAUGAACCAAUUAGUCCUUUCCUCUCCUAAUCCUUGGAAAGUAAGCACACACCUAGAGAUUUCAUUUAUCUCUUGUGGAAGUGAUUUUGAUUAGGUUUACUCAUAAUGGCAUCCAAUGACUUUAACCCUAAUUCAGGAUUAGCUAGCCAAUUACAGAGUGUCUCUACUGGAGUACAUGCGCAUAUAUGGAAAAUCAAAGUUUCACAUCUUAAAAAUUUAUCUAAUCACUAUACAACUUGAUUAAUUAACCGAUAGCUGUCCAAUAUGAGAUACAGAUGGAUGCCCUUUUGUUGUUUAAUCGCAUUAAUACAAAAGACUUGUCCUUUUGCGAAAUUGGCAUUUUGCAUUAAGCCAUUUGUUUUGCAUUAUCAAGACUCACCAUGUCCAAAGCAUAGACGUGACUUACUACCUAAAUAGUUUUUGUCUGUAGCUAAUUCCGAAGUGUUUGUCCUUGUACUCUUCCAGCCUUUCAUCAAUCUCAUGGGCUAAUUCCCAUCACCCUACUUUGUUUUGUGCUAAAACGCAACUGAUGGCAAGUGUAUCUCCAAUCGAUAGAAUCUUUUAGGAGGAAAUUCUAUCCAAAUCUAACUUUUAUUUACACUGUGUCACGACCUAAAUUUCGGGUGUGAACCACCUAAGGUUUGGCUAAACUUACCCAAGCCCAUAUCAAUUCACGACUUAGGUUCAAAUUUUUUAACAUGCAAAUGGAUUUUAUCUAGGAGUUGCCACUAAUCAGUUUACGAUAAGUUGAUUAAACACCUAAGUGAAAUAAAAUAAAAUAACGGGAGAAUUAUUUCACUUCUACGAAUCAGAGAUUUUGGGUACGGGGACUUGGUUACACUAGAUUUCUCUAAUGCCAUUUCGAUACCCUUAUUUUAAUUUCAAAAAUGCUUUUGCAGGCAGCUUAAAUUGAUUUUAAAUCUAUUUCCCUAACAUGUGAGGCGAUCAUGCGAGUGCGCAAACUACCAAUUUAACACCCAAGUAAAGCAGUAAAUAAAUUGUAGGACUUACCUCAUAGCAAUGAAAGCAUCUGCAUUAUUAGAUCAGAAUUCACACAUCAACAGUCCUAGAUAUGAUUACUAAUUAACACGCAAUUUCUUUUUUGUUUUCACUUACUUAACGAAAAUCAUGCAAUAUGCAAUGCAAUAUAACUAAAUGACCUAAUUCUAAUGAUAAAUAAUUUCUAAUUAAAUGGGCCUAGCAACAAUUAUCAAAUCUAGUUCUAUAUGACAUGCAAUGACAUUUUUUUAUUUUUCCUAAAAAAUGCAAUCUAUCUUAAAGAAUGGAACUAAUUUAUUCUAAGACAUUUUUUGCAUUUUUUAUGAAAUUCGGAAUUAGGAAAAAUGUGAAAAUUAUCUAACUAGAUUAAGAUUCUAUUCAAUUUGCAUUAGGAAUUAGGUUAAGUCAAAUCCUAAUUUAAACUAAUAUAUUAUCUUAACCCAAAUAAUCUUAAAAUGCAAUCUAUUUAAGAAAAUACCUAAACUUAUAAUAAAUUAAGAAAAAUAUUAUCUAAAAUUAAAUUCAAUUUUACCCUAAUAUACAAUGACGCACAAAAUAUGCCAUAAUUCUACAUGACAUAUGCAUGAUGAUUUUUUUUUGGUUGUUUUUCCUUUUUUCUUUUUUCCUUUUGUAAUUUCGAAAUUAAUAAUUGCCAAAUAAUAAAACAUGCAAUCCAAAUUAAAAAAGAACUAGCAACCUAAAUUAAUUGAUUUUUUUAAAAUUUUUGAUUUCUGAAAAUUCAAAAUAAAAUUCCUAUUCUGAGCAUGCAAACCCUAAAACUACAAUUUUUUUUAAGAAAAUUAAUUUAAGUAACACCACAGUAAAUCAAGUAAUAUUGAUACCCAAAUUGACGAACCAUAUUUCACGCAUGAGAUCGAGUUGACCAAUUUCACAUAAAUUAGGAAUCGAAUCUCGGGCGGGAGAUUGGAUUGGCGAUUUUUUUAAGUAAUUGCUAGUCAGAUUUCGAACGCGAAAAUCGGACUGACAAUCACUAAUUUCACAGGCUAUUUCAUGUCGAACAUCUCAUCAUCAAAUAAAGAAACAAAAUGAAUAAUAAAAACUUAAUAAAUAAAUAAAUAAAAUAAAAUAAGAAAUCUACCUAAUUAGGGUUUUGGCCUUCCUAAACUAGGGUUAGCCGGCGGCUAGAUGGGUCGCCGUUCGGAGCUCCGGCGAGGGCGGCGGGCGGACCGGCGGUAGCAACAUUGACCAGCGGGCAGGGGCUGCUAUCCGGCGUUUAGGAGCAAGCCGCAAUUGGUUCGUCGCUCGGGCGUGCAUCGGGUCGCCGGGAGCAGCAAAGCGUCGGACCUCGGCGACCGGUCCUGGGUCGCGGGCAGAGGAGCGGCGUCGGGCUGUGGCUGCAGCAGGUGCCGAUUCUGGGUUUUUUGCUGAUGGCGUCGGGUCUUGCUGUAGGGGCGAUCAUGGACGGAACGGCGAUGCGGCGUCCGGCGAGCACGGGAAUCGGGUCGCGGUGCGAGCUCCUGUGGGUCGCUCGUAGACGCGGCAAGGUAGGCUUGCGGACGCGAGAUCUGCGGGUUGCGGGUCGCAGGCGAGGCGGAGCAGAAGCAGGUUAGCGCUGGGCGGCUUCGAGCUGCAGCUUCGGUUAGCGCAGAUCGGGGACGGAGAUCGGCUGAGGCGCGGUGGGUUUCGUCGGGCUGGUCGAACGGCGCCGAAGGCUGCUGCGACUUCGCGGGGGCGCCGGAACUGGGCUGUGGAUCGCGUACGGGGCGGCGAGACAGACAGACGGCGGCUGGCUCUGGAUCUGAUGGCAUCGGGGAAGGCCGACGUCGCGAUGGCGUCGCGGUGCUCGCGGAUGAGCGGCAGGGGUGGCGACGGCCGGCGCAGCGGAGGAAGCGCAGGCCGGUGCGGGAUCUCGCGCGGUGGUGAAGUGGCGAGCGGUGGUGAUCGGCGCAGGCGAGAUCGGCAGCAGCGGUCGCCGGCGGCUUCGCGAGGAAGACGAACAGUGGCUCCCUUUUUCUUUUUUUCUCUCUCUUCUCACGUCUCCCUCACAUCACAUCACCCUCACACGUCUCUCUCUUCUUGCUGCACCCUCUGGCUUCCUCUGUAGACUUUUUCCUUGUUUUUUUAUUGCAGCCGUCACUUUUCUCUCCCUCUUUCACUUUUUCUCUGCUGGCUAUUCCCUCGAAGAAAACCGAGAGAAACGGCCCUCUUAAUGUGGCCGCGUAUUCAAUGUUAGGCCACGGAUUAGGGUUUUAUAUUUCCAAAAAUUUCUUUUUCAAACGUAAUAUUUACAUUUCCAAACGUAAUAUUUACUUUUGAACUGAAAUCUUACAAAGAUAAAUCCGUAAAAUCUCUCCAAAGAUAUGGGUUUGGACCAAUUUGCUCUUUUCGUGGGUUUAGCACAACUCAUCAAAUUAAAGUUUCUGAAGCAUCAAUUCGAAUCUAUCCGUCACCGGCUCAAUGUAAAUGCAAAUUAAAAAAUAAAUACACCUAAAAUUAUAUAUUAUGCAAUUAACUAUUUUUUCAGGAAUAAAAUUAACCCAAAAUUUUUUAAUACAAUAAAUGACUAAAUGAGACACCAAAAUUUAGAUGUCAACAAUUUGAAACAUAUGUGUUUCUUGUGGUACAUAUGCAUAAAUGUAACUUACCCAUCAGAAGAUUGAGCAAGAGGAAAUCAUGACUUUGUUUUAAGGAAAAUUCCAAAUAAAGAUCCGAAAUGGACCGAUUUUCUCAAAUAAGGACCCGGAAUUAACUUUGUAUCAAAUAAAGACCUAAAAUUGACCUAUUGUCUCAAAUAAGGACUCGAAGUUGUUGAAUCAAUUCCAAAUAAGGACUUGAGCUUGAUAAUUAGCCAAAUAUUCGCCGGCUGUCAAGCAUGUGACAUUUCCAACGACUGGAGUUUGGGCAAUUUUGUCCAAAAAAAAUUAUAGGGAAAAUUAACAAAUCCUAAAACAAAAAGAAAAAAAAAAGCCUAGGUUUUCUACAGUCUCUUCGUUCCUUGUACCCAUGCUUUGCAAAGUCAAAGACCGAAGUUCUCCUCAUUUACCCAUCUUCUGCAAAGUCGAAGACCCAAAUUCUCCACCGGUUGAGGCACGAAUUCAAAAACAAGAAGAAUACCAUAUGCUUCUUUCUUUGUUUGCGGAGACCCAAAUUCUCCGUCGGUUGAGCAAGGUGAAUUGAGUCGCAACGAUGACCGGGCAGCGAUUUGGUUGAGGAGCAGCAAGGAAGAAGAAAGAAGAAAACGUAAACAUCUAAAUAAAUAAUCUAAACUUAAUUAAUUUAGAUUUUUCCUCUUUUUUUUCCGAUCACAAAUUUCCGACAAAAUUGCCCCUAUUUUAAUCAUUGGAAAAUGUCUGCCGGUGAGCUAAAGUCCUCAAUAGAGAUUAACUUGAUCACUUCGGGUACUUAUUUGACAUAAAAUUCACUUCGGGUCAUUAUUUGAAACAAUGAGUCUACUUCGGAUCCUUAUUUGACACAAAGUUUAUUUUGGGCCCUUAUUUGAGAAAAUAGAUCCACUUCGAAUCCUUAUUUGAAAUUUUCCCUUUUUUUAUAACAAAAAGAAGGCAGCGAAUAAUCGAUAUGAUACUUAUUAAUUGCAAGUUAUAUUAAAAAAAAACUAAUUAAGUUUUAUUUCUUCCGCUUGGCAGAGAACAUUUGAUAUGAAACUUUAAUUAACUGCAGAUUGUAAAACUAGUGGUUAAGAGUCCCAACUUGAUAGUUUGUGUUAUAACGUUUGACAAAAAUUUUACGAAACUAAUAGGGGUGGACACACAUUGCGAUAGGAACACCCCCACCUCCGUCCCAGCCUAACUAGCCCUCAUUACCGUCGAAUCUGUCAAUUGACAAUUGGAGCAGAUUCGAGCCCUUUGAUCGGUCUAAUCAUAUGAUUGAGAAAUCUCUAUGUUCAUAGCUAUACUUUUACCUUUUACCGAUUUUCUCCAAAAUUUUUAUUACGUAUGGAAUAAUGAACGGCCUAUAAUUAUUUGAAAUUGCCGCGGAAACGGACGGGAUCUUUCUAGCAUCACCUUACUACGAAGACUUUGUUGUGGGCUAAGAUUAGCGCAGGCCUUGGGCCUGCAUUGCUUGUGAAUGGCACUCACGAUGUCCUCGUUUCUUGGAUAAGCAUUUAUCUAGCUUGGCAGUGAUCGACCCAUGUGUCCUGGAUGAAUAGUAGUAGCAAAAUUGACAUCAGCGAAAAGGGGUCAACAGAGAAUAUGUCCAAUCCAGUUAAAGAUAUCAUACACAUCCGGGGUGGACCCGCCUUUGUCCAUGCGAUCCCAAACUUUAUGGACUGUGCACCGAUAAAUACAGGGUCUUUAGAAGUAUACUAUCGUUGGGAUGCAAGAGAGAUCAUCGAGAUCGCAUGGGGACCAAGUUAUUAUAUUUACGAGUUGACGGCAUGAGAGCAGAGGCUUGGUUACCUGGAAGCCUAUAGAAAACCCUGCAAGCGUCAUGAAUAGUCCAAGUGGUCUGCGCAGGUGGUUUUGACUAGAGCGGCUUGUACACGGUUAUUGGAAUACAAACAAAUGAACUCCAAUUUCUGACUUACCAAUCUCUAGAUUUGCAAUAGGCAAAUUGUUUCCCAUUUUAUCCAGUUCACUGGGUCAAGUUACAAAGAUAAUCUAAUUCGUUUGGAUAAAAGUUCUUAGGCUUUGAUUGAGAAGUCACGGUGAAUCGGGUGGAUAGGCUAUUUGCAUAUGGAGAGUACUAGUGAGAUUGUGGACUAUGGAUAAAUCGGCUUAGGGUUCUUCAUGGGAACCAAGAACCACAUAGAGAGAUAUAUCCUAUCAUAUGGUUAAUUAUUUCCAUCAAGAGAUAUAUCCUAUCAUAUGGUUAAUUAUUUCCAUCAAAACAUCAUAUGAUAGAAAACGUGGGUUAUGCAUAUUCUCUAAUGUAGUUUCAUUUUGCAAAUGAACCAAUUAGUCCUUUCCUUUCCUAAUCCCUGUAAAGUAAGCACACUUCUUGGAGAUUUUGAGAUUUUUAUUUAUCUCUUGUAGAAGUGAUUAUAAUUAGGUUACUCAUAAUAGCAUCUUAUCACAAUUACUUUAACCCUAAUUCAUGACUAGUUAGCUAGUGACACAGUUUAUCUAUUGGAGAGCAUGCACAGAGAUGGAGGCAGCGGGGAGAAUCUCAUCUACACGUGAAAUCACAGUUUCCCAUCUUGAACAUUUAUCAAAUUACUGUACAAUUUGAUUAGUUAACUAGGGCAGGUCCAAUCUGAGAUAUAGAUGGGUGCUCUUUUCUUGCUUAAUCACAUUAUUAGGGAAGAGUUGUCCUUUACGAUAUUGGCAUAUUGCAUUAUUCCAUUUGUUUUUCAUAAACUAAGACAUGUCCUAUAUGAGGCAUAUAUGGAUGCUUUUCUUUAAUCAAGUCUUUUUCAUGUAAUUUGAUAUAACUUACUACCUAAGUAGUUCUUGUCUUUAGCUAAUUCUCAAGUGUUUUUGUUUUUUUUUCCCUAUUCUAUUCCAUCCUUUCACCAAUUAUGUGGGCUUUCCCAUCACCUUCCUUUAUUUUAUGCUCAAACGCCUUACAGAUUCCACGUGAUGAUAGAAUGACUAGAGUCCAACAAAAAUCUAAUGCCUCGCUCUUUAUUAUUUAGAACUUAGGAGUUCCCCACAGACCAAUUUAUUUUUUGAGCUUAGGAGUCCCUAGACACCGACUUAUUUUUUAUAUUUUAUAUUUUCCUUUAUAUCAUGCUUUUGAUUAGUAGGUCAUAGCUUAUGGACAUCAUUCAGAUGUGUACUCAAUUAAAUUUCAAUAAGGGCAAUAUCCGUAUAUGUAACUAACCAAUCAUAAGACUGAACAAGAGGAAAUCAUGACCCUUUUUUUUUAUAACAAAUAGAGUCAAGGGAUUGCAAUGAUAUACGUCACUCAAGCCUUAGGUUCAAAUCACCCCAUUUGUGCAAGUACAAGCCUAUGUAUCAACAGUAAUUACUCGAUUGGUGUUAUAGAUUUGUCCAAGAAUCAACCGGAAUAUGAUACUGAUUAAUUGCAAGUUGAACUAGACUAACUAUUAAGUUUUAUUUCUUUCGCUUGGCAGAAAAGAUUUGAUAUGGAAACUCCAAUUAACUGCAGAUUGAACUAAAACUACAACUUUUGUUUCUUUCGCUUCAUCCAUUUGUCCUAGGGAAUCUCUCUCUCUCUCUCUCUCUCUCUCUACCAUCAGUCCUAUAAAUUUCAUGCUCAAUCAAGCGAACCCUCCAACAACAUCAGCAUUCCCUCUCUCUAAAGAAAUGAGCGAGAUCAGUUUUAUCAAAAUGUCUCUCGUCUCCCUCUUCCUCGUCCAGCUGUUGUCAAUCCAUGUUAGUCUUCUCAAGCUCUCUUCCCUCCCUUUCCACACACCAUAAUCACUGCUCAUCCUAUUUACGAACUUCGCAUGCAUUAACGCUCAUAGUUCGUUGAUCUUGUUUAUGUUCCUAUUUAUGUUAAAAGAGACAUGCAAAACACAAAUCACGAAGUGAAAGACAUAUAUAAUGCCAGAAUGUAUAGGAGGUUUAUGUGUUUGCUUAUUUUUAUAAUAUAGCGUCUCCAUUACUUAUGCUAAGCCAGAUAUGAUGUAUUGAUAAGGAAAAAAAUGACUAUUGUCAUUCAGAUUAUGGACAUAAGUUGAAGGAUUGGUCAGGAAUAUUUGUCAUGCUAUCUAUUCUAUUCUCAAAAGUUGAUUUCAUUCUUGUUAUCACGCGAGCAGAACUUCUUGCUACUUUGCUUACGACCAUUUGCACGUUCAUUGCAGUUUCAUCCAUGUCCCAUGUAUAUGCUGCAUAAAUAUUUGACCAAGUCUGCUUGGCAUCGUACUGCGAUUGUGAUGUAGCCUUGUUUGUCUUAUGACUGAGUUGUAAAUUGAAUUUUAGGGCUCGAUAUCUUUUAAACUGGGUGAACUAUCCUAGGUCGGUCGCAUUGUGCUAGCUUUCUAGUUACUUACUGAUUUUCUCUUUUGUCCCGCUAUAGGUUGUUUCCACCAACACGAGAACCGCCACCAACGCCAACUCCCUUGCCGGCGAUGCCAACUCAAUCCCUUCCAAAGAAUACCUUGUCCGUUACUGAACUGAACAAAUCACUAGCAACCCUGCCAUACCACCACUGCUCACAUCCAAAGUUUCACCCUUAACUGCUGCACAAACAACCCUUUUUGCCCAGCUCGUGGCUAAAGGUGCUGUUGAAGAUCACCGCCUCUCUCUCUCCUGGAGUUCUCUAGAUCUUUCUCUAGAGUUCUCCAUAUCUCUCUUUGGAUUUCUCCAGAUUUCUCUCUCUCUAUUGCUCUAGAUUUUUCUCUCCCUCUCUCUCCAGAUUUUUCUCGGCCAUUUUGUUCAUGGACUCCACCGACUUUGGCUCCUAUAAAUAGGGGCUGUUGUCUCUUGAAGUGUAAGUGUGAGGGGUGUUGUGUGUGUAAGUGUGUACGUGAGUGUGUGGGUGGAGUAGGUGGCGUGAAGUGUAGAGAAAUAGAGAAUAAGUGGGUGUGUGCGAGAGUUGUGUCCGUGUGAGGUUUGUGAGGGAGUGGGUAAGCAAGUACAAUGAGUUGUUGUGAGAGGAUGAUAAAAUAGAGAGUUGUAAUAUUGUUCUAUAAUAAAAGUAAUUAUUUUACUUGUACAUCCACUUGCUUCUCAACAAUUGGUAUCAGAACAGGUCGUCAGAGGCCGUGUGAAAACAGUGGUCGGGGACCAUUGUAAGUGAGCAAGGCGGUUAGGGAUCAUCGAGCCAAGGAGCGAAGAAGCGAAGGACGUCGGAGUUCUGCAUGUGCACAAUCUGGGAUUGUGAAGUCGGUUGGUCCGGGACCAGGCUUACUUGGUAUAGUGCGGGGCAUUAUACUCAAGUCACGAUGGCGGAUUUCUUGAGUUCGGUAAGUGGCAUCGAGAAGCUCAACAAAUCAAAUUAUAAUAAUUGGAGUACCCGCAUACAAUAUUACUUGCUAGGACAAGAUUUGUGGGAUAUUGUUGGCGGGAGCGACACCACCCCACCCACGAAUGAUAGCGAAUUAAGAAAAUGGAAUAUAAAAUCGGGUAAGGCUCUUUAUGUGCUUGCCGUGACUGUUGAAGAUGAAUUACUGCAACACAUAAAGAGUGCGACGACCCCGAAAGAGGCCUGGGAUAACUUGGCGACACUGUUUGCAACGACAAACGAUGCGAAUUUACAAUGCCUGGAGAACAAGCUCCUCUCAAUCUCGCAACAAAAAAUGACGGUGAGUCAAUACUUUUCUAAAGUUAAAUCUAUUUGGAAAAGAAAUUUCAAAAUUAGAUCCUGAGAAUGCCAUCUCUAAAACAAGAAUAAGAUGAAUAACGGUAUUGUUACAGCCACCCGUGGAUGGGCAAAUGAGCCAACUCUAACAGAGUUGGAAAAUAUAUUGGCCAAUCAAGAGGCCUUAGAUAAACAAAUCCCUAAGGUCUCAAUUAAGGAGGAUGAGAGUGCCCUCUUUAGUAAUAAAAGAGCGUUCAAGGGCCAAAAUAGAAAUAGAGUAGGUGCAAGAGAUGGCAAACCAUGGAAAAAUCAUGGAGAUUGGCAAAGGCAACCAUAAGAGAAGGGUUAUCAGCCAGGGGGAGCUCGUCAAGAUCGCGACGACGAUGACGAUGAAGACAAGAGCAACAAAAGGCGUAGCAAACGGUGCUACGUUUGUGGCAAGAUAGGACAUAUUGCCAGAUUCUGUUGGUACAGGCAAGAAGAAGGAAAUGUCGUCACUUCUUGCAAGAAGGAGAUUGAAAGUGAAGAAGAAUGGGACUUUCAAGAGCCUGUUGCAGUGAAGGAACGAGAAGAGCUUGCAACCGCUUGUAUAAUUGAGUUGGAUAAUUCGAUAGGUUCUAUCACAACCCCGAAUAAGAGCAAGCCAAGGGAGAACUUGAAGAAACAACUAACAAUGCCAACAAGCAGUCGUGAAAGGAAAUUGCAAGAGAUGCAGGAGAUGAUAAAGAAGCUGAAAGUUGAGAAGACAAAGAUGGAGAAUAUGUUGAAGAAAAGGGAUAAGAUGAUAAGGCAGAAGGAUGGAGAGCUCAAGGCAAAAGAAAGGGAGCUAAAGAAGUUCCGAUGUGAGUUCAAGAAGCUAUAGAAGCUUCAGGAUCUCAAGCCCGCUAUGAUGUUCCCAAUUGGUCAUACUAAGAGAGAUAUCAAACACAUGAAGGAGAAGAAGAACGGUUUCUUUGAGGAAAGGAGGCCAUCUACACCUUACAUCUCGUGUAAGAAUCGGUGGAAUAAAAUCGAGGGGAAGAAAUUUUAUGAGGAAAAGGAUCAAGAGGUCUACAUUGAAGUGCUUCGGAUGGGACUGAAUCGAUUGAAGCACGAAAUGGAAAUCACAAAUGAGAGGCUUGAUCGAAUGAGUUCCAAUCUCACAAUUCUUAUAGGAGAUAUGUCGAAUACGAAGACCAAGUUGAGUGAGAAGAAGGAAAAUGAGACUAAAGGUCAGAAUGAAUUGGCAUUGCAAAAAUUUAAGGAUCACAAAACUCAAUGGAAAGUCACAGCAAGAGAAGCAACUGAAGAUGGAGCCAUAGAGCCAUCCACGUACGAGGAAGCUUCACAAUGUGCUGAAUGGAAGAAGACAAAAGCAGAUGCCGAAAAACAACUUGACAUGGUGUUACAUCCAAAAGAGAGAGCAGUCGGUGAGGGGGAGUGUUGAAGAUCACCACCUCUCUCUCUCUUGGAGUUCUCUAGAUCUUUCUCUAGAGUUCUCCAUAUCUCUCUUUGGAUUUCUCCAGAUUUCUCUCUCUCUCUAUUGCUCUAGAUUUUUCUCUCCCUCUCUCUCCAGAUUUUUCUCGGCCAUUUUGUUCAUGGACUCCACUGACUUUGGCUCCUAUAAAUAGGGGCUGUUGUCUCUUGAAGUGUAAGUGUGAGGGGUGUUAUGUGUGUAAGUGUGUACGUGAGUGUGUGGGUGGAAUUGGUGGCGUGAAGUGUAGAGAAAUAGAGAGUAAGUGGGUGUGUGCGAGAGUUGUGUCCGUGUGAGGUUUGUGAGGGAGUGGGUAAGCAAGUACAAUGAGUUGUUGUGAGAGGAUGAUAAAAUAGAGAGUUGUAAUAUUGUUCUAUAAUAAAAGUAAUUAUUUUACUUGUACAUCCACUUGCUUCUCAACAGGUGCCAUCUCCGAUCACCUCUCAUCUUUCUGCAGGGCAGCACAACUGCUCUGAUUCCCAGCCUCACCACACUAUCCAGUUGGCUACACUGUCGAAAAUAGUGCCACGACACCGGUAGGUGGCAUGAAAGUGAACAGGGGCGUGGAGCCUGGCAAAUACUUCUGGGAAUCAAUGUUGAGGAGUGGGAAUAUGAUCCGGAUUCUAAAUCUUCGUGUCAAAGCUCCCAAAAGGUUGUUUUUGCCUCGCAGCAUUUCCUCCGGAUUACCAUUCUCCAUCUCGAAGUUCGCCGAGCUGAAGCAAAUCUUCCAUGCUGGGGACGAUUCCAAUAUGGAGAAGAUCAUGGUGCGCACACUCAGCCAGUGCGAGCAAGCGCCAAUCCAAGGUGAGACCAAGCGAUGUGUAAGCUCUGUCGAGGGCAUGAUCGACUUCGCCACCUCAAUACUAGGCCACGACAUCCAGCUUCACUCCACGGAGAGCGUCGAAGGGUCGAAGCGUGAGAUCUUGAUUGGACGAGUGAAAAGGUUGGAAGGGAGUAAAUCGAGUGCGCCCGUGGCAUGCCACGAGACUAUAUUUCCUUACAUGGUCUAUUACUGCCAUACAUUUUUGACCCUUCGAGUUUACGAAGCGGAUAUACUGGAUCCCGUGUCCAAGGCCAAGAUCAACCAUGGCAUCGCCCUCUAUCACAUGGACACGUCGAUUUGGAGUCCAAAUCACGAGGCGUUCCUUGCGCUCAGGUCGAGCCCUGGUCAAAUCGAGACAUGCCACUGGGUCUUUGGGGAUUAUGGUGUUUGGACGAGGACCAAUUAGUAAUGGAAAAAAAUGAAGCGUGGAUCAAAUUGAAUAAUAUAGAUUGGACGUAGAGACCGAGAGAAAUCAUCCGCUAGCUCCAUCCUACGCCAUCGUUCACUUAAAAGUAUUGUCUAAUAUGGUAUUUGCUAUCUCAUAUCCACGACCUUAGUAGUGGUGUGUAUAUGUAAAUGUCGUUGUGGUUUGUAAAUGUCGAGUGUUUGAAUAACUUUGAUCUAAUAUAUGUAAUUAUUGUGGUGCGAAUGUGAAAAAGUUUAUUUGCUAAUAUUCAUCUCUUUCUAAAGCAUAACACAACACCAUGUCUCAAAUUCUUAAACUGUACCUUGCUAGGACAUGAUGGUGAGAUGAUUACAAGGACUAAUUCUUAAACUGUACCCGAAAUGUGUUAUUGCACCAUAAUGGACAUGAUGGUGAGAUGAUUACUAGGACUAAUUUAUCAGGUUUUCUGUUGAAGGAAAUAGCUCAAUAUGUAUUAAAUCAUAUUUCUAUCAAAUAUGUUACAUUAACUUGUUUUGAGUUGUGGACCAAACGUAAGCUUGAUUUGAAUCAUCUUAAGGUUUAGAGUGUCCUGCAAAAGUGAGUUUAUAUAAUCUAACAUUAAGUAAGUUAGAUUGCAGAACCACUCGGUGUUAUUUUGUAUCUUACCCAAGUCAUUUGAAAGGAUAUCGGUUUUAUGAUCCCAAUGGAGAUACAAAAAUUGUAGAAUCACAGACAACAGAGUUUCUGGAAUUCGACACAGCUGUAGAGAAUAGUUGCUCUUAGACUAUUAAAGAUAAUAGGACGGUAGGAACCACUAUGUCUUUGUCUUUACCUAUACAAAUAAUUAUUGAGUCUUUUACACCAUAAACUGCGCAUGUUGAGGUUCAGGAUACUAUUAUUAAUACAAUUCCUGAUAAAGUUUGUCAAGCCUCUCGCGUGCAAGAUGAAGUGGUUGUAGUAGCUCCACUUAGGAGAUCUACUAAGGAAAGACGUUCAGUUAUAUCACUAGACUAUAAAUUCUAUUUAUGAGAGCAUGAUUACAACAUCUACUACGUGGUCAAUCUAAUAACUUAUAUGAAUGUUGUUUCUUGUCCUUGGUCAAAUAUGUGGUUAGAUGUGAUAAAAGACGAGAUGCAAUCUAUGAAACAUGAUAGUGUUUGGAAGCCUGCCGAAUUGCUUGAUGGUUGCAAGCCCAUCCGCUGCAAAUGGGUGUACAAGACUAAAAGAGACUACAAAUGAAAUAUUAAGAAAUUUAAACUCAGACUAAUAAUAAAAGAUCUCACUCAAAGAGAAGCCUAGUCUUUUCUAAAGAUUCUUUCGAAGUGAGCAUGGGAUUAGUAGCCCACUUUUUAUAUGGAAUUAUGCUCUAUGAUGAUUAAAACUACGUUUUUCAAUGGAUAUUUUGAUAAAGAAAUCUAUAUAUUUUAACCCGAAUGUUUCAUAGCAGAUGAUUUAGGUAAGCUUGUGUGUAAACUGAAAAACCUUAUUAAUGGCCUAAGCAAGUUUGUAGACAAUAAUGCUUGAAACUUCAUAGUUUUGUCACUUCAUUCAGUUUUGUUGAAAAUAAAAUGGAUCGGUGAAUAUACUGCAAGGUCAAUAGGAGAAAAUUUAGUUUUCUCACACUCUAUAUAAAUGAUAUCUUGCUUACAAGUAGUGAUAUGGGAUUACUUCAUAAAACAAAAUAGAUAUUGUCAAGGAAUUUUGACUUGAAGGACCUUGAUCAGGUAUUUUUUGUCAUUAGCAUUGAGAUCUAUAGAAAUCGUUCUCAUCGUAUGUUAAAUUUAUCUCAGAUUGUAUAUCUUGAUUGUAGUUUGAAAAUAUUCAACAAGUCGAGAGUUGCUCCUGUCGUUCGGACUAAUAGAUUGAGUUUAUUGCAGUAUCCUCAUUCAAAUUUCAGAAAAACCUAAAUGAAUGAUAUACUUUAUGCUAGUGCACUUAGAAGUGUCAUGUAUGCUCAAGUUUGCACUAGGCUAGAUAUUGCUUUUGCGGCAAGACUUCUAGGUAGAUAUCAAUCAAGUCUAGGACAUGAUCAUUGGAUUGCUGCUGAUAAUGUCUUGAGAUACUUAAAAGGACAAGAAAACUAUAUGCUGACAAACAUGUUCAGGAUCUAGAGCUAGUAGAGUAUUCAAAUGCAGACUUUACUAACUGUUAGGAUGACAAGAAGUCGACAACAUAAUAUAUUUUUAUAUUAGCAGAAUGUGCUGUAUUAUGACAAAACGAUAAGCAAAAAUUCAUAUCUUCCUCUACUAUGCAAAUGGAGUUUGUAGCAUGUUCUACAGCUGUUACUUAAGAUAUUUGACUUCAGAACCUCAUUAAGAAGUUGACCAUAUUUGAUUUUGUGAAUAGACCCAUACAGUUAUAUCGAGAUAAUAACUUUCCAAUGUCAUUUAUCAACAACAAUAAAGGUCUCGAGAUAUGGCGGUCAAGUUUUUUACCACAAAGAAACGACACAUAAUAGUGACACUAUAGUAGAGCAUCUUUCCAUAGAUAAUGUAGUUGUCGACCCACUAACUAAAGAUUUUCUCCCUCGUGUACUUGAACAACAUAUCAUAAACAUGGACUGAGAAGUAUAAUUGAAUGCUACUGUUUAGUGGGAGCUGUUUUGAUUUUUGCUCUAAUAAAACUUAUAUAUUACCCAUUCAAUAAAGUGUUCAUAAAUGUGUUGUCACCAUAAUUAGUUGAUUACAUAUAAUAGAAAUUUGAAGGUAUCGUGUAAACCUUGAGUGAAAGGUUAGAGCAUUUGUUUAUUGGCGUUGAGUAUAUGUAUUGAUUACACAUAAAAAUGUGUUAACCAUAAAGAUAAGACAUAUGUGAGUUCAUUAGAACCAUAAAAAUAUUCUUUUAUGACACAUUCGGUUUUCUAUGACACUUAAGACAAGAGAAUAAUGACCGAUAAAGGGGAUGACACAUAAGGUAUUACUCUUUAUGAAGUGUUAUUCAUUUGUAACAUGAUCAUAUUGAAUCCAUAUAAGUAAACCCGUGACCAUGGAAGGCUCUGUAUAAGUACAUGCAAUUAUCGUUAUGAUUCGGUGUUUGAGACUUUAUAGGAUAGGAUUGACUAUUACGAAUAGUCACUAGACCAACAUAAAGGUGCACACAUUUCGUACAGCCUCAAUUAAUAUAACCCAAGUGGAAGAAUGUAAGAGUUUUCUUGAUGUGAAUUACAUUAAUUGAGAUUGUAAUUUAUAGUUUUAGGAGGUUGGUCUAAUAAGAUAAGACAUAAGAUUUUCUUAAUAGUUGAAUAUGGGCCUGGCUUAUGUGGGCCGAGUUAGGCCCGGCCUGUGAUGAGAGAACCUGGCUAAAAACUCUAUAAAUAGCGUUAAGGUCCCUUCUCUAACCCUCAUUGUUCUAUGAACAUUCUCUCACCUCACAUAAGGAAGCCAUGAAAGGCGGACUCAUCAUGCUAGGAUCCGAGGGCCAUAGAGGAGAAGAACCUGAGCGUUGAAUAGUUGUCAUUCCACAGAAAGAACGAUGAAUUCCAAAUCAAGUAUGCAAAUCCUCUUCUUCUCCUCAAAUAUGUUCAAGUUUCUAGCUAUGUUGAUCUCGGGAUGCCGCUUCGACAGCCAACAUUGUUGUCUUGAACUGAUAUGUAAAUUGCACUUUAGGGUUACAACAUUUUUAAACUAGGCAAAACUAUUGUAAUAUAUUCUAUUAUUUUAAAUGUGAUCCCAAUAUUGUAUUUCCAAUUAAUUCCGAUUUAUUGCCCAAUUUAUUAUCCGCGUUUAUUACGUGAUAUUUGCUCGUUAAUAUAUUACCAUAACAGUCUUCAUGGAAGACAUCGAUAAUGUAAGAAACGGAAUAAAAACGUCAAAUCGUCUAAUUCAAAUCCUAUCAUUACAGAAAACACACAAUCACGUUUGAGAGAUAUUAACUAGUGGAACAUGACGUACAAAUCUGGUGAUCACAUAUCUGUAGAUCAAUUGUGUUUCGUGGAUCCGUCCAGGUUUUAGGAUUUUCCGCAUUUGCAAAUUUUCAUCAAUGGCUGGAGGUAUGUCAAUCUUUACAUUUCUGCAAAUCGAUUCUGAAUUAUGCACGUAAUUGUUUGAGAAUGAUAGAUCGAGAUCAUCAGGUUUUAUUCAAAAUUAGUCUUACAAAAACAUCCUAGCUCGGUUGCGCAAUGCUAAUUUUUUAGUCACUCGCCGAUUUUCUCUUUCAUCCCACUAUAGGUUGUUUCCACCACGGCUGGAACCACUACCAAUGCCGACUCCUUAUUCAGCGAUGCCAACUCAAUCCCUCCCAAGGAAUACAUUGUCCAUUUACUGGAACGAACAAAUGACCAACAACCUCGCCAUACCACCACUGCUUAUAUCAAAGUUUCAUACUUAACUAUGCAUAAACGGCCCUUUUAGCCCGGCUCGUUGCUAAAGAUGCUAUCUCCGACCACCUUCCAUCUUUCUGCAAGGCAGCACAACUGCUUUGCUUCCCGGACUUAUCAUCCCAUCAAGUUGGCAAGGACGGUCGUGUUUUCUACAAUUUCAUUAAUGGUGCCACAACACUGGCCGGUGGCAUGAACGUGAACAAAGGCGUGGAGCCAGGGAGAUACUUUCGGGAGUCGACGCUGAGGAGUGGGAAUGUGAUCCAGAUGCCGGAUCUUCGUUCCAAAACUCCCGAAAGGUCGUUUUUACCACGCAGUAUUUCCUCUGGAUUACCGUCCUUGACCUCGAAGAUCGCCGAGCUGAAGCAAAUCUUCCAUGCUAGGGACGAUUCGACUAUGGAGAAGAUCAUGGUACGCACACUUGGCCUGUGCGAGAAAGCACCGACACAAGGUGAGACCAAGCGAUGUGUUAGUUCUGUUGAGGACAUAACAGACUUUGCCACCUUGAUAUUAAGCCACAACAUCAAGCUUCAUGCCAUGAAGAGCGACGAAGGGUCGAAGCGUGAUAUCUUGAUUGGACGAGUAAAAAGGAUAGGCGGGAGUCAAUUGAGUGCGCCUGUGGCAUGUCACGAUAGUCUAUUUCCUUGCAUGGUUUAUAAUUGUCAUGCGGUUCCAACACCCCAGUUUCACAAGGUGGGUAUACUGGAUCCCGUGUGCAAGUCCAAGAUCAACAAUGGCGUCGCAGUCUAUCAUAUGGACACGUCGAUUGGGAAUCCAAAUCACGAGGCAUUUCUUGCGCUCGGGUCGGGCCCUGGUCGAAUCGAGGCCUGCCACUGGAUCUAUGGGGAUUAUGCGGUCUGGACUAGGGCUAAUUAGUAAUGGAAAAAAAUGAAGUGUGGAUCAAAUUGAAUAAUAUAGGUUGGACCUAGAGGCCAAGAAAAAUUGGCCGAUAGCUCCAUCGCAAGUCAUCAUUUGCUUGAAAGUAUUAUCUAAUAUGGUAUCUACUAUCUAAUAUACACGACUAUGAUCGUGUGAGUGUGCGUGUGUGUUAUUAUGGUUAGUAAAUGUCAAGUGUUUGUGUGACUUUGAUCUAGCAUUUGUAAUUAUUGUGGUGUGCAUGUGAAAAAGUUUGUCAUGUGAAGUACUUACUAUUACCCAUCUCCUUCCAAAACAUAACAUGACUCCAUGUCCCAAACUGUAAUAUACCAUCGUUAGAUUUUUCUUCUUUUUUAAAUUUAAUUUUCCAUCUUAUAUCUCUACCAUCAAUGCCUUGACAUCAAAUCAAAUGGAAUUAGAAGAGAUUAAUGGGCAAAGAGAGAGUAUAUUCACUUGUGAACGAACUGUUUAUAAUAAGGGAGAAGGAUCCCUAUUUAUACAAAUGCGGGUCACAUCUCAACUGUUGAUCGUCCCUCUGAUCCAAUGGUGUAUUUCAAAUCCGUAUCAUCAUUACAAGGCUACACGGUAGGCUACUCGAAGGCUGCUCGAUGGCUACACACAGUAGGCCCUUGGGAAGACCAUGGGCGUGUGUUAGAAGCAAGAUUAGGUUUGCAGGGUCAUCUGACACGCAAGCAGCCGAACGGUCACGGGCUGUACAUGGGCUAAUCAAAUCUUGCUCAUGGGUCGUUCCUAGGCUACGCAUGGGCCUUUGCUCAUGCCACUCAUGGAUUGAUCAUGGGUAGGUCGUGGGCGGCUCUUGGGCAGCCCUUUGUGCGUGACACGGCCUAUCACGAACGGUCUUGGAUCAUGCUCCGUCUGUGGGCUGUGUCACUUGUCCCAUAAUGCUUAAUCCUUGAAAUUGGGAGCCAUAUAAUUCAUAAGCACCCCAGAUUUAUCAUUAUUGCUCUAAAAUAGGGAUAAAAAUGGUAGGAAUCUCAAAACUUUCGUAAAACUUUCGUACAACGCUCACUUGAGUGCCAAAACUUUUUUUUUUUUUCGCUCAAUUGAGCGUCACAAAUUUGAAAAUUCGAUCACUUGAGUGCCCAUUUCGAUUUAUCUCACCGGAAAAUCCGACAUGGAUGUCAGUCAUCCGUCAUGACUUCAUCAACACUGAUGUUGACAGUUUUUUUAUUUUUUAAAAAAAAUAUUUUUAAAUAUAUAUAUUUUUUUUUUGCUUUUUUUUCUUUAAGAUCAGUGAGGGUCUCCAGCAACCCUCAUCAACCGUGACAUCCUCGCCCUCAGCCACGAGGCCCUAGGCAAGGCCAUCGGGGCGUCCUCAAACAUUGGUGAGGGCAAUGCCGCACAGAGCUAGCAAGGGCCCUUGCCUUCUCACUUGCCACCAGCAAGGUCGCGAUGCCCUUGCGUAAGGCCUUUGCGGCCAAAUCUAGGUGAAGGCCGCCUCCCAUUGCCAUAAGGCCUUGGGUGAGGGCAUUGCAGCCUCACUGAUUGUUGGCGACACCGGUCAAAGUAGGUGAGGGCAUCAUGACCUCGCCAGCUACAGGCAAGGCCGCAAGGGCCCUCGCUUGCUCUGGAUGGCAUCGCCCACAACCACCCAGACUUGGUGAGGGCCCUCGUGGCCCUACCAGCAGCUAACUAGAUGACCCUCGCCCAAAUUGGGGGAGGUUUUCAUGGCCAGCGAAGGUCGUUGGUGACCACUGACCCUAAAAAAAAAAAAAAGAAGCAAAAUAAAAAUAAAAUUCAAAAAUUCAAAAAUUUCACGUAGGACGAUUUGCCGAAAUUGGCACUCAAGUGAUCGAUUUUACUCCGAUAUAGCACUCAAGUAAGCAAAUUUUUUUUUUUUUUUAUACUCAAAUGAGCGCCGUACGAAAAUUUUGGCACUUCUAGUUUUCUUGUCGAUCUUAAUUUGACAAUUGGAGCACUUCCCACCAAAAAUGAGGAUGUUGAUGUAAAAUUAACACCCCAAAUAUUUAGAAGUAUUGAACACAAACCUCAAUCGUUCCUUUUCUGAUAUUUUCUAGCUAGCAAUAGGAUAAGUUCAAUUAAACAAUGCUAGGACAGGUGGCGUGCAUUCACAUUUCAAAUGAAUGCACAUGUGAACUUAAUCUAGAGAUAUUUUCUCUCCAUUAGCUUCGCCCACAUCUACACCAGUUGCACUAGCACUGGCCUCCACAACACCGCCAUCGAUCCAAGCAUCUCUCUCUCUCUCUCUCUCUGCACAAGCUUUGUCCCGUAAUCAAACCAAGAGUAGUAUUUUCUAAGGAUAAGUGUACUAAAAUUUCUAAAAUUUGUCGAGAAAUGCAAUUGAAUCAUAAAAUUUUCAAAAAGUGCAAUAAGUUCUUAGAAUUUGUCAAAGUUGUGUAAUCAAGUCUCUUUGUCAAUUCUAUGUAAUUUGACUAACAUAAAUCCCGACAUGAUUAUUUUAACUACUUUUGUUAUGACCAAAGCAAAAGCUACGACGAUAUUAAAUUUGAGAAAAUUAAAAAAAAAAAAACAGAAAUUUACUUGGAAACUAUGGAAAAAAAAAAACUACAGGGAGAAAAGAAGCAAAAUCUACUAUGGAAAUUCAAGCAUUAGCAAAGGUGGCUUGAAAAACCUUAAGACUCUUUUUUCACAUUUUUUAAACCUAAUAACUUAGGAAAAAAUAAUAUUUAUAUUGCUCCAUACGGCGGGACGCAGUCCCCACACCUCUGCAAAGGAUUAGUAGUGGGCUAGUGGUUUGGGCCUCGACCAACACUAAGCCUCCAUUUGUUUUUCUCAAGUUAGUGGUCACAAAUUUUAAUUUGAGUAUCAAAACUCAAUUUAAUUCCUUUUAACAAAAUUCAAGACAUGCUCAACAAUUUCUUGAGACACGUGGCAUCCCCUAAGCACCACAUUAAAUAAUGAAAUUUUUGGGAAAAAAAUUAAAGAAAGAAAGAGAGAGCAAAAGUAAAAUAAGAAAAAAAUUAUAAUGCCGAACAAAAUGUUAAUAAUGAGGGAAGAGAGAGAGAGCAAGCAAGAUCUCCACUUCUGGUUUCCCAAAGGAACAGUGGUUUCGAUUAUAGCGAGCGAAAGUUGAGAUUAAAGGGAAUGAAUAUAUUUUGAGGGGGACUUUCAAUUUUCGCAGAUCGCCGAGGGAGACUUCUUGGAUCGAUUUUAAAUAUGAAAGGCUCCACUAUUCUGCCAUGGCUGUGGUAGGAUUGGCCAUGGCCGCCAUAGCUGUACCUUCAUCAUAGAUGCUGCGUCGACGGGGAGGUGCUCUUGAAUUUGCGGGCUGCGUCCAACCUUUUCUACAUCGACCCAUCGGUCGGUUCCAAUUCACAAUUUUGAUAAGGAACACUAAAAAUUUGAAAAAAACUUCCUACGAUCGCUAUCAUAGCGAGAAAAAAAAAAGGGGGUUUCAAGAGGAAGAUGUAGAUGUCUCCGCUAGGGCAACGACAUCAAUCCGUUUUUUGUCGGUCUGCAUCUGCCUUCUCCACAUCCUUCAAAAUGAAGGAGCAGCUUUGCAAUAGUUCCCAAUAAAAACCCCAUAUGGGAGGAAAAAGGAGAAGGGGAGUCAUCUUCACGCAAGUGGACGGUCUUGCGCCGGGGCCUACCGCCCCCCUCCCGAGAAAAUAUUGGGUGGGUCUUACUCUCCACGUAGGCUUAGGUAAGACCAUUCAGCGAUCGACACGUGGCUCCACGUAGGCGACGGCAUCAGAGGUUUAAAAUUUGCGAGCGCCGCUCCUGGGGCCCACCACUCUGACGCUCUCUCUCCUCUGCUCUCCUGUACGAUCUGUCCACUCGUCCUCUCUCUCCUCUCUCUCUCUCUCUCUCUCUCUCUCCGUUCUCCCCGUUCUCCGUUCCGUUUUGCGAGAGAACAAAAGUCGCAGGGCUUCUCUCCGAAUGCUCUUCCCCUCCUCUACUCUCUCUCCUCCGCUGGUUGCCUGGGACGCAGACGCCCUUUCCACCUUCGCCGACGCCUCUGCUCUCCUCCGCUGGUUGCCCGCAACGCCGACGCCGAUGCCUCUGCUCUCUCUCCUCCGCUGGUUGCCUGCGACGCCGAUGCCGACGCCCUUUCCACCUCCGCUGACGCCUCUGCUCUCCUCCGCUGGUUGCCCACGACGCCAACGCCGACGCCCUUUCCACCUCCGCUGACGCCUCUGCUCUCUCUCCUCUGCUGGUUGCCCGCGACGCCGACACCGACGCCUCUGCUCUCUCUCCUUCGCUGGUUGCCCGCGACGCCGACGCCGACGCCGACGCCCUUUCCCCCUCCGCCGACGCCUCUGCUCUCUCUCCUCCACUUGUUGCCCGCGACGCCGACGUUGACGCCCUUUCCACCUUCGCCGACGCCGACGCUCUCCUCCGCUGGUUGCCUGCGACGCCGACGCCUUUGCUCUCUCUCCUCCGCUGGUUGCCUGCGACGUCGACGCUGACGCCCUUUCCACCUCCGCUGACGCCUCUGCUCUCCUCCACUGGUUGCCCACGACGCCAACGCCGACGCCCUUUCCACCUCCGCCGACGCCUCUGCUCUCUCUCCUUUGCUGGUUGCCCGCGACGCCGACGCCUUUACUCUUAAACUGUCAGUUCCUCAUGCUAUAGUGUGAAUGUUAUGUUUCUGUUAUGCUUCUGUGUUGAUAUUUUUUGUUUAUGAACAUAUGCACAACAAAAUUGCUAUGGAUUCCGACACCUUGAAAUGCGAGGAGGAGGAUCUAAUUCUUAAAGACAGCGAGUGUUUGGAGGCAAGACGUUAUCUAUUGAGACUUGUUAUCCUUAUAAUGUGGUGAAUUUAGUCUCAUCCAACCAUUUAAUGUAUGGAGUUCUUCCAAAUUUUUGGGGGCUUUAGCUCAUUUGCUUCAAUCUGUAGUCAGGCUUUAACUUUCUGCUAUGAUUGUGGCAGUUAUUAGAGUAAAGCAGGAAUUUCUUGUAUAUCUUAUUGUAAGGUCUUUCCAGCAGUUACAGAAGGGCAUUUCAAUGAGAGAAACUAGGAGCUUGGAUACAGUCUCGAGCAUUAUUUUUGCCUGUUGGUUUUAAUUCCUGUUGACGAUAGGCUGAAGUUCUUUUUAACUCAUCUUCUUCGUGCCAAGUGCUGCCUAAAGUAAAGAUUGAUGCUUAAUUAACUUUUUUCUUUAUAUUCAGGAACGCGUUAAGGAACGUUCUGUACAUCCCAGUGACACCCCACAUGGAACAUCCAGUGCACCUUCUGUGGAGGUAAAUCUAGCUGUAGCGCUGAUUAUCCUUCUUGGAUUCUUAUGAGUUUCUCUGUGAAGCCAUUAAGUGCUAAAUUUUUUAUGUUAAAUUCUGCCCAGGCUGCUAGAAAUAGGAGUGCUGCAGGAAUAGGAAGCACAGUUUCUUUUAGCGAUGAUGAGGACACAGCAGAGAUACUUGGCUCAAACUCUGCCACCAGAGGCCGGAAAGGAUCAUUGGGAGUUUGUAGAUCCUCCCGUGCUACUUCAGAUCUAGGAAGAGGGAAAACUUCUACAAGAGGAAGGGGCAGGGGAAGAGGAUCUGCUAAUUUGAAGCAAACUACUCUUGAUUCAGCUUUGGUAUCUUGCCGUCGUGAAAGGUUAGUAGCGGAUGUAGUCAUGAACUCAAGCUGGUUAAUGGCUGACAAACUGGUUUGAUUAAACUACGUCUCAAAAUUGUUCUAAAGUAAUCCUACUUUAUUUGUAGGAAGAAACAGAAAGCUGCAAGGUCUUGCUGAGGCCAUGGUAAAAUUGUGGGGGAGCAGUGCUAUUGCAAAAAUAGCAAUUAAAUGCCGCGUGCUAAAUACUUACAAUGAUAGAAUAGCUGAGGAACUGAAGGUUGGACAAUCUACAUAUGUUGACUCUUUUUUUAGCAUAUAUGUAUGAGCUAAUUAUAUUGUUGAAAAUGGGUGUUCUGUUGCUUUCAUCGAGCACAGAACCUUUCAGACUCUGUACUUUAUUUGAUUUGCCUGACAGAAAGAAUUACCAACUAUUUGCCAUAGAGUGGUAGUGUGACUAAAUCAUCAUCCUUCAAGCCCACAGUACAAUGCUGAAUUUUCUAUUUCAUCUCUGACCGUGGAAUUUAUAAUGUUUAUCAUAAUGGUAAAACUCAGCCAAGAUUAGUGUGUCACCAUUCUGGGACAUACUUGUGUAGUGUUGUGAAGGAUUGGUUAUGCAAGUUCUUAUCUCUCCGAGCAUUUUGUUCCAAUCUUAAUGUUCUGGCAUUAUGAUAAUAUCAACUUCUGUUUAGUGUUGCAUAUUCCGUCCUUUUUCUUUAGGUAAGGAAAAUUUGGUGCUCUUGUUAUUGAUUUGUGUCAUUUUGAAUGCAGAAUUUAACUGGGGGAACACUACUUUUUAGGAACAAAGAUUAUAUUGUGUUUUAUUGGGGCAAUGACUUCUUGCCUCCUGUGGUGGUAGAAGCACUGAAAGAGAGAAAAACUAACAGAUGUGCAGGCAAAUGAGAACGACCAAGCACGUCAGAGGGCCUCAGCUGCAAUUGAAUCAAAAUUCAAAGCUUCUAAAAGCCCACUUGUUGCUGGCACUCUUACUGAAACUCUGGCUGCCACCUCUCGGUGGGGGAAUGAAAUAAGUAGCAAAGAUGUUGAGCAUAUGCGUUGAGAUGAAUCACUCAAUAAGCACGCUGCACUCUUGAAAUAUCUUGAGAAGAAACUUGCUCUUGUAAUCUUCUUGAUUGAACAAACUUAUGCUAUAAAAUUCUGCUCCAUUUCCUUAAUUAUUUAUCACAUUUUCCAUUUAUAUUUUCCUCUUCUUUCCAGGCUAAAGGGAAGGUCAAAAAGGCUGAGAAAGCUCUAGCAAAAGUGCAGGAGAAUCUUAGAUCAGCAGACCUUCCAGUUGAUCUGGAAACCAUAAGUGAUGAGGAGAGAUCUUUACUACGUAAGAUUGGUCUGAGUAUGAAAACCUUCCUGCUUAUCGGUAAGAAUAGCUGGAAGUCAUGAGUUUAUGAGGUCUUGGUUCUUGUCAUUGAGCCCUUUCGGGGCAGAUGAAUUGAGGGUUGGUUUUUUAUUGAUACGGAUUUAUGAUGACUUAAGCGUUAAGCUGCAAAGUUGCCCUUUUCAUCACCUGGCAAAUGGUUGAGAAACUGAGAUGUUUUGAUGCUUGAAUUUGGAUGAUUUCUGUCCAAAUUCAGCAAUUAUAUCUUUGCCAUCAAAGAACUAUACUCGUGUCUCGUCCGUGCCCAAUGGGAAAUCUGAAUACUAAGAAGCAUGCGGUAGAUCUAAUGAUUUUCAUAGGUGUUCAAGAGCGUAUGAGAAUUACUAAAUCAAAUUUUUAUUCUUUCUGUGGGUAGGUCAAACUCUUUCGGGUGCACGGCAUUCAUGUUUUUGCAGGGCUUGUGAUUGUUAUAUCCUUCAAAUGCCAACUGUCUCAUCCUUUUUUCCUAUUCCUAUUAGUUUAUUGUUCUUUGAAAUUCUCUUGAAUAUGCAAAAUUUACGUCGGAAUCUGAUGUUGUUGAUGUACACAGGUUAUGCUUUUGAAUUGGCUUUCUGUUUUGGCUUAUUCUUUGGCUUUUGUAUUUUAUAUCAUCCCAAGGGUGUAAUAGAAUAAAACAAUAAGUGGACUGGAAAAUUUUCUUGUCCUUUUUAUCAUCUACUGGUGUUGUAACUCAUUAUUUUUGUUACAAUUGAAGUUUUAAAAUGUAAGACUGCCAGCUACUUGUUUAUGAACUUGAUGCAUGAGGUCCCUUCCCUUUGUAGAAGCAAGAUCUUCCAACAUCUGGACCUUGAUAAAAGAUCAAGCAAAUUUUUGUUUUGGCUUGAUGCUAGGAACUUUGGCUCUGCUGCUGUUAAUAUAAGAUCAGCAUAUGCCCGUAAUAUAUGGGCUACUACUAAAUGGUCAACGUGAUUUCCAUGUCUUUUUUAUUGUUUAUGUCAUUUUUCAUUCAACUACUUUUUCUUGAAGAUUAUAUGGUGGGAAUUUAGUAAUUAUUGGGAGAUUUAGGGCCUUAAACCGAAGAAUUUGAUCUUGGCUGCACAUGUUAUGUUUUUUCCCCUUAGGAAAGCAACAUACGUUUUCUUGUUAUUCUUUCUUAGACAACAAGGUUAAAUGUGGAUCAUAGUAUUGACUAUUUGUAAAGUUACUCGAUAACUGUUGAAGUAAUGCCUCGUUAUUCUUAAUAAUCGAAGGACAGUUAGAAGAAGAUGAAUGUUCUUGAUGAUUUUGCUUCUGAAUCAAUUUGAUUCAUAAACUGAGUGAUUUGAUUCUUGAUCGUCUUGUCUUACGCAGAAUGAUGACAACCAAAGAGAGACUUCUGCAACAAUGCUCAAAGCAGGACAGGGUGCUCGUUUUGCGAGGAUGCUAUAACUAGAAUCUCUCUUCUGUACGAUGCACCUCAUCGGAAUGCCUGGCUAUAUGUGCUUCUGGUUUUUACUGAAGAUGGCUUGAUUACACAUAAAAUCCAUCGUUUGGAGGUAGAUAAUCCACAUGGAAUACAUUACACCUAUUUCGGAAUCUCGUGUUCUUGUACUACACUUCCGUUUUUUCAAUCGGAAGGCAAUAACAUUGAGCUAUGUAUGAGCUUAUGCUGAACUAGAAAGCCCAUGAAGAUAUGGGUUUCAAUUUACAUUACAUGUAUGCACGAGUGACUCUCAGGAGUUUCUUCCGGAGAUCAGAUGUAAUACAUACUUAUAUUUUGCUCGCUUGGUAGUCCUGAAUAUACAGAAUCAGUAGAGAUUGCCAAUCACAUUUCUAUUGAGGCAAUCCAAACAUGGUUAAAGCCAACAGACAGAACUAUGUAAACUUUCUUUCAUUCUUUGCGCAAACUUUGGUGCAGAAUAGUACAACCGUGACUUCCUAUUAUUGAGAAGGGGGACCCUUUCGUGGGUAAUGCCAUGCACAUGCAAGAAACGAGUAGGUAGAUAAUUGAUCAAGAAGCUGUCGCCUCAAAAGAGUGCUAUGUAUUUCUUCCACCAUGUUUGAGUCCAUUCCGCACUCACUGUUCGAAUAGGCUCAUGCCGACUCUGCAUGCACCGACUUUGAGAGUUUCUUAAAUUUCCAAGUCCAAUUCACGCAACAAUGACGCCUUAAGGAGUUGUUACCCUGAAAUUCUAUCGCAGACAAGAUAACAAGAUCUGCCAAACAAAAUCAUUUACACACUGCUGGUAGCACAAAAUAUCGAACUCCUUUCAGAUGAUAAGCCUUAUGGAUACAAUAAUAGAAGUAACAAUUUAGAAGCACUAUAUCCAUUAACAUAUCACACACCCCUCAUCUUUCUAUGGCACUAGUACAAAAUGGAGUUCACUUCGAUGUCGCAGAAGCUUAGUCCACUUCCUCCAUUUUGCUCUCCUCAGCACCAUCCUAUUCCAAGGCAGGCAUGUCAACAUCAUCACCAGCAGUCUCAUCCUCGUCAAUGCUCAGACCCAGCUUCAGCAUCCUGUGAAUCCUCGCUGCGAAAGUGUUGGGGUCAUCAAGACUGAACCCGAAUGUUAAAAGAGCAGUCUCAAACAGCAACAUCACCAAGUCCUUCAUGGACUUGUCGUUCUUAUCAGCCUCAGCUCCUCCAUGAUGCCAUUAUCAGGGUUGAUCUCCAUUGUCUUCUUGCUUGACAUGUAAGAGCUCAUGCUGUUGUCCCUCAGAGCCUGAGCCUUCAUAAUCCUGUCCAUAUUUGCAGACCAUCCAUAUUCUCUCGUCACCAAACAGCAGGGAGAGUCCACAAUUCUGUCCGAUACCACGACUUUUUCUAUUUUGUCUCCCAAAAUGUCCUUCAUUGUCUUGCACAAGUUCUCAAAGGACUUCUUUUUCUCCUCCUUCUUCUUCUUCUCUUCCUUCCUUUCAUCAUCAAGUUUCAGGCCCUCUUUGGUUGCAGAGACCAACUUCUUUCCAUCAUACUCCUUCAAUUGUCCUACAGCAUACUCGUCAAUUGCGUCCACCAUGAAAAGCACCUCAUAGCCUUUUUCUUGAGCCGCUCCAAGAACGGAGAGUUCUCUACAGCCUUCUUGCUUUCACCAGUGAUAUAGUAGAUAUCCUUCUGACCCUCCUUCAUCCUCGUGACAUAAUCCUCCAGACUUGUCAUCUCGUCCCCACUCUUUGUCGAGUGGUACCGGAGGAGGUCUGCAACUUUAGCUCUAUUCUGGCUGUCUUCAUGGAUACCCAAUUUCAAGUUCUUCAAGAAGGCCUCAUAGAAUUUGUUGUAGUCCUCCUUGUUCUCUGCAAUCUCAUUGAACAUCUCAAUGCACUUCUUGACAAGAUUUUUCCUGAUGACCUUCAGAAUCUUGUUCUGUUGCAGCAUCUCACGAGAAAUGUUGAGGGGCAAGUCAUCAGAAUCAACAACUCCUUUCACGAAUCUUAGAUACUCUGGAAUGAGCUCCUCGCAGUUGUCCAUAAUGAAAACCCUCCUAACAUAGAGCUUGAUGUUGUUCAUCUUCUUGCGAGUAUCGAAGAGGUCGAAUGGAGCACGUUUUGGGACGAACAAAAUAGCCUUGAAUUCAAGCUGCCCAUCAACAGAGAAGUGCUUCACGGCAAGAUGGUCUUUCCAAUCAUUGGUCAAGCUCUUGUAGAAGGAAGCAUACUCCUCCUUGGUGAUCUCCUCUGGCUUUCACAGCCAGAUGGGUUUCAGUUUGUUGAUGAGCUGCCACUCCUGAGAAACCUCCUUAAUCUUCUUCUUCUUGGACUUCUUUUCUUCCUUCUCCUCAUUGACGUCCUCAACAUCUCCUUCCUCUUCCUUCUUGGGCUCAUCGUCCUCAUCAUCACCGAUCUCUUUCUCGGUUGUCUUCUCAGUCCAUCGAUAGAUGGGGUAGUUAAUGAACUCGGAGUGCUUCUCCACAAGGUCCUUAAUCCUUCUUUCUUCCAGAUACUCCAGCUGAGGAAAACAGAGACGUGACGCUGUUAGCAUCAUGUAUCAUCCAAAACCAAUGCAAAUCUUCUCCACCAAUUCAUAAAAGCAACCAUAAUUGAACUCACCUGGUCCUCCUAAAGGAAGAGGGUGAUCUUGGUCCCUCUGCCGAGUUGCUCCCCACUCACAUCUCUCGUAACGGUGAAGGAACGACCGGCCUAGGACUCCCAGAUGUACUGCUCAUCAUCAUUGUGCUUAGUAGUCACAAUGACUUUCUCAGCCACCAAAUAAGCAGAGUAGAAACCGACAUCAAAUUGACCGAUCAUGCUCACAUCAGCUCCCGCCUGCAAUGCCUCCAUGAAUUCUUUCAUCCCUGACCUCCCAAUCGUACCCAGGUUGUUAGAACUGCAUAAACUCCCGGAAUUUCCGUGGCAAUGAAAGUGCCGUUUACAAAAUUUUUAGUUUUUCCCUUGUAUACACAAGUUUACAUGUAUGCCAAAAUACUCUAUAAGGUGGUAGGAUAAAGUAAAGGAAGUACCUUGACAAUAAGUAGACACCCCAUUGGACCAGUUACAGCUCGGAUGCCCUGAAAUAUAUACAAUAGAGCAAAAUGAAUCUCAUAGACAAGGAGACAAAACAUAAAGCCUAACUGAAACUGAGCUGUUGGAGAUGGGAAUUUAUUCUCACCUUCCUUAACUAACCAACACAAAACUAAUCAAACAUGAGAUACCAUUGUUACCUUAGCAGAGAGACAAGACACUGAAGCGAUCCGGGAUCAACAAAGGCAUGUAUUUGCAGCAACUGCCUGAGAGCAGGCCAAUAAAUUGCAUUGGCUGCAAGAGAUUAAGAAAGUUACAUAGAAGCAUGAUGAACAAACAUGUAAUCUUACAGCAGCAACACAGAUAAGUGAAUCCCAUUUGCUCCAUCUUUCCACAUGAGCAGAAACCCAUUUUAUCAUGAGGCAACAGAGCUGGGGUAAUAAAAUGGAAACUUAACAUCUUACUAUAGAGGCAAACCUGUCCUGAAAACAAAGAGCUAGUGGUGUGUUUACUAAACACUUAAGCAUCAUCACUCAUAAUCCCGAUGCAGUACAACACACUGAAUACAAGAAAGCAUCUCUUUCAACUCACAUUACUUGAGUACCUUCAAUCGAUAAUUAGAAUGGGACUAAGAGAGUUAAGGGGGAACAAAAAGGCAGGACCGACUUCUUUUGCUGUUUGACUCUAAUUUAUAAGUCAAAACUUAAAUACUUUUGAAGUCAUUUUUGAUUCAUCAUUGUUAAUUGCAAUUAAUAUAACAUUUUGGGUAUGGACAAGCCUUCAAGCAAACCGAGACACGCACAACUUAUGAACAGAAGCAAUAGUUAAUGCCCUAUCCAUUUCAUUAGUAAUGUGUCAAAAAGUAUGGGAAUAGUUGCAUACCGUAGAGGGAAAAUUAGAGACACCGCUAAUCUCCACUGCAUAAACAAGCCACUGUCUUUUAAUGCUUCCUUCAGCACAUUGUAAAGUUGCUACAACUUCAACAAGCACAUUCCAUGUGUCUGCAAGUCAAAUGUUAAAAAAAAAACCCAUCAAACAAAUCUAGUAACUUCUAUUUUGAUCACCACUGCAUUCACAAGGUUAUAGGUCAUCUUGAACCAUAUGUUGGACAUGUCUUCAUUUCGUUCUAUUCAAGAAUUUAGAGUCUCAACAACAGAAAGUACACCAACAAGGGAAAAUCAAACACUUCAGAAAGCAAAAUAUAAGUUGAUUUUGUGAGUCCAUGAUAACCACUUCUGACUAAAGUUUUACAGUGAGUCCUUCAUCAGAUAUAGAGUGACAUAAACUUUCAACAUGAAGAAUUCUGAAACAAGAACAAUAAAUGGAGCUCAUCACCUCUGUAUUUGGCCUAUUCAUCUUUGAUGAAUUCACAUUCGUUAACCAUGAGCAGAGUUUAAUGACUAUACUGUCAUUGGAGAAACUUUGAGAAGCAACUUCUGAGACAGUGGUAUCAGUCUGAAUAUGAUCAUCCGAAUUUACUUCCUUGGACCACAGACUAUGUCGAAGAAAAGAAAGUGCCCACCAGAGUAUUGUUGCAGCUGAUUAUCUUCAGAAUGUUGAGCAACAAGAAACAUCUCUUGUAUUGAUGAUGUUAACAAAGGCUUGCAGACAGGACUUGAAAGAAGCGCACGCAUUAUAUGAGAAGAUUCCUGCCAAGAGAACAUUUCACUGUAAGAAACAAGGACCACGAAAAAUGAUUAGAAGGCUUAGUUGAGGGAAAAUCCUCAAUCACCUUCAGCCUGUAACGACCGUAAUUGGAGGAUAAAAGAUGAAUUAGAACCAACCCAGCUUCUGCACCCAAAGAAUUAACAAUUCCAAGCAUCCCUCCCAGAUAAGUGGAGGGAGGCUGAGGAUUGGAAUAAUAUCUCCUCAACAAUUCCAGUAGCUCUUUCAGACAUCCAACUUCAAUGGAAUCUAUGCCUUCCUUCACAACACAGGCAAGGAGACUCCCUGCUCCAGCACAUGAUUCCAUCAAAAAGCUCUGGUGGAAUGCACCUGACUUUUUAAUAGACAAUAAUUCAGAUAUAAGUUCUCUAUAACUAUUCAUCAGUUGGUUUAGUUCACCAACAUCCAUCAAUUCUACUCUCUGGCAGAAAGCCACAACCAUGGGAAGUGCAAGACAAGAUCCAACAGAUAGAAGCAUCUCAGAUCCUUCGUUGCAGGAGUUAGAGCUCCAAACAAAUGGCUCCGUGUGUGGAAUCCAUGAAGUUAUCAAGUCCUUUAUCUUCAGUGUCACAUCAAUUUCCCCACUUCGGUAAACUGCACUAAUAGAGCUGCCCAAAUUAAGAACAAGUCCAGCAAGACCCCAAGUGUCUUCCUCCACAAGAUCACUGUCCUCAUUCAAGAAAUGAGGAUUCUGAUAUCUACCAUUCUCACACAUGUCAUUGGGAAAAUGUUCACACAGACUUUGAAGAAUCUGGGAUGUUGAUUUUGUAAGUUCCAAGAUCGUGAUAGAUAAUGACCUGAUAAUAUUCCCUACUAAUUCAACUUCAACCAUCUUGUAGGAAUCUCUGUCAGCAUUAUCAGCAGCUUCAGUCCUAGUUAGAAGAUCCUGGCAUGAAAAACCCAAGCCAACUCCACAGGCUCCUUUCACAAAGGUGCUUUUGCUACUAGACAAAACCUAUUAGGCACACAUGAUCAGUAAAUAAACACAAUUAUCAGUGAGAAAACCAGCACUUGUUCCGUUAUUAUUCUUUAAUUGGGAACAUUAAGAAAACAGAAUUAUCAUGGGCAACAUGGUGACAAACCUCAAAUCUACAGAAAAAACCCACCAUGCAAAGAGGAAACUCAAGUGCAAACCAAAGAAACUAAACCAGCUAUCAUAGCAGGUACAUGUUCCCACUCUAGGAUUUGACCAUUUGAACCAUUAGCAUUUGUUAAACAUCAUACCUUACGGUAUGAGACUAACCUUCGUGCCGAAAGGACUGACAGGAUAGUAACAGCAAUCUUCGGCAGGUCGUCAAUGUCCCUCGCGGAGGCGGAGGUGGAGGCGGAGGCGUCGGAGUCGGGGGCGACGGAGGCAACCGGCUUCAGGGGCGUGGGAGUCGAGGGCGAUGGAGGCAAACGGCGGAGGGGCGUCGGCGUCAGAGUCGGGUUCAAGGGCGGAGGCGGAGGCUGCGUCGGCGUCGGUGUCGGCGUCGGAGUCGGAGUCGGGGCGACGGAGGCAACCGACGGAGGGGCGUCGGCGUCCGAGUUGGGUUCAGGGGCAUAGGGGGAGGCUGUGUCGGCGUUGGUGUUGGCGUUGGCGUCGGAGUCGGGGGCGACGGUGGCAACCGGUGGAGGGCUGUCGGCGUCGCGGUUCACUGGAAAGGGCGUCGGCGGAGGUGGAAAGGGCAUUGGUGUCGGCGACGCGGGCAACAAGCGGAGGAGAGAGAGCAGAGGCGUCGGCAGAGGGGGAAAGGGCGUCGGCGUCGGCGUCACGGGCAACCAGCGAAGGAGAGAGAGCAGAGGCGUCGGUGUCGGCGUCACGGGCAACCAGCAGAGGAGAGAGAGCAGAGGCGUCGGCGGAGGUGGAAAGGGCGUCGGCGUUGGCGUCGUGGGCAACCAGCGGAGGAGAGCAGAGGCGUCAGCGGAGGUGGAAAGGGCGUCGGCAUCGGCGUCGCAGGCAACCAGCGGAGGAGAGAGAGCAGAGGCGUCGGCGUCGGCGUCGCGGGCAACCAGUGGAGGAGAGCAGAGGCAUCGGCGGAGGUGGAAAGGGCGUCGGCGUCGCAGGCAACCAGCGGAGGAGGUGUCGCGGGCAACCAGCGGAGGAGAGAGAGUAGAGGAGGGGAAGAGCAUUCGGAGAGAAGCCCUGCGACUUUUGUUCUCUCGCAAAAGGGAACGGAGAACGGGGAAAGAGAGAGAGAGAGAGGACGAGUGGACAGAUCGCAGAGGAGAGCAGAGGAGAGAGAGUGUCAGAGUGGUGGGCCCCAGGAGCGGCGCGCGCAAAUUUUAAACCUCUGACGCCGUCGCUUACGUGGAGCCACGUGUCGAUCGCUGAAUGGUCUUACCCUAAGCCUACGCCGUCGCUUACGUGGAGCCACGUGUCGAUCGCUGAAUGGUCUUACCCUAAGCCUACGCGGAGGGUAAGACCCACCCAAUAUUUUCUCGCCCCCCGGGGAUUUAUCAUCAUUGCUCUGAAAAAUGGACAGUAAUCCUUGUACACGCGUAAAGUGACAAUUGACAAGGAAAGGUCUAAGACGCGUGAUGGAUUUGUAUCUCUCCAAAAAUGUCUUACUAUGUACAGUGCAAUCCUAGAUGCUUGUGCCAUAGUGCUUAAUCCUUGAAAUUACGAGCUACAUAAUUCAAAAGCAUCGAUGGAGAUAGAUUUGUAUCUCUCUAGACACGUCUUAUUAUGAUCAGUGAAAUCCUAGAUGCUUGUCCCAUAACGCUUAAUCCUUGAAAUUGCGAGCCAUAUAAUUCAUAAGCAUCUCCGAAUUUAUCAUUAUUGCUCUAAAAUAGGGAUAAAAAUGGUAGGAAUCUCAAAACUUUCAUACAACGCUCGCUUGAGUGCAAAAACUUUUUUUUUUCACUCAAUUGAUUAUCACAAAUUUGAAAAUUCGAUCACUUAAGUGCCCAUUUCGAUUUGUCUCACUGGAAAAUCCAACAUGAAUGUCGGUCAUCCGUCAUGACUUUGUCAGUGAUAAUGUUGACAUUUUUUUAUUUUUAAAAAUGUUUUAUUUUUUUAUUUUUUUGCUUUUUUUGCUUUUUUUCUUUAAGACCGGUGAGGGUCUCCAGCAACCCUCAUCAACUGCGACAUCCUCGCCCUCAGCCACAAAGGCCCUAGGCAAGGCCAUCGGGGCGUCCUCAACUGCUAGCGAGGGCGAUGCCACACAGAGCUAGCAAGGGCCUUUACCUUCUCACUUGCCACCAGCAAGGUCGCAAUGCCCUUGCCUAAAGCCUUCGUGGCCAAAUCUAGGCAAAGGCCACCUCCCUUUGCCAUAAGGCCUUGGGUGAGGGCAUUGCAGCCUCACUGGUCAUUGGCGACGCCAAUCGGAGUAGGUGAGGGCAUCAUGACCUCGCCAACUACAGGCGAGGCCUCAAGGGCCCUUGCUUGCUUUGGAUGGCAUCACCCAUAACCACCCAAAGCUGGUGAGGGCCCUCGUGGCCCUACCAGCAGCUAGCUAGAUGACCCUCACCCAGAUUGGGGGAGGUUUUCAUGGCCGGCGAAGGUUGCUGGUGACCAUCAACCCUAAAGAAAAAAAACAAAAUAAAAAUGAAAUUCAAAAAUUUCACGUAGGAUAAUUUGCCAAAAUUAGCAUUCAAGUGAUCGAUUUUACUUCGAUGUGGCACUCAAGUGAGUAAAAAAAAAGUUUUGACACUCAAAUGAGCGCCAUAUGAAAAUUUCGGCACUUCUAGUUUUCUUGCCAAUCUUAAUUUGACAAUUGGAGCACUUCUUGCCAGAAAUAAGGAUGUUGAUGUAAAAUUAACACCCCGGAUAUUUAGAAGUAUUGAACACAAACCUCAAUCGUUCCUUUUUCGAUAUUUUCUAGCUAGCAAUAGGAUAAGUUAAAUUAAACAAUGCUAAGACAGGUGGCAUGCAUUCACAUUUCAAAUGAAUGCACAUGUGAACUUAAUCUAGAGAUAUUUUCUCUCCAUCAGCUUCGCCCACAGCUACACCAGCAUCUCUCUCUCUCUCUCUGCACAAGCUUUGUCCCAUAAUCAAACCAAGAGUAGUAUUUUCUAAGGAUAAGUGUACUAAAAUUUCUAAAAUUUGUCGAGAAAUGCAAAAGGUGUAAUAAGUUCUUAGAAUUUGUCAAAGUUUUGUAAUCAAGUCUCUUUGUUAGUUCUAUAUAAUUUGAAUAACAGAAAAUCCCAACAUGAUUAUUUUAACUACUUUUGUUAUGACCAAAGCAAAAGCUACGACGAAAUUAAAUUUGAGAAAAUUAAAAAAAAAGAAAAACAUACAAAUUUACAUGGAAACUAUGGGGAAAAAAACUACAGGGAGAAAAGAAGCAAAAUCUACUAUGAAAAUUCAAGCAUUACCAACGGUGGCUUGGAAAACCUUAAGACUCUUUUUAUCACAUUUUUUAAACCUAAUAACUUAGGAAAAGAAUAAUAUUUAUAUUGCUCCAUACGGCAGGACGCAGUCCCCCCACCUCUGCAAAGGAUUAGUGGUGGGCUAGUGGUUUGGGCCUCGACCAACACUAAGCCUCCAUUUGUUUUUCUCAAGUUAGGUAGUCACAAAUUUCAAUUUGAGUAUCAAAACUCAAUUUAAUUCCUGAGAACAAAAUUCAAGACAUGCUCAACAAUUUCUUGAGACACGUGGCGCCCCCUAAGCACCACAUAAAAUAAUGAAAUUUUUGGGAAAAAAAUUAAAGAAAGAAAGAGAGAGCAAAAGUAAAAUAAGAAAAAAAUGAUAAUGUCGAACAAAAUGCUAAUAGUGAGGGGAAAAAGAGAGAGAGAGAAAGCAAGCAAGACCUCCGCUUCUGGUUUCCCAAAGGAACAGUGGUUUCGAUUCUAGCGAGCGAAAGUUGAGAUUAAAGGGAAUGAAUCUAUUUUGAGGGGGACUUUCAACCUUCGCAGAUCGCCUACGGAGACUUCUUGGAUCAAUUUUAAAUAUGAAAGGCUCCACUAUUCUGCCAUGGCUGUGGUAGGAUUGGCCAUGGCCGCCAUAGCUGUACCUUCAUCAUAGAUGCUGCGUCGACGGGGAGGUGCUCUCGAAUUUGCGGGCUGCGUCCAACCUUUUCUACAUCGACCCAUCAGUCGGUUCCAAUUCACAAUUUUGAUAAGGAACACUAAAAGUUUGAAAAAAAACUUCCUACGAUUGCUAUCAUUACGAAAAACCGAAAAAAAAAAAAAUGUGGACGGUCUUGCUACGGCGCCGCCCCCCACACCACACCCCGGGGGGGGGGGGGCGCUGGCGGGGGGCCUGGCGGCGUUUUUUCAACUUUUUGUUCCUUUUUUCUUGAUAUGAUCCUUUUCUAUUCAUUUAAAAAAAUUUAAAUUUUUUCUUUUAUAAUUUUAAUAAAAAAAAGCGUUAGCCAAAUUGAAAUGAGUUGAUGGAAUGACUUAAUUGUAUCAAUUUGACAAAUUUUAUGACUUAAUUGAACUUUUGCAACAAUGGUCACGCAUCAUGUUCAUGAUAAUGCAACCAAAAUUCCCCUGAUUAGGUUUCCACUUAUUAUUAGUCAAUGGCUUGACCCACAAUGAUAUCAUAAAUUAAUAUACAUAUAUCCAAAUACCCUUCAAUGGGCUCACAGAGAUACUCAGCAUAGUCAAUCAACCUCAAUCUCCAGAAUCCACAACCAAAAUAAAAAAACCAUUUCACAAUUCAACUUUAAUAACUACAUCACAACUUUUCACCAUUCGAUAAAUAAAUAUAUAUAGGUAGGUAUAGGCAGUCGUUCCAACUAAAGAGGCAGCAUAAAGAGGGAGGGCUGGUUCAGGAAAGGAGUAGGCCACAAUCAUUUCACAAUUCAGUUUAAUAACCAAAUCACAACUUUUCACUAUUCGAUAUAUAUACAUAUAUAUGUAUAUCAAAGCAGCUCAAAAAUCACAUUCAUAAAUCAUAAACAUUUUCAUUAUUCUUUCAUAGAAGGUUUCACAAACCAUUUACAAGCAAUCGGUUCAAACUAAAGUUGAAGGAUGACUCCCCAUUUCAAACAAACUAAUGAAACGGCAGUAAAUGUUCGAUCCUAUUUUGUGCAACAACAAAUGUUAUUUCUUAAGUUAGAACAUAUAUAAUCCAUAUCAUUUUCCAAACAUAAAAACAUAAAGAAUAAAUAGUAUCACUCAUCUAGGAAAGCCAAAAACCAACUUCGAUGGUUACUACAGCUGAUGCACUUAUUCCUAUUUUCUAUAAUCAUCCAUAUGCAUAAUGUGUGGAUAGCUCCAAGGGCCAAUUUCGAACGAAACACUGUAAUGUUGAUUCCAACGGGAGUAGUCCUCGCACACGACGCCAAAUACUUAUUUGUAAUUAUUAAAGGAAAACCAUUUACAAGUUGAACUAGAAACAGUGUUUUUGUUCCUUUCGCUUUAUCCGUUUUGUCCUUAUCGAAUCUCUGGUCCUAUAAAUUUCUGGCUCAAUCGACCAAACCCUCCGACAAUCAUCAGCAUUUCCGCUCCCUGAUUGAGCAAAUACAUGCACAACAUUUUCAGCACGAUGGCUCUCACCUCCCUCCUCCUCCACCUCCUCCUCCUCCUCUCUUCUCUCCAUGUCAGUAAUUUGUCGAGCUUUCACUCUCCAUGCGUAGCCAACUGCUCAUCUCUCUUUCUGUGUUUCCAUGCAAAGACAGGGCUAUAUGUUUAAUUCGAUAUCUCGCGCUUAAUUAGUAUAUACUCCUUACCUAAGAAUUGCUGAAAGAUUUUUGCGGCCAGUUACUCCAUUAGCAAUCACUUCUCAUCCAAUAUUUGUCAACCCAAUCUCUCUAUCCUGGUUUACAGUGCUUAGGUUAUCGGACCAACUGGGGAGCCCAGGCUUCAUAAGAAUUUAUUUACGCAUGCAAGAAACUAAACAUGUUAGUUUGUAUCAAAAUAAACCUAAAAAUAUUAUAUAUAUCUUCAUACCAAAAAGAAUAUUUUAUAUAAUAUAUAUUAGUAUAUAUAUAUAUAUAUAUAUAUAUAUAUCAUUUGGGUUAUCUUAAUGCAUGUCAGUAGAUCAAUUGUGUUUAUGUGUUCUUCAGGCUAACAAAGAAAUGUGAACGAAACGUAGAUAAUCAGGUCAACAUAUAAUACUUUGAUAAUAUGAAAGCAUGUAAGUUGCAAAAGUCAUUUUAAGUGAUUGAGCAUGACGUUACUACUUUAGACACAUGCAUCAGAGAGCAUACGUUAAUGAUUGUUAGGAAUAAAUUGUUGGGUCAUCUGUGUUCAUUGUGAAGAUAAUUUCAAUCAUGUUAUUAUGCAGUUCUAAUUUCGUGUUACGUGACUUGUACUUUUUUGCACGUUCAUUACAAUUUUCCAUAUGCCUAUUUUACUUCUAUAAUUAUGUCAUUGCACAAUUACAAUUACUUAAGUCCAUGAUGUCCAUUCUAACCGUGAUUACAUAAACUUCUAGCUCACAGUCACUCUUUGAUUUUCUUUUGUGGAUUGUCCUGCCAUAGGUCCUGACUGCCGUCGCUAGAGCUGCUCCCGAGGGGGACUCCCUCGACGGCGAGGCUAACUCGAUCUCUCCCAAAGCAUACCUUGUCCAUUACUGGAACAAGCAAAUCACCAACAACCUUCCCAAGCCACCAAUCCUCUUCUCCAAAGCGUCAACCCUGACGGCCACGUCAGUGACCAUCUUCGCCGAACUUGUCGCCAAAGGCGCCAUCUCUGACCACCUCCUAUCUUUCUGCGAGGAGGCGCAAUUGCUCUGCUUCAUGAACUCUGAUGGGGUCGCAGCGGCAAACUCGCUCGUCAACUACCCCAUCCCCCCACCUGUCCGCCGCCUCACUUAUACCCAUGGUGUCGAUACAAUUGUGGCAGCUGAUGACAAGAAAGUAAAUGGGGGCGUGGAGCAGGGCGAGUUCUUUCGAGAGUCGAUGCUGAAGAGCGGGAAUGUGAUGCCAAUGCCCGACCUCCGGGAUAACUUGCCAAAAAGGUCAUUUUUGCCUCGCCGCAUUUCCUCCGAACUGCCGUUCUCAACCUCAAAGCUCGCUGAGCUGAAGCAAAUCUUCCAUGCCAUUGAAAAUUCCACUAUGGAGAAGAUCAUGGCGCAAACGCUAAGCCAGUGGGAGGGUGCAGCACUCCAAGACGAAAUCAAGAGGUGUGUGGCCUCCAUCGAGGACAUGAUCGAUUUCGCCACCUCGGUUUUGGGUCAUGACGUCUUGGUCCGAUCCACGGGGAGCGCCAGAGGGUCGAAGCAGGAGGUCUUGAUCGGGGUGGUCAAGAGGAUCGAGGGCAGCGAAGUGAGCAAGCCCGUGGCCUGUCACCAGAGUCUAUUUCCUUACGUUGUCUAUUACUGCCAUACAUUUUCAAACGUCCGGGUUUACGAAGCAGACAUACUAGAUCCCAAAUCCAAGGCUAAGAUCAAUCACGGUGUCGCCAUCUGUCAUAUGGACACAUCAACUUGGAGCCCUACCCACGAGUCAUUCCUCUUGCUUGGAUCGGGUCCUGGCCAGAUCGAGGUCUGCCAUUGGAUAUAUGAGAAUGAAAUAUUAUUGGAUAUAUGAGAAUGAAAUAUUAUGGACAACUGCCAAGUCAUAAUGAAAGAAUAAAGUGUGGUGAAGAUGGAAUAAACAUGGGUUCGGCCUGUUGAUCAAGACAGAACUUAGCCUCUAGCUAGCUCCAUACGAAGUCCUCUCUCGCUUUGCAUUACAAUCUAAAUAUAGUAUCUGAAUCUGAUAUCCAUAAUGACGUGUUUGUGGUUGGUGAGAGACUAUUGUUAUGGUCAGUAAAUGGCAAGUGCUUUUUUUGUGAUUUGAGUACAUGUUCAAGUCUUUUUGCAUUCUCCUGUCCUUUGUAUUUAGAGAUCUUCCUAGCUCCUAUCUCUCAAUCUGCGUUACUAUCUUCGAGAAUUUCCAUCAACUUUCAACGAGGACCAAUAACUAUUUUCACAGGAGAAGUACACUAUCAGUGCCAUAAGUUGUGUACGGCGCUCACUUUGGUGCCAAAAAUUUUCGUCAGAUCACUUAAAUGCCAAAAAGUUUGAAAAAUGAUCAUUUUGGUGCCAACUUCGAUCAGAUUGACCGGAAAUCCGAUGUGGCACUUUUUUAUUAAUUUUUUACGCUGAUGUAGCUUGCCGGAGAGUACAGUCAGCAUGUAAACCACAAAAACGACGUCGUUUGAUGUCUCUCCCCCAAUUUAAAACCCUAAACCCUAAAUCUGCUGGAUAAUCUUGGCUACUGCCGCCCUCUUCGUCCUCUUCUCCUCCCUUGCCGUCCUCUCUGCCGCCGCCCAUGGCACCGCCAAGCACCACCACCUCCUCCACUACCUCAACGAGUUCGGCGACUGUAGCAAGCAAGUCACUGUCGACCCCUCCGCCUCCUUCGAGAACCCGUGCCUUCGUAAUGCCUACGUCGCCCUCCAUGCCCUAAAGCAAGCCAUCCUCUCCAACCCCAACAACUUCACCGCCAACUGGGUCGGCCCCGACAUCGGCAGCUACUCUAACGUCUUCUGCUCCCCCGCCCCCAACAAACCCGGCGUCCACACUGUCGCUGGCGUCAAUGGUUUUCCCUCCUCCUCCCCCUUCAACCACCCACAUCCCUCGCCUCUGCCUCCAUUGGUGAUGGGCCAGUCGCCAUCCUUGACGGCCCUCGUGCUCGGCGGCCGCGGCUCCGACCCCGACCCUGACCCCAACCUUGACUUGGCCACUUGGCGGCCAAGUUGAAGGCCGUGAUCUUGCUCAAGUGCAAACCUCACGUCGCCAAGCGACGGCGGCUGAGCAAGCUAGGUCGACAGCCGAGCGACGGCGGCCGAGCCAGCUAGGUCAGCGGCCAAUGAGGAUCGGAAAACCUAAUUUCAAUCUCCAAAUAAAAUAUAAAAAAAAUCCCAAAAUGAGUUGUGUGGCGUCAUUUUUGUGAGACCAUCCACUUAGAACGGCAAAACGAUGUCAUUUUCUUAAAGAGGACGGAAAACGACGUGGUUUCUCAAGCCAUGUCGAUUUUUUUUUUUUUUAAAUAUAAAAGCCACAUCAUCAUUUUGGCCGGAAUCUCUCGCCGGUGACACCAAAGUAAUCAUUUUUUCUCUGAUUUGGCACUUAAGUGAUCCGAUUAAAACUUUUGGCACCAAAGUGAGCGCCGUACACAACUUAUGUCACUGAUAAUGUACUUCUCCCCUAUUUUCAUGAAACUAUUAUUCUAUAAACUGGGGACAGAUAAGAAUGCAGUGUUUUUCGAUAAAAGAAAGUGGCCCAGUGGUCGGAGGUCCCAACGUGAUUGUUUUUAUACACUUGACAUUGAAGAGCAAGAGUUGCCUGGUUCAAUCUUGAAGUGGCACCUCUCACUUUUUUUUUCCUUUGAAUUUUGCUUUUAAACUUUUCUGCAUUUAUCUUUUGCUUGCACUUUCAAGGUCACAUAAACUAUAUGUCAUCAGAUCAUUGCUUUCUUUUUCUUUUAUUUUUUUAUUUUAGCUUUUUUUAAGCGUUUGUCAUUGGAACAAGAUGAUUCAAUAAGAACCCAUAAUAUGAGAUUAGACUUCUAAAAUCCUGAAAACUUCACAUGAAUGAUUCUCAUACAAUAAAAAUGUAAAAACUAAAUCUACUUAUGUUUCGCUGGAAUUACUCUUACAACGAAAUAUCUUUCAUUGAAAGUCGUGCUUCAAUUUUAUUAAGGGGGACAAGGGUUAUGUGUCAACUCCAGAGAGGGGAUAUCUUAUGCCUAAAGGAAUUGAACUUCUUUGAUCCAAACAACACUAUACAAUCUUAGACUAAGUCGGAAUUUAAUCAACAACAAGGCCAAAAAUAAAAUAAAAUUACAAGACUAGUGUCAAACUAUGCCGGAAUAUAACCAACGACACAAGUUAAGGAUGGUAAGAUGUAGAAUUGGAAUUCAAUCAAUGACAACGUACCAGGAUAGUAAGAUACAGCGAUGGAAUUUAAUCGACCAAGAAUCAAAUCGACCACGGGAAUCUAAAAGUUAUAGCUAAUGAAAUUAAAGUGCAAUACAGAAAAAGUAAAGAUAGAAAGAUGACAUUUUGAUAAAUUUGUCGAUGGCUUCUUGUUGGAUGACUAGUGGUAUUUAUAGUGAAUGUAUGAUAACCGUUUUGUAGCUGCAUCUUCUCUAGUAAUUGCUAUUGGCUUUAACCAUGAUCCUUUAUUCUUGUAGAUCACUUUGCCCAUACUUCAUAUAACCGUCCUGUUUGUGUUUUGAGGAUUAUGCAAUUAUCAAUGCCAUUCUAUGACUGGGGCUCCAAAUAGCAAUGGUUUUUUUUUUUUUUUUGACGACGUGCGUUUUUUAUGCUAACUACCUUAGCACCUUGAGUAAUAUUCAAAGAGAAAAAGUUGUCGCCAAAGUUUAUACGGGCAGCUACCAAUCGUCCAUUGUCAUAUUUCAAUAAUUGGACACGUGGCAUUUUUUUUUAUCUCAUCGUCGAUAUCACUGGAUAGCUGCCCCUACUCUUGUUGAUAGUCCGGCAUACAUCAAACAUCAUUGUGCACAUGACUAUAACUUAUUUCUGUCUCAAUGUUUUGUAUUUUUCACCCUGCAGCAGGGACGAGCCAACCGGAUCAAUUAUGAAUGUCAACAACCUCAUAAAAUAAUGACACUCCUAAUAUGGUAGAGAGGGUUUUCUUAUUCGUGUGGAGUAACAUAGAUAAUUUGCAAUAUUCCUAAAGUGCUACGGCCGAGGUAAAUCUCAACUUUAAUAUCAGCUAUGUAGUUCACAAUUUCAUGAAAGAUCAUGUAUUCAUGAGAGGACAUGUAACAUUUUCUUUGAAGAUAAAUAUUCAUUAUUGUGUAUUUCCUUGUUUAUAUAAAGUGACGCAAUUUGUCAUGCGAUUGAUAAAUUUCUUUGUUUGUAACUAUACUUUUAUCUUUUAACACUCUUAGCCCAUGAACCUGCAUCGCUGAAUGGCCACUUCUGAUGUAUUCGUUUCUUGGAUGAGCAUUUGUCUGGCUUGGCAGUGAUCGACCCAUGUGGCCACAAUGAAUAGUGGAAGCAAAAUUGGUGAACAGAAUUUAAAGAAAAGAGUCGAGUCCAAUUGAAGAAAUCGUACAAAACCGGGGUGGGACCGUGCAUCGAUAAAUCCAGGUUCUUUCUACAUAUUCUGUCGUUGGGCUGCAAGAGAGAUCAUUGAGAAUGCGUAUAAAUAAAGUUCCUAUUAUCUUUUAUAUGCCAAAGGUACGAGCGUAGUCACUCAGUUACUUGAAGGUUCAUGAAAUACUCUACAAGUCUCACAAAUCCUUUGAGCCCUAGUUUUGUAAUUGUUGGCAGGUUUGGAUAAAAGUUCUGAGGCUUUGAUUGAGAAGUCAUGGAAAAUCGGGUGGAUAGGCUAUUUGCAUAUGGAGUAAAAAUCAGCUCAGGGUUCUUCAUGGGAUCCAAGAACCACAUAGAGAGAUAUAUACUAUUAUAUGGUAUUUUUUCCCCCAAAAAAAUCAUAUGAUAGAAAAUGCGGGUAUACGUGUUCUCCGAUGUAGUUUCAUUUUGUAAAUGAACCAGUUAGUCGUUUCUUUUCCUAAUCCCUGGAAAGAAAGCACAAAUCCUAGAGAUUUCAUUUAUCUCUAGUAGAAGUGAUUGUAAUUAGGUUUACUCAUAAUGGCAUCUAAUUACUUUAACCCUAGUUCUAGAUUAGCUAGCCAAUUACACAGUUUCUCUACUGGAGUACAUGCCCAUAUAUAGAAAAUCAAAGUUUUGAUCUUAAAAAUUUAUCAGAUCACUGUACAACUUGAUUACUUAACCGAGAGCUGUCCAAUCUGAGGAACAGAUGGAUGCCGUUUCAUUGUUUAAUAGUAUUAUUACAAAAAAACUUGUCCUUUUGCGAAAUUGGCAUUUUGCAUUAAGCCAGUUGUUUUUCAUUACCAAGACCUACCAUGUCUGAAGCAUAGAUGACUGCUUUUCUUUAAUGGCGUUUUAAUCAAGUAGAUUAAUAUGACUUACUACCUAAAUAGUUUUUGUUUGUAGCUAAUUCUGAGGUGUUUGUUCUUAUUCUCUUCCAUCCUUUCAUCAAUCUCAUGGGCUUUUUUCCCAUCACCUUCCUUUGUUUCGUGCUCAAACGCAAGACUGAUGGCAAGUGCAUCUUCAAUCGAUAGAAUCUUUUAAGAGGAAAUUCUAUACAAAUCUAACUUUCAUUUACACUUUCCCUUCAAAAUGUGAAACAUAUGUAUUUCUUUUGGGUGAUAUCCAUAAAUGUAACUUACCCAUCAGAAGAUUGAGCCGGAAGAAAUCAUGACACUUUUUUAUAACAAACGAGUUAAGGAAUUGCUUAAGUGAUAACCAUAAUUAUAUACCUCACUCGAGCUUUGGGUUCAAAUCACUGCACUUAUGCAAGUACAGGCCUAGGUGUCAACAAUAAUUACUCGAUCUGUGCAAAAUUAGAAAACUGUCACAACUAGUAAAGAUUAGAUGAUUUCUCAAAUUAGGAAACUGUCACAACUAGUAAAGAUUAGAUGAUUUCUCAAAAAGUCACAAUUACCCCAUUAUCAUUAGAAAAAAAAAAACCGACUAUUAAUUUAUGCGACAGCAAUGAGACGAAUUAUGUGUGUGUGUGUGUGUGUGUGUGUGUGUGUGAGAUAAUCAAACAGAAGGCAGAGAAUAUUCGAUAUGAUACUUAUUAAUUGCAAGUUAUAUUAAAAAAAUUUAAUUAAAUUUUUUUUUUCGCUUGACAGAGAACAUUUGAUAUGAAAGUUUAGUUAACUACAGGUUGCACCUGUAAGGUGCAAAAUUGGUGGUUAAGAGUCCCAACUUGAUAGUUUGUGUUAUAAAGUUACAACAAAAAACUUACAAAACUAAUAGGUAUGGACACACAUUUGCGAUAGGGAUAACUCAGCCUCCGUCCCAGCCUAACAAGCUCUCACUACCAUUGAAUCUGUCAAUUGACUAAUGGAGCAGAUUGGAGCCUUCUGAUCGGUCCAAUCAUAUGAUUGGGAAAUCUCUAUGUUUAUAGCUAUACUUUUACCUUUUACUGGCUUUCUCCAAAAAUUUUAUUACGUAUGGAAUAACAAACGGCCUAUAAUUAUUUGAAAUUGCUGCGGAAACGGACGGGAUCUUUCUAGCAUGACCUUACUACGAAGACUUUGUUGUGGGCUAAUAUUAGAGCAGCCCUUGGGCCUGCAUCGCUUGUGAAUGGCACUAACGAUGUACUCGUUUCUUGCAUGAGCAAUUUUCUGGCUCAGCAGUGAUCGACCCAUGUGUCCUGGAUGAAUAGUAGAAGCAAAAUUGACAUUGGCGAAGAGGGUCAACAGAGAAGAUGUCCAGUCCGAUUGAAGAUAUCAUACGCAUCCGGGGUAGACCCGCCUUUGUCCAUGUGAUCCCAAACUUUGUGGACUGUGCAUCGAUAAAUCCAGGGUCUUUUGAUGUAUACUGUCGUUGGGAUGCAAGAGAGAUCAUUGAGAACACAUGGGCACCAAAGUCACUAAAUUUACAAGCCAACGGCAUGAGAGUAGAGGCUUGGUUACCUGGAAGCCUAUAAAAACCCUGCAAGCCUCAUGAAUAGUCCAAGUGGUCUGCGCAGGUGGUUCUGACUAGAGCAGCUUGUACACGGUUAUUGGAAUUCGAACAAAUGAACUCCAAUUUCUGACUUACCAAUUUCUAGAUUUGCAAUAGGCAAAUUGUUUAAACAUCUUCGUGGAAAAUAAAUAUUUUCCAUUUAUUAAGUUAAGUGAAAGCGAUAAUUUUACAAAAAAUAUUUUUCAAAUCAUUCAUUUUCUAUCAAACAAACAAAGCCUAGGUAUAACGGUGAAUAUGAACAUCUUUAUGCGUAAAUGUUAAAUCCACGAGUUUGCCAAGGUGGAUUUAUAGCUGAUAUGAAAAUGCAACUUCAGGCAUGUUGGAAGGAGGGUUAGCGUUAGGGGAAAUUUGGGGCUUGAAUUAAAGUUUGGGAUUUUCUUAGAUAAAAAGUUCGGGGUUUUUUUAGAGUAUUGAAUCAAUCAAAAGUGACCAAAUUUUGAUUAUUAUCGAUGAGAACAAAGUUUGGUUAAAACAAAAAUUAUCAAUAAACUGAACAGUAAACGAAUUGAAAAAAUUGGAUAACUUACCGAUAGAGUUAUCAAUAGAAAAUUAUGCAUAGAUUAUCGCUGAGAUCCUUCACUAUAGACAAAUUGAAGGAGAUCGAUAAGCCAUCAACAACAAAUAAUUACCACAAGUAAUCGCAAAUUUCCAGUGAAAUAUUGAGGCUGUGUAAUUCAUGACCAAAACAGAGGUUUGCCACGAAUACAUCAAUAGGCAAAUACGGUGGAUUCACACCAACACUUGAUCAUUAGGUGGUUAUGCCUAUAACCAUGGAAUUUAUGACUUCUUCUGGAUAAUCACUAUUGAAUGAUAGAGGAUAAUGUUUAGUCUCAUAAAGCAUAUGUAGUACUUUAGCUUUAGCUGGUACGUCCAUGAUGGGGUGCGAACAGAACGCACUGUUUCGUCUUGAUGCGUUACGAUGGAAAGUCACUAAUGGAGGGGUACGAAGGGAGACGUAUAAAAUCCUCCCGAACACAACCGUUGGAAUGGUUGGCCAUUCAUUCGCACCAAAUUUUCUCUGCAUUUCCAUUAAAGAAGAUCAAGGCAUUCCAUUUCAUCUUUGCAAGAACAAUCGGCAUUUACGCCGUGGAAAUCGGGUGUUUUCCUCGUGAUUGCAUCCAGACUAACGUGAGGUAGUGUUGUUCGUGAUUUCGUUGGCAAUUCAACGUUCGUUCCGGGGCUAUUUGCUGUUUGCACAUCGGAAUCAGGUAAGUCGUCUUCCGCCGACUUAAAUUCCAACAUUGGUAUCAGAGCCCGAUCGUGAUUUCUGCCUUGUUUUUCAUCGAGUUUUCACAUUUACCAUUUGAUAUUGAGAUCAAGAGAUAGUAUUCUACACUGUUUGGAUCUCUGAUAGUCGGAAUUGCCCUAUGAAAAACUCGAAAUUGAACCGGAGCGAAGAACGGGUUCGAGGUCGUGUGCACCCGUGAGGUUUUGGCCAUUUUUUGAAAUAAUUUUUUGAUCAAAAUUAAUUUUUGAAUAUACCGGGUGAAAGAGCUCGUCGAGACGAGUCCGGCGGUGGGUCGAGCGCCGCCAGGCGACGCCGGACGCGCCCACACGCGCGGCCAGAAGCCGUUGCGCAUGGGCGCCACGCGCCUGAAGCGCUGGCACAGCCAGCGCGUCCGCCACACGCGCUGGUUAGCGAACCGGCACGUGCGGACGCGCGCCAGCCGGCGAACCGGCGCGUGAUGACGUCACCAUGACGUCACCCAACGGUCGGUAACUACUGGGAUGACGUCAUCAAUGACGUCAGCGCCAACGACAGUUGGCCGGCCGGCGACCCGACCCGACCCGACCUGACCCGACCCGACCGUUGACCGGUCAACGGCCGGACCGGUCGGACCGGCCAGGAGCCGUUUGGCUCGCUGGCGCGUGCGCCGCACACUCAGGCGGCGCAUGGGGGUGCGUGCGAGCUCCGAUUGGAGCGUGGUCGGUCGUGUUUGGUUUGUAUGAGUGUCCUCUACACAGUGGUAUAAUUAUUUUAUACUUUUGAAUUUUAUAAAUGCAUGAAAAUGCGUAGGAAACCCUAUGUACGCGUAUUUUUGGGGUUUUAAUGCAGCUUAUUCAUUUGUAGCUUGUAUUUUCUUGUGAUUAGGGAAAUACAGUAGCUAGCCUGUGUGCAAAUGAUGUUAUAUAUGUUGUGUAGAGCUUGGUUCAAUGAUAUGAUGUAUAUAUUUUAAUAUACUUGCAAUUUUCUAGUUGCUAGAAAAUUAGAACAAUGGUAGGAAAUCCAUUACAUGUUGAAUUGCAAUUUUAAUUAUAGUUGAAGCAUGAUUGUUGUUUAUACGUUGGUUAUUAUCAUGCUAUGUUUUUUGUGUUAAGGAAAAAUGUAGAAAUUACAUAAGGUCAUGUAAUUAUUUUUCCUAGUGGGAGUUCGUAAGUUGGUAGAAUUGAAAGAAGUUCUCACCUAGAACUCAAAAUUUGUGCAAAUUAAACUAAUUAAUGAUAAUAGAACAUUUGUACAUAGAAGUUGAUUGGGAACAUAGUGAACUUUUGCCUCUGUGUCUUUUGUUGAAUUAUCAUUAAUUUAGUUUGUCUUUGCUGCAAAUUAAAUAUGUGUGUUACUCUGUAUAGUGUGCUAGUAUUGAUUUUGCGUUUAUUAUGUCAAUGUGUUAUAGCAAUGGCAUCGGCAUCCAAGACUAUUGUGGCUAACCUCAAUAAGGGUGAGAAGCUGAACGGUGACAAUUAUGAUAUUUGGCACCGAAAGGUUCAGUACAUCCUUGAGGAGCAAGAGGUUUUGGAAACCCUCAACCAUACCAUGGAUGAACCUGAGUAUGGAACUUCAGCUUAACACAGGAGAGAUCUGGAAGCUUCUCAAGCUUGGAAAAAGAAAAAUAGCAUUGCUCGCAUCACGUUGCUGAGCUGUAUGCAAGAUGAUCUCAUCUGUGAGUUUGAGAGUUAUGACAAAGCUCAAGCUAUGUGGGUUGCCUUGAAAGAUAAGUUUGGGGGUACAUCUGCUACUAAGCUGAGGAGACUUACCAUCAAGUUUGACACAUUUCGAAAGCGCCCAAAUGUAAUGAUGAGGCAGCAUCUUCGGGAGAUGUCAAACAUGAUCCGUGAGCUGAAGUCGGCAAGUCACUCCCUUACUGAUGAACAGUAAGUUCAGGCUGUUAUAAGGUCUCUUCCUGAUAAUUGGGAGCAUAUGAAGAUCAAUAUGACGCAUAAUGAGAAUAUUGUCACUUUUGAUGAUAUUGCGCGUCAUUUGGAAUUAGAGGAUGAGCGCCUAGAGGCUGCAAGAUCCUCUACCCAUGCUUAUGUUGCUGAAUCGAGUUCGCGCAAGGCUUCAGGCUUCAAGCGCAAGAGGAAUCUUCAGUUCAACAACAAAGGGAAGAUGACUGAUCAGGGACCCAAGAGGGCUAAGACCUUCCGACGCAAGAAGCGUGGUGGGAAGAAGGACAAGGCCAAAAUGGAGUGCCACAAUUGUGGCAAGAUGGGUCACUUUGCUCGUGAAUGCACUGAGCCGAAAAAGGUACCCUAUUACUCCAUUACUUUGAGUAAUGCUUUUGUUUCUAGUACUGUAAUGCUUACUGAAUCUCAUCCAAUGUUGACUGUAGACUCAGGAGCAACAGACCAUGUAGCUAGAGACCGAGAAGCAUUUGUGGAGUAUCGUCGGAUACUGUCUGGAAGAAGAUGGAUAUAUGUUGGGAAUAAUUCAAGAGUUGAAGUGAAGGGUAUCGGCACAUGUAAAUUAAUCUUACGUGGUGGUCGAAACCUGUUCCUGCAUGAUGUCUUUUAUGCUCCAGAUAUUCGACGAAACUUGGUCUCUGUAGUUGUUCUUCUUAGCUUAGGUUAUGUAUUGAAUUUCCAUGGUGAUUGUGUUGACAUUUUGUAUGGAACAGUUUAUUAUUAUUCAGGUCAUGUAUCGAAUGGUUUUAUGGUGUUAGACAUUGACUAUGAUUAGUACAAUGUUAAUGUUGAUGGUUGUUUUUCUUUAAUUGCGUCUUCUAACAAUGUUGAGAUUGAUGCAAGUACUUGGUAUGCUAGAUUAGGUCACAUUGGAUUGCAAAGAAUGCAAAGAUUAGCUAGAGAAGGCCUUUUAGGGUCACUCACUAAUGUUAGUCUAUCCGUAUGUGAACAUUGUUUGGCGGGAAAAACAACUAGAAAACCAUUCGGUAAAGGGACUAGAGCUGAAUUUCCAUUGCAUCUCAUACAUUCUGACAUUUGUGGUCCUUUGAAUGUGAGGGCGAGGCAUGGAGCCUCAUAUUUCAUCACUUUCAUAGAUGACUUCACACGUUUCGGUUAUGUCUUUCUGAUCUCCCAUAAGUCAGAAGUAUUGGACUGCUUUAGACGACAUAUAGCGAUGGUAGAGAAUCAGUUGAACAAAAUAAUAAAGGCAUUGAGAACCAAUCGUUGACGUGAGUAUCUAUCAGAGCAAUUCAAGGCUCUUUGUGAUGAAAAGGGAAUUGUAAAACAAUUGACUAUUCCUGGUACCCCACAACAAAAUGGGGGUAGCUGAGAGAAGGAAUAUAACCCUAUUGGAAAUAGUUAGGUCUAUGAUGGCGCAAGCAAAUCUACCUAUCUCCUAUUGGGGAGAUGCGUUAUUGACUGCUGCCUAUAUACUUAACCGUGUGCCCUCAAAAUCGGUCACUUCCAUCCCUUAUGAAUUAUGGACUGGUAGGAAACCAGACUUGAGUAGUCUACGUCCAUGGGGAUGUGCAGCUUAUGUUCAUGAUUCUUCCCAUAAACAUGGAAAAUUAUGUCCUAAAGGGAAGAAAUGUAUCUUUAUAAGAUAUUCCGAACACUCCAAAGGGUACGUGUUCAUGGGUGAACAAGCUGAUGGAAGUGUGACCAAAAUGGAGUCACGAGAUGUCACGUUCUUGGAGAACGAUUUUCCUAAUAGAGGUGAGAUUGAUAAGGACUUCCAAUUAUAUGAGAUGGAAGAUCCUAAUAACACACCCACUGAUGUUGUAGAGGGAAAUGUAGAUUUACCUCAACAUACAAGACCUAGUGGGAGUGUUGCAUCGCCUGAUGAAUUGAAUUCAAGAGAAAUUCAAUUGCGUAAAAGUGAUCGUAAAAGUAUUCUUCGUCGUCGUUUUGAGAUUGAAGGGGAAGCAUUUAUGAUUGCUCAAAAAGACGAUGCCGAGCCUAAGACUGUUCAAGAGGCUCUCUCAUCCUCUGACAAGGAAGAAUGGAGAAAAGCUUUUGAAGAUGAGAUGGAGUCAAUGAGGGCAAACCAUGUUUGGGACUUGGUUGAUAUACCACCCAAUCGUAAGGCCAUUGGAAACAAAUGGGUCUUCAAGAUUAAGCGUAGGGCGGAUGGAUCCAUUGAAAAGUAUAAGGCUCGCCUUGUGGCAAAAGGUUAUACUCAACAAGAGGGUAUAGACUAUGAGGAAACUUUUUCACCAGUUGUAAGGUUUGCCUCAAUACGCCUUAUUCUAGCCAUCGUUGCACAUUUGGAUAUUGAAUUACAUCAAAUGGAUGUAAAGACAGCAUUUCUCAAUGGAGAAUUAGAUGAGGAAAUCUAUAUGAAACAACCAAUAGGUUUCAUAGCUAAAGGUCAAGAGCAUAAAGUUUGCAAGCUUCAUCGCUCAAUAUAUGGCCUUAAGCAAUCAUCUAGACAGUGGUAUUUUCGUUUUCAUCGAGCAAUAAUAACUUUUGGUUUCACGAUGAUCGAAGAAGAUCACUGUGUAUAUGUCAAGCGGUCCAAAGAUAAAUUUGUGAUUUUAUCACUUUAUGUGGACGAUAUUCUGCUGGCUGGAAAUGACAAGGUUUUGGUUAUCACCAUAAAAGAAUGGUUGUCCUCCAAUUUUGAGAUGAAGGACAUGGGAGAAGCUGCUUAUAUAUUAGGAGUUAAGAUCGAAAGAGAUCGAUCAAGGAAACUCCUUACUUUAUCACAAGAGUCUUAUAUUAUGAAGAUUCUUGAGCGUUUCAAUAUGCAGCAUUGUAAUCCCAUUGAUACCCCUGUCAUGCAAGGUGAAGGCCUAAGUACUGAGAUGUGUCCUAAGACUCCAGAAGAAAUCAAAGUGAUGGAAACUGUUCCUUAUGCUAGUGCGGUCGGAAGUUUGAUGUAUGCUAUGAUGUGUACUCGACCCGACAUAUGCUAUGCCGUGGGAUUGGUGAGCCGAUAUCAAUCAAAUCUCGGUCAAGCACACUAGAAAGCAAUGAAGAGGAUCCUGAGAUACUUGAAGGGCACCAAGGACUAUCGACUUUGUUACUAAGGGAAUGAUUUACGCCUAUUAGGUUAUUCAGAUGCCGAUUGGGGUGGAGACCUGGAUGAGCGUAAAUUGACUUCUGGAUAUGCAUUCUUGCUCAAUGGAGGUGCAAUUUCUUGGAAUAGCAAGAAACAGACAUGCACGGCCUUGUCUACGAUGGAGGCAGAAUUGAUUGCAUGUUAUGCCGCAAUGCAAGAAGCAGUAUGGCUAAAACGUUUCUUGGAAAAUUUAGCCACUGUCACUGAAGUUCCAAGACCGGUGACGGUUUAUUGCGAUAGUCAAGCAGCCAUUGCCCAUGUGAAAGAUCCCAAGUAUCAUGGAAGGACAAAGCACAUUGACAUAAAGAAUAACUUCAUCAGAAUUAUUAUAGCGCAGAAAGAAGUGAUCCUGCAAUACAUUUCAACCAAUAGAAUGGUUGUUGAUCCAUUUACGAAGGCUAUUCCUAGAGACAUGUUCUUGACCCAUAGGAUGUCACUAGGAUUGCGUAGAAUGUGAUAUCUGUUAUUGUAGAGGAUAAUUAGUUUAUGUAUUUGUGGACAGAUGUAUUGUACUUGUUUGUUUAUUAGUGAUUUGAUGUUUUAUCAAUAAGUACAAAUCCACUAUGAGACUAGCACAAACACACAUAUAUUAUUGAAAAGUAUGUCAGCAGGCAAUGAUUGGCUCACUCACACGAGCAAUCGCCUCAAGUGCUGUAGUUAGCAUGUUGAGAUGAGACGUUAUGUACAAAUAAAUGCUGAAGAGCAAGUUUGGUACAUAAAAUAUGUCGCCUUGAUUGGAGUCAAGAUGAGGUCUGUGAUUGGUUUAUAACAAGACCGAACAUGAUAGUCCCACAAUCAUGUAUGCCUGAAAGAUGCCGGAUGCGAGUACUUAAUUGGGCGCUAUAGAAAGCGAGCUGAUAUAGCACUCGGGCUAAACAUGAGUACGUGAGAAGCACGUGACUAUGUUUAGGCUAAGAUCUGUAUGGUGGAUAUAUUUGAUAAAUGACAUACGCUCUUAUAGAAAGAGUAAUCCACUAUAGCAUGUAAUUCAUACUACAUGUGCAUUAUACGACCAACAAGGGAAGGUGAGUAAAAUUAUCCCUAUUUACUCAUAGUGUGAGUCCUUGAGGUAAUUUAUAAUUUACCUCAACUUUGUGCCCUAUGUUACUUCUGACUAUGUUCUCGAAGUGAAAAAUCAGUGUUGCUACUUUAGCAUGUUACGGGCGGACAUGAAUAGAUAUGACCUAUGGGACAUGUCUAGGAAAGCAGUUGUUCUGAAAUUGAGAGAGACAUGAGUGCGAAGGAAGACUAUUGUUGUUUUACAUCUAUCACAUGUAUUUACUGGUCGACCAAUUAUAUCGCCCUUUGUGGUUGCGGAUGUAAUUGUAAAUACAUGGUGUUUUUUUUUAGAAUAGUAAAGUAUAGCCUUUAAGGGAUAGGUAUACUUGGACUGAUGUAACAAAAUAUGUCUGGGGCACUGUGAGACAUCCAUUGUUUAUUUCUUUUCGGGGUUGUAGCCAUUAUGUUAUCCCUAACAGGUGCAUAAUUUGAGCUCCCAAGUGCAGGUGUACUCACUGGUCGCACGGCUUAUUUGCCAGUAUAAAUUGUUUUGUAAAGUUGAUGAAUGUUGAAUGCCUUAUAUUCUUGAUAGAGCGCUAUCAAACCCAUCAUGUCCGAGUGGGAGAUGUAGUACUUUAGCUUUAGCUGGUACGUCCAUGAUGGGGUGCAAACGGAACGCACCGUUUCGUCUUGAUGCGUUACGAUGGAAAGUCACUAAUGGAGGGGUACGAAGGGAGACGUAUAAAAUCCUCCCGAACACAACCGUUGGAAUGGUUGGCCAUUCAUUCGCACCAAAUUUUUUCUCCAUUUUCAUUAAAGAAGAUCAAGGCGUUCCAUUUCAUCUUUGCAAGAACAAUCGGCAUUUAUGCCGUGGAAAUCGGGUGUUUUCCUCGUGAUUGCAUCCAUACUAACGUGAGGUAGUGUUGUUUGUGAUUUCGUCGGCAAUUCAACGUUCGUUCCGGGGCUAUUUGCUGUUUGCGCAUCGGAAUCAGGUAAGUCGUCUUCCGCCGACUUGAAUUCCAACAGCAUAAUUGCUCACCAAUAAUUGUAAAGAGUGCUAGGAAAUUAUUCGUGGAUUCAAAUCAAUAACUGCUUGUAAAAACUGCCCCAUGGUAAGAGAUAAAAGCCCCAUGUUAUAAUCAUUGUAAACAAAAUCAAUCAACACCUAAUUUUCUAUUCUUAUGCACAUUUAAUUUCUUCUUUAAUUUUCCAGCAAAUGCACCGUUUUAGUAUCUUCAUAUAUUCGUCCCUUUAAUGAUUCUCGCAACUUUUAAUUUCCGAUACUUGCACUGCAAUUUCUUUACUUCUAUAGUCAUUUACAUUCUUGUCUAGAACCAACAAAGAAUCUAUUUUCUUCAAUAUUCAUCGAUCCGAUUCAUCUAUUGAUAUUUACACUUUUUGGUGAAACACUAGCCUCAUUGUUUGCACUAGUGAAUGUUUGGAGUUGAACUCGUGUCAAGCAUUCUAAUUAUUCCACAAACAUGUGUUACUUUUUAUAUCACUAAAUCAACUCUAAUGGAUUUUGAUGUUAUAACUUCCAAACGAAGAGCGUGUAAAGAGUGGAAAUUAGAGAAUCACAGUUCGCUUACUUUAUAAUUUCUUUUCCAAAAAAAAAAAAUCUGAUCAGUUAUUGCAAGGAAAGAAUUAUUGUGCGACAAUAGAUGCUCAAUUAUUCGAUGGAGAUUAAAUCCUCAUACAUGUGUAAGGUGACAAUCAAUAAGGAAAGGUCUAAGGCACGCAUGAUGGUGAUGGAUUUGUAUCUCUCCAAACAUGCCUAUUUUGUGCACUACAAUCCGACAUGUCUUGUCCCAUAAAGCUUAAUCCAUUAAAUUGUGAGCCACAGAAUUUACAAGCAUCUAUGGAUUUAUUGUCAUCACUCUCAAAGAUCUCAAUAGUUGGAGCACUUCUCUCCAAAAAUGAGGAUAUAUUGAUGUGAAAUUGACACCCUAGAUAUCCAGAAGUUAGUGCAAACAUAAACUUCAAUCGUUCCUUUUCUAAUAUUUUCUAAAUAAUAGUAGGAUAAACUUCAAUCGUUCCUUUUCUAAUAUUUUCUAAAUAAUAGUAGGAUCAGUUAAUGUUAAACAAUGCUAAGCAAGUGGCAUGCAUUCACUUGUCAAAUGAAUGCACAUGUAAAGAUAACCUAAAUAUAUUUACCCUUCAUCUGCUUCGCUCAUAGGGCAUCUUUCUCAUAGGCACGUCUCUCUCUCUCUCUCUCUCUCUCUCUCUCUCUCUCUCUCUCUCUCUCUCUCUCUCUCUCUCUCUCUCUCUCUCUCUCUACGGAGGUAGGCACAAGCUUUGUCUUGUCAUCAAACUAGGACGAGUAGUAUUUUUAUAAAGAAAAGUGCACUAAAAGUUUUAAAAUUUAUCACAUCUUAAGACUUUCAAAAUUGUAAUCAAAUGGUAAAACUUGUCAAAAUAGUGUAAUUAAGUUCUACGUGCUCUAUUAUUAUUUUUCCCAAAAAAGAAAAAAGAUCCAAUCAGUUAUUGCAAGAAAAGAAUUUUUGUGAAGGUGAGUGACGGCAGAUUUUCAAUUAUUCAACAGACAUUAAUCCAUGUACAUGCGUAAGGUGACAAUCGAUAAGGAAAGGUCUAAGACACGCAUGACGGUGAUGGAUUUGUAUCUCUCCAAACAUGUCCUAUCAUGUGCAGUACAAUCCUAGAUGCUCGUCCCAUAAUGCUUAAUCCUUGAAAUUGUGAGCCACAUAAUUCAUAAGCAUCUCCAGAUUUAUAGUCAUUGCUCUAAAAUAUCUCAAUUUACCAAUUGGAGCACUUCUCGCCAAAAAUAAGGAUGCUAAUGUGAAACUGACACCCUAGAUAUCUAGAAGUGAGGGCCCACAUAAACCUCAAUCAGUCCUUUUCUAAUAUUUUCUAGUUAACAAUAGGAUAAAUUAAAAUUAAACAAUGCUAAAACAGGUGGCGCGCAUUCACAUGUCAAAUAAUUGCACACGUAAAUUUAAUCUAGAAAAGUUUUCUCUCCAUUUGCUUCUCCCACAGCUACACCAAUUGCACUAGCACUGGCCUCCAUAGCACUGCCAUUGAUUCGAGCAUUUUUCUCGCAAGCGUAACCACCUCAAUCCGGGCACUGGCCUACACCAGUUCUAAAAAUUUGUCGAAAAGUGCAAUCAAACCAUAAAAUCUUCAAAAAGUAUAAUAAGAUCUUAGAACUUGUCAAAGUUGUGUAAUCAAGUCCCUUUGUCAACUUUCUAUAAUUUCAUUAGUGAAAAAUGCCGACAUGAUUAUAUUAAUUACUUUUGUUAUGACCAAAGCAGAAACUACUACAAAUGAAACUAAGAAAAAUAUAAGAACACACAAAUUUACGUGAAAACUCUCAUGGGAAAAAACUACAGGGAGAGAAGAAGAAAAAUCUACUAUGGAAAUUUAAGGAUUAUCAAAGGUGGCUCGAUAAACCUUAAGAAUCUUUUUAUCACUCACUUUAAAUCUAAUAACUUGGGAAAAAAUAAUAUUUAUAUUGCUCCAUAAGAGGGGGUGCAAUCCUUGCACCUUUGCCAAGGAUUAGUACUGAAGUACUGGCUUGGGCCUCGACCAACACUAAACCCGGCUUUGUUUUUAUCAAGUUGGGUUGUCGCAAAUUUCAAUUUAAGUAUCAAAACUCAAUUUAGGUUGAAUGCCUGGGAACACAAUUCAAGAUAUUCUCAACAAUUUCUUGAGACACGUGGCAUCCACUAAGCACCACAUCAAAUAAUGAAACUUUUGGGAAAAAAAUUAAAGAAAGAAAGAGAGAGUAAAAGUAAAAUAAGAAAAAAAGGGAAAAUGUUUGAACAAAAGGCUAAUAAUGAAAAGAAAGGGGAAAAAAUUUAUAUUUAAAAAAAAAAAAAAAGCAAGACCUCGGCUUCUGGUUUCCAAAAGAAACAGCGGUUUCGACUCUUGCGAGCGAAAGUUGAGAUUGAAGGGAAUGAAUCUCUUUUGAACCCCGCAGAUCGCCUACGGACACUUCUUGGAUCAGUUUUACAUAUGAAAGGCUCCACUAUUCUGCCAUGGCUGUGGUAGGAUUGGCCAUUGCCGCCACAGCUGUACCUUCAUCACAGAUGCUGCGUCGACGGAGAGGUGCUCUCGAAUUUGCGGGCUGAGUCCAGCCUUUUCUACAUCGACCCAGUUCAUUCGGUUCCAUUUCGCAAUUUUGAUAAGGAACACUAAAAAUUUGAAAAAGACUUCCUACGCUCGCGAACAUAGAAAUAAACCAAAAAAAAAAGUUGGGGAGGAAGAUGUAGAUGUCUACGCUUGGGCAACGACAUCAUCCCCCUUUUUUUUCUGGUCUGAUUUCGCCUUCUAUCAAGGAGGAGCUUUGCAAUAGUUCUCAAUAAAAACCCCAUGUGGGAGGAAAAGGGUGAAGGAGAAGGGGAGUCAUCUUCAUGCAAGUGCAAGAUCUUGGCCCCUUUUUUUGUUUUUGUUCUUUUUUCCCCUAUCAUCCUUUUCUAUUCAUUUUUUUUUAAUUUUAAAAUUUUAUCUUUUUAAAUUUUAGAUUUUUUUUCUAAUGUGGCACUUGAUAGAUGCAUGUAUCUUAAUAAAAUAAUAAGCCAAAUUGAACUUAUUGGUGGAAGGACCUAUGUAUCAUUUUGACAAAUCUUAGAACUCAAUUACAUUUUUGCGUCAAUGAUCACGCAUAAUGUCCGUGACAAGGCAACCAAAAUUUCCCUUAGUUAGGUUUUCAUUUAUUAUUAGUAGGUGGCUCGACCCAUAAGUAUAUUCUAAAUUAGUAUGCACAUAUGUACAUGCCCUCAAUGGGUUUACAGAGAUACUAAGCAUAAUUAACCUUAAUCUCCAGAAAUCCACAAUUCAAAUCAAAACCCUUCUAACAAUUCAGAUUUAAUAACCAAAUCACGACAUUUCACCAUUUGAUAAAUAUCUAUACACACACACAUAUCAAAGUGCCACAAAAACCACAUUCAUAAAUGAUAAACUUUUUGUGAUUCUUUCAUAAAAGGUUUCACAAACCAUUUACAAGCAAUCGGUUCAAACUGAAGUCAAAGGAUGACUCCCCAUUUUAAACAAACAAAACCGCAGUAAAUGUUCGAUCCUAUUUUAUGCAACAAUAGAUGCAAUUUCUUAAACAUAUAUAAUUUAUUUCGUUUUCAAAAUAUAAAAACACAAAAAAUAAAUAGUAUCACUCGUAUGGGAAAGCGAAAAACCAGCAGGAGUAGUCCCCGCACACGACGCCAAAUACUUAUUUGUAAUUAUAAAGGGAAAACCAUUUGCAAGUUGAACUAGAAACACAGUGGUUUUGUUCCUUUCGCUUUAUCCGUUGUCCUUAUCGAGUCUCUGGUCCUAUAAAUUUCUGGCUCGAUCGACCAAACCCUUCGACAAUCGUCAGCAUUUCCGCUCCCUGAUUGAACAAAUACAUGCACAGCAGUUUCAGCACGAUGGCUCUCACCUCCCUCCUCCUCCACCUCCUCCUCCUCCUCUCUUCUCUCCAUGUCAGUAAUUUGUCAAGCUUUCACUCUCCAUGCGUACCCAACUGCUCAUCUCUCUCUCUCUCUCUCUCUCUCUCUCUCUCUCUCUCUCUCUCUCUCUCUCUCUCUCUCUGUGUUCUCAUGCAAAGACAGGGCUAUAUGUUUAAUUCGAUAUCUCACCUAAGAAUUGCUGAAAAAAUUUUGCGGCCAUUUACUCCAUUGGCAAUUUCUUCUCAUCCAUUAUUUGUUAACCCAAUCUCUCUAUACUGGUUUAGAGUGCACAGGCUAUCGGAUCAAAUGGGGAGCCUAGGCUUCAUAAGAACUAUUCGAUUUAAUUUACGCAUGCAAGAAGCUAAACAUGUCAGUUUGUAUCAAAAUUAAACCUCAUAAUAUUAUUAUCUUCAUACAAAAAAUAUAUAUUUUAUAUUAUAUAUAUAUAUAUAUAUAUAUAUAUAUAUAUAUAUCUCAUUUGGGUUAUCUCAAUGCAUGUUAGUUGAUCAAUUGUGUUUAUGUGUUCUUUAGGCUAACAAAGAAAUGUGAAUGAAACGUAGAUAAUCAAGGGAACAUAUGAAAGCAUGUAAGUUGCAAAAGUCAUUUUAAGUGAUUGAGCAUGACGUUACUACUUUUAGACACAAGCAUCAGAUAACAUACGUUACUGAUUGUUAGGAAUAAAUUGUUGGGUCAUCCAUGUGCAUUGUAAAAAUAAUCCCAAUCAUGCUAUUAUGCAGUUCUAAUUUGGGAAAAUGACACAAUUAGUCCCUGAAAUUUUAUAUAAUGUUCAAUUUCGUCCAUAUACUUUUGAUUGGCUCAAUUUAGUCCAUGAAUUAUCGAUAAAUGUCCGAUCUAGUCUCUGACUAUUUGAAAAUUGAUCAAUUUCGUCCUUCCGUUAACUUUCCGUUAGUUAAACUUAACGAAAUGGGGGCAUUUUGGUCUUUUUAUCUUUUUAAUAUUUUUAUCUUCUUCUUUUAUCUUCUUCUCUCUUCCCUCCGCCGGCCAUGGCGGAACCGACGGAGGGAAGCCGGCAUCCGGCAAGGGUCGCCCUCGGGCGAGGGCCGCCCCUGCCGGCGUCGGGUGAGGGGUGCCCUCGCCAGAUUUGGCGAGGCCGCCCUCGCUGAGUUGCUAGGUUCGCAGGUUGCGCCAUAGGGGAACGCAAGGCUUUGCGCAAAGGUCGAAGGGGAUUGUGGUGGUGCCGACGAAGGGAGGCCGAGGUUCGAAGUAGGUGCAGGGGGAUUGGGUGCUGGCAUCACUGGAGCUGCAGUGAGAAGAGAAGAGGGAGGCCAAGGAAGUAUAGACUUGGUGGAGGAGCCAUGCGGUCAGCGUCCUCAUCUCGUGGCCUCGUGCGGCGGGGCUCGGUGAGCCGCGGUAGGGGGAGGCGUCGAGGUCCCUCCCGUGGGCUGGCGAGGGUGGCCCUAGCCUGCAUCGGGCGAGGACAGCACUCGCCAGAUCUAGCGAGGGCACCCCUCGCCCGAUAUCAGCAGGGGCGGUCCUCGCCCGACACAAGCGAGGGCAGCCCUCGCCGGCGUUGGGUGAGGGCCUCCCUCGCCAGAUCUAGCGAGGGCACCCCUCGCCCGACACCAGACGCCGGCUUCCCUCUGCCAUGGCUGGCGGAGGGAAGAGAGAAGAAGAAGAAGAAGAAAAAAAAAAGUAACGGAAGGAUUAAACUGAAGUUUUCUUAAUAGUUUAGGGACCAAAUUGAGCUAAUCAAAAGUAUAGGGACGAAAUUGAACAUUACGUAAAACUUCAGGGACUAAUAGUGACAUUUUCCCUUCUAAUUUCGUGUCACGUGACUUGUACUUUUUUGCAUGUUCGUUACAAUUUUCUGUAUGUCUAUUUUACUUCCAUAAUUAUGUCAUUGCACAGUUACUUAAGUCCAUAAUGUCCAUUUUAAUCGUGAUUAUAUAAACUUCUAGCUCACCGUCACUCUUUGAUUUUCUUUUGUGGAUUGUCCUGCGAAAGGUCCUCACCAUCGUUGUUAGGGCCACUCCCGGGGCCGACUCCCUCGCCGGCGAGGCUAACUCGAUCUCUCCCAAAGCAUACCUUGUCCAUUACUGGAACAAGCAAAUCACCAACAACCUUCCCAAGCCACCAAUCCUCUUCUCCAAAGCGUCACCUCUGACGGCCGCGUCAGCGACCAUCUUCGCCGAACUCGUUGCCAAAGGCGCCAUCUCUGACCACCUCUUAUCGUUCUGCGAGGAGGCGCAAUUGCUCUGCUUCAUGAACUCAUCAUCUGAUGGGGUCGCAACGACAAAGCCGUCUACAAUAUACAUAUACGGCCCCUCCCCCCCCGAUACAAUUGUGGCAACUGAUGACAAGAAAGUAAAUGGGGGCGUGGAGAAGGGCUUGUUCUUUCGAGAGUCGAUGCUGAAGAGCGGGAAUGUGAUGCCAAUGCCCGACAUCCGGGAUAACUUGCCCAAAAGGUCAUUUUUGCCUCGCUGCAUUUCCGCCGAACUGCCGUUCUCAACCUCGAAGCUCGCUGAGCUGAAGCAAAUCUUUCAUGCCAUUGAAAAUUCCGCUAUGGGGAAGAUCAUGGCGCAAACGCUAGGCGAGUGCGAGGGUGCAGCACUCCAAGACGAAACCAAGAGGUGUGUGGCCUCCAUCGAGGAUAUGAUCGACUUCGCCACCUCGGUUUUGGGUCAUGACGUCAUGGUCCGAUCCACGGAGAGUGCCAGAGGGUCGAAGCAGGAGGUCUUGAUCGGGGUGGUCAAGAGGAUCGAGGGCAGCGAAGUGAGCAAGCCCGUGGCCUGUCACCGGAGACUAUUUCCUUACAUUGUCUAUUACUGUCAUUCAUUUCCAAACGUCCGGAGUUACGAAGCAGACAUAUUAGAUCCCAAAUCCAAGGCUAAGAUCAAUCACGGUGUCGCCAUUUGUCAUAUGAACACAUCAACUUGGAGCCCUAUCCACGAGUCAUUUCUGUUGCUUGGAUCGGGUCCUGGCCAGAUCGAGGUCUGCCAUUGGAUAUAUGAGAAUAACCCGAUAUGGACAAUUGCCAAGUCAUAAUGGAAGAACGAAGUGUGGUCAAGAUGGAAUAAACAUGGGUUCUGCCUGGUGAUCAAGAGAGAACUUGGUCUUUAGCUACCUCCGACCGAAAGCCUCUCUUGCUUUGCAUUACAAUCUAAUAUAGUAUCUGAAUUUGAUAUCAAUAACAACGUGUUUGUGUUUGGUGUGAGACAGUUGUUAUGGCCAGUAAAUGUCAAGUGUUUUUUUUGUGAUUUGAGUACAUGUUCAAUUAUUUUGCAUUCUCCUGUCCUUUGUGUUUAGAGAUCUUCCUAACUCCUAUCUCUUAAUUUGUGUUACUAUCUUCGAGAAUUUUCUUCAACUUUCGACGAGGACCAAUAACUAUUUUCACAGUAUUAUUAUUAUAUAAACGAGAGACAAAUAAGAACGCAGUGUUUUUUGAUAAAAGAAAAAGGUGAAAAGCUGGUUGGUAGUCCCAACGUGAUCGUUUUUAUACGCUUGACAUUGAACAGCAAGUGCUGCCUGGUUCAAUCUUGAAGUGGCACUUCCCACUUUUUCUUCCUCUGAAUUUUGCUUUUAAACUUUUCUGCAUUUAUCUUUUCUUUGCACUUUCUUGGUUACAUAAACUACAUAUCAUCAUAUCAUUGCUUGCUUUUUCUUAUUCUUUUUUCUUUUUUCUUUUUCUUUUUUGCUUUUUUUAAGCGUUUGUCAUUGGAAAAAGAUAAUUCAAUAAAUACUUAUAAUACGAGAUUAGACUUCUAAAAUCCUAAAAACUUCACAUGAAUGAUUCUCAUAUGAUAAAAAUGUAAAAACUAAAUUUACUUUUGUUUUGCUGGAAUUGCUUUGGAAUUGCUCUCACAAUGAAAUAUCUUUCUCUGAAAGUCAUUAUUUGAUUUUAUUAAAGAGGACAAGGGUUAUGUGCCAACUCCAUAUAAUGGACAUCUUAUGCAAUAAGGAAUUGAACUUCUUUGGUCCAAACAACACCGAUUUUAGUUUGAGUUAGAAUUUAAUCAAUAACAAGGCAAAAAAAGUUACAAGACCGGUCUCAAACUAUGCUAGAAUUUAAUCAACAACACAAAUUAAGGAUAGUAAGAUGUGGAGUCGGAAUUUAAUCAACGACAAUGUACCAGGAUAGUAAGAUACAAUACUGGAAUUUAAUCAACAAUGAUGUACCAAGAUACAGAAACACGUCGAAAUUUAAUUGACAAUGAGAAUCUAAAAGCUAUAGCUAAGAAAAUUAAAGUGCAGUAUAGGAAAAGCAAAGAUACAAAGAUAACAUUUUGAUUGAUUUGUCAAGUGGCUUCUAGUUGGAUGACUGGUGGUAAUUAUAGUGAAUGUAUGAUAAAUGUUUGGUAGUUACGUCUCCUCUAGUACCUACUACUGGCUUUGUCCAUGAUCCUUUAUUCUCGUAGAUCACUUUGCCCAUACUUCAUAUAAUUUUCCUAGUCGUGUUUUGAGGAUUAUGCAACUGUCGAGGCCAUUCCAUGACUAGGGCUCCAAAUAGCAAUUGCUUUUUUACAACGUGUGCCUUUGAUGCUAACUACCUUAGCACCUUGAGUAAUAUUCAAAGUGUCUCCAUUGAAAAAGUUGUUGCUAAAGAUCAUACGGGUAGCUACCAAUUGUCCGUCGUCAUAUUUCAACAACUAAGCGUGUGGCAUUUCUUUAUCUCAUCGGCAAUCACCGGAUAUCUACCUUAUGUCUGUCAAUAGUCCAGCAUACAUCAAAUAUCACCCAUCCAUUAUGCACAUGAUUGUAACUUAUUUCUAAAGAGCUACGGCCGAGGUAAAUCUCAACUUUAAUAUCAGCUAUAUAGUUCACAAUUUCAUGAAAGAUCCUAUAUUUAUGAGAGGAUAUGUAACAUUUUCAAUUAAGAUAAAUAUUUGUCCUUGUGUAUUUCCUUCUUUAUAUAAGCAACCCAAUUUGUCAUGCGAUUGAUAAAUCUCUUUGUUUGUAGCUAUACUUUUAUCUUUUAACAAUCUUAGCCAAUGGACCUGCAUUGCUGAAUGGCCACUUCUGAUAUAUUCGUUUCUUGGAUGAGCAUUUUUCUGGCUUGGCAGUGAUCGACCCAUGUGGCCACGAUGAAUAGUGGAAGCAAAAUUGACAUUGGUGAACAGAGCUUAACAGAGAAGAUGUCGAGUCCAAUUGAAGAAAUCGUACAGAACAGGGGUGGGACCGUGCAUCGAUAAAUCCAGGUUCUUUCUACGAAUUCUAUCCUUUUUUUUCCUAUGUAUUCUGUCGUUGGGAUGCAAGAGAGAUCAUUGAGAAAGCGUAUAGAUGAAGUUCCUAUUAUCUUUUAUGAGCUACGGGCACGAGCAUAGAGGCUCGUUUAUCUAGAGAUUCAUAAAACACCCUAUAAGCCUCAUAAAUCGUUUGAGCCCUAGUUUAUAAUUGUUGGUAGGUUCGGAUAAAAUUUCUAAGGCUUUGAUUGAGAAGUCAUGGGAAAUCGGGUGGAUAGGUUAUUUGCAUAUGGACAGUUCUAGUAAAAUUGUUAACUGCAGAGAAAUCAGCUUAAGGUUCUUCAUCGGAUCCAAGAACCACAUGGACAAAUAUAUACUAUUAGAUGGUUAUUUUUUUUCCACCAAAAAACAUCAUAUGAUAGAAAAUACGGGUUAUACCUUAAGUAGCAUCGACACGGACAAGCGACACACGACAAGACACGCCGACAAGUCAUUUUUCAGAAAAAGAGAAUUCCGACACAUUAAAACACAUUGUAUAUUAAAUAAAUAUUUUUAUAUAUACAUGAUUAAUUAUUAUAUUUAAAUUAAUUUAUUCAAAUUCAUAAAUAAAUAAAUAAAUAAUAAAUAGCCUAUAAUAAAUCUAUACUAAUAACAUUAAUAAAUUUAUUCAUAAAAAAUUGGAAAGACAUUUUUCGACUUUAACAAAAGUUAUCGAUGAAAUAAAUAACUAACGAGAUGGUUAUAUACUAUUAGAUGGUUAUACCUAUUCUCUGAUGUAGUUUCGUUUUGUAGAUGAACCAAUUAGUCCUUUCCUCUCCUAAUCCUUGGAAAGUAAGCACACUUCCUAGAGAUUUCAUUUCUCUCUUGUGGAAGUGAUUAUAAUUAGGUUUACUCAUAAUGGCGUCCAAUGACUUUAACCCUAAUUCAGGAUUAGCUACCCAAUUACAGAGUUUCUCUACUGGAGUACAUGCACAUAUAUGGAAAAUCAAAGUUUCACAUCUUAAAAAUCCAUCAGAUCACUGUCCAACUUGAUUAAUUAAUCGAUAGCUAAUAUGAGAUACAGAUGGAUGCCCUUUUGCUUUUUUUUUGGUAGGAAUAAGUAGAAUAUUGGGGAAUGAUGCCCUUUUGUUUUUUAAUCGCAUUAAUACAAAAGACUUGUCCUUUUGCGAAAUUGGCAUUUUGCAUUAAGCCAUUUGUUUUGCAUUGCCAAGACUUACCAUGUCUGAAGCAUAGAUGACUGCUUUUCUUUAAAUGCCUUUCUAUCAGGUACAUUAAUGUGACUUACUACCUAAAUAGUUUUUGUUUGUAGCUAAUUCCGAAGUGUUUGUUCUUUUUAUCUUCCAGCCUUUCAUCAAUCUCAUGGGCUUUUUUCCCAUCACCUUACUUUGUUUUGUGCUCAAACGCAAGACUGAUGGCAAGUGUAUCUCCAAUCGAUAGAAUCUUUUAGGAGGAAUUUUAUCCAAAUCUAACUUUUAUUUACACUUUCCCUUCAAAAUUUGAAACAUGUGUUUCCUGUGGGUGAUAUCAUAAAUGUAACUUACCCAUCAGAAGAUUGAGCAGGAGGAAAUCAUGACCUUUUUUUUUAUAAUAAAAGAAGGCAGAUAAUAUUCAAUCUGAUACUUAUUAAUUGCAAGUUAUAUUUAAAAAAACUAAUUAAGUUUUAUUUCUUCCGCUUGGCAGAGAACAUUUGAUAUGAAACUUUAAUUAACUGUAGAUUGCAAAACCGGUGGUUAAGAGUCCCAACUUGAUAGUUUGUAUUAUAAUGUCCAACAAAAAUUUUGCGAAACUAAUGGGGGUGGACACACAUUUGCGAUAGGGACACCCCCACCUCUAUCCCAGCCUAAUAAGCCCUUACUACCGUCAAAUCUGUCAAUUGACGAAUGGAGCAGAUUGGAGCCCUUCAAUCAGUCCGAUCAUAUGAUUGAGAAAUCUCUAUGUUUAUAGCUAUACUUUUACCUUUUACCGAUUUUUUCCAAAAUUUUUAUUAUGUAUGGAAUAAUGAACGGCCUAUAAUUAUUUGACAUUACCGCGGAAACGGACAGGAUCUUUCUAGCAUCACCUUACUACGAAGACAUUGUUGUGGGCUAAGAUUAGAGCAGCCCUUGGGCCUGCAUCGCUUGUGAAGGGCACUCACGAUGUCCUCGUUUCUUGGAAAAGCAUUUAUCUGGCUCGGCAAUGAUCGACCCAUGUGUCCUGGAUGAAUAGUAGUAGCAAAAUUGACAUUGGCGAAGAGGGGUCAACAGAGAAUAUGUCCAGUCCAGUUAAAGAUAUCAUACACAUCCGGGGUGGACCCGCCUUUGUCCAUGCGAUCCCAAACUUUAUGGACUGUGCAUCGAUAAAUACAGGGUCUUUAGAUGUAUACUGUCGUUGGGAUGCAAGAGAGAUCAUCAAGAUCGCAUGGGGACCAAGUUACAAUAUUUACGAGCUGACGGCAUGAGAGCAGAGGCUUGGUUACCUGGAAGCCUAUAGAAAACCCUGCAAGCGUCAUGAAUAGUCCAAGUGGUCUGCGCAGGUGGUUCUGACUAGAGCAGCUUGUACACGGUAAUUGGAAUUCAAACAAAUGAACUCCAAUUUCUGACUUACCAAUCUCUAGAUUGCAAUAGGCAAAUUGUUUCCCAUUUUAUCCAGUUCACUGGAUCAAGUUACAAAGAUAAUCUAAUUUGUUUGGAUAAAAGUUCUUAGGCUUUGAUUGAGAAGUCAUGGUGAAUCGGGUGGAUAGGCUAUUUGCAUAUGGAGAGUACUAGUGAGAUUGUGGACUCUGGAUAAAUCAGCUUAGGGUUCUUCAUGGGAACCAAGAACCACAUAGAGAGAUAUAUCCUAUCAUAUGGUUAAUUAUUUCCACCAAAACAUCAUAUGAUAGAAAACGUGGGUUAUGCAUAUUCUCUAAUGUAGUUUCAUUUUGCAAAUGAACCAAUUAAUCCUUUCCUUUCCUAAUCCCUGUAAAGUAAGCACACUUCCUGGAGAAAUUUAUUUAUCUCUUGUAGAAGUGAUUAUAAUUAGGUUACUCAUAAUAGCAUCUUAUCACAAUUACUUUAACCCUAAUUCAUGACUAGUUAGCCAGUGACACAGUUUAUCUAUUGGAGAGCAUGCACAGAUAUGGAGGCAGCGGGGAGAAUCUCAUCUACACGUGAAAUCACAGUUUCCCAUCUUGAACAUUUAUCAAAUUACUGUACAAUUUGAUUAGUUAACUAGGGCAGGUCCAAUCUGAGAUAUAGAUGGGUGCUCUUUUCUUGCUUAAUCACAUUAUUAGGGAAGAGUUGUCCUUUACGAUAUUGGCAUAUUGCAUUAUUCCAUUUGUUUUUCAUAAACUAAGACAUGUCCUAUAUGAGGCAUAUAUGGAUGCUUUUCUUUAAUCAAGUCUUUUUCAAGUAAUUUGAUAUAACUUACUACCUAAGUAGUUCUUGUCUUUAGCUAAUUCUCAAGUGUUUUUGUUUUUUGUUUUUUUUGUUUUUUUUCCCUAUUCUAUUCCAUCCUUUCACCAAUUAUGCGGGCUUUCCCAGCACCUUCCUUUAUUUUAUGCUCAAACGCCUUACAGAUUCCACGUGAUGAUAGAAUGACUAGAGUCCAACAAAAAUCUAAUGCCUCGCUCUUUAUUAUUUAGAACUGAGGAGUUCCCCACAGACCAACCUUUUUUUUUGAGCUUAGGAGUCCCUAGACACCAACUUAUUUUUUUUAUUUUAUAUUUUCCUUUAUAUCAUACUUUUGAUUAGUAGGUCAUAGCUUAUGGACAUCAUUCACAUGUGUACUCAAUUAAAUUUCAAUAAGGGCAAUAUCCGUAUAUGUAACUAACCAAUCAUAAGACUGAACAAGAGGAAAUCAUGACCCUUUUUUUUUUAUAACAAAUAGAGUCAAGGGAUUGCAAUGAUAUACGUCACUCAAGCCUUAGGUUCAAAUCACCCCAUUUGUGCAAGUACAAGCCUGUGUAUCAACAAUAAUUACUCGAUUGGUGUUAUAGAUUUGUCCAAGAAUCAAACGGAAUAUGAUACUGAUUAAUUGCAAGUUGAACUAGAAUAAUUAUUAAGUUUUAUUUCUUUCGCUUGGCAGAGAACAUUUGAUAUGAAACUCUAAUUAACUGCAGAUUGAACUAAAACUACAACUUUUGUUUCUUUCGCUUCAUCCAUUUGUCCUAGGGAAUCUCUCUCUCUCUCUCUCUACCAUCAGUCCUAUAAAUUUCGUGCUCAAUCAAGCGAACCCUCCAACAACAUCAGCAUUCCCUCUCUCUAAAGAAAUGAGCGAGAUCAGUUUUAUGAAAAUGUCUCUCUUCUCCCUCUUCCUCUUCCUGCUGUUGUCACUCCAUGUUAAUUUUCUCAAGCUCUCUCCCAUACCCUUCCACACACCAUAAUCACUGCUCAUCUUAUUUUUGAACUUCGCAUGCAUUAACACUCAUAGUUCGUUGAUCUUGUUUAUGUUCCUAUACAUGUUAAAAGAGACAUGCAAAACACGAAUCAUUGAAAGACAUAUAUAAUGCUAGAAUGUAUGGGAGGUUUGUGUGUUCACUUGUUUUUAUAACAUAGUUAUGCUAAGCCAGAUAUGAUGUAUUGACAAAUAACAAAAAUGACUAUUAUCAUUUAGAUUGUGGACAUAAAUUGAAGGAUUUGUAAGGAAUAUUUCUCAUGCUAUCUAUUCUAUUCUCAAAAGUUGACUUCAUUCCUAUUAUCUCACGGGCAUAACUUCUUGCUACUUUGCUUACGACCAUUUGCACGUUCAUUGCAAUUUCAUCCAUAUCCCAUUUAUAUGCUGCAUAAAUAUUUGACCAAGUCUGUUUGGCAUCGUACUGCGAUUGUGAUGUAGCCUUGUUCGUCUUAUGACAUAGUUGUAAAUUGAAUUUUAGGGUUCGAUAUCUUUUAAACUGGGUGAACUAUCCUACGUUGGUCGCAUCGUGCUAACUUUCUAGUCACUCACUGAUUUUCUCUUUCGUCCCGCUAUAGGUUGUUUCCACCAACGCGAGGACCACCGCCAACGCCAACUCCCUUGCUGGCGAAGCCAACUCAAUCCCUCCCAAAGAAUACCUUGUCCGUUACUGGACUGAACAAAUCACUAGCAACCCUGCCAUACCACCACUGCUCACAUCCAAAGUUUCACCCUUAAUUGCUGCAGAAACAACCCUUUUUGCCCAGCUCGUGGCUAAAAGCGCCAUCUCCGAUCGCCUCUCAUCUUUCUGCAGGGCAGCACAACUGCUCUGCUUCCCAGCCUCGCCACACUAUCCAGUUGGCUACACUGUCGAAAAUAGUGCCACGACACGGGCAGGUGGCAUGAACGUGAACAGGGGCUUGGAGCCUGGCAAAUACUUCCGGGAAUCUAUGCUGAGGAGUGGGAAUAUGAUCCGGAUGCCGGAUCUUCGAGUCAAAGCUCCCCAAAGGUCGUUUUUGCCACGCAGCAUUUCCUCCGGAUUACCGUUCUCCACCUCUAAGCUCGCCGAGCUGAAGUAAAUCUUCCAUGCUGGGGACGAUUCCAAUAUGGAGAAGAUCAUGGUACGCACACUCAGCCAGUGCGAGCAAGCGCCAAUCCAAGGUGAGACCAAGCGAUGUGUAAGCUCUGUCGAGGGCAUGAUCGACUUCGCCACCUCAAUACUAGGCCACGACAUCCAGCUUCACUCCACGGAGAGCGUCGAAGGGUCGAAGCGUGAGAUCUUGAUUGGACGAGUGAAAAGGUUGGAAGGGAGUAAAUCGAGUGCGCCCGUGGCAUGCCACGAGACUAUAUUUCCUUACAUGGUCUAUUACUGCCACACGUUUCCGACACUCCGAAUUUACGAAGCCGAUAUACUAGAUCCCAUGUCGAAGGCCAAGAUCAACCAUGGCAUCGCCCUCUGUCAUAUGGAUACGUCGAUUUGGAGUCCAAAUCACGUGGCGUUCCUCGCGCUCGGGUCGAGCCCUGGUCAAAUCGAGGCCUGCCACUGCGUCUUUGGGGAUUAUGGUGUCUGGACGAGGACCAAUUAGUAAUGGAAAAAAAUGAAGCGUGGAUCAAAUUGCAUAAUAUUGAUUGGACCUAGAGACUGAGAGAAAUUAGCCACUAGCUCCAUCCUACGCCAUCGUUCGCUUAAAAGUAUUGUCUAAUAUGGUAUUUGCUAUCUCAUAUCCACGACCUUAGUAGUGGUGUGUAUAUGUAAAUAUCGUUGUGGUUAGUAAAUGUCAAGUGUUUGAAUAACUUUGAUCUAAUAUAUGUAAUUAUUGUGGUGCGAAUGUGAAAAAGUUUCUUUGCUAAUAUUCAUCUCUUUCUAAAGCAUAACACAACACCAUGUCUCAAAUUCUUAAAUUGUACCUUGCUAGGACAUGAUGGUGAGAUGAUUACAAGGACUAAUUCUUAAACUGUACCCGAAAUGCGUAAUUGCACCAUAAUGGACAUGAUGGUGAGAUGAUUACUAGGACAAAUUUAUCAGGUUUUAUGUUGAACGAAAUAGCUCAAUAUGUAUUAAAUCAUAUUUCUAUCAAAUAUGUUACAUUAACUCGUUUUGAGUUGUGGACCAAACGUAAGCUUGAUUUGAAUCAUCUUAAGGUUUAGAGUGUCCUGCAGAAGUGAAGUUAUAUAAUCCAACAUUAAGUAAGUUAAACUGCAAAACCACUCAGUGUUAUUUCGUAUCUUACCCAGGUCAUUUGAAAGGAUAUCAAUUUUAUGAUCCCAAUGGAGAUACAAGAAUUGUAGAAUCACAGAUAACGGAGUUUCUGGAAUUCGACACAGCUGUAGAGAAUAGUUGCUCUUAGACUAUUAAAAAUAAUAGUACGGUAGGAACCACUAUGUCUUUGUCUUUGCCUAUACAAAUAUAUAUAUAUAUAUAUAUAUAUAUAUAUAUAUUGGUGCUGGAGGAAUCGUUUGGCCGACAGCCGCCACGUAAACCCCCAGGUGUCGCUAGCGAGGGAACCACCACCCCGGCGCCACGCGUCAAUCACCUAAUAGCCCGCCAACCUCCUUGCAACUUGCGUUGCAAAGGCUUCGAACUCCUAACCUUCCCUCAAAGGACUGAGGGUGCGUUUGGUUGGGUAUUUAGAAAGCCCCUUCAGCCUUGAAAGCCUAUUGGGAAAAAAAAGAGGUGUUUGGCAACCAUUUUCCAAUGAGCUUUGAGUUGAAAGUUGGCCUUGGAGAUGCUGAAAGCUCAAUGCUAGUUUCUACUAGCAUUGUCAGAAUGCUGAAGGCCUCCAUUAAUGAAAUUUCAUGAAGUCCCUUUUUUACCCUAAAAAAAUCAUUAGAAACCCAAAUUUACCCCUUUCUAAAAGAACAAAACCAAGGGUUUCUCCUUGCACCUCCAGAAACGCACGCUCCAGUCCUCACGCUCACUCUCCCGAGAGCCCCACGAUGACACCGACUUCAGAUCCGUUAACGACAAUCUCCAGCACCUUCAGAUCUGCCGACGAAAAAUUUGGGUUUGUUUCCUCCGCUCGAUUCUUCUCUUCAUCUGGGUUUGUUUCAUCAGCUUGAUUCUUCUCCUCAUCUGGGUUUGUUCUUACUUCGAUCUUCUGAAACGGAGGACGCAGCAGCUUGCAAUUCGACUCCUCCCUCCCUCUGACGCGACCACUCAGGCCAUCGCCUCCGCUCGAUUCCCUGCAUCCUUGCACGUUUUUCCCCUGCUUGUGGGUAGUGAGGUUUGGGUAGUGGCGGUCUCCUCGACACAAAUCCCAGCCUCUCGAUCGCUUCCCCGAGGUAACGAAUACUUGUAAACUCUCCCUCUCUCUCUCUCUCUCUCUCUCUCUCUCUCUCUCUUUCUGGCAUCUCCGUCGCUCUCCGUCUGAGAUCCGUUUGCUUUUUCUUUUCUCGUUUCCGUUCUCAGGUUAGAUCUUCCCGUCUGUAAAUCUCUCAGAUCUGAUUGUUUGCUCCUCGUUCGCUAGAUCGAUCUAUUCCUUUUCCAUUUCGUUUGAUUCUACACCCGCGAUAGAUUAGCCCUAUUGCCGUUUCCAAGUUUACAGGAGUGUCCGCUCUGCAGAUUUGUGUAGAUUGCAUAGUAAUAAUUGAUUAUUCUCCUCAUCUAGGUGUCUCUAAGCCUAUGGAGAGAGAAUGCUUCAUGUGAAGUUUCUGAUCGAGUGAUGUUGCAAGGCCCUUGAUUUCUCAUCUUACUAGGAUUACGUGGGAAAUGUAGAAAUUGAGUUCACCUACAGUAUCAGUUAUAUUCAACAACUGUUAACUAUUUGACUCCAUUUAUUAUCGGUGAGUUUUUUAUGUUUGGGCCUUCUGGUUGCUAUUGCUUUGCUCCUCUCAUUCCUCACACAUUGUCAAUUUUAAACUUUGAAAAGGAUAUUUCCAAAUGCAGUAAAAGAAUUUAGGAUUGUCUCGCUUAAAUGUCCAUCGAUUAGAAUCCUAUUCCUUUUAUUCUAGCUCGUGGUCUCUUGCUCUGUUUGAUGGCUAUUCAUGGUACAAACUUGCACAACAUUUCUAGAUAAUUUACAAUGGCUUUCAUUUUCAGGUGAAGCAGAACAGCACAUGAUCCAUUAGCUGGCUCUAACCUUCAUCAUCAGAACCAAAGGGCUGCCUUCUUAAAGAUUCCAGUACUUCUCUGGGACGAUUGCUUGGAGCGCCCCCACUACCUGUCAGUCCAUUGCAAGACUUGACCUUGGGCACUUUGAGAGAACUAAGAGCUGGCAUGGAAGUCCCUCUGUUUACUUCCCUGAGCACAGACCGUGCUAUGGCCUCAACUGCAGCGUUUGCCAGAGCCGAGCCACUCUAAAAUUGCUCUGCAAUUCAUUAGAGGACCUGUUCUGGCGCGACACUCCACUAGGAGUGUUGGAAGCCUGAGGCAUAUGAUUAUUCCCUGAUUUUCCCAUUACAGCAACGGUCUCUGCAACUUCUGAUCCAGCCUUUGCAGAUUCAUGUUUUUGCAUGUCAUAUAAGAGCUCUCUUUGGAGCUGCUUAUGAGCAACCAAUAUUUCAUCUAUCUCAUUCUUGUAGUCCUUGAGGAGGAGACUGAAGCAAUCCAUGAGGGAACCUGUGAGGGGGUUGUUCUUGCUCUCGAGUAAUCUCUUUAGCUCUAUGAAUAUGGGGAUGGUGUUCUAUAUGAGGCUCUUUCUCAUUGCUAUGAAUUUAGGAAGUAAUUAAGGAUGUUUGUAAUAUUUAAGGAUAAUGAGCUUCUUUCCCCAAAGCAUAUGUUAUCUUGUUUUGAUUGUAAUGAAAGUAUUCUUCUUGCAAUUUAGAAAGAGAGCGUAAAUUUUUUCCAUUUAAUAUUUUUUAGCAAAAAAAAAGAAAUUUUAAUUUUAAUAAAAUUGUUUACACAACAUCUUUAACAUGAUUGUCAAAUAUAAAUUAAAAAAGUCGCAAACAUUAUUUUUUUUAAUUUUAAAUAAAUAAAAAUUAAAAUAUUUAGAUUAAUCACCAAAGGGGCUUUGCAAAUGUGUUUUCUACCAAACAACAUUUCUCUCAAAGUUGCAUUUCAAAGCAGAAUUUACCAAAUAGUCUUUGCAUUUCCUCCAAAGUCCUUUAGGCUAAACUGCUUUGCAUUUUCCCAAUGAGCUUUCCAAAUGCUUAACUAAACGCACCAUGAAGCCUACCCAGCGAAGCCACCACAGCCGGUGGUUACCUAUACAAAUAUUUAUGAAGUCUUUUACACCACAAACUGCGCAUGUUGAGGUUCAGGAUACUAUUAUUAAUACAAUUCUUGAUAAAGUUUGUCAAGCCUUUCACGUGCAGGAUGAAGUGGUUGUAGUAGCUCCACUUAGGAGAUCUACUAAGGAAAGACGUUUAGUUAUAUCACUAGACUAUAAAUUCUAUUUAUGAGAGCAUAAUUACAAUAUCUACUGCGUGGUCAAUCUAGUAACUUAUAUGAAUGUUGUUUCUUGUCCUCGGUCAAAUAUGUGGUUAGAUGCGAUGAAAGACGAGAUGCAAUCUAUGAAACAUGAUAGUGUUUGGAAGCCUGUCGAAUUGCUUGAUGGUCGCAAGUCCAUUCGCUGCAAAUGGGUGUACAAGACUAAAAGAGACUACAAAUGAAAUAUUGAGAAAUUUAAACUCAGACUAGUAAUAAAAGAUCUCACUCAGAGAGAAGCCUAGUCUUUUCUAAAGAUUCUUUCGGAGUGAGCAUGGGAUUAGUAGCCCAUUUUUUAUAUGGAAUUAUGCUAGAUGAUGAUUAAAACUGUGUUUUUCAAUGGAUACUUUGAUAAAGAAAUCUAUAUAUUUUAACCCAAAGGUUUCAUAGCAGAUGAUUUAGGUAAGCUUGUGUGUAAACUGAAAAACCUUAUUAAUGGCCUAAGCAAGUUUGUAGACAAUAAUGCUUGAAGCUUCAUAAUGUUGUCACUUCAUUAAGUUUUGUUGAGAAUAAAGUGGAUCGGUGAAUAUACUACAAGGUCAAUAGGAGAAAAUUUAGUUUUCUCGCACUCUAUAUAAACCAUAUCUUGCUUACAAGUAGUGAUAUGGGAUUACUUCAUAAGACAAAAUAGAUAUUGUCAAGGAAUUUUGACUUGAAAGACCUUGAUCAGGUAUUUUUUGUCCUUGGUAGAAAUCGUUCUCGUUGUAUGUUAAAUUUAUCUCAAAUUACAUAUCUUGAUUGUAUUUUAAAAAUAUUCAACAAGUCGAGAGUUGCUCCUGUCAUUCGGACUGAUAGAUUGAGUUUAUUGCAGUAUCCUCAUUCAAAUUUCAGAAAAACCUAAAUGAAUGAUAUACUUUAUGCUAGUGCACUUAGAAGUGUCAUGUAUUCUUAAGUUUGCACUAGGCUAGAUAUUGCUUUUGCGGCAAGACUUCUAGGUAGAUAUCAAUCAAGUCUAGGAGAUGAUCAUUGGAUUGAUGCCGAUAAUGUUUUGAGAUACUUAAAAAGACAAGAAAACUAUAUGCUGACAAAAACAUGUUCAAGAUCUAGAGCUAGUAGAGUAUUCAAAUGCAGACUUUACUAACUGUCAGAAUGAUAAAAAGUUGACAACAUAAUAUAUUUUUAUAUUAACAGAAGGUGCGGUAUUAUGACAAAACAAUAAGCAAAAAUCCAUAUCUUCCUCUACUAUGCAAACGGAGUUUGUAGCAUGCUCUGCAGCUGUUACUUAAGAUAUUUGACUUCGGAACCUCAUUAAGAAGUUGACCAUAUUUGAUCUUGUGAAUAGACCCAUACAGUUAUAUCGAGAUAAUAACUUUUCAAUGUCAUUUAUCAACAACAACAAAGGUCUCGAGGGGUUUAGAUAUAUGGCGGUCAAGUUUUUUACCAUAAAGAAACGACACAGAAUAGUGACACUACAGUAGAGCAUGUUUCCAUAGAUAAUGUAGUUGUAAACCCACUAACUAAAGAUUUUCGCCCUCGUGUACUUGAACAACAUAUCAUGAACAUGGACUAUUUAGUGGGAGCUGUUUUGGUUUUUGCUCUAAUAAAACUUAUAUAUUACCCAUUUGAUAAAGUGGUCAUAAAUGUAUUGUCACCAUAUUGAGUUGAUUACAUGUAAUAGAAAUUUGAAGAUAUCGUGUAAGCCUUGAGUGAAAGGUUAGAGCAUUUGUUUAUUGGUGUUGAGUAUAUGUGUUGAUUACACAUAAAAUGUGUUAACCAUAAAGAUAAGACAUAUGUAAGUUCAUUAGAACCAUAAAAAGAUUCUCUUAGGACACAUCCGAUUUUCUAUGACACUUAAGACAAGAGAAUAAUGACCGAAAAAGGGGAUGACACAUAAGGUAUUACUCUUUAUGAAGUGUUAUUCGUUUGCCACAUGACCAUAUUGAAUCCAUAUAAGUAAAGUUAAAAGCACCCGUGACCAUGGAAGGCUUUGUGUAAGUACAUGCAAUUACCGCGAUGAUUCGGUGUUUGAGACUUUAUAGGAUAUGAUUGACUAAUCAACAAUAGUCACUAGACCAACAUAAAGGUGCGCACAUUCCGUACUACCUCAAUUAAUAUAGCCCUAGUGGGAGAAUGUAAGAGUUUUCUUUGGACUACAUUAAUUGAGAUUGUAAUUUACAGUUUUAGAAGGUUGGUCUAAUAAGAUAAGACAUAAGAUUUUCUUAAUAAUUGAAUAUGGGCUUGGCUUGUGUGAACCGAGUUGGGCCCGGCCUGUGAUGAGAGGACUUGGCUAAAAACUCUAUAAAUAGCGCUAAGGUCCCUUCUCUAACCCUCAUUGUUCCAUGAACAUUCUCUCACCUCACAUAAGGAAGCCGUGAAAGGCGGUCUCAUCAUGCUAGGAUCCGAGGGCCAUAGAGGAGAAGAACCUAAGCGUUGAAUAGUCAUCAUUCCGCAUAAAGAACGAUGGAUUCCAAAUCAAGUAUGCAAAUCCUCUUCUUCUCCUCCAAUAUGUUCAAGUUUCUAGCUAUGUUGAUCUCGGGAUGCCGCUUCGACAGCCAACAUUGUUGUCUUGCACUGAGUUGUAAAUUGCACUUUAGGGUUACAACAUUUUUAAACUAGGCGAAACUGUUGUAAUAUAUUCUAUUAUUUUAAAUGUGAUCCAAAUAUUGUAUUUCCAAUUAAUUCCGAUUUAUUGCACAAUUUAUUAUCCGCGUUUAUUACGUGAUAUUUGCUUGUUAAUAUGUUACCAUAACGGUCUUGAUGGAAGACAUUGAUAACGUAAGAAACGGAAUAAAAACAUCAAGUCUUCUAAUUCAAACCCUAUCAUUACAGAAAACACACUAUCACAUUUGAGAGGUAUUAACUAGUGGAACAGGACGUACAAAUCUGGUGAUUCCACAUCCGUAGAUUGAUUGUGUUUCGUGGAUCCAUCCAGGUUUUAUGAUUUUCCGCAUUUGCAAAUUUUCAUCGAUGGCUGGAGGUAUGUCGAUCUUUACGUUUCCGCAAAUUGAUUCUAAAUUAUGCACGUAAUUGUUUGAGAAUGAUAGAUCGAGAUCAUCAUGUUUUAUUCAAAAUUAGUCUUACAAAAACAUCCUAGCUCGGUUGCGCAAUGCUAAUUUUUUAGUCACUCACCGGUUUUCUCUUUCAUCCCACUAUAGGUUGUUUCCACCACGGCUGGAACCACUACCAACGCCGACUCCCUAUUCAGCGAUGUCAACUCAAUCCCUCCCAAUGAAUACCUUGUCCAUUUACUGGAACGAACAAAUGACCAACAACCUCGCCAUACCACCACUGCUUAUAUCAAAGUUUCACCCUUAACUACUGCAUAAACGGCCCUUUUAGCCUGGCUCGUUGCUAAAGAUGCUAUCUCCGACCACCUUCCAUCUUUCUGUAAGGCAGCACAACUGCUUUGCUUCCCGGACUUAUCAUCCCAUCAAGUUGGCAAGGACGGUCGUGUUUUCUACGAUUUCAUUAAUGGCGCCACAACACUGGCCGGUGGCAUGAACGUGAACAAAGGCGUGGAGCCAGGGAAAUACUUUCGGCAUUCAACGCUGAGAAGUGGGAAUGUGAUCCGGAUGCCAGAUCUUCGUUCCAAAACUCCCGAAAGGUCAUUUUUGCCACGCAGUAUUUCCUCUGGAUUACCGUUCUCGACCUCAAAGAUCGCCGAGCUGAAGCAAAUCUUCCAUGCUAUGGACGAUUCGACUAUGGAGGAGAUCAUGGUACGCACACUUGGCCUGUGCGAGAAAGCACCGACACAAGGUGAGACCAAGCGAUUUGUUAGUUCUGUUGAGGACAUGACAGACUUUGCCACCUAGAUAUUAGGCCACAACAUCAAGCUUCAUGCCACGAAAAGCGACGAAGGGUCGAAGCGUGAUAUCUUGAUUGGACGAGUAAAAAGGAUAGGUGGGAGUAAAUCGAGUGCGCCUGUGGCAGAUCACGAUAGUCUAUUUCCUUGCAUGGUUUAUAACUGUCAUGCGGUUCCAAAACCCCACGUUCACGAGGUGGGUAUACUGGAUCCCGUGUGCAAGUCCAAGAUCAACAACGGCGUCGCAGUCUGUCAUAUGGACACGUCGGCUGGGAAUCCAAAUCACGAGGCAUUUCUUGCGCUCGGGUCGGGCCCUGGUCGGAUCGAGGCCUGCCACUGGAUCUAUGGGGAUUAUGCGGUCUGGGCUAAUUAGUAAUGGAAAAAAAAAAUGAAGUGUGGAUCAAAUUGAAUAAUAUAGGUUGGACCUGGAGGCCGAGAAAAAUUGGCCGAUAGCUCCAUCGCAAGUCAUCAUUUGCUUGAAAGUAUUAUCUAAUAUGGUAUCUACUAUCUAAUAUACACGACUAUGAUCGUGUGAGUGUGCGUGUGUUAUUAUGGUUAGUAUAUGUCAAGUGUUUGUGUGACUUUGAUCUAGCAUUUGUAAUUAUUGUGGUGUGCAUGUGAAAAAGUUUGUCAUGUGAAGUACUUACUAUUACCCAUCUCCUUCCAGAACAUAACAUGACUCCAUGUCCCAAACUGUAAUAUACCAUCGUUAGAUUUUUCUUCUUUUUUUAAAUUUGGUUUUCCAUCAUAUAUCUCUACCAUCAGCGCCUUGACAUCAUAACAAAUGGAAUUAGAAGAGAUUAAUGGACAUGGGGUGAAGCACCUCACUGAUCAAUCUCACUUGAUUCAAGAUGUGCAGAUACCAUGUGCUAAUUAUUUUCAUUGAAUUUGUAACACAGAGCUACUUCUAAUCAUUUUAGCAAAUUUUUUCAUGUCUAACAUCAGCAUAAUUUGAUAACUCAAGAAGAAGGCUAUAUCAAGACUAAAAAUUCUUUUUUGUCCCAGUUAUUAGUCUCUAUUGCCAUUAAGGAUCAAGUGAUUUACUAACUGAAGUUCUUUUCUUUUGUUGUUUUCCCCUUCGAUAAGUAUAUGCGACCGAAGUUCAACAGCUUAGAAGAAGAUAAAGCGAGUGGCACUCCUCAAUGGAUUAACUCAUCGGUCAAGUAUUUGAUUUAAGUUCGGUAAUUCAGGUUUAAAUCAGAACAUUGUCCCCUCAAAAUAACGUCGGGAACAGCAUCUUCAACCGAUGCACUUAGGCAAAGCUUUUUGCAUGCACUGUAGAGAUUAGCCAAGACGAGUUCGGAUAGGCCGUCGUCGCCGAGAAACAAAGAGAGCGGAAAAGGCUCGCGUCCCCACGAAUGUUCCAAGAUCUUGCUGUCGGCGAUAUGAAAAGCAACCCUUGGGCCAGCGUAGUCGAAUGGCCCAUGACCAUUCAUUGGAUCGACCCAUGUGGCAAUGAUGAUUGGAAGCGCAUUUGACAAUUGAUGAAGGGAUCCGUGAUGGGUCCAGUUGAAGAAAUCAUCCAACACCCGGGGCGGACCCGCAUUUUUUCUCAUUUACGAUCCAAGGUUCGUUGAACGGGCAAUAACAAUUCCAGGUUCCUUCAAUGCCAAUUUUGUCCUUGGGAAGGUCAUCGAGACACGCUCACCAACUGCAUCUGCACCCACUUAUCAAUCAUUCAGGUGAUGCGCACGGUAAAUUGAGCUGGGUUUGCCCCCUAUUUGGGGCAAAUAGAUAUCCAUGAGGAACAUCAGUCUACAUAUGGUUUGCUCGACUCUUAGUUGCUUAGUGAUUUUAUACUUUGUCGUUGCAGAAUGACGAUGUUCAGUUGCAAUGACUUUGUGCGAUAUCGAAACAAAUUAUACAUACACUAUGAUCGAACCAACUCACUAUCGAAUUUGAUUAUCUAGGCAAAUUCGAAUGGUGGGUCCUAUGUCAAAAGUUACCGUGCACCUAUUGUUCUAGAUCAUUCGAGAAAGAGUUGAUCGUGAACUAAACGGCUGCCGGGUUCAUAAACUAGUGUGGAGCUUGCCACCGUUACUUAACAAAUGGAUCAAAAAAGGGAGUACAAUUAAGGCACUAUUUGUUUCUUGGAAAAUAUUUUAUUUUUGGAAAAUGUUUUUCUAGGAAGUCAUUUUUUGGAAAAAAUGACAAUAAAUUUCAGUGUUUAGCUGAAAUAUGAAAGAUAACUGAAAAAUAUUUUCCAUUAGUUGAAAAUGACAAUAUGAUUGUUAAGCGUUAGUGACUUGCACGGGGUGACUGACAAAACCAAGCAUGGACACCAUGAUCUCAAGUUCGGUAUUGAUGGACCUAGGCCAAAGGGCUAGUGCCUCGAGUUCAGGCGCUCCCAGGUGUGGGGAACCGAACAUGGGCUUCUAGAUCCUAGCCUCGUUGGACCUAAGCUUAGAUGCAAGGAAUUCGGGCAAAAGCAUUGAGGUUUUGAGCUCGAGUAUCAGGGAUCCAAGCAUGAAAAUUGGGGUCUUGAGCUAGAGCUAGAGCCUAGUCUUGAUGGACUUGAACCUAAGUGCCGGCGACUCAGGCACAAACGCCAAAAAGUUAAAAUAUAUAUAUAUAUAUAUUUCUUCAAAAAAUAUUGUUUGCGAAAUAAAUGGAGCCCAAGAAUAUUAACAUCAUCCUACAAACUCGAUAUACCAACCGAUGCCUAUCUUGUACUUUACAUUGAUAAUUGCAUGGGAACGGAUCACAUAAAGAUCGACACGCUUUCACGAGCUCCCUCACGGUUCUUUAAUAGGAUGUUCCGUCCUUGUCGUUCCCAAUAAUGCAUUAUUAGCGUGAAAGAGAAGGAUCAUUAGCGGCUAAACGCGUCAACGAAUACGCAUUGAGAGCCACGUACGAGCCAACAAGACGACGCCUCGUAGUCCGAAAACGCAGCAUCCUCGAGAGCAGCCAUCCAUGGAUGUGGGAGCUGUCGGCUUCAACGAGAGAGGGUAAUGAACCGAGGAGUCAGAGCUUCAAAAUCCUACCGAUUGGUCAUCGGCAGCGUCUGCUCUCUGUAGCUUUUGAAGCAUGCAAAGCUCGAAUUGACUCAUUUGAGAUGAGGUCUAGGAAUUCCAAUUCUCCAUCUUUUACGAGUUACCUACUCUACAUCCAGCCACUCGUAACUAUUUCUUGGGCUCUCCGUUAUAACUUGUCACGACCAAAUUUUCGGGUGUGAAUCACAUAGGGUUUGGCUAAUGGAUUGUUAAGCUUAGACUUAACUCGGGCUCUCCCAAGCCCAUACCAAUUCGCGACUUAAGUUCAAAUUUCUUAACAUGCAAAUGGAUUUUAUCUAGGAGUCGCCACUAAUCAGUUUACGGUAGGUCGAUUAGACACCUAAGUAAAAUAACAUAAGAAUUAUUUUACUCUUACGAACCAGAGACUUUGGGUACGGGGACUUGGUUACACUAGACUUCUCUAAUGCCAUUUCGGUACCAUUUCUUUUAUUUUCAAUUUUUUUUUUUUUUGCAGGCAGUUUGAAUUGAUUUUAAAUCUAUUUCUCUAACAUGUGAGGUGAUCAUAUGGGUGCGCAAAUCACCAAUUUAACAUCCAAGAAAGCAAUGAAUAAAUUACAUGAAUCUAUCUAGGGUUGAUGAUGUGAAUUCUGAUCUAACGACGCAGAGGCUUUCGUUGCUACAAGGUAAAUGAUUUCUAAUGAACACGUAAUUUCUUUUUUAUUUUCAUUUAAUUAAUGAGAAUCAUGCUUUAUGCAAUGCAAUAUAACUAAAUGACCUAAUUCUAAUUACAGCAAUUUCUAAUUAAAUGGACCUAGAAACAAUCACUAAAUCUAAUUAUAUAUGACAUGCAAUGACAUUUUUUGCGUGUUUUUUUUAAAAAAAAUCGUAAUUAAAAUUGCUAAAAAUAAAAAUCUUACUAAAGUGAGAUAUUAUCUAUUUUAAGUUAGGAAAUAGACUAAUAUGAAUCCUAUCUUAACUUAGAAAUUUAUCUCGACAAGCAAUAUAAUUCCAAGAUAUUAUCUAACCUAGAUAUCAUCUAAACAUGCAUUUUAAUAUAACCAGAAAAGAAUCUAACUAUUUAUCAUGCAAUUCUAUCCAAGAAAUCAAUUCUAAUCUACAUGAUAUGCGAAUCAAUCUUUUUUGUAUUUUUGGGAUAAAUAAAGCAAUUAAAAAAAAAACAAGCGCCAAAUCAUCCGGUCAUUAAAGAUAUUAUCCAUUGUUCGAAUUAGGAAACAAUAUCUAAUCAAUUUGAUUAUUUCGCUAAUAAAAUCGAUAAAUUGAUCUUAAGCCUUAAAGAUCAAGAUAUCAAUUUUAUUCCCGCGUGUCGCGACCUACCCUCGGGGUGAGGGAACAGGUUUAGGGGUAUUGCCUAACGGACAGACUUAAGGCCCAUGUUUAGGCGUGGGUUCUCCCGAGCCCAUACCCCGCGUGACAUUAGGAUAUUUUUUAUGAAUUUUGCACAAAAGGAGUCACCAUUAGCCUAUUGGGGUCGGCUAGAAACCAAGUGAGGCAUGGGAGUACACCUCACUUCCUACGCAACCAGAGAAUCUAGAGUCGGGGACUUGAUUACACUAAUUGACCAAUUAGUGUCAUUUCGGUACCUAAUCUUGUUCAUUUUAACAAAAUGAUUUUUUGGCAGGUGAUUUGGAUUGAUUUUAUACCUAUCCACUAACAUGUGAAGUGAUCAUGCGGGUGCGAAAUCAUUAAAGUAACAGUCAUAGCUACCAAGAUCCUGAUUGCAGUAAAAUUAACACAAGCAACUAAACAAUUGCAAACAUAGUUAAACACGAAAAUUAAACAUGCAAUAUAAUCAAUAUACAAGCAAAUAAAGGCCUAAUUACACUAAAAAUGCAAUACAUAGCAAAUCCUAACCAAACCCCACAAUUUUUAGUUUUUCAAAAUUUUUAAAUUUUUUUUAAUUAAUUUUUUAAAUAUAUAUAUUUUUAAUUCUUUUUAAAAAAAUUUAUAAAAAAAAAAAAAAAAGGCGAACCGGGUCGGAUCCGAUCGGACCCAACCCAGUUUGGCUCGAUCAGCGGAGUCAAGUCCAACUGGGGAGACGGGCUAAUUGGCCUGCUCGAAAAAGAGCAAGGCCUAGUCGGGCUUUCAAUUAAAUUCAGAUUGGGCCCAACCAAUAGGCCCGAUCUGGUCUAAGUUUUUUCGUUUUAAAAACGAAGCCCACAAGCCCAAUGUACUAAAACAGCCCAAAACGAAGCCCAUUUCUCUUUUCCUAUUUUUUUUAAUCUUUUGGUGCUUUCUUUUCUUUUCUUUUUUCUUCUGCCCCUUUUCAGAUUGUCUUCUUCGAUCCCUCUUCUCCCGCAGCCGUGACAUGCCGAGGCUCUUGCCGCUCCCUCGCUGGACCAAUGCCGACUACUCCGUGAGUACCGACCACCCCCGACUACUCCAUGAGUACCGACCACCCCAAGGAAAGUCGCCGAACCACUGCCGCCCACCGGUCAUCUCUCUCGAUUGGCGCCGGCCGUCGUCGACUACCUAUUCCGGUAACCACUAACCUAUUUCCAACGGAACAAUUCAUCGAUUCAAAUACAUGCCAAUAUCUCGCGCAAACCGUUCGAAAACACAAUGAAUACAGGCAAAGCAACAAGGAUUCAACAAGCACGGGGGCAAAAAUGAGUGGGUACAGCGUUAAAACGCAAGCUGCUCUUCAGUUUUCUUUGAGGAUUUUGUCGAACACAUGGUCUACACUACCGGACUCGAAGGAUUCCGGCUCAACUGAGCACCGAACACGCUUUAGGGGUCUUAAAAUAUAACGUAGGAGGACACGGGAGCAAAGCGCAAAGGCAACGUGGACCAGAGCUCACGCGAACCGGUUGGGCGUGAGCUCCGGCCCAGCGUUUUCCAAAAACGAAAACAUGGGGUUCACGGGACCUACCUCGUCCGGUGAUGGGCUACGGCGGACAACGGCGGGCGAACAGACCUCUGGCGACGACGAGCUGCUCCCUUGAGCUUCUGCCUUUGGUUCGGCCUCUCCUCCCCUCAGUGUUUCUCUCUCGCUUACUCUCGGCUUGGUGUUUUUUUGGUCCCCCCCACUCUGUCAUCCCCUCCUCCGGUUUUAUGCUCAGCCAGCAAGCGCGCAUGGCCUCUGCAACUGCCAGCUUGCCGGCUGGACUGCCCCCCCCGACCUGCGGAUCACGCCGUUCGCCUGCCACCAAUCCCCCUGCUCUCUGUUGCUGAUCCGUUGCUGCUGUCUUAUGUUUUCUGCAGGUCGUGCGAAGACUAGUUGGGGGAGACGACCAGCUCGUUCGCGGGCUAGGCAAAGGGAUUGGGCCGGGCCCAGUGCAAGGGGAAGAAAAGAGAGGGGCGGGUUGGGCCAUGGUCGAAUCCAGCCCAACCUGACCAUUUUUUUUUCGUUUUUUCUUUCGAAUUUUUUUAACUCUUUUGUUUUUGAAUAAUAAUUUUUGUGACUAAUUCCUAACCUUUAAUGCUACUUUAAAUUAAUUAAUUUAGGUGAAAUUUAGGUGUCAACACCGCGUAAUUAAUUAUUCCAUCUAAAGCCUUAUAGAUGGAAUAAAAAAUCGACGUGCGGUUGCGAAUUAGGCAAUAAAUCCUAAUUGGAAAUGCACUUAUCAUUUAAGUGUGCACGUAAGAUACUGAAAAGCAUGUUUUAGGCAAUAAAAUAUCUAAAUCAAAUUUAGAUAUGAUAAUACCUAAUUCCGCAAAUGAUACUACCAAAUUCGGACCGAGUGGAAUCCGUUCAACGGGUGACCGGUGGUGGUGGUGCUUGGCCUCGGUCGAUAGCGCGGUGAGGAUGGGUGUUCACAAUGGUGCUCGAGGACGACUUGCAGUGAUGGGAGAGAGAUCACCAGCGGGUCCUUGCUUCGGUGAUCAACGAGCUCGCUUGGAAAGCCUGCAAAAUUAAACUCAUCUCUGGUCGUGAGUAUGGAUAAGCUGCUAUGAACUCGUCCUCCUUGGUAUUGGUGGAUUAAAGACGUCAAUGCUGCCCGAUGAACGUCUCUCAGGGUAUCGAGUUCCCUUGUAUUGAUAUUUCGUUGACCUACAAAGAGAAAAAGAAGCAACUUUUUUCUUUUUCACGUCUCCUACCAAUUGUGGCUGUCGUUUUUUUAUAUCAGGGAAUUCAACCAACAUUAGAAUAUUAGCAACAGAAUAUGUGGGAACCAAAUUAACCAAAUUCUUAGCUAGCUCUUGAUGUCACUCGGAUGUGUUUCCAAAUUUGGACUUGUCGGACGGCAGGAGUGGGGAUGGUCACCGUGGGAUGCUCAUGAACACAAUGAAUAAUGGCUAUAGACGUGGCCGACGAGGGCUAAGAAUUUGGCACGACCAAACAAAGAGGCUUGAUGAUAGCGUGCAAGCACGGAUGGGACUUAUUGAUUGCAGCUCCAGGGGCAAUCUCCCCACAAGGCUGUUCUGAAUAUGGUGAAUGACCUACAUAAUAGAGAUUCAGCUCGAGAACAAGUUUGCAAGCACGACUGUGGACUAGAGAUGCCGCGGGAUGCUUGAACGCUCUCUGGAAUUGCAGGAGCUCGUCUAGAAUCGCUGGGCGUUCGUUGGUGGGACUCCUGGAUCACUGCGACACUCGGCAUGGCGGCGCAUGGCUUGUGCUCUGGGCGAUGCUCGACUUGGUGGAUUCUUGCCGUGGUCCGCAACUCGGACAAACCAGCGGGUUGUCCUGUAAAAUAGAGAGAAUAGAAACGCAAGUCGUGGGACCAAGAGGAAGCAGCAACGUCGGGCUCAAUUCGGCUGAGGAGACGCGCUUGAGGAAGAAGACGCUUCCUCUCUCUUAUUUCUCUCUCAAUUGUGGCCGCAUCUUUUCCGUUAUGUGGCCUGGCGCGACGAUGAAGGCGCUGUUGUGAGGGACUUGUACAAGACCUCUCCCCCUCCAAGCUCUCUCCUUCUCUCUUUUUUAGUCAAAAGCUCCCUACGGAUGAUCGAAAAAUUCUCCGUCUCUCACAUACUCUCCGUAUCUCUUAAUGUGGCCUCUUCUUUCUUGCAUGAGAGCUCUUCCUUUUAAAUGCCAGACUACAUGGGAUCCCCAGGAAGAGAAGGUGAUCUGCUUUCGUAUUGUGGAUGCAUUGAAAUAUAUUCCUUUGAUUUUUUUUCCUUUCGGAACUUGUACCUUUAGCUAUGCAAAUAUAUUUAUUUUCCUUUUAAGCCCAAGUCACGUCCUUUAUUUCCUGCAAACACGAGAAUCGGCCGCCGCGAAUACUCGAAGGGUUACGCUCAUAUUGAAAUAUUAUGCCGAUUUCCUGUUUCUUCCAUUCCUUAUUACUUUGCCCAUAUUGCGUGAAUCUAACCAAAGAAUCAUGCAUAAAUUCUUUCCUCUUAAAAUAAUGUCGGUCAAUUUCUUGCCCCCCGCGUUGACCGAAUUAUGGCCAAGUGCAUAAUUUUCCUUCACGUGGAUGGGCUUUCCCAUGUACCAAUCGGUGGCCGCUUACACGUUAUCCUUCCUUUGCAUUCAUUCCCUUAAACGCACAAAUAUGUCAGUGCCAAUGUGCUGAAAAUUUCUUAAUCGACUUUUAACAAUUUAGGGCACCCAUGUAAAUGUAAUAUCAAUCACUAUGGAUGAAUUAUCGACUUAUCCAAAGUUUAAUGCUCUUGUGGGCUUCAAUAUUCAAAGCCAUUCACCCAAAUCCAUUCACUGCCGGCCCAACAAAUAUGCAAUUAAAUGAAAUAUGCUCCUAAUGACAAUAUGUUAUGCAAUUAAAUUAUAUAUUUUUUAGGGGUUAAAUUUAAUCCCUGAUUUUUUUAAUGAGAUAAAUGAUUAAGCGGGUCGUCAAAAUUUAGGUGUCAACAUAAUUGCCGUGACGACAGAUUUGAGGGAGAUUUUAAAAUAAGCUUGUCGCGACCUAAAUUUCGGGUGCACUACUUAAAAUUAGGCUAAUGGACUAUUAAGUCUAACUUAACUCGGGCUCUCCCAAGCCCAUACCAAUUCGCGACUUAGGUUCAAAUUUCUUAACAUACAAAUGAAUUUUAUUUAGAAGUCGACACUAAUCAGUUUAUGGUAGGUCGAUUAGACACCUAAAUAAAAUAAUUGAAGAAUUAUUUUACUCCCACAAACCAAAGACUUUGAGUACGGAAACCUGGUUACACUAGACUUCUCUAAUACCAAUAAUGGAAGAAUUAUUUUCAUUUUCAAAAAAUAUUUUUGCAAGCAGUUUGGAUUGAUUUUGAAUAUAUUUUCCUAACAUGUGAAGUGAUCAUGCGGGUGCGCAAACCACCAAUUUAACACCCAAUAAAGUAAUGAAUAAAUUACGAGACUUAUCUUGUAGUAAGGAAAGCAUCUACGUUGUUAGAUCAGAAUUCACAUCAACCCUAAAUAUGAUUUCUAAUUAACACACAAUUUCUUUUUAUUUUUAUUUAAUUAAUGAGAAUCAUGCUUUAUGCAAUGUAAUAUAACUAAAUGACCUAAUUCUAAUGACAGGCAAUUUCUAAUUAAAUGGAUCUACCAACAAUCACUAAAUGGCAUGUAUUUAAUGAAUCUAAUUCUAUAUGACAUGCACAUGACAUUUUUUUUUAUUUUUUCUUAAAAAAGAAUGCAUUCUAUCAUAGGGACUGAAACUAAUUUAUCCUAAGUAAUUUUUUGUAUUUUUUCAUGAAAUUCGAAAUUAGGAAAAAUGUGAAAAUUGUCUAACUAGAUUAAGAUUCUAUUCAAUUUGUAUUAGGAAUUAGGUUAAACCAAAUCCUAAUUUAAACUAAGAUAUUAUCUUAACUUAGCAAUUUCUAACCUAAGAUGUAAUCUAUCAAAAAAAUCAAUCUAAACUUAAAAUGAACUAAUGUGCAAUGACGUAUAAAGAAUGCCCUAAUUCUAGAUUUUCUUUUUUUGUUUGUUUUUUUUAUUAAUUUCAAAAUUUAAAAAAAUGUCAAAUAAUUAAACGUGCAAUUUAAGGUAAUGAAACAAAAAUCUAACAUCCUAAAUUUAUGGUUUUUUUUUUAUUUCGAAAUUCAUAAUAAAUAAAAUGCUUAGUCUAAAUGUGCAAAUAACCUUAAAGCAUGCAACAUUCUAAUGUAAACCUAAUCUAGAUCAAACAUAUUUAAAGAUAAAUAAAGCAAUCAAGACGAGACCGACCAAGCAAUUCAAAAUCAUCAAAGAUAUCAUAUAUCGUUUGGAUCAAAUGAUAAUAUCUCGCUAAUAAAAUCGAUAAUUUGAUCUUAAGCUUUAAAGAUCAAAAUAUCAAUUUUAUUUUCAUUUGAUUAAUUAUUCCAUCUAAAGCCUUAUAAAUGAAAUAAAAAACUCAUAUGCAGUUACGAAUCAAGUGAUAUGUUGGAAUUUUCAAUUAUAGAAUAGAUAAAUAUUUCUAAUAGAAAACAAGAAAUAAAAUAAAAAUAAGAUAACCUAAUAAAAUAAAGCAAAUAUACCUAAUUUGAUUUUUUUUUCUUUUUUUUUUUUAAAAAGGAAAUCUUGGCGGCCGAUUCGGAGCUCCAGCGAGGGGAAUCAACGGCGAGCGGUGUGUCCGGCGCGGGCAGCGGGGCGGAGUGGACGGCGGUGGUCGUCGCAGCAAGGGACCGGAGCGGAAGCAGCUGCUGGCCGUCGCAGGGGGGGCUGGUCGACGGCAGCAACGGUGGCGAACAGAGGCAGCAAACAGCAGCAGCUCGUCGGGGGUCACGGCGAUGGCGCAGCAGGCAAGGCUGUCGGACACCGGGCGGUCGCGGACGGAACCGCAGCGCGGAGGCGUGGGUCAGUACGGGGCUCGCUCGACGGUGGAGCGACGACCGGCUCAGAUCUGCCGUCAUCGGGGCUCCCGAGCGUGAGAUCAGGACAGCGAUGGUGUCGCGAGCCGGCACGGGCUGGAGGUGAGGCAGAGCGUGGCGGGGACUAGUGGCUUCGCGGCUUCUGGGAACGCGAGCAGCAGCGACGUCGCGGACCGGCACGGGUUCGCGGGUGAGGAGGAUCUCCGGCGACUGGCUGGCCGACAGCGGCGGAGGCGGUGUCGGCGUCGACUGGUGCGGUCGCGAGGCCGGCGCGGUGGGGGGGCUCCUCCCGAGGAAGAUUAACAGUCGCGGUCCCCCUUUUCUGUUCUCUCUCUCUCUCUCUCUCUCUCUCUCUCUCUCUCACGUCACUUCUCUCUCCCUCACGUCCCUCACCGGUCACUUCUCUUCUUUUCCCUUUUCUCUUUUUCUCUCUCUCUCUCCUAAAACCGAAGAAAGAAGAAAGCCCUCACUUUUUGCUCCAAUAUUUUUUCCGAAAUUCCUCCUCUCUUGUCCGUACGUGCACAACACUUUUAGAUCUUUACGACAUAUUUUGUUUCCAAUUUCGCUUGUACAUAAUUCCUCGAAUAUAUCAUUUGAAAUAUAUACACCUCGCGCAAUAUUAUUUUUUUUAUAUUUUUCAAAUAUUCCACCCAAAAAUUUUCUUUCUGUCAAAAAAUAUGUCUCCCAGUGUAUAUUACCUAAAUAUGUAAAAAAAAUCUCACUUGAAUUAACGCUCACCGUCGGUCCAAUGCAAAAAUAAAAUAGAAUAAAAUAAAAUAAAAUAAAUGUUUCUAAAUUAUAUAUCGUGCAAUUUUUAUUAUUUAUUAUUUUUAAAUUUUUCUUUAUUUUAGGUAAAAAUUAACUUAUUUUUUAUGAAAAACUUAUGUGUCAACAAAGCUAAGCUAUCCAAAUCUGGCAAACUUAAUGAUCUAAGGCUUAAGAAACACACCAUCUUAAAUAGAAGUUGAAAUUAGGAAUGUAAAUCUAAAACGUACCAACAAAGCCAAAAUUAGCAAUUGGCAAAAUCCUGGUAAAUAACCAACAUCCGACGAACUUAGGAAAUAUUUGUUUGGAAGAGUGUGAAUAAUCUUUAAAUCUUCAGAAGAUAACCCAACAGAGAUCUCCCAAUUAUAUCAUCUAUCCACUUAUAAAUAACAAGGGCUCAAAUAGUACAACAAAAACCACCAACUCUCUGACCCAGUCCCGGAUUUCAAGCUCAAACAUAAUGGCUCUCUUCCUCCUCCUCUUGCUCUCUUAUUUCAGUUUUAGUCAAAGCUCUCUCGCUUCCGCCUCAACUGUCUUCAGUAUCAGGAGAAAAAAUUGACUGCAGCUCCGAGUCCAUUUACCUAACGACACGUGUCGUCCAAGCCCCAUCGCGUCAGAAUCCUCUGACACCCAAACCCUCUUCGCUCUCUUCUUUGUUUCUUUUGUUUCUCAGUCGGGAGCCUCGCCCUCAAGCUCCCCAUUGCUGCCAAGCUCACCCGCUCCGCCGUCCACCCCUCCUCCUUCCCCUACUUUUGCAAGAUCAUGCUCAAGAGCUUUCCCCUCCAAACCACCCUCAUCCCCUACCUCCCGCCAGAGGUCGCCGCCUCCCCCCCCCCCCCCCCCCCCAGGCGGCGUCGCCUCCCCUCCUGGGGGACGGGGCAACGGCGACAGCGCCACCUUCUACCUCAGUAAGUUUGACCUCGAUGGGCUCAUUGGGGAGUCCAUCUUCUCUGGCAAGGUCUGCUUGAAGGUCUCUGUCUACACAGGCUGGCAUGGGGCAACCUACAGGGUGAGCUUCUGGAGCCUACUCGGGAAGGUCUCAAUGCCCUUGGACCUCGCCGAGGUCGAGUACAAGGCCUGCGUGUUCCACAGUGGGUGGAUUAAUGUCGGCAAGGAGACCAAGGGGUCGUCGUUGGCGCAGUUCCACUUGAGCAUGAAGGCGGAGCCCGACCCUCGCUUCGUGCUCCAAUUCGACGGGGAGCCCGAGUGCAUCCCGCAAGUAUUCCAAAUACAGGGCAACAUCAGGCAGCCUGUGGUGGACGAACUCUGUUGUUGUCCGCAUCGGAGUGAAAGGGAAGACCAAACGGGAGAAGAAGAAGAAAUAAAAUAAAAAAAAUGAAGGGAGGGAAGAGAGAGAGCCGAGAGGGCAUGGGUGUCAAAGGAUUCUGACGCGGCGGGGCUCGGGCGACACGUGUCAUCCGAUAAGCGCACUCGGAUUAUAGCAUGGUGGAAUCCACCCAAGCUGCAACCAAUAUUUUCCCUCGGUAUCACUCACCAAUCUUCUCUUCUCUUGUCCCAAUGCAGGAUGCUUCUAACGCCCUAGUCGCUUAUGCCAAUCUAUUCACUCCCAAGGCAUAUCUCGUCCGCUACUAAAAUCAAUUUAGGUAUUUCGUGAUAUUAACCCUUAAUUAUUAUCAUUGUCUUAUGAACAAAAAGAAAAUUGUUGCCUUUGUCAUUACACAGCUUAUUUUCCUAGUUUCCUACGACUUUAAACUUUCAUCAAACCUAUAAGAUAGUUGACACAAAAAAAUGCUAAAUACCUAAAAAAAAAUUAAAUUUUAGCUUCAACUCUAAUUUUACCUUAAGAUUUUUUUUAAAAAAAAAAUCAUUAACUUUGGCUAUGUUUAUUUCACAAAAAAUGAAAUAAUUUGGAAAAUAUUUUCUUAAAAAUGACCACUUGUAUCGCUUGAAAUAAUUAGUUAAUGGAAAAUAUUUUUAUUAUCGACAACAAUUUAUGUCUAAAUAUUUUUCAUAGACAAUGAAAUAUUUUUUGUUUGUCUAUUUUUAUAAGUAAUAUAAGUUAUCAUUUAUUUGAAAAAUAUUUUUCAAAAUAUUUAUAUUUCCAUGAAACAAACUCACUGUUUCACUCAAUUCUCAAAUCUCACUCAAUUCUCAAAUCUAUCACGACAUUAACCUUCUGUCCAAUGCGUUUGACGUGGCAUUUACAAUAGGUCUACCUUAGUGAUAAACCUCCGUCUAGUGUUCAUAUUCACCAUUCUCUUAUACUUCAUGGUCUUUAUCACGGUACCAUUAGUAAUAUUCAUCAUCUUCAACUCACGGCUACUGUUGAAAAUAAAGAGGAAAGCGUGUAUCAGCUUAUUAUCCCAACAAGUAUACACGCAAUGCAUACUCCCAAAUCAUAAAACGCAAAAUAGGGAAGCUAAUUUGCACAUACCAGUGGCUGAAACAACUCUAAGCUCGUGGCAGCCAUGGCUACAUGUGAGCUUUGCACUUCAAGUUUGCAAUGUGGCCAUGGCCAUAGCUGCUUAAGCUCCGGGCCACGAAGCUUGCAGCGGUGGCUGCCAUGGCUGCCACGAGCUUCAAACCUAUAUUGGUUGUCUGUCUUCAAUAAACUCAAGGUCCCGAUUCGGUGACGAUGCCAUGAAGUCCACAGGGGGAGCUCGAUCUAGAUCUAGGGCUAAUCCGAGGUCUAGCAAGGCAAAUGACGGCCUUAGUCGGUCCAUGGGAAGUCAAGGACCGUCGUUGGCCCUGUGCUGAACGUUGGGUGGGAGUCAGAACAAGGGAGUGUUGGGCUGAUCCGAGGUCAUCGGCGAUUUUCCUCCAGUUUAGGGGAGCCUGCAGGGGGCGUCAGCGGCGUCCUAGCCAAAGAAUAAAAAAAAAAUAUGAUGAACAGAACCGCGAUGCAAAGACGAUGAACAUUAGUGCUUCAUUUGUUUCGCAAAGAAUAAAUGAUUUAAAAAAUAUUUUCUUAAAAUUGACUGGUAAUAUCGAUUGAAAUAAUUAGUAAAUAUAAUAUAUUUUUAAUAUCGAUAAUAAUUUAUAUCUAAACAUCUUCUUAGAUGAUAAAAAUAUUUUUCGUUUCUUAACUUUUAUAAGUAAUACAAGCCAUAUUUUUCAAAAAAAUAAUUUUCAAAUCAUUCAUUUUCCGUAAAACAAAUGAAACAUAAAUGUAAUGGUGGAUAUGAACAGUGUUUAUGCAUAAAUGUUAAAACCACAUGAGUUUGCUGAGGUGGAUUUAUCGCUGACAUGAAAAUGCCACUUCAAGCAUGUUGGAAGGAGGGUUAGCGUCAGGGCAAAUUUAGGACUUGUAUGAAAGUUUGAGAUUUUUUUUUAGACCAAAAAUUUGGGGUUUUUUAGGGUAUUAAACCCACCAAAAGUAACCAAAUUUUGGUUAUUAUCGAUAAAAGCAAAGUUUGUUUAAAAUAGAAGUUAUCAACGAACUGAACAGUAAACGAAUUGAAUAAGUCAGAUAACUUACCGAUUAUCAAUGAGAUCCUUCACUAGUAGACAACUUGAAAGAGAUCGGUAAGCCAUCAACAACAAAUAGUUACCACAAAUACUUGCAAAUUUUCUGUGAAAUAUUGAGGCUGUGUAAUCCAUGAUCAAAACAGAGGUUUGCCAAUAGAUCAGUCGGCAAAUACGAUGGAUUGACACCAACACGUGAUUAUUAGGUGGUUAUGCCUAUAACCAUGGAAUUUAUGACUUCUUCUGGAUAAUCACUGUCAAAUGAUAGAGGAUAUUGUUUAUAAUCUCAUCAAGCAUAAUUGCUCACCAAUAAUUGUAAAUAGUGCUAGGAAAUUAUUCGUGGAUUCAAAUCAAUAACUGCCGCAUGGCAAGAUAUAAAGCCCCAUGUUAUAAUCAUUGUAAACAAAAUCAAUCAACAACUAAUUUUCUAUUCUUAUGCACAUUUACUUUCUUCUUUAAUUUUCCAGCAAAUGUACCGUUUUAGCAUCUUCAUAUUUUCGCACCUUCAAUGAUUAUCGCAACCUUUAAUUUCCAAUACUUGCACUUCAAUUUCUUUACUUCUAUAGCCAUUUACAUUCUUGUCUAGAAUCAACAAAGAAUCUAUUUUCCUCAAAAUUCAUCGAUCUAAUUCAUCUAUUGAUAUUUACACUUUUUGGCGAAACACUAGCCUCAUUGUUUGCACUAGUCAAUGUUUGGAGUUGAACUCAUGUCGAGCGUUCUAAUUAUUCCACAAACAUGUGAAGAGUGGGAAAUAGAGAAUCAUAGUCUGCGUGCUCUAUAAUUUCUUUUCCAAAAAUAAUCCGAUCAGUUAUUGCAAGAAAAGAUUCAAUGGACAUUAAAUCUUCACGCGUGUGUAAGGUGACAAUCAAUAAGGAAAGGUCUAAGACACGCGUGAUGGUGAUGGAUCUAUAUCUCUCCAAACAUGUCCUAUUCUGUGCAAUACAAUCUAACAUGUCUUGUCCCAUAAAGCUUAAUCUAAGCAUCUAUGGAUUUAUUGUCAUCACUCUCAAAGAUCUCAAUUUGCCAGUUGGAGCACUUCUCUCCAAAUAUUAGGAUAUAUCGAUGUGAAAUUGACACCCUAGAUAUCCAGAAGUUAGUGCCGACAUAAACUUCAAUCGAUCCUUUUUUAAUAUUUUCUAAGUAACACUAGGAUGAGUUAAUGUUAAACAAUGCUAAGCAAGUGGCAUGCAUUCACAUGUCAAAUGAAUGCACAUGUAAAAAUAACCUAAAUAUAUUUACCCUUCAUCUGCUUCGCUCAUAGCUUCACCAUUCGUUAUUAGCACUACCCUCCAUAAUAUUGCCAUCGAUAUGGGCAUCUUUCUCAUAGGCACAGCUCUCUCUCUCUCUCUCUCUCUCUCUCUCUCUCUCUCUCUCUCUCUCUCUCUCUCUCUCUCUCUCUCUCUCUCCGGUAGGCAUAAGUUUUGUCUCGUCGUCAUCAAACUGGGAGGAGUAGUAUUUUUCUAAAGAAAAGUGCAUUAAAAGUCUUAAAAUUUAUCUCGAAAAUACAUUAAAUCCUAAAACUUUCAAAAUUGUAAUCAGAUGUUAAAAUUGGUUAAAAUAAUGUAAGUAAGUCCUCGUGCUCUAUUAUUCCCCCCCCCCCCACCCAAAAACAAGAAGAAGAUCCAAUCCAUUAAUGAAAGAAAUUUUUUUUUUGCGAAGGCAAGUGACAAUAGAUUUUCAAUUAUUCAAUGGCCAUUAAUCCUCAUACAUGCGUAAGGUGACAAUCGACAAGGAAGGGUCUAUGACAUGCUUGAUGGCGAUAGAUGUGUAUCUCUCCAAACAUGUCCUAUUAUGUGCAGUACAAUCCUACAUGCUUGUCUCAUAAUGUUUGAUCCUUUAAAUUGUGAGCUGCAUAAUUCAUAAUCAUUUCUAGAUUUAUCGUCAUCGCUCUAAAAUAUCUCAAUUUGCAAAUUGGAGCACUUCUCGCCAAAAAUAAGGAUGUUGAUGUGAAACUGACAUGACACCCUAGAUAUCUAGAAGUGAGUGCACACAUAAACCUCAAUCCGUCCUUUUCUAAUAUUUUCUAACUAACAAUAGUAUAAGUUAAAAUUAAACAAUGCUAAGAUAGGUGGCAUGCAUCACAUGUCAAAUGAGCACAUGUAAACUUAAUCUAGACAUAUUUACUCUCCAUUAGCUUCGCCCAUAGCUAAAUCAGCUACACUAGCACUAGCCUCCAUAGCAUCGCCAUCGAUCCGGCAUCUUUCUCGCAAGCAUAACCACCUCUCUCUCUCUCUCUCUCUCUCUCUCUCUCUCUCUCUCUCUCUAAAAUAUAUUCUUCCACCAUAUCUCCAUUUUUCUAACCAUUACCUUUCUCUUUUAUCUCUCAAUAUUAUACCCUAUACUCUUUCUUAAAUUUCAACUUCUUACACUACCACCAUUAAUAUCCAUUAACAACCUUCUAAAAAUAUAAAAACUUANNNNNNNNNNNNNNNNNNNNNNNNNNNNNNNNNNNNNNNNNNNNNNNNNNNNNNNNNNNNNNNNNNNNNNNNNNNNNNNNNNNNNNNNNNNNNNNNNNNNNNNNNNNNNNNNNNNNNNNNNNNNNNNNNNNNNNNNNNNNNNNNNNNNNNNNNNNNNNNNNNNNNNNNNNNNNNNNNNNNNNNNNNNNNNNNNNNNNNNNNNNNNNNNNNNNNNNNNNNNNNNNNNNNNNNNNNNNNNNNNNNNNNNNNNNNNNNNNNNNNNNNNNNNNNNNNNNNNNNNNNNNNNNNNNNNNNNNNNNNNNNNNNNNNNNNNNNNNNNNNNNNNNNNNNNNNNNNNNNNNNNNNNNNNNNNNNNNNNNNNNNNNNNNNNNNNNNNNNNNNNNNNNNNNNNNNNNNNNNNNNNNNNNNNNNNNNNNNNNNNNNNNNNNNNNNNNNNNNNNNNNNNNNNNNNNNNNNNNNNNNNNNNNNNNNNNNNNNNNNNNNNNNNNNNNNNNNNNNNNNNNNNNNNNNNNNNNNNNNNNNNNNNNNNNNNNNNNNNNNNNNNNNNNNNNNNNNNNNNNNNNNNNNNNNNNNNNNNNNNNNNNNNNNNNNNNNNNNNNNNNNNNNNNNNNNNNNNNNNNNNNNNNNNNNNNNNNNNNNNNNNNNNNNNNNNNNNNNNNNNNNNNNNNNNNNNNNNNNNNNNNNNNNNNNNNNNNNNNNNNNNNNNNNNNNNNNNNNNNNNNNNNNNNNNNNNNNNNNNNNNNNNNNNNNNNNNNNNNNNNNNNNNNNNNNNNNNNNNNNNNNNNNNNNNNNNNNNNNNNNNNNNNNNNNNNNNNNNNNNNNNNNNNNNNNNNNNNNNNNNNNNNNNNNNNNNNNNNNNNNNNNNNNNNNNNNNNNNNNNNNNNNNNNNNNNNNNNNNNNNNNNNNNNNNNNNNNNNNNNNNNNNNNNNNNNNNNNNNNNNNNNNNNNNNNNNNNNNNNNNNNNNNNNNNNNNNNNNNNNNNNNNNNNNNNNNNNNNNNNNNNNNNNNNNNNNNNNNNNNNNNNNNNNNNNNNNNNNNNNNNNNNNNNNNNNNNNNNNNNNNNNNNNNNNNNNNNNNNNNNNNNNNNNNNNNNNNNNNNNNNNNNNNNNNNNNNNNNNNNNNNNNNNNNNNNNNNNNNNNNNNNNNNNNNNNNNNNNNNNNNNNNNNNNNNNNNNNNNNNNNNNNNNNNNNNNNNNNNNNNNNNNNNNNNNNNNNNNNNNNNNNNNNNNNNNNNNNNNNNNNNNNNNNNNNNNNNNNNNNNNNNNNNNNNNNNNNNNNNNNNNNNNNNNNNNNNNNNNNNNNNNNNNNNNNNNNNNNNNNNNNNNNNNNNNNNNNNNNNNNNNNNNNNNNNNNNNNNNNNNNNNNNNNNNNNNNNNNNNNNNNNNNNNNNNNNNNNNNNNNNNNNNNNNNNNNNNNNNNNNNNNNNNNNNNNNNNNNNNNNNNNNNNNNNNNNNNNNNNNNNNNNNNNNNNNNNNNNNNNNNNNNNNNNNNNNNNNNNNNNNNNNNNNNNNNNNNNNNNNNNNNNNNNNNNNNNNNNNNNNNNNNNNNNNNNNNNNNNNNNNNNNNNNNNNNNNNNNNNNNNNNNNNNNNNNNNNNNNNNNNNNNNNNNNNNNNNNNNNNNNNNNNNNNNNNNNNNNNNNNNNNNNNNNNNNNNNNNNNNNNNNNNNNNNNNNNNNNNNNNNNNNNNNNNNNNNNNNNNNNNNNNNNNNNNNNNNNNNNNNNNNNNNNNNNNNNNNNNNNNNNNNNNNNNNNNNNNNNNNNNNNNNNNNNNNNNNNNNNNNNNNNNNNNNNNNNNNNNNNNNNNNNNNNNNNNNNNNNNNNNNNNNNNNNNNNNNNNNNNNNNNNNNNNNNNNNNNNNNNNNNNNNNNNNNNNNNNNNNNNNNNNNNNNNNNNNNNNNNNNNNNNNNNNNNNNNNNNNNNNNNNNNNNNNNNNNNNNNNNNNNNNNNNNNNNNNNNNNNNNNNNNNNNNNNNNNNNNNNNNNNNNNNNNNNNNNNNNNNNNNNNNNNNNNNNNNNNNNNNNNNNNNNNNNNNNNNNNNNNNNNNNNNNNNNNNNNNNNNNNNNNNNNNNNNNNNNNNNNNNNNNNNNNNNNNNNNNNNNNNNNNNNNNNNNNNNNNNNNNNNNNNNNNNNNNNNNNNNNNNNNNNNNNNNNNNNNNNNNNNNNNNNNNNNNNNNNNNNNNNNNNNNNNNNNNNNNNNNNNNNNNNNNNNNNNNNNNNNNNNNNNNNNNNNNNNNNNNNNNNNNNNNNNNNNNNNNNNNNNNNNNNNNNNNNNNNNNNNNNNNNNNNNNNNNNNNNNNNNNNNNNNNNNNNNNNNNNNNNNNNNNNNNNNNNNNNNNNNNNNNNNNNNNNNNNNNNNNNNNNNNNNNNNNNNNNNNNNNNNNNNNNNNNNNNNNNNNNNNNNNNNNNNNNNNNNNNNNNNNNNNNNNNNNNNNNNNNNNNNNNNNNNNNNNNNNNNNNNNNNNNNNNNNNNNNNNNNNNNNNNNNNNNNNNNNNNNNNNNNNNNNNNNNNNNNNNNNNNNNNNNNNNNNNNNNNNNNNNNNNNNNNNNNNNNNNNNNNNNNNNNNNNNNNNNNNNNNNNNNNNNNNNNNNNNNNNNNNNNNNNNNNNNNNNNNNNNNNNNNNNNNNNNNNNNNNNNNNNNNNNNNNNNNNNNNNNNNNNNNNNNNNNNNNNNNNNNNNNNNNNNNNNNNNNNNNNNNNNNNNNNNNNNNNNNNNNNNNNNNNNNNNNNNNNNNNNNNNNNNNNNNNNNNNNNNNNNNNNNNNNNNNNNNNNNNNNNNNNNNNNNNNNNNNNNNNNNNNNNNNNNNNNNNNNNNNNNNNNNNNNNNNNNNNNNNNNNNNNNNNNNNNNNNNNNNNNNNNNNNNNNNNNNNNNNNNNNNNNNNNNNNNNNNNNNNNNNNNNNNNNNNNNNNNNNNNNNNNNNNNNNNNNNNNNNNNNNNNNNNNNNNNNNNNNNNNNNNNNNNNNNNNNNNNNNNNNNNNNNNNNNNNNNNNNNNNNNNNNNNNNNNNNNNNNNNNNNNNNNNNNNNNNNNNNNNNNNNNNNNNNNNNNNNNNNNNNNNNNNNNNNNNGGGGUUUUUUUUUUGAAAAGCAAAACCCACGCCGUUCUCUACAUCCCUUUCUCUCUAUAAUUCUCAUUUUCUUUUUGCUCUCUUCCUCUCCCCCCCCCCCCCCUUUUAGGGUGGGCACAAAUUUUUUUUUGGUCAUAAUCAAAGUGGGAGGGAGUAGUUUUUUUCCAAAGAAACCGGCAUUAAAAGUUUUAUAUUUUUUCUGGAAAAGGCUUUUAUUUUUUAAACUUUUUAAAAUGGUAUUCAGAUGUAAAAUUGGGUAAAAAUAAGGUAAGCAAUUCCUCCGUCCUCAUUUUUCCCCCCCCCCCCCCAAAGAUCCAAUCCAUUAAUGCAAGAAAAGAAUUUUUGUGAAGGCAAGUGACAAUAGAUUUUCAAUUAUUCAAUGGCCAUUAAUCCUCAUACAUGCGUAAGGUGACAAUCGACAAGAAAGGGUCUAUGCAAUGCUUGAUGGUGAUGGAUGUGUAUCUCUCCCAACAUGUCCUAUUAUGUGCAGUACAAUCCUACAUGCUUGUCUCAUAAUGUUUGAUCCUUUAAAUUGUGAGCUGCAUAAUUCAUAAUCAUUUCUAGAUUUAUCGUCAUCGCUCUAAAAUAUCUCGAUUUGCAAAUUGGAGCACUUCUCGCCAAAAAUGAGGAUGCUGAUGUGAAACUAACACGACACCCUAGAUAUCUAGAAGUGAGUGCACACAUAAACCUCAAUCAAUCCUUUGCUAAUAUUUUCAAGCUAACAAUAGUAUAAGUUAAAAUUAAACAAUGCUAAGAUAGGUGGCAUGCAUUCACAUGUCAAAUGAAUGCACAUGUAAACUUAAUCUAGACAUAUUUACUCUCCAUCAACUUCGCCGAUAGCUAAAUCAGCUACACUAGCACUAGCCUCCAUAGCAUCGCCAUCGAUCCGGCAUCUUUCUCGCAUGCAUAACCCCUCUCUCUCUCUCUCUCUCUCUCUCUCUCUCUCUCUCUCUCUACAGGGUGUGCCUGGAAACUUCAGGGGUCAAGUAUCAUAAAAGUUGCAUAUUAGUUAUAUAGGCGAAUAAAAUUUCAAAGAUGAAUAUUAUAUAAGGUUCAUAGGUAUGUGGUUCUGCCGGCUGUGGUCGUAUUCUUUUAAGGCGAAACAACAAGCGUCUGAGAAGAAAGGUCAACACCAUUGCUUUUGGGUGUACCUCAUCCAGUGACUUCNNNNNNNNNNNNNNNNNNNNNNNNNNNNNNNNNNNNNNNNNNNNNNNNNNNNNNNNNNNNNNNNNNNNNNNNNNNNNNNNNNNNNNNNNNNNNNNNNNNNNNNNNNNNNNNNNNNNNNNNNNNNNNNNNNNNNNNNNNNNNNNNNNNNNNNNNNNNNNNNNNNNNNNNNNNNNNNNNNNNNNNNNNNNNNNNNNNNNNNNNNNNNNNNNNNNNNNNNNNNNNNNNNNNNNNNNNNNNNNNNNNNNNNNNNNNNNNNNNNNNNNNNNNNNNNNNNNNNNNNNNNNNNNNNNNNNNNNNNNNNNNNNNNNNNNNNNNNNNNNNNNNNNNNNNNNNNNNNNNNNNNNNNNNNNNNNNNNNNNNNNNNNNNNNNNNNNNNNNNNNNNNNNNNNNNNNNNNNNNNNNNNNNNNNNNNNNNNNNNNNNNNNNNNNNNNNNNNNNNNNNNNNNNNNNNNNNNNNNNNNNNNNNNNNNNNNNNNNNNNNNNNNNNNNNNNNNNNNNNNNNNNNNNNNNNNNNNNNNNNNNNNNNNNNNNNNNNNNNNNUCUUAAAAUUUUUUUGGAAAAAGGCUUUUUUUUCCAAAAAUUUUCAAAAUUGUAUUCGAGAUGUUUUCCCCCCCCCCCCCCCCAAAAGAUCCAAUCCAUUAAUGCAAGAAAAGAAUUUUUGUGAAGGCAAGUGACAAUAGAUUUUCAAUUAUUCAAUGGCCAUUAAUCCUCAUACAUGCGUAAGGUGACAAUCAACAAGGAAGGGUCUAUGACAUGCUUGAUGGCGAUAGAUGUGUAUCUCUCCAAACAUGUCCUAUUAUGUGCAGUACAAUCCUACAUGCUUGUCUCAUAAUGCUUGAUCCUUUAAAUUGUGAGCUGCAUAAUUCAUAAUCAUUUCUAGAUUUAUCGUCAUCGCUCUAAAAUAUCUCGAUUUGCAAAUUGGAGCACUUCUCGCCAAAAAUGAGGAUGCUGAUGUGAAACUAACACGACACCCUAGAUAUCUAGAAGUGAGUGCACACAUAAACCUCAAUCAAUCCUUUGCUAAUAUUUUCAAGCUAACAAUAGUAUAAGUUAAAAUUAAACAAUGCUAAGAUAGGUGGCAUGCAUUCACAUGUCAAAUGAAUGCACAUGUAAACUUAAUCUAGACAUAUUACUCUCCAUCAACUUNNNNNNNNNNNNNNNNNNNNNNNNNNNNNNNNNNNNNNNNNNNNNNNNNNNNNNNNNNNNNNNNNNNNNNNNNNNNNNNNNNNNNNNNNNNNNNNNNNNNNNNNNNNNNNNNNNNNNNNNNNNNCUCUCUCUCUCUCUCUCUCUCUCUCUCUCUCUCUCUAUGUGUGUGUGUGUGUGUGUGUGUGGAGGUAGGCACAAGUUUUGUCUCGUCAUCAUCAAACUAACAGGAGUAGUAUUUUUCUAAUGAAAAGUGCACUAAAAGUCUUAAAAUUUAUCACAAAAAUGUAAUUAAAUUCUAAAACUUUCAAAAUUGUAAUCAAAUGUUAAAACUGGUUAAAAUAAUGUAAUUAAGUCAUGGGUGCUCUAUUAUUUUUUCCCAAAAAAAAAAAAAAGAUCCAAUCAAUUAUUGCAAGAAAAGAAUUUUAUGAAGGUGAGAAACAAUAGAUUUUCAAUUAUUCUAUGGCCAUUAAUCCUCGUACAUGCAUAAGGUGACAAUCGAUAAGGAAAGGUCUAAGACAUGCAUGAUGGUGAUGGAAAUGUAUCUCUGCAAACACCUCCUAUUAUGUGCAGUACAAUCCUAGAUGCUCGCCCCAUAAUGCUUAAUCCUUGAAAUUGUGAGCUACAUAAUUCAUAAGUACCUCCAGAUCUAUCGUCAUUGCUCUAGAAUAUCUCAAUUUACUAAUUGGAGCACUUCUUGCCAAAAAUAAGGAUGCGAUUGUGAAAUUGACACACUAGAUAUCUAGAAGUGAGUGCACACAUAAACCUCAAUCGGUCCUUUUCUAAUAUUUUCUAGUUAACAAUAGGAUAAGUUAAAAUUAAACAAUGCUAAAACAGGUGGUGUGCAUUCACAUGGCAAAUAAUUGCACAGGUAAAUUUAAUCUAGAAAAAUUUACUCUCCAUCAGCUUCUCCCACAGCUACACUAAUUGCACUAGCAUUGGCCUCCAUAGCACUGCCAUCGAUCCGGGCAUCUUUCUCACAAGCAUAACCACCUCGAUCCGGGCACUAGCUUACACCAGUUCUAAAAUUUGUCGAAAAGUCCAACCAGACCAUAAAAUUUUCAAAAAGUAUAAUAAGGUCAUAGAACUUGUCAAAGUUAUGUUAUCAAGUCCCUUUGUCAACUCUCUAUAAUUUGACUGACAUGAUUAUGUUAAUUACUUUUGUUAUGACCAAAGCUUAAAGUACUACGAAAUUAAAACUAAGAAAGAUAAAAGAACACACAAAUUUAUGUGAAAACUCUCAUGGGAAAAAACUACAGGGAGAGAAGAAGCAAAAUCUACUAUGGAAAUUUAAGGAUUAUCAAAGAUGACUCGAAAAACCUUAAGACUCAUUUUAUCGCUCAUUUUAAACCUAAUAACUUAGGAAAAAAAUAAUAUUUAUAUUGCUCCAUAUGGGGAGCGCAAUCCUUGCACUUUUGCCAAGGAUUAGUGUUGAGGUACUGGCUUGGGCCUCGACUAACACUAAACCUCAAUUUGUUUUUAUCAAGUCGGGUAGUCACAAAUUUCAAUUUAAGUAUCAAAACUCAAUUUAAGUCGAAUGCCUGGGAGCACAAUUCAAGAUAUACUCAACAAUUUCUUGAGACAUGCAACGUCCACUAAGCACCACAUCAAAAAACGAAACUUUUGGAAAAAAAUUAAAGAAAGAAAUAGAGAGUAAAAGUAAAAUAGAAAAAAGGGAACCUCAUAGCUAUCAAGUACUUAUUAGUUGAGUACCAUAACAACCAUUGGAGUUUGUCAGGGAAGUCAUCUUCCUUCCAAAUUAAAGGAUGUAUGAACGGAUUUAAUCCAAAAGGAUAAAGAAUUGAACCUCCAUGGAGUCUAAAUACGUCUGUGUGGUAUUGCCACAUGAGAUUAUCGAAAUUUUUCAGUGAGGCUAUCAUUCUAAAUUUGUUGAAUGAUCUCCUCAGGAUAAUCCAAACUUGGCCAAUCUCGCAUUAUUUCAAUCUUAUACUUUUCCUAGUGAUGAAGAGUAUGAAAAACACACCUCUGGAUGUACAUGUUGAUUUAUGCUGGCGCUUUGAGUCUGGAGAGAAAAUCAGUUAGGACAUUCUUCUUUUCUACAAUGUGUUUGGUUUCAAAGGAGUAUUUUGCAAACUAUUCAGCCUAUCGAAGCAACUGGGAGUGGGGAAUUUGCUUCUGCUUGAACUUUGUCAUCUAGGGAAAAGAUGCCAUAUCCAACUCUACUAGGAAGUGAUGGCCAAUAAGAUGGAACUCGAUUUUUUUUUUAUUACAUUCUUAACUGCCAAUAUUUCCUUGAAGGUAGAAUGAUAAUGCAUUUUAGCAUGGGAAAACUUUCCACUUUUGUAAGCGCAAAGAUGCCGCUUACCAUCAAUUUCUUCAAACAGUAUAACUGCCCGGUAUUCAUAACUGGUGUCGGUUUGAAGGACUCUCUUCUCUGUAGAUGGAAUUUGCAAUGAGGGAAAAGUCUGCAUGACUUCUUUCAAUUAUGCUAUUACCUUGGUUUGAGCUUUGCCCGGGGGGGGGGGUGUUUCUUCAGCAUUAAUUGCAAUGAGAUCGGCAAUUUGGCAUUGUCGGGGAACGAAAUAUUUGAGACAAUUAAUUAUCCCAAGAAAUUGCUGAACUUGUUUUGUUGUAAAGUUUUAUGCUGGGAAUUUCAACAAUUCCUAGGCAAUAUGUGAUCCUGGGUAGUAUAAUCCUUUAUUGAGGUGUAUCCCAAGAAAUUCAAUUUCUAUUUGAACAAUCUUCAUCUUUCUUUAAGAAAGCAUUAUUCCAUAUUUCUUUACAAUUUAUGCGAACUACUCGAGAAGUCGGCAGUGAGAUUCUUCAUCGGGGCUAUAAAGUAAUAUGUCAUUAAUGUAGACUGUUACACUUGAUAGAAUUGGUUGGAAGAUUCAGCACAUGAUCUUUUAGAACAAGGAAUGGGCUACUUUGAGGCCAAAAGGGAAAAUAUUUAAUUGGAAAUGCUGAUUUGGAAUACAAAAUCCUAUCUUUCAGGACGGAUGCCCAAUUACGAAAAUCCGGCUUUGAGAUCGAAUUUGAAAUAAACGUGGGCUUGAGAUAAUCCAACAAAAAGAUAAUUUUGAGAGGGCAAACGGAUGAUAACAUCUCUAACUAGCUGAGCUACAUUUCUCAGAGCAUCCUAGCACUCAAAAACUACAUUCAUAAAUCAUAAACUUUUCAUGAUUCUUUCAUAGAAGGUUUCACAAACCAUUUACAAGCAAUCGGUUCAAAUUGAAGUUGAAGGAUGACUCCCCAUUUCAAACAAACAAAACAGCAGUCAAUGUUUGAUCCUAUUUUACACAACAAAAAAUGCUAUUUCUUAACUGAUAACAUAUAUAAUCCAUAUCAUUUUCAAAACAUAAAAACACAGAAAAAAUAGUAUCACUCACCCGAGAAAACCAAAAACCAACUUAUAAUGGUUACUCGAGCUAACACACUUAUUCCUAUUUUCUAGAAUCAUCCAUGUGCAUAAUGUGUGGAUGGCUCCAAGGGCCAAUUUCGAACGAAACACUAUACUGUUGGUUCCAAAGGGAGUAGUCCCCGCACACGACGCCAAAUACUUAUUUGUAAUUAUAAAGGGAAAACCAUUUGCAAGUUGAACUAGAAACAAGUGGUUUUGUUCCUUUCGCUUUAUCCAUUUUGUCCUUAUCGAAUCUCUGAUCCUAUAAAUUUCUGGCUCAAUCGACCAAACCCUCCGACAACCAUCAGCAUUUCCGCUCCCUGAUUGAACAAAUACAUACAGAGCAGCUUCAACACAAUGGCUCUCACCUCCCUCUUCCUCCUCCUUCUGCUCUCUUCUCUCCAUGUCAGUAAUUUGUCAACCUUUCAUCCUCCAUGCGUACCCAACUGCUCAUCUCUCUCUCUCUCUCUCUCUCUCUCUCUCUCUCUCUCUCUCUCUCUAUCUCUCUUUCAUGCAGAGAGAGGGCUAUAUGUUUAAUUCGAUAUCUUGCGUUUUAUUAGUGUAUACUUUGUACCUAAGAAGAAACUAAAUAUGUUGGUUUGUAUCAAAAUCAAACCUGAUAAUAUUAUUUAUUUCUCGUGUGGAUUUUCUUAAUGCGUGUCAAUUGGUCAAUCAUGUUUAUGUGUACUUUGCGCUAACGAAGGAAUGUGAAUGAAACGUACAUAAUCAAGUGAACAUAUAAUGCUUUGAUAAUAUGAAGGCACGUGAGUUGCAAAAGUCAUUUUAAGUGAUUCAGCAUGACAUUACUAUUUUUAGACACAAGCAUCAGAUAACAUACGUUAAUGACUGUUAGGAAUAAAUUAUUGGGUUAUUUAUGUUCAUUGUAAAGAUAAUUCCAAUUAUGUCAUCGUGUAAUUCUAAUUCCGUGUCACGUGACUUGUACUUUUUUGCACCUUAUGUAACAAUUUUCCGUAUGUCUACUUUACUUCCAUAAAUAUGUCAUUGCAUAAUUACGUAAAGUCCUUAAUGUCCAUUCUAAUCGUGAUUAUGUAAACUUCUAGCACACGGUCACUCUUUGAUUUUCUUGUGGAUUGUCCCACGACAGGUCCUCAUCACCGUCGGUAGAGCCAGUCCCGAGUCCGACUCCCUCGUCAGCCAGUCUAACUCAAUCUCUCCCAAAGCAUACCUUGUCCGUUACUGGAACAAACAAAUCACCAACAACCUCCCCAUGCCACCGGUCCUCUUCGUCAAAGCGUCACCCCUGACCGCUGCAUCCGCAGCCAUCUUCACCCAACUCGUCGCUAAAGGCGCCAUCUCCAAUCACCUCCAAUCUUUCUGUGAGGAGGCAGAACUGCUUUGCUCCUUGAACUCAUCAUUUAAUGACGCGUUAUUAAUAGUGUAUUACCGCGUUAGUAUCGAUACAACGACGAAAACUGAUGACAUGAAUGUAAGUAGGGCCACAGAGCCGAGCAUGUACUUCCGAGAGUCCAUGCUGAAGAGCGGGAACGUGAUCCCGAUGCCCAAUCUCUGGGACAACAUGCCCAAAAGGUCGUUUUUGCCCCGCAGCAUAUCCUCCAAACUGCCGUUCUCAACCUCGAAACUCGCCGAGCUGAAGCAAAUAUUCCAUUUCGGUGAGAAUUCCACUAUGGAGAGGAUCAUGGCGCUCACACUAGGCCGGUGUGAGGUCGCAAAUUUCCAAGGCGAAACCAAGAGGUGCGUGGCCUCCAUCGAGGACAUGAUCGACUUUGCCACCUCGAUAUUGGGUCAUGACGUCACGGUCCGAUCCACGGAGGGCUCCGGAGGCUCGAAGCAGGAGGUCUUGAUCGGGUUGAUCAAUAGGAUCGAGGACGCCGAAGUGACCAAGCCCAUCGUGACCUGUCACCAGACUCUAUUUCCUUACGUGGUCUAUUACUGCCAUUCAUUUCGAAACGUCCGCGUUUACGAAGCGGACAUACUAGACCUCAAGUCCAAGACAAAGAUCAACCACGGCGUCGCCAUCUGUCAUAUGGACACGUCGGCUUGGAGGUCUACCCAUGAGGCGUUCAUCGCGCUUGGGUCGGGUCCUGGCCAGAUCGAGGUCUGCCAUUGGACAUAUGAGACUGGCGUGGUAUGGACAAACCGCCAAGUGAUAACGAAAGAACGAAGUGGGGUCAACGCUAAUUCGGCCUAGCGAUCAAGAGAGAACUUAGUCUCAAGCUGGCUCCAACCCAAGUCCUCAUUUGCCCUGUAUUAUCAUGUAAUGUAGCAUCUGAAUCUGAUGUACAUAACUCUGCGUCUGUGUUCGGUGGGUGAAAGUUGUCCUGGUCAAUAAAUCUAAAGGGUUUUUAUGAUGCCUUUGUGUUCUCCUAUGCCGUGUGUUUAGAUAUCUCCCUAACGCCUAUCUCUCAAUUGGCGCACUAUACUUUAAAAACUUUCAUGAACUAUGGCCGGGGACCAGUGAGUCCACCGCUCACGAGUGAGGAAGUAUUCUAACAACUCAAGAUUGUUGGGAAAAACCCAGGACAACAAUUCACUAAGAACUAAACUUAAUUCAGGAUCAAUAUCUUCUCCAAAACUAAAUCAACUGAAAUCGACUUAACCCAGCAAUAACCGACCAAUACAAUCUUGCAAUAAGUAAAUAUAACGCCGAAAUGAUAAAGAGACAAAGGCAACAAUACCACCAAGGUUUUAGGUGGAAACUCAAUGCGGGGAAAAUUACGAACUAUCCAAAAACUUCUACUAAUUACUAAAAAUAAUAGAAUGCACAAAGUGUUCUUCUCUAGUCACACAUCAAAGGCUCAACAUCAAUAAUGCAACUGUAUUUCUUCACCAUAGUGAUAGAUUAACAUAAAUAGAGUAAGAAAACUCUCAUUGAUAUUGGAGAAUUCAGAGGAGAUUUUCAUCAAACAAAACCGAUUUACUCAUAACCCUUGAUCUUACGAGUAACAUACAAAAAUUUGAACCAAUUCUAACGCUUGACCGUUGGAUGGUCGCCGGAAGCCAUUGCCCUCUUUUUCCCUUCUUCUCCACGCGUUGCUCUCGAUGAGUUCACUCUGUUGCUCUUUUGUCUCUCCUCAUGGGCACACCCGCACGAAGCGGCCCCUCUUUCUUUCUUUUUGCUUUUUACCUUUUUUAUUUAUUUUAUUUUUUUUUUUAUUUUUUUUUAUGCUAGCUGGACCCAGCCAACAAAGAUUGAUGUGAGUUAUUGCCCAAGGAUCUAACCGUUCCCAUUAUGGGAUGGGUGAUAUAUAAUGCGUUCGAUAAUUUUUUAAUCUUUGGAACAAUUUCUAUUUAAAAAUAAUUUUUUCUAUAUCGAUUUUAUAGACAAGUUUUUUAUUAGAAGAAUGUGUUUGAUAAAUGCAUAGAAUCUUUAUUCCCAAAAUAGAAUAAUAAAAGAAAUGCGUUUGGUACAAUCUUAAAAAAAAUUAUUCUCGUUUUUUUCAUCUAUUUUAAAAAUGUCAGUAAAGACUUAAUAAUUCAUAUUCGGAUAAAACUAGACUUUUCUAAUGACUUAACUGAUCAAGAUAUUCAAAGAUGGCCUUAGAAAAUUUAACGUAAUAGUUAGUCAAAUACGAAAGGUUGGAAAUGGCAACAAAGAGUUCCACUUAUUUAUAACUCACAACAUGAGAAGGUGGACAAUAAAUCUUUAAGCAUUACAAAAACAAGUGCAUAGAAGAAGAAGAUUAAAUGCUACCUGGUGGAAUGAGCAAGGACGAAACAAGUGAGUAUAGAGGCAAUCCCAAAGUUAGUUCGCAUAUUUGCACAAACUCAUCAAUAGAGGCAAUCCUAAAGUCAGUUCGCAUAUUUGCACAAACUCAUCAAACCUUCAAACAAAUGACAUUGGAAAUCCAUAGAGCACAGGCUUAUUCGAUUGUUAUAAACAUAAGACAUAAUUUUUUUAUUAAAAUAUUAUAGCCAUGGAUCAAAAACCUUGUUCAGAGCCGUCUAAUUUUUUAUUUAAAUAGAAUCGCAGAUGAUGAUGGUGAAGAAGAGUGUUGAUCUCAGUCACGCCCAUACUCUGCUUGUGAAGAAGAGUGCUUCUCUCAGUGGAGUCACCUAGCUAUCGCCACCUAGUAUUAUCUUUAAAAUAAUAUGGCAUUUAAAAAUCCAUAUGCUAAAGUCCUAAGAGUUUACUCAAUUUUGAAUCUAAUUUUCAUCAAAAUAUUUUCACUUUUUUAUGCUAAACUAAAUCUGACCUAGAAUUAACACUAAAAUCUAGUAAAACUACUCCAAAAUCUAAUUUCUAAAUUUUUUACUAAAUUUCUAUAUUUUUUAUUUUUUUAUUCUAAAAAAUGGGGACUUGGAUCUAGUCGGGAGACUAGGUCCGGAUGUGGGUCUCACCCAAACCUUGUGUAGAUUGUGUAAAGACGAGCAUUAUGUUACGGUGAGUUCGCUUCUCUAAAAUGACCUUGUUUCUCUUUUUGUUUUAGGAAACAAAAAAGUAGUUUCUUUUUUAUAUCUAGUUUCUGAUCUAUUUCGAGGAAUAAAAAAAAUUAACUUACAUACACAAACAGAUUUAUGUUCUUCUUUUUUUUUUUAAUUCCAAGAGCAAAAGAACAGAAAAAUAGAGAAAUAUAAAUGUUACCAAACAAGCCAUAAAUGUUCAAUCGCGUGAUGGAAAUUAAGGUGAGCGAUGUUUGUCGAGAGACAAAUAAGUUACCCUAUACUCCUCACCUGUAAGGUGCAAAAUUGGUGGUUAAGAGUCUCAACUUGAUAGUUUGUGUUAUAAAGUCCAACAAAAAAAUUUACGAAACUAAUAGGGUGGACACACAUUUGCGAUAGGAAUAACCCUGCCUCCGUCCCAACCUAACAAGCCCUCGUUGCCGUCAAAUUUGUCAACUGACAAAAAGAGAGAGGGGGGGGGGGGGGGGGGGGGUUUUGGGUCGGUGGGUGGAGAGGGGUUUCUAAUAGCCCUGAGACCAAUCCCUUGUCAUAUCUGCCGCGAAUCCUAUACAAAAUGCCCUAACACAUUCUCAAAUAUUUUAUGUAUUAUGAUAUGCUAUGUACGUGUUAUGAACAAAAUGAAUUUAAGUUACGAUAGAUAUUGAGAGAUUGGUCCCACCCGAGAGACCGUGACGAGGCCAUGGCGGAGAGAAGCUAUUGCCAUUGUUUUAAUGUCAAAUAAGAAUUCUAUCCACAAAUAGAAUGGAGAAGCUUUCAAAAGAGAAUAUGGGAAAAUCUCAAAUAAGGGCCUGAAGUGGGUUUAUUUUCUCAAAAAAGGACCCAAAGUGGACACUGUAUCAAAUAAGGACCCAAAGUGGCUAGUUUUGUCUUAAAUAAGGACCCAAAUUUUCAAUCUUAUUUACAACUUGGGGUAGUUUUGUCCAAUAACAUUUUUUCUUUAAUUUUUUUUCUUUCUUCUUCCUCACACCUCCUCCUUCGCUCUAUAUUGCCUCCUUCUUCAACACCAUAAUUAGGGGCCCUACCAGCGACCUAGUGAACUUCAUGUCAUCACGUAGUUGGUCUUAGUGACAAGAAGUCGGAUUGGAGUUAUUUGCUACUGGUCACCUUCUCGGAUGCUAAAAUCCUCAAUUCCUCAAGAUGCAUCAAGUCUCGGCUCGCUUGUGCUCAGCCUAAAGCUCGAAUUGACCUCCAUUUGACAACGACGAUGCUGGAUUUUCUAUCAGGGCAAGUAAUUGAUGAAGUCGAGAGCUCAAAUAGGACUUGUCAAUGGCGGCAAUGGGGCAACAAAGUACAAUAGUUUCUACAGUUAAUGAUGUCAAAUACAACUAAUGAUCAAUCUCAAGAUGGGGUAUUGAUUGAGGAGAAGAGCUGUGUCGAUGAGAAUGGCAAGAGUGUGAGUGGGUGUCUCCAUACUAACGAUUAUUGAAAGGAGCCAUUGGCAUUGCAAAGGGGAAGGGGGAUCUUUGAAAGAUUGAAUUUACGCAAGAAAAGCAAACUCUUGCCGAGGUUGAAAUAGUCACUAGCUGUAACAAAAUUGUUCUUUGGUAUGAAAUUGUUGAUCACCAAGUGUAAUUUGAAUAGAGACAUAAGUUAGUCAAACAAGACGAUCUGGCGAUGCUUGGAUAUUGCUACUCUGUUGUUGGCAAGUAGGAUUGAAAAUAGCACAAAAAAUUGGAGUUGCUAGGUUAGCAGAAGGCCCGGAAUAAGUGGAGUUUGAUGCACUCUUGAGGUGAGAGAAAUACGUCGCCAAAGGGAUUAGUUGUAUAGCUUGAGAGUUGGACAAAAAGUUGAGUCUCAGCAAAAGCAGAUUCAUAUUAUGGCUUUGAGAUCAGAAUUUGCGAUGACUGUUACAAUAAAAAGAACUUAUUUUUGAACGCUCAUUUUGGCUUCAUGGAAUUGUCUACAAACCAUUUUGAGAAGCGAAAUUUAAAAUUUUCAACGAAUUAGACGACGUUGUAAUAGCUCGUGUUAAAGAAAACCCAAUCUUGGUCAUACAACAAGAUGACACAAAGAGCAAUGGAGGGGCUGAUAAUGGAGGUGAUGUAGAGAGUAAGAAAGAUGAAGAAAGAAAAAAGAAGAAAGAGAGAGACAAAAAAUAAACAACAAUGUGCUUGGACAAAAGUACCCCUGGCUGUGAAUAAAAUUAGAAGUUCGGGUUCUUAAUUGAGAGUAAGUUAGCCACUCCGGGUCCUUAUUUGAGACAGUAUUCACUUUGGAUCCUUUUUUUGAGAAAAUGGCUCCACUUCAGGUCUUUAUUUGAGAUUUUCCCAAAGAAUAUUGUAAUUGCCCGUCUUUCCACGUUUGGACAUGCACACUUUCGAUACGAGACACUAAAGUCGAGACUCGAAAGCUCUAUUGAAGAGUCCGAUCCCAUUAUGGAAAGAGAAAGAGACUAGAGUUGCUUGCGUUCUUCACUUCGAUCGAUAGCAAGCCAAUCAAUUCUCAAAUCACUUCCGUCAUUUUUAGAUCAAAUUGAUAUGAAAUCAAGCUCAUUCAACUAAACCUACACACUACCGACCAAAAUAAAUUAAUAAAUACAUAAACCUACGCACGUUUACAGCAUAUUCGCUCUCACAUCAAGCAACGCCAGCAAGUGUAUAGUACUGUCCGAGACGAUGAACCCAUGGAUAUGCAGCACACCUACACCUCAUGACCCUAUCAAUUCACACCAAUUCACAGCAUAUGUUGAUAUGUUCCAGUCUAUACGAGCGUAUAAUAUUAAAAAUAGGUAACUAAAAUGUUCGAGGAAGUCGCAGGCAGAGGAUUGAGGCAAGUUCUAAGAGCAUAUAUUCAAAUUCAAAGCUCAUGUAUGUCAGUAUAAAUGCAAUGACUAAAUCAAGGGAUAAGUGAAUUGAAGCAUUGUGCUCAAUUUUCAAUUUUAAUCUAUCCUCAGCAACCUUGGCAUGUGAACUGAAAUAACCUGAUCUUACCUCAUCUAUAUGGCGAAGCGAAACAGAGGGACGUUGCUGAGAUGACAACCGUCGACCGAGAAGAGAGGGAAAAGCAAAGAGUCUCGAUCAGUCCUUCACUGCGGCAUUUCAUCAGACUCCUGGCGAGUGUAUUGAAUGAACCCGCGACGGCAAAGGCAGAAAGAGUUAAAAGAUGGAGUGAGAUAUUCGGUUAGAGCAGUGUUGAGUCAGAGGAAGUAAGCAGCAGCGGGGACUGCUCGAUUUGAUGAGGAAUCGUUUGAUAUCAGCGACCGGCGAAAGACGAACCGAAGCGAGACAAAGGCGAAUGCUACGACCAUGAUUCAUCUUGAGCACAUAGCAAGGUCGCAAGAAGACCAGCGACAAGGCCGGAGAGAAAAAGCAUCGGCGGCGGCGGAGAUAUCCUGACGAUGAAAUCACGAGCAGGGAUAUGGAAACGACCAGGUAGGUGUGGGCUCUUGGCUGAUGGGAUUCCAUCACCAUCGAGUCCGUUCCGCUUGUUGCUUUGGCCGACCGCCAUUGAUCGGUUCUUCAGGCCCUGCAAUCGCUCCCUCCACCAUCUUCGGAGUAAGCGUAUCAAAUUUUGAAGAGACGAAGCUCCGCGAGGCCGGAUUCUGAACGAUGACCGAAUCUGUCGAUUGAAAUCGCCGACCGCUGCUCCUCGAGGUCGCGGACGGCGAGUGGCGAGCAUCGAGGAAAACGGGAUGGCGUCGUCGAUCGGUGGGAAUCCGUCGGGCCUCAACUUCGUCUUCUUCUCCAGUCACCAUUUUUCGUGAGGGGAAUUUGAUUUUUCUUUUUCCUUUUUUUUUUGGAGGGAGAUAUCUUUUUGUGCCUUAAAUCUCAGCCCUUCAAUGUUUUCUCGAUCCUACGGCCCUGAUAAUUGUUUGAGAGGGCACGAGGAUAUGUGACGGGCCGGGGCCGCGCGGGUUCUUUAGCGCCAGCCUUAAAACUUGAUUAAGCUAAUUGAUUUGCCAAUCAAAUUUAGUUCCUUUCACCAAAUUAAUUCAUUUUUUCCGGCUUUUCUUAUCAAAUUUAUAUCUUUUUUAUUUGCUUUUCAAAUUAUAGGUAAAUCAUUUUUGUUAUCGUGUCUAAUAUGACAUGGAAAAUAAAUACAUAUUUGUAUUUAAAAAGCACUAGUAUUAAAUUACCGAGCGUCUCAAAAAAGCUUUAAAAGAUUAUUUUGCAACACGAAAGAUUUAAAAUUAGCAUUAGAGGACACGUUUUUUUAAUAAGUAGCUUAUGUUACAUUUUUAUCUUUCAUCAUAUUGAAUUUCAACAGACUCACUUGAUAUUAAAGAAAAAUAAUGAUUUUUUUUGCUAGAAGUAAUUGCCUACGCGGCAAUGUGUGGGCCCGUUUUAGUCAAUAUAUAGAAUCUGCCAGACAAUGACCAUAAUCAUUUGCAGCGUGCGUGAAAGUUGUUGUUAUGGUCAGUCGCUAAACCUCAAACGUGGGCAGAAGUUUGAUCUAACAUCCCUAAUAAUUGUCCUUGUCCAUGUGUAAGAGUCUGUCGUGAUUAGUAAUGUCAAGUCUUUCUAGUCUAUUACCUUUUUUUUUAAUGACCCAGGGAAUCCCGCACGGCCGGCAGCCGGAGAUAAACCACUGGGGGCGACAAGUGCUAGCCACCACACACGUGCCACCGGGUAAGUCGCCAAAUUCCUGCAACUUGCGUUGCACUAGUCUAUUACCUUUGUAUUCAAAUACCUUGGAAAUUUUCCAAGUAAUCAAUUCUAAAUUUAUUAUGCGGAUAUUAAUUCAGUCCUAAGCAUUUUAAAUUUGUUAAUUUAGCAAAAAACCUUUAAGCAAUUUUCCGAUAUACUCAUUCCAAUCAAUUUUUAGAGGAAAUCGCUAACGUGGCAGUUUUAGUCAUCGCCAACCAAUGCCCAUGAAAAUUGGCUGAAAUAACUAUAUUGAAAUUUCUCACAAAGAUUUAAAAUUAAAUUUGCAAAAUUGAAAAAGUUAAAAUUAAUUGACAUCCAUAUAAUUAGUUUAGAACUGAUUGAACGAUUUCCUCUCUUGAUGUCCAUUUCCUAAUUUACAUUACUUGGAAAUUUUCAUUAACUAUUGCAAAGAACAGGUGAGUUUACACUUACGAGUGACAAGUAUUUCGACAAAUGGAGAUUAGUGUUAAUUAUUGGGUUAAUAUCAUAAAAAACCUCAAAUUAGUAUAUUUGUAAUAAAUUUAUCCCAAACUAAUUUCUUGAUUACCAAAAAUUACAUACCGCUACACCUAUGAGAAAUUUACCCAAAAUUAAUGUUUUGACCAUCAAAAAGCUUAAAUUGAUUCAUUUGUGAUAAAUUUAUCUUCUACUAGUUUCCGUUAAAUGAAAUUAAUACCAUGAAAAACCUUAAAUCGGUAUACAUGUGACAAAUGAAAGGUAAAACCCCAAACUAGUAUACCCAUAAACUGCCACAUGUCAUCCAACUCAAUAAUUUGAUGAUAAAAUUUAACGGAAACUAACGAAUGAUAAAUUUGUCAUAAAUAUACCAGUUUGAGGUUUUUACGAUGAAAAAAUAGUUUGAUGUAUAUUUAUCACACGUGUAUCAGUAUAGGAUUUUUUGUGAUUAAAAAAUUAGUUUGGGAUAAAUUUAUCACAAAUGUAUUAAUUUGAGAUUUUUCAUGAUAUUAAUUCUUAAUUAUUACCAUUGUCUUCCGGACAAAAAAAUAAUAAUAAUUUGUUGGCCUUAUCAUUACGCGGCUUAUUUUCCUAAAUUCCUAAGACUUUAAACUUUUAUCAAACCUAUAAAAUAGUUGACACGAAAAAGGGCCUAAUACCUGGAAAAAAUUUAAAUUUUAGCUUCAAUUCUAAUUUUACCUUAAGGUUUUCUUUAAAAAAAAAUCAUUAAAUUUGGUUCUAUCUAUUUCCUAGAAAAGGAAAUAAUUUGAAAAUAUUUUCUUAAAAAUGAUCACUUACAUCGUUUGAAAUAAUUAGUUAAUGGAAAAUAUUUUUAUUAUUGACAACAAUUUAUGUUUAAAUACUUUCAUGAACAAUGAAAUAUUUUUUAUUUAUUGAUAUAAAUAAUCUAAGCUAUCAUUUAUUUGAAAAAUAUUUUUCAAAUUAUGUAUUUUUCACAAAACAAACUCAUUCUUUUACUCAAGUCUCAAAUCCAUCACAAACCAAACAUGUACUAAUUUUUACUGAUAACGAGCAAAAUACUGAUGCUAAUAGCAAAAAUACUAAUAAUCUUGAUCAAGCCGACGUGAACCUUCUAUCCAACAUGUUGGACGUGGCAUUUAUGAUAGAUCUACCUCAACAAUAAACCUCCAUCUAGUGUUUACACUCACCGUUCUCUUAUACUUACUUCAUGGUCUUUAUCACGGCAGUGUUCAUAAAUAGUUAAGUACAAUUCAUCAUCUGCAACUCGCGGCUACUGUUGAAACUAAAGGACAGCAUGUAUUGGCUUAUUAUCCCAACAAGUAUACCUGCAAUGCAUGCUCCCAGAUCAGAAAACACAAAAUGGGGAAGCUAAUUUGCACCUACUAGAGGCCGAGACAACUCUAAGCUCGUGGCGGCCAUGGCCGCAUGAGCUUUGCACUUCAAGUUUGCAACCCGGCCAUGUCCAUAUCCAGUCAAGCUCGGGGCCACAUAGCUUGCGGUAGCGAUGGCCAUGACCGCCAUGAGCUUCAAACCUAUGUUAGGUUGUCUGUCUUCAAUAACCUCAAGGUCCCGAUUCAGUGACAAUGAGAAGAUUUAUGGAAAGAAUGAGAAGAAGAAGAGAGAUGAGUGUAGAUGAAGAAUUUGAGCUUUCAUGAUUUCUUCUCUCUGUGUUCUAAGAAAAUGUUCAUCUGAGAGCUUGCUCACUCGCUUGCUCUGUUUUCUAUUUAUAUUACAUACUCAGAUCCAAAAAAUAGCCAAUGAUAGUUUUACAGCUCAUCUAACAGAGAAACAGAAUAACAUAAAACAGAAUGAAAGAAGGAGGAUUGUGGAUCCCAGUCUAUUGCUCGACUUCUUGUUCUGUUAAGAGCACAAAAUAGAGAAACGGUUGUGCAGAGCACCACUCAUAGUUUGACACGUAGAGCUGGAGGAUUCACCACCGACUUCAUCUCUUUUCUUCCUUGUUGAAACAGCAACCCCAGGCAUACGCAUAGCAGAUGAUUUGCUCACUUCAUUUCUUCUCAGUCUUUGUUAAAACAGCAACAGCAGCAUCUUCAUUUCUUUUCUUCUUUGUUGAAAUAGCAGUACCAGACUGUGCGAGAUGGGUCUCAACAUCCCCCGCAAAUUAGGAAGGGGUUUGAACCCCAUACCCAAUUUGGUUUUGACAGUAGAGUGAUCUAAUCAUGAUAACGACUUGGUAAAAAUAUCAGCAAGCGGACAAGUGCUAGGGACAUAACGAACACUUAAUGAGCCUAAUGAAACUUUUUCUUGAACAAAGUGGAAGUCGACUUCGAUGUGCUUGGUUCGAGCAUGUAAGAUAGGAUUUGCAGUAAGAGAAAUGGUAGACUGAUUAUCACAAAACAGAAUUGUUGGUGAGGAUAGACAAAUGCCAAUGUCACGUAGAACAAAGCUAAUCCAUGUAAGAUUAGCAGUAGUAGAUGCAAGAGCUCUAUAUUCAGUUUCUGUGGAGGAAUGAGACACAGUAGGUUGCCUCUUGGCUAACCAUGAAAUCAAAUUAGAACCAAGAUAGGUGUAGAAGCCAGUGGUUGAGCGUCUAGUGUCAACGCAACCACCCCAAUCAGCAUCUGAAAACCCAUAUAAGGUCAUCAAAAUGUUAGAAUGGAUGAAAAAACCAAGAUGAACAAUUCCUUUAACAUAUCAAAGAACCCUUUUUAACUUAUGGAAAUCUCCAACCAUUGGCUGCUGCAUUUUCUAACAUAGUAGGUUUGUUGCAUAAGCAAGAUUAGGGCGAUUUAUUGUUAGAUAUUGAAGAUCGCCAACUAGACUUCUGUAUUCAAGUGGAUUGGCGAGCAGGAUGUCAUCAUUUGUCAUGGUGACUAGUCUCAAUGGCGGAGGAGUUGAGAUGGGUUUGCAUUCUGUCAUGUUGGCUCUCGUAAGAAGAUCAAUGGCAUAUUUGGUUUGAUAGAGGAAAAGAUCUUGAGAGGUACGUUUGGCUUCAAUACCUAAGAAAUAGUGGAGACACCCUAGAUCUUACAUGUGGAGGUGGAGACUUAGCGACUUGAUCAGUUUGCCAGUAUCUGAUUUGAGUUGCCAAUUAGCACAAUGUCAUUUACAUAAAGCAAUAGAAGGAUUGUAUCUUAUCCAUCACGAAGCACAGAGAUGAGGGAUUAGUCGUGCUACAGGAGAAGCCAGCUUCAAGAAGAAAAUUGCUACACUUUUCGAACCAAGCACAUGGAGCUUGACGAAGACCAUACAAAGAUUUCUUGAGAAGACAUACAUGUUGAGACAUUUGGGUAUGUGUAAAACCAGGAGGCUACUCCAUAUAUACUAUCUCAUUUAAUGUUCCAUGAAAGAAAGCAUUUUUAACAUCAAGUUGAUGUAUUGGCUAGUGCUUCAUCAUUUCUACAAAGAGUACUAUACGGAUUGUGGUAUGUUUGACAACAGGAUUGAAUGUUUUUGUAAAAUCAACUCCCUCUUCUUGGUGAAAUCCCUUAGCCACCAACCGGGCCUUCAACUUGUCAAGACUUCCAUCAAGUGCUAACUUAGUUUUAAACACCUAUUUACUUCCUAUGACAUUCAUUUGGUUAGUUCAAGGAACUAAUAUCCAUGUCUAAUUUUCAUGUAGAGCAUCCAUUUCAUCCUGCAUUGCUUUACGCCUUCAUUUGCCAAGGCUGAUUUAACUGAUCGUGGUUCAAGAGAAACUUUGUAUUUAGCCAAGCAUGCAUAUCUGGGAUUUGGCUUCACAAUACCAGAUUUUAGUCGAGUUUGCAUAGGGUGGAUGGAGAUUGUACCUUGUGGGUUAAGUGGAGGAUUUUGUUGUGUUUGGUCGAUGAUGAUCUCAGUUGGUGCUUCAGUGGUGUGAGUAAGAACUAUUGGUUCUUCAGGAGUUGAGUCAAACUACAAUUGUAAGGUAGAGGAAUUCUGUGGCUAUAUUGAACUGACCAAUUUCCAAGACUCCACUAUCUUGUAAAUGUCCUAUAUGUUGAUUUGAGAGAUGUCUCACUUGUUCUACAAUAGUCGAGUCCAGAAAAUUAACUUCUUCUGCCCAUUUUCGAUAUAGAGCAGUAUAUUAAGUGUACUAUGUUGUUAGUUUCUUGGCAAAAGGAAAGAAGCUUUCGCCAAACAUCACGUGUCGACUAAUAUAUAUGCGACCAUUAGUAGGCACAAGACAAUGAUAUCCUUUAUGUCGUUCACUAUAUCCCAGAAAUACACACGUGAGUGAUCGUGGAUUAAAUUUAUUGUGACAGCCUAAGCGGCAGUGCGCAGAGAGGAGGGAUGGCGGUGCGUCCGCCCCUCAGUCUCCGGACGUGCGCAGGGAAAGGGGUCCCUCUCUUGUCCCACAUCGCUUAGGGGGGAGUCCUGAGUUAAUUUAUAAGGCUUGGGUUCCUCUAAUCUGUGUAACGCAUUUUAAAGCCAUGAGAACUCAAUGUCCAAAGCAGACAAUAUUACAUAGUGGGACCCGGGUCCUUACAAGUGGUAUUAGAGCCAACUCCCGACCGCGUGUGGGGCCACAGUUAGGACGCUGUGCUCCUAAGGGGUGGAAAGUGUGACAACCCAAGCGGCGGUGUGCGGGGAGGAGGGAUGGCGAUGCGUCUAUGCCUCGGUUCCCGAACGUGCGCACUUUGCUCCUAAGGGGUGGAGAGUGUGACAACCCAAGCGGCAGUGUGUGGGGAGGAGGGAUGGUGAUGCGUCUAUGCCUCGGUUCCCGAACGUACGCACUGUGCUCCUAAGGGGUGGAGAGUGUGACAACCCAAGUGGCGGUGUGCGGGGAGGAGGGAUGGCAGUGCGUCUGCGCCUUGGUCCCCAGACGUGCGCAAGGAAGGGUCCCUCUCUUGUCCCACAUCGCUUGGGGGGAAAUCAUGGGCUAGUUUAUAAGGCUCGGGUUUCUCUAAUAUAUGUAACGCGUUUUAAAGUUGUGAGGACUCAGUGUCCAAAGCGGACAAUAUUACACAGUGGGGCCCGGGUCCUUACAUUUAUGUUGUGCAUAUGGUCUAAGACAGGGAUAACAGGCACACCCAAAGACUCUCAGAUGCUCAUAGCUUGGCUUCUGUUUCUAAAGUUUGCUGUAAGGAGAAUGCAUCUGUAACUUUGAUGUGGGAAGUACAUUGACAAUGUAGUUACUUGUCAUGAUUGACAAUGUAAACCUGUCAUGAAAGCAUCCACCUAGUAUUUUAAUGGAACUCUAGCGUGAUAAAGCAUGGCCAACCCCAAUUCAACCACGUGACGGUGUUUUUUUUCAGAAAUCCCAUUCUAUUCUAGUGUGUAAGGGCAAGAGACAUAUUGUUUAAUGCCACAAGUCUGUAAAUGGCUCUGAAACUUGUUGCUAGUGAAUUCUCCUCCACCAUCACAUUGAAAUAUUUUGAUUUUGCGAUCAAAUUGGUUCUCUACUUGUUUCUGAAACAUGACAAAGAUAUCAUAGAAAUUUGACUUCAACUUCAUUGGAUAAAUCCAACUAUAACGGGAAAAGUGGUCCAUAAAUAUGACAUAGAAUUUGAAGUUAUGAAAGGAGUUAAUUGGUGAAUGACUCCAAAUAUCACAGUGAAUCUUUUCUAAAGAAACAUCAAAUGUAGAUAUUAAUAAGGGAAAUGGUAAUGCAGUACUCGUGGCAACUUGAUAGCUUCUACACAUAGCUUGAGUUUUUGUAUUGCAGUGUAUCAGUUGCUGAUUCUGUAGAUACUUCAAUGUUUGGAAGUUGGUGUGAGCUAACUGCUGGUGCCACACAUCUUCCCCGACAACCUUAUGUCUUUGAGUGAAGAGGGCCUCUGUUGUUUAUGGAUCCACUCGGUAGAAUCCUCUAACUUUGUUUCCGAGUAUCACUGUUGUGUUGGUGCGAUUGUCCUUUAUAUAGACCCCAUUUUUAUCAAAAACAAAUGAGCAGGGAUAAUCAUCUGUCAGUUUUGAAAUCGAAAGAAGAUUCUUCUUGAUUUCAAGAACAACCAGCACAUCAUUUAGAGGCAAUGCAUCAAUUUUAGUAUGUAAUAAAGCAUCAUCAUUAUAAGCAAUAGAUAGGCAUGAACCAUUUCCUAUCAUAACUGUAUCAGCCCCAUUGUACUUAGAGAAGUUGUGAACAAUACCUGAAUUUGCAGUGAUGUGGGCUGUCGCACCAGUGUUUGGUACCAUUCACUGCCUUCCUCAAGAUGCAUUGUCACUAGAACUGUUGGAAUCUCUUCAGCCUGGUAUGAAUUGUCGAAUUGAUAAUAGCAACAAAGUGCAUCGUGACCUGGACACUUACAGAUUUGACACUCCAACCGAACAUUAUAUGUUGUUUUCUCAUGCUGCAAGUGUGUUAAAUGUUAAAUUUGGGGAGGGAUAUGAUUUGGUAUCUUGAUACAUUUGUGAAGAACCUGCAUAUGGUCGAAAUCCUUGACCAGAACCCAAAAGGUUAUUAAACUGCUUAAAACGUUGAUCCUCUUGUUCCUGGUUCAAGUUAUUUGGCCUGUAACUCUGAUUUCUUCCGGGAUAUCCAUAACCACGAUUCUGACUAUUAAACACACAUCCUCUACCAUAGCUAUGUCCCUCGCGGUUGCUUCCUCUUUGGCCUACAAAUGCAAAGUUAGGCUGAUCAAGAUCUCUAUCAAAUUCCACCUUCUACUGUACCUCGGAUUUUCUUUGUCCAUAGUAUGCUAGAUUAGGAUUAUACUAGCUUGAGGAUUAGCUUUGCAACCUUGUUUCAAAUCUCUCUAGCUGUGAUAUUACUUCAUCAUAUUCCGGUUGAGGCUUCAAGCAAUACAUGGUAGUUAUGAAAUUCUCAUAUUCAAUUCCUAAUCCCUCCAAAAUGCCAAACAUCUUAGUUAUCUCAUCUACAGGCUUCCCAAUCGCAUUUAAUUGAUCACAAAUUGAUUUGUAUUCCCUGAGGUAAACAAACAACAGCCGAUCCCGUUUCUGGCAGGCUUGGAGCUUCCCUCUUAAUUCAAACUCCAUAGCUACUGACCUCUGUGUGAAGCGAUUAAGUAAAGUUUCCCAUACCUCAUAUGACAUUUCCAAACCAAUGAUCAGACUCAGGAUAUUCUCAUAUACAACUCCACUGAUCCAUGAUGAUACCACUUGAUCAAUUCUUACCAAUCUGUAUAAUCAAGGUUCACAACUUCAACUUCAUGUCCUUCAACUUCAACCUGUAAUGUUUGAGCAGGUGGUGGAGUUUCACCAUUAAUGAAGCCAAAUAGCUCUUGGCUUCGCAAAAAUCUGUGGAAGUGUGCUUACCAAAGAAGAAAGUUGUCCUCAGCUAGCUUGAUUGUAACGAAGUUGGAAAUGUUAAAACGAAGUUGGAAAUGUUAACAUGGAUUGGAAAAGGAUAUUUCUGAGUUCUUGUUGCCAUUUUCGUGCUCUUAGAGAUGGCUCUGAUACCAUGAGAAGAUUUAUGGAAAGAAUGAGAAGAAGAAGAGAGAUGAGUGUAGUGAUAUUGCUAGUAUGAGUACCUAGAGGGGGGUGAAUAGGUAUAUAAAAGAUUUUUCUUCAACAAUCGCACAAUACUAGACAGUUGAUGGAUUUUAGACAAACGAUAAUCAAAGUAAGACUGAGAGAAGAGAAAAUUGAACACGCGGUUUAUAGUGGUUCGGCUUAUAUCAAGCCUACGUCCACUCUUCUUCACUGACAGCCUAUUGGCUGGAUUCCACUAUGAACAAAAGAGAAGUUACAGCACAGCUUUGCCUUGAUUCCACAGUAUAGAUGUUCUACCACACCUCCUCAAGAUUUCUCACAAAUAUAGACUCUUUUUUGUAUACAAGUAUUCGCUCAAAGGAAUUGUCUAAACAAAAAUGAGCUUCAGACUUUGGAAUUCUUCUAUCGCGCACACCUUGAACAACUAAGACCGUCUUCCUUAUAUACUCCUUUAUGCCAUCAUACCCGUUGGCACUUACCAAAGGAAUUCCUCCAAUCUACCCGUUGGACGGAAUCAAUUAGGAAGAUUGUUCAAGCUAUUAAAGGAACAUGUUGAUAGCCCAUCAAUCCUGUUCACCCAUACAAUCAGGAUCUUGGUUUCCAUAAGUAGAACAUUCCAAUAAUAUUUAGACAAUCACCGGAUCUUCAAUUAUCGAGUCAAUCUUCGAUCAAUCAAAGGACUCCGUUAUGUCUUUUCCAGCCACGAGAUCUUCUCCAGUUGAUAAGGUUAAAUCCUUAACGAAACAUCCAGUUCUGGAUAACCUUUCUUCAACGGAUUAGAGACUGUCAAUGAUGAUAGACUUUGAGUCUUGAGUCUGGCUGUCCGGAGGUCUUCAGACUUUAAAUAACAGAGUCUGCAAGCCUUCAGACUAGACUGAUAGAAACGUUUUGUCAACUUCAAAACACUUCAAGAAGAUUUCUCCAACAUGUAGAUGAAGAAUUUGAGCUUUCAUGAUUUCUUCUCUCUGUGUUCUAAGAAAAUGUUCAUCUGAGAGCUUGCUCACUCACUUGCUCUAUUUUCUAUUUAUAUUACAUACUCAGAUCCAAAAAACAACCAAUGAUAGUUUUACAGCUCAUCUAAUAGAGAGACAAAAUAACAGAAAACAGAAUGAAAGAAGAAGGAUUGUGGAUCCCAGUCUGUUGCUCGACUUCUUGUUCUAUUAAGAGCACAAAACAGAGAAACAAUUAUGCAGAGCACCACUCAUAGUUUGACACGUAGAGCUAUAGGAUUCACCACUGACUUCAUCUCUUUUCUUCCUUGUUGAAAUAGCAACCCCGGGCAUACACAUAGCAGAUGAUUCGCUCACUUCAUUUCUUCUCAUCUUUGUUAAAAGAGCAGUAGCAGCAUCUUCAUUUCUUUUCUUCUUUGUUGAAAUAGCAGCACCAGACUGUGCGAGAUGAGUCUGAACAAACGAUGCCAUGAAGUCCACAAGGGGAGCUCAAUCUAGAUCUAGGGUUGAUCCGAGGUCUAGCAAGGCAAGCGACCGCCUUAGCCGGUCUAUGGGAAGUCAAGGACCAUCGUUGGCCCUAUGCCGAACAUUGGCUAGGAGUCGGAACAAGGGAUAGUCAGCUUGAUCCGAGGUCAUCAGCGAUUUUCCUCAAGCUUGGAGGGGGGGCCAUAGGGGUCGUCAACGGCGUCGUAGUCAAAGAAUAAAAAAAGACGAUGAACAAUAGCGUGAUGCAAAGACGAUGAACAUUAGUGCUCUGUUUGUUUUGCGAAGAAUAAAUAAUUUAAAAAUAUUUUCCUAAAGAUGAUCGCUUGUAUCAAUUGAAAUAAUUAGUUAAUGGAAUAUAUUUUUAAUAUCGAUAAUAAUUUAUAACUGAACAUCUCCGUGAUAAUAAAAAUAUUUUCCAUCUAUUAAUUUUCAUAAGUGAUAUAAACGAUCAUUUUUUUUUUUGAAAAUAUUUUUCAUAUCAUUAGCCUAAGUAUAGCAGUGAAUAUGGACAGCAUUUAUGCAUAAAUGUUAAAUCCACAUGAGUUUGCUGAGGUGGAUUUAUUGCUGACGUGGAUUUAUCGCUGACGUGGAUUUAUCGCUGACGUGUAAAUGCCACUUCAGGCACGUUGGAAGAAGGAUUAGCAUCGGGGCAAAUUUAGGACUUGGACGACAGUUUGUGAUUUUUUUUUAAACCAAAAAAUUUGGGUUUUUUUAGGGUAUUGAACCCACUAAAAGUGACCAAAUUUUGGUUAUUACCGAUGAAAGCAAAGUUUGGUUAAAACAUAAGUUAUUAAUGAACUGAACCGUAAAUGAAUUGAAUAAACUGGAUAACUUACCGAUGAAGUUAUCGAUAGAAAAUAAUACAUAGAUUAUCGACAAGCCAUCAACAACAAAUAGUUACCACAAAUAAUUGCAAAUUUUCUGUGAAAUAUUGAGGCUGUGUAAUUCAUGAUCAAAACGGAGGUUUGCCAAUACAUUAGUAGGCAAAUACGAUGGAUUGACACCAAACACGGGAUUAUAAGGUGGUUAUGCCUAUAACGAUGGAAUUUAUGACUUCUUCUGGAUACUCGCUGUCAAAUGAUAGAGGAUAAUGUUUAUAAUCUCAUCAAGCAUAUUGCUCACCAAUAAUUGUCAAUAGUGCUAGGAAAUUAUUUGUGGAUUCAUAUCAAUAACUGCCUGUCAAAACUGCCCCAUGGUAAGAGAGAAAGCCCCACGCUAUAAUCAUUGUAAACAAAAUCAAUCGACACCUAAUUUUCUAUUCUUAUGCACAUUUACUCUCUUUUUUAAUUUUCCAGCAAAUGUACCGUUUUAGCACCUUCAUAAUUUCGUACUUUCAAUUAUUCUCGCAACUUUUAAUUUCAAAUAUGUGCACUUCAAUUUCUUUACCUCUAUAGCCAUUUACAUUCUUGUCUAGAAUCAACAAAGAAUCUAUUUUCCUGAAUUUCUAUCGAUCCUAUUCAUCUAUUGAUAUUUACACUUUUCUGUGAAAUAACAGCCUCAUUGUUUACACCAAUCAAUGUUUGGAGUUCAAGAGCGUCUUAAUUAUUCCACAAACAUGAGUUACUUCUUCUUUUUUUAUCACUAAUGAAUUUUGAUGUUAUAACUUCCAAACGAAGAGUGUGUGAAGAGUGGAAAUUAGAGAAUCAUAGUCUGCAUGCUCUGUAAUUUAUUUUCCAAAAAAAAUCCGAUCAGUUAUUGUAAGAAAAGAGUCAUUGUGCGACAAUAGAUUUUCAAUUAUUCGAUGGACAUUAAUUCUUGUACAUGUGUAAGGUGACAAUCGAUAAGGAAAGGUCUAAGACACGCUUGAUGGCGAUGGAUCUAUAUCUCUCCAAACAUGUCCUAUUUUCUGCAGUACAAUCCCACAUGUCCCGUCCCAUAAAGCUUAAUCCAUUAAAUUGUGAGCCAUAGAAUUCAUGAGCAACUAUAGAAAUUAUUCGUGGAUUCAGAUCAAUAAGUGCUUGUAAAAACUCCCCCAUGGUAAGAGAUAAAGCCCCACGUUAUAAUCAUUCUAAACAAAUUCAAUCGACAACUAAUUUUCCAUUCUUAUUCACAUUUACUCUCUUCUUUAAUUUUCCAGCAAGUGUACCGUUUUAGCAUCUUCAUAUUUUCCUACCUUCAAUGAUUCUCGCAGCUUUUAAUUUCCAAUACAUGCACUUCAAUUUCUUUACUUCCAUAGCCAUUUACAUUCAUGUCUAGAAUCAACAAAGAAUCUAUUUUCCUCAAUAUUCAUCGAUCCGAUCCGAUCCGAUCCGAUUCAUCUAUUAUUUACACUUUUUGGUGAAAAACUAGCCUCAUUAUUUGCACUAGUCAAUGUUUGGAGUUGAACUCGUGUCGAGCGUCCUAAUUAUUUCCUAAACAUGUGUUAAUUUUUUUUUUAUAUCACUAAUGUAUUUUGAUGUUAUAACUUCCAAAUGAAGAGUGUGUGAAGCAUGGAAAUUAGAGAAUCAUAAUCUGCAUGCUCUGUAAUUUAUUUUCCAAAAAAAAUCCGAUCAGUUAUUGCAAGAAAAGAGUUAUUGUGUGACAAUAGAUUUUCAAUUAUUCGAUGGACAUUAAUUCUCGUACAUGUGUAAGGUGACGAUCGAUAAGGAAAGGUCUAAGACACGCUAGAUGGUGAUGGAUCUAUAUCUCUCCCAACAUUUCCUAUUUUCUGCAGUACAUCCCACAUGUCCCGUCCCAUAAAGCUUAAUCCAUUAAAUUUUGAGCCAUAGAAUUCAUAAGCAACUAUAGAAAUUAUUCGUGGAUUCAAAUUCUUGUAAAAACUACCCCAUGGUAAGAGAUAAAGCCCCACGUUAUAAUCAUUCUAAACAAAAUCAAUCGACAACUAAUUUUCUAUUCUUAUGCACAUUUACUCUCUUCUUUAAUUUUCCAGCAAAUGUACCGUUUUAGCAUCUUCAUAUUUUCCUACCUUCAAUGAUUCUCGCAGCUUUUAAUUUCCAGUACGCGCACUUCAAUUUCUUUACUUCCAUAGCCAUUUACAUUCCUGUCUAGAAUCAACAGAGAAUCUAUUUUUCCUCAAUAUUCAUCGAUCCGAUUCAUCUAUUGAUACUUACACUUUUUGGUGAAACACUAACCUCAUUGUUUGUACUAGUCAAUGUUUGGAGUUGAAGUCGUGUCGAGCGUCCUAAUUAUUCCACAAACAUGUGUUACUUUUUCUUUUCUUUUUUCACUUAUGGAUUUUGAUGUUAUAACUUCCAAAUGAAGAGUGUGUGAAGAGUGGAAAUUAGAGAAUCAUAGUCUGCAUGCUCUGUAAUUUAUUUUCCAAAAAAAAAAUCCGAUCAGUUAUUGCAAGAAAAGAACUAUUGUGUGACAACAGAUUUUCAAUUAUUCGAUGGACAUUAAUUCUCAUACAUGUGUAAGGUGACCAUCGAUAAGGAAAGGUCUAAGACACACUUGAUAGUGAUGGAUUUGUAUCUCUCCAAACAUGUCCUAUUGUGUGCAGUACAAUCCCACAUGUCCUGUCCCAUAAAGCUUAAUCCAUUAAAUUGUGAGCCAUAGAAUUCAUGAGCAACUAUAGAAAUUAUUCGUGGAUUCAAAUCAAUAACUGCUUGUAAAAACUCCCCCAUGGUAAGAGAUAAAGCCCUACGUUAUAAUCAUUCUAAACAAAAUCAAUCGACAACUAAUUUUCUAUUCUUAUGCACAUUUAGGAGGCAUUUGGUAAUAAUUCUGUUCCCGGGAACAAUUUUUUAUUAGAAAUGUUUUUUUCAGAUUCUAUUCCCAGAAAUAAUUUCUAAGCAAAAGAACGCGCUUGACUGUCCAAAAUUUUUAUUCCCGAGAUCGAAAUGCGUUUGGUAGGAUUCUUAAAUUAUUUUGUUUCUUUUAACUUUUUUAUACUUUUAUUAUAUUUUUCUUAUUUUUAUCUUUUAUCUUUUUCUUUUUUUUUUCUUUUCUUCUUCCUCCUUCUUUGUAGCCGAUCGCCGGCCACGGCGAUAGCUAGUGACCAGCUAGGCGAGGUCCGGUAAGCUCGCUAGAGCCUCGCCAGGCCAGGGCAAGGUCCGGCCAGCUUGUCGGAGGCUCACCUAGCCAAGGCGAGCCUUGGCCUCACUAGAAAGCCUCGCCAUGGCUCGACAUCACCAGGGGUCGGUGACACUCUGACGAGGUCACCGGCAAAAGGAAGAAGAAGAAAGGGGAAGAGAAAAGAGAAGAAAAGAGGAUAAAAGGAAAAAAAAAAAAAAAAAGAAGUGAUUCUAGGAAUUGUUCUCGGGAACAGAAAACAACUUUUUUCUACUUCUAAUUUCUAUUCCAAAAUAUAUUCCCAAAAACAAAAAUUUUACCAAACGGAUUUCUGUUCUUUUUUCGUUCUGAAUAAUAAAAUAACAGAAAUAGUUGUUCCGGGAAUGGUUGCCAAAUAGGGCCUUACUCUCUUCUUUAAUUUUCUAGCAAAUGUACCAUUUAAGCAUCUUCAUAUUUUCCUACCUUCAAUGAUUCUCGCAGCUUUUAAUUUCCAAUACAUGCACUUCAAUUUCUUUACUUCUAUAGCCAUUUACAUUCCUGUCUAGAAUCAACAAAGAAUCUAUUUUCCUCAAUAUUCAUCGAUCCGAUUCAUCUAUUGAUAUUUACACUUUUUGGUGAAACACUAGACUCAUUGUUUGCACUAGUCAAUGUUUGGAGUUGAAGUCGUGUCGAGCGUUCUAAUUAUUCCACAAACAUGUGUUACUUUUUUUUUAAUCACUAAUGGAUUUUGAUGUUAUAAAUUCCAAAUGAAGAGUGUGUGAAGAGUGGAAAUUUGAGUGUCAAAGUCUGCAUGCUCCGUAAUUUAUUUUCCAAAAAAAAAAAAUCCGAUCAGUUAUUGCAAGAAAAGAGUUAUUAUGUGACAAUAGAUUCUCAAUUAUUUGAUGGACAUUUAUCCUCGUACAGGUGUAAGGUGACAAUCAAUAAGGAAAAGUUUAAGAUGCGCUUGAUGGUGAUGGAUUUGUAUCUCUCCAAACAUGUUCUGUUAUGGGCAGUACAAUCCUAGAUGCUUGUCCCAUAAUGCUUAAUCCUUGAAAUUGUGAGCCACAUGAUUCAUAAGCAUCUCCAGAUAAAUCUUCAUUGCUCUAAAAUAUCUCAAUUUGCCAAUUGGAGCACCUCUGGCCAAAAAUAACGAUGCUAAUGUGAAAUUGACACCCUAGAUAUCUAGAAGUGAGUGCACACAUAAACUCAAUUGGUCCUUUUCUAAUUUUUUCUAGUUAACAAUAGGAUAAGUUAAAAUUGAACAAUGCUAAGAAAGGUGGCGUGCAUUCACAUGUCAAAUGAAUGCACAUGUAAACUUAAUCUAGAUAUAUUUACUCUCCAUCGGCUUCGCCCACAGCUACACCAGUUGCACUAGUACUAGCCUCCAUAGCAUCGCCAUCAAUCCGGGCUUUCUCGCAAGCGUAACCAUCUCUCUCUCUCUCUCUCUCUCUCUCUCUCUCUCUCUCUCUCUCUCUCUCUCUCUGGGCACAAGCUUCGUCCAGUAAUCAAACCAAGAGGAGUAUAAGUGUAUUAAAAGUUUUAAAAUUUGUUGAAAAGUGCAAUCGAACCAUAAAAAUUUUUAAGGAAGUGUAAUAAGGUCUUAGAAUUUGUCAAAGUUGAGUAAUCAAAUCCCUUUGUCAACUCUAUGUAAUUUGGCUGCCAGAAAACGUGAUUAUUUUAAUUACCUUUGUUAUGAUCAAAGCGUAAACUACGAUGAAACUGAAACUAAGGAAAACAAAAAAGAACAUGCAAAUUGGAAACUCUCGUGGGAAAAAACUACGGAGAGCGAAGAAGCAAAAUCUACUAUGAAAAUUCAAGAAUUAUCAAAGGAGCUCGAAAAACCUAAAGACUCUUUUUAAACCUAAUAACUUGGGAAAAAUAAUAUUUAUAUUGCUCCAUAAGGCGAGGCACAAUCCUCGCACCUCUGCCGAGAAUUAGUUUUGGGCUACUGGUUUGCGCCUCAACCAACACUAAGCCUCCAUUUGUUUUUCUCAGAUCGGGUUGCCACAAAUUUCAUUUUGAGUAUCAAUACUCAAUUUGGACCGAAUACCCGAGAACAUAAUUCAAGACAUACUCAACAACUUUCUUGAGACACGUGGUGCCCACUAAGCACCACAUCAAAUAAUAAAACUUUUGGGAAAAAAAUUAAAGAAAGAAAGAGAGAGUAAAAGUAAAAUAAGAAGAAAAGGAUCAUGUUCGAACAAUAGCCUAAUAAUGAAAAGCAAAAAAAAAAAAAAAAAGCAAGACCUCCGCCUCUGGUCUCCCAAAGAAACAGUGGUUUCGGUUCUUGCGAGCGAAAUUUGAGAUUAAAGGGAAUGAAUCUCUUUUGAGGGGGGGUUUCAAACUUCGCAGAUCGCCUACGGAGACUUCUUGGAUCAGUUUCAAAUAUGAAAGGCUCCACUAUUCUGCCAUGGCUGUGGUAGGAUUGGCCAUGGCCGCCACAGCUGUAUCUUCAUCACAGAUGCUGCGUCGACGGAGAGGUGCUCUCGAAUUUGCGGGCUGAAUCCAACCUUUUCUACAUCGACCCAGUUCAGUCGGUUCCAAUUCGCAAUUUUGAUCAGGUGCACUAAAAAUUUGAAAAAGACCUCCUACUCACGCGAACAUAGCCAAAAAAAGAAAAAAAAAUGUUCAGGAGGAAAACGUAGAUGUCUACGCUAGGACAAAGACAUCAUCCCCCUUUUUUUUCUGGUCUGAAUCCGCCUUCUAUCAAGGAGGAGCUUUGCAGUAGUUCCAACAAAAACCCCAUAUGGGAGGAAAAGGGUAAAGGAGAAGGGGAGUCACAAAUCAUUUACAAGCAAUCGGUUCAAACUGAAGUUGAAGGAUGACUCCCCAUUUCAAACAAAUUAGGCGGCAGUAAAUGUUAAAUCCUGUUUUAUGCAAUAAAAAAUGCUGUGUCUUAACUCAUUACAUAAAUAAUCCAUAUCGUUUUCAAAAUAUAAAAACACAAAGAAGAAAUAGUAUCACUCACUUGAGAAAGCAAAAAAUCAAUCUACGAUGGUUACUCGAGUUGAUGCAUUUAUUCCUAUUUUCCAUAAUCAUCCAUGUGCAUAAUGUGUGGAUGGCUCCAAGGGCCUCUUUUGAACGAAACACCAUAAUAUUGAUUCCAACGGGAGUAGCCCCCGCCCACGACGCCAAAUACUUACUUGUAAUUAUAAAGGGAAAACCAUUUGCAAGUUGAACUAGAAACACAGUGGUUUUGUUCCUUUCGCUUUAUCUGUUUUGUCCUUAUCGAGUCUCUGGUCCUAUAAAUUUCUGCCUCAAUCGACCAAACCCUCCGACAAUCAUCAGCAGUUCCACUCCCUGAUUGAACAAUUACAUGCACAACAGUUUCAGCACGAUGGCUCUCACCUCCCUCCUCCUCCUCCUCCUCUCUUCUCUCCAUGUCAGUAAUUUGUCAAGCUUUCACUCUCCAUGCGUACCCAACUGCUCAUCUCUCUCUCUGUGUUUUCAUGGAAAGACAGGGCUAUAUAUUUAAUUUGAUAUCUCGUGCUUAAUUAGUAUAUACUUUUUACCUAAGAAUUGCUGAAAAAAUUUUGCGGCCAUAAUACUCCGUUAGCAAUUACUUCUUAUCCAUUAUUUUUUGACUCAAUCUCUCUAUACUAGUUUACAAUGCAUAGGUUAUCGGACCAAAUGGGGAGCCCAGGCUUCAUAAGAACUAUUCAAUAUAAUUUACGCAUGCAAGAAACUAAAUAUGUUAGUUUGCAUCAAAAUCCAACCUCAUAAUAUCAUAUAUAUCUUCAUAUCCAAAAAAAAUAUUAUAUAUAUAUUUCGUUUGCGUUAUCUUAACGUGUGUCAGUAGAUCAAUCGUGUUUAUGUGUUCUUUAAGCUAACAAAGAAAUGUGAAAGGAACGUAGAUAAUCAAGUGAACAUAUAAUGCUCUGGUAAUAUGAAGGCACGUAAGUUGCAAAAGUCAUUUUAAAUGAUUGAGCAUGACGUAACUACUUUUAGACACGAGCAUCAGAUAACAUACAUUAAUGAUUGUUAGGAAUAUAUGUUCAUUGUAAAGAUAAUUCCAAUCAUGCUAUUAUGCGGUUCUAAUUUCAUGUCACGUGACUUGUACUUUUUUGCAUGUUCAUUACAAUUUUCCGUAUGUCUAUUUUACUUCCAUAAUUAUGUCAUUGCACAGUUAUUUAAGUCCAUGACGUUCAUUCUAAUCGUGAUUAUAUAAACUUCUAGCUCACAGUCACUCUUUGAUUUUCUUUUGUGGAUUGUCCUGCGAUAGGUCCUCAGCAUUGUCGCUAGGGCCACUCCCGAGGCCGACUUCCUCGCCCGCGAGGCUAACUCGAUCUCUCCCAAAGCAUACCUUGUCCAUUACUGGAACAAGCAAAUCACCAACAACCUUCCCAAGCCACCAAUCCUCUUCUCCAAAGCGUCACCUCUGACGGCCGCGUCAGCGACCAUCUUCGCCGAACUCGUUGCCAAAGGCGCCAUCUCUGACCACCUCCUAUCGUUCUGCGAGGAGGCGCAAUUGCUCUGCUUCAUGAACUCAUCAUCUGAUACAAAUCCGCACAAAGCAUACGUAUACGGCCUCUCCCCCACCGAUACAAUUGUGGCAACUGAUGACAAGAAAGUAAAUGGGGGCGUGGAGCAGGGCUUGUUCUUUCGAGAGUCGAUGCUGAAGAGCGGGAAUGUGAUGCCAAUGCCCGACAUGCGGGAUAACUUGCCCAAAAGGUCAUUUUUGCCUCGCUGCAUUUCCUCCGAACUGCCGUUUUCAACCUCGAAGCUCGCUGAGCUGAAGCAAAUCUUCCGUGCCAUUGAAAAUUCCGCUAUGGGGAAGAUCAUGGCGCAAACGCUAGGCGAGUGCGAGGGUGCAGGAGUCCAAGACGAAAGCAAGAGGUGUGUGGCCUCCAUCGAGGAUAUGAUCGACUUCACCACCUCGGUUUUGGGUCAUGACGUCAUGGUCCGAUCCACGGAGAGUGCCAGAGGGUCGAAGCAGGAGGUCUUGAUCGGGGUGGUCAAGAGGAUCGAGGGCAGCGAAGUGAGCAAGCCCGUGGCCUGUCACCAGAGUCUAUUUCCUUACAUUGUCUAUUACUGUCAUACAUUUCCAAACGUCCGAGUUUACGAAGCAGACAUACUAGAUCCCAAAUCCAAGGCUAAGAUCAAUCACGGUGUCGCCAUUUGUCAUAUGAACACAUCAACUUGGAGCCCUACCCACGAGUCAUUUCUGUUGCUUGGAUCGGGUCCUGGCCAGAUCGAGGUCUGCCAUUGGAUAUAUGAGAAUAGCCUGAUAUGGACAAUUGCCAAGUCAUAAUGGAAGAACGAAGUGUGGUCAAGAUGGAAUAAACAUGGGUUCGGCCUGGUGAUCAAGAUAGAACUUGGUCUUUAGCUACCUCCAACCGAAAAUCNNNNNNNNNNNNNNNNNNNNNNNNNNNNNNNNNNNNNNNNNNNNNNNNNNNNNNNNNNNNNNNNNNNNNNNNNNNNNNNNNNNNNNNNNNNNNNNNNNNNUUUUUUUUUUUUUUUUUUUUUUUUUUUUUGUGAUUUGAGUACAUGUUCAAUUCUUUUGCAUUCUCCUGUCCUUUGUUACUAUCUUCGAGAAUUUUCUUCAAAUUUCGACGAGGACCAAUAACUAUUUUCACAGUACUAUUGUUAUAUAAACGAGAGACAGAUAAGAAUGCAGUUGUUUUUUGAUAAAAGAAAAAAACGAAAAGCUGCAAAAAUAGUUCAAGUGGCCCAGUGGUUGGGAGUCCCAACGUGAUCGUUUUUAUACGAGAAGAACAAGAGCUGCCCGGUUCAAUCUUGAAGUGGCACUUCCCACUUUUUCUCCCUCUGAAUUUUGCUUUUCAACUUUUCUGCAUUUAUCUUUUGUUUGCACUUUCUCGGUUACAUAAACUGCAUAUCAUCAGAUCAUUGCUUUCUUUUUUUUCUUUUCUUUAUUUUGCUUUUUUUAACCAUUUGUCAUUGGAAAAAGAUAAUUCAAUAAGAACCCACAAUACGCGAUUAGACUUCUAAAAUCCUAAAAACUUCACAUGAAUGAUUCUCAUAUGAUAAAAAUGUAAAAACUAAAUUUAUUUUUGUUUCGCUGGAAUUGCUCUCUUAAUUAAAUAUCUUUCACCGAAAGUUAUUCUUUGGUUUUAUUAAAGAGGACAAGGGUUAUGUGCCAACUCCAGACAAUGGAUAUCUUAUGCAAUAAGGAAUUGAACUUCUUUGGUCCUGUCGCGACCUACCCUCGGGGGGAGGGAACAGGUUUAGGGGUAUUGCCUAAAAGACGGGCCUAAGGCCCAUGAUUAGGCGCGAGCUCUCCCAAGCCUAUACCCCGCAUGACGUUGGGAUAUUCUUAAGAAAUUUUGCAUAAAAGGAGUCGCCACUAGCCUAUUGGGGUCGGCUAGAAACCAAGUGAGGCAUGGGAGUGUACCUCACUUCCUACGCAACCAGAGAAUUUAGGUUCGGGGACUUGAUUACACUAAUUAACCAAUUAGUGCCCUUUCGGUACCUAAUCUUGUUCAUUUUAACAAAAUGAUUUUUGGCAGGCAAUUUGGAUUGAUUUCAUAUUUAUCCACUAACAUGUGAGGUGAUCAUGCAGGCGCGCAAUCAUUAAAGUAAUAAUCAUAACUACCAAGAUCCUAAUUACAAUAAGAUUAAACACAUGCAAUCAAACAUAAUUAAAUAUGCAAAUUAAACAUACGACAUAAUCAAUAUGCAAGCAAAUAGAUGUCUAAUUACACUAAGAAAGCAAGAUAUAGCAAUUCCUAACCAAAUCACAUCAUUUUUGGAUUUUCGAAAUUUUUUAUUUUUGAUUUUUUUUUAAAAAAAAUUAUUUUUAAACAAAAUUAAUUUUUUUUUAAAAAAAAAUUGAAACUAUUUUCAAUAUUUAAUAUUUUUUUUGGAUUUUCGAAAUUUUUUAAUAUUUUUAAUUUCUUUUUAAAUAAUAAAAUAAACUUAAAAAUAAAAUUCGGGGCCGGACCGGGUCGGGUCCAGUCUGACCCGACUUGGGUUCAGCCCGUUCAAUGUGGGUCGGGUCCGGUCGUAGACCGGACCAGAUUUUGGCCUCGUCGGCGGCAACGGGCCCGAGUGGGCCCAAAAUUCUUUUUUUUUUUUUAAUACUUUAGUCAAGGCCCAAAGAAAAUUAAAAGACCCACCUAUUUCCUAAGCCCGCGAGAGCCCAACCCAAUUUACCUGAAUCUGAAGCCCGGCCCGAAGACAGACCCAAGGCUGACCCACUUCGAAGACCAAACCCUACCCAGUUUGGAGGGUCGCUUGACCCGGUUCUGACCCAAUUUGAGCCUCCUUCUCCAAGGCUUCUUGGCGGCACUGACACCGGGCAGCGAUGGCGGCGACGGCGGCGGCGCAGCGGGUGGCGGCGGCACAGGCAGCAACGGCGCGGUGCUGGUGCCGCAACGGGAUCGAAGGAGUGGCGUCAGCGGCAGUGGGCAGCGGCGGCGUCGUGGCUUCGGGCAGAGGAGCGGCUCGGACGACGUCGUAGGGGCAGCCAGAGGGCGGCAGGAGGAGGCUUUUGCAGAGGGUCGUGGAAGCUCGAGCUGCAGGCGAGUCGGGGCGCAGCGGUGGUGGCGCAGCGGCAGAUGAUGCGGCGGAGGGGAAAGACUCCCAGAUCUAAUCAAGCGUGAUCAGAUCUGGGCCUUUGGCGGAUCUCCAACGCGACGGGGCGGACUGGUGCUAGCUGCAGGAGCGGCCGAGACCGGCGAAGGGCGCGGAAACAACGACAGCGAGGCGGAGCUUCAAACGGUUGCAAGGCGGCAGCGGUGCGGCGACUAGUUCAGAUCUGCUAGCGUCGGGGGGCGCUAGCGCGGCGUCAAGUGGGCAGAGGCAGGGACGCUGGAGGUGAGCUACUGCAGGAGUCGCUCAGAGGUGCUGCAACGGCAGGUAGCGGAGCGGCGAGCACUGGACGAAGGUGGCGCGAGGUCGACGGGCGGCGCUCGGGCGGAGAGGGCAUCGAGCGCCUGGUGGAGGUGGCGCGAGCGUCAGGUCGUCGCAGCUGCAGCAGGGGGUCACGGACGCGCGGGCUGCAGGCGAGUCGAGGCGCGGCGGUGGUGGCACUGUGCUCGCGGACAAGCGGCUCCACCGCGCCGCGGCCGACGCAGCGAAGGCUUCCCGCGGCCGCGGGGCGGAGCCGCUGAGGCUCCUCUUUUCAUUGCUCCCUCUCUCUCUGUUUUGAACUCACUCUCCCUCUCUCCUCCUCCUGUCCCCCCUUUUUUUUGUUUCUCUCCCUCUGUCUUCACUUUCUCUCAUGUUUCUCUUCUGUUUUGCAGGUCCGCGUGCGAAGGAGGAAGACAGCCAGGCGUGGGCUGGAGGGGAAAGGAAGCAAGGCCGAGCCUAGGCCAGAUCAGGCCCAACUCGACCCCUUAAGCAUUUUUUGUUUUUUUUGGUUUUUUUAUGACAAUUUUUUUAUUUUUUUUAGCAAUUAAUUCCUAGUUUUGUAUGCGAUUAAGUUUUAAGUAAAAUAGUAAAAUUUAGGUGUCAACAGGUCCAAACAACAUUGAUUUUAGGUUGAGUCAGAAUUAAUCAACAACAAGGCAAAAAAAAAGUUACAAGGCCAAUCUCAAACUAUGUUGGAAUUUAAUCAACAACACAAAUUAAGGAUAGUAAGAUGUGGAGUUGGAAUUUAAUCAACAACACAAACUAAGGAUAGUAAGAUGUGGAAUUGGAAUUUAAUCAAUGACAAUAUACGAGGAUAGUAAGAUACAAUACUGGAAUUUAAUCAACGACGAUGUACCAAGAUACAGAAACACGUCGGAAUCUAAUUAACAAUGAGAAUCUAAAAGCUAUAGCUAGGAAAAAUAAAGUGUAGUACAGGAAAAGCAAAGAUAAAAAGAUAACAUUUUGAUUGAUUUAUCAUAUGACUUCUGGUUGGAUGACUGGUGGUAUGAUAAACGUUUGGUAGUUACGUCUUCUCUAGUGCCUACUACUGGCUUUGUCCAUGAUCCUUUAUUCUCAUAGAUCACUUUGCCCAUACUUCAUAUAACUGUCCUAGUCGUGUUUUGAGGAUUAUGCAACUGUCGAUGCCAUUCCAUGACUGGGGCUCCAAAUAGCAAUUGAUUUUUUACAACGUGCGCCUUUGAUGCUAACUACCUUAGUGCCUUGAGUAAUAUUCAAAGUGUCUCCAUUGAAAAAGUUGUUGCUAAAGUUCAUACGAGCGGCUAUUAAUCAUCCGUCAUCAUAUUUCAACAAUUGAGCACGUGGCAUUUCUUUAUCUCAUUGUCAAUCAUCGGAUAUCUACCCUAUGUCUAUUGAUAAUCUGGCAUACAUCAGACAUUACCCAUCCAUUAUGCACAUAACUGUAACUUAUUUCUGAAGAGCUACAGCCGAGGUAAAUCUCAACUUUAAUAUCAGCUAUAUAGUUCACAAUUUCACGAAAGAUCCUAUAUUUAUGAGAGGACAUGUAACAUUUCAAUUAAGAUAAAUAUUUGUCACAUGUAUUUCCUUGUUUAUAUAAGGGACCCAAUUUGUCAUGCGAUUGAUAAAUCUCUUCGUUUGUAGCUAUACUUUUAUCUUUUAACAAUCUUAGCCCAUGGAUCAUCUUUUAACAAUCUUAAGUAAGAGUUUUCCUAAUGUGGACAACAUUAAUUGAUAUUGUAAUUUACCGUUUUACGAUUACCGUUUUACGGGAUUGGUCUAAGGUGAGAUAGAAGGUUUCUUAAUUAGUCUAAUAUGGGGUUAGCUAGUGUGGGCCGAGUUGAGCCUGGCUCGUAAUAAAAGGGCCUGGUUAGAAACUCUAUAAAUAGUGCUCAAGCCUCUCCUCUAACCCUAAUUCUUACAAGUAUCCUCACAUAAGGAGCGUUUACCUAGCGCUAAAGGGUGAGGGGUUAUCUCAUUGAACCAGUGAUAUGGAGAGCAAUAGAGGAGAAUGACUUGCACGUUGAUCAUCGCUUUUCCGUUUCCGCAGCAAGAACAAUGGAUUCCAAUACAGGUGCGUUAAUCUUUCUACCUAUUCAUCUAUACUCUUGUUCUAAUUAUGGACAUCUUGGGGUAGCACGUUUUGCAUCUUACAUAUGGUAUCAGAGCCGCCAUAACCCUAGAACUCGAACGCAUAAAAUUUUUACCCUAACCGGUCAACUGUUGAUCGGACCGAACAGUCAAGCCAGGAACCGGUCGGACUGCUUCCGGUCGGAUAGGUUUUUGAUCAGUCUUUUCACCCGCACGUGAGCUCUACGCACCGCGCACUCAGGCGGCGCGUGUGGGAGCGUGGGAGCUUCGAUAGGCGCGUGGCUGGUGGCAUCAAAUUCGUAUCGCCAUUCUCUAUCUUGUGGUGUGUUUAUUUUACAUGUUUGAUGAUUUUAUGGAUGUGAAAAUACAUACGAAACCCUAAAUACAUAUAUUUUUAGUGCAUUUGUACGUAUUUUUCUUGUAUUUUUCUGUGAUUUUGGAAAUACAGGUGUUGGGUUACAGGUAUGUUAUCACAUAAACAUUAUAAAAGUGUGAUUCAUUAAUAAAAGUUAAACUUUAUUGUGAACUGAAACUGACUUAAUGAGAUACGACCAUUAUGAGAUAGUAAUUGAACUAUGUAUUGAGAUGAUGAGAAACAGUAAAAGGCUAUGAAAAUUUUGUCGCUCAAGUAUACUCUUUUACACGCAUCUUGAUGUAUUUUUGUUUCUUUUUUAUAACCUUUGAACGAUGGACGUCUUAAGAACUCGUGACCAAACUAAUUAUACUACUUAACACAUCUGAUAAAUGUGAGUAAUGCAUGUCAGUUAAAUUAUCGGAUACUGUACCUAAACUCAUCUGGUCACUUGUUGAUGUCUAUCAAGUUGAACAUUUUUUAUAAUUAAGAAGUAUGACAACAUUUACGUAAGAGCAAUAGUAUCUACUGUUAUAGUUUAGAUAUUUGAUUCUACGGUUUGACUCAAUUAAUAGGCCACUAAUUGAUACAAUGAUAAUUUGUUACUUAAAAGUGGCUAAUAAAUUAGCUGUCAGGCUUGUCAAUCUGGGAUACCCUGUAUUGUUAUUGAUAUUAACUUGUGAGAGAUCCCUUGGAUCAACAUUCUUCUUUAUGUUGUUCUGGUAAUCUAUAAUAUGGGUGCACAAGAGACGCUUUCUUCUAUGUUAUGAGAAGUUUCUUGCGUUGCUAUGAUCGGUGAUCUUAUUGGAAUCUAUCUUUUAGGUCCUUUAUAUAUAUAUAUAUAUAUAUGAUUGAUUUUCCUAGAUGAAUAAAGUAGUGUAAUCAGCAUGAUAUGUGAUUUUGGUGAUUUACUGCCCCUAUCAUUAAAGUUAAAAUCACAUGUAUAUGAUAUAUGUGAGAAGCAAAGUUUAUAUCCCUAGUAUGAGAAAGUUUCAAGAAUUCAAUUGAGUAGUGACCGCCAAAGUGGUACACUUGAUUGGGUUUGAGAAAUAUCGGUCUCAUAUAAUGAUGGGGAUGUCUCAAGUUAUAAUGCGUAGUCAUACUUUCAAAGGAGGUGAUUGUGUAUUAGUUCAUGGAGGGAUACAUGAUGAUGUGGUGGAUAAGUGACUGAUCCUAGUGGUUCAUAUGCCCAAAGGUGAUGAAUUCACGAAAGUUAAAAUAUAUUCUCAUAACCGCUAUCAUGUAGGGAGUGUACAACUACAUGUCAUAUAUUCUGCCCAAAAGUAAUUAUAUGAUUUUGCAUGUAAUUCUCUGGAUGUGUACUUAUACGUCAAGUUACAUAGUGCUCACAUGAUGGUAAAUAUAUACAUUACUUGUUUUUUCAGUCGCCUUUUCUGUAAUUAAUAACUCUAUUAUUAUUGAGGUUUUUACUUGUUCAAAUUUUAAGUAGUUGAAAUAGAAUUUUCUAUUUGGUGAAAGAGUAAUCGGAUUUGCUCGUUAUUUAUGAAGCGUUUCAUUUAGGAACAUUUGAAAAGUGAUUUACCAACUGACUGCACUUCUUAAAGAUGAUAGAAGCUUUAGUGGCUUGAAAUUAUGUCUUGUCUAAUAUCGAAAUUAGGACACAUCUGCAAGGAUUUUUUAACAUAAUGAUAUAUGUGUCUCGUAUACGGUUGAAAAUGUUGUUUCCAAAAGUUUUCUGUCUUAAAGAAUCAUCUCACACAUGUCUAAAGAAAAAGUAGAAAAGUUGACAAUGUUGAUAUUCUGUCUACUAUUAACGGUUUUUUAAAGACUUCUAAAGAUUAUUGUGGAAAUAAAAUGACCGAGAUAAAAAAUAAAACAGUUAGAAUUAGUCUUAAAAGUUGUCAGGCCUAAUAGUGGCGGUAAGUAUUUUGGCAAGUAUGGCAAUACUGAAUAGCUUAAACGGACAUUUGUCAAAUACUAGGUAAAUUCUAGGGUGGUAACUUAAUUUACUAUGCCUGAAAAUCCUGACAAAAUGAUUUGGCUGAAAGGCAUAACUACACCAUAAUCAACAUGGUGAUGAGUAUGAUGAGUAAGACUAAUUUUUCAGGUCUUCUGUGGGUUGAUAUUUUGAAAGCAACUCUUUUCAUAUACAAAAACGUGUUUCUUAUCAAAGUUAUUCCCUAAACUUCUUUUGAGUUAUGGAUUGGACGUAAAUUUACUUGAAUAAUAGUAAAAUUUAGAGGUGUCACGCAGAAGUGAGGUUAUAUAAUCCAAUAUUAAGUGCGUUGGAAUUCAGAUCCACUUGAAAUUAUUUUAUAUCUUACCCAAAUUGUUCAAAGGGGUAUCGAUUUUAUAACAGUAAUGAAGGUACAAGUAUUAUAAAAUCACAGACAGUAAAGUUUCUAGAGUUCGACGUGAUUGUAAAGGAUAGUUACUCUCAGACUAUUAAGGAUAAUAGUACGAUGGAGAUCACUGUGCCUUUGUCUUUACCUAUACAGACAAUUGUGGAAUCUCCUAUACCAUAGACUAAACUUGUUGAGGUUCAAGGUACCAUUAUUGAUAUAGUUUACGUUGAAAUUUCUCAAACCUCUAAAUUGCAUAAUGAAGUGGUUGUAGCUUUACUCAGGAGAUUUGUUAAGGAAAAAUGAUCAGUUAUACCAUCAAACUACAUAAUCUAUCUGUGAGAACAUGACUUCAAAAUCUAUUGCAUGGUUAAUUUAGCCACUUAUAUAAUUAUUGUUUCUUGGCCUCAAUCAAGUAUAUGAUUAGAUGUCGUAAAAGACAAUAUGCAAUCUAUGAAAUUUUAUAGUGUUUGGAAACUUACUGACUUGCCUAAAGAUCACAAGUUCAUUAGUUGCAAAUAGGCGUACAAAACUAAAAGAAUUUCAAGGAAAGAUUGUGGAGUUUAAAGCUAAAUUGGUAGCUAAAGUUUUCAUCUGAAAGAGGGAUGGAUAGUUAAUAGUGAAAAAAUAAUUAUUUCUUUCUAGUAUUUUUAAAUAUUCUUUUAGAGUGAACAUGGCAUUAAUAGUUUAUUUUUGAUAUGGAGUUACGCCAAAUAGAUACUAUCUUUUCAAACGAACACUUUGUAUAGACUGAAAAGUCUUAUUCAUGGUUUAAAGCAAAUUUCCGGACAAUAUUAUUAAAGUUUCAUAAUGUUGUUAUUUUGUUCAGUUGGGAACAAAGUAAUUCAGUAUAUAUAUACUGCGAGGUCAGUGAGAGGAAAUUUAUUUUUCUCAUACUCUUUAUACAUGAUUUUUUUCUUACAAGUAGUGACCUUGAGGCAUGGCAUCUUUUGCCCUUUGCACUGAGGUCUGUAAGGGUUGUUCUCGCCAUAUAUGUCAGAUUUAUCUCGGAGGACAUUUGCUGAUCGUAUUUUGGAAAUAUUCAAUAUACAUUAUUGCAAGUCAGAAAUUGCUCAUGUCAUUAAGGGUGAUGGACCGAAUCUAUUAUAUUGUUCUUAUUUAGAUAUUGAGAAAAUCAUGGUGUACUUUGUGUUAGCGCACUUAAAAGUAUAAUGUAUGCUCAAAUUUGCACUAGACUAAAUAUCGUCUUUGCAACGGAACUUCUAGACAGAAAUCAGUCAAAUCCAAGACGCGAUCACUGGGUUGCUGCCAAGAAGGUUUUAAGGUACUUAAAGAGGACAAAAGAUUAAAUGAUAAUUUAUAGACAUGUUCAAUUCUUGCAACUAAUAAGGUAUUUAGAUGUAAACUUUGUUGGCUGUUAUGAUGAUAUGAGAUUAAUAACGGAAUAUAUAUUUGUAUUAAUAGGAAGUGCAAUAAAUAAAGUUCUAUGCCAUCUUCUACUAUGUAAGCAAAGUUAGUAACAUUCUUUUAAGCUGUUAUUUGGGCUAUUAGGCUCUGGAACCUCAUUAAGGAAUUGACUAUUUUUAACUUUAUGAAUAAACCCAUAUAAUUGUAUUGAGACAAUAACUUUGUAGUAUUAUUUAUUAGUAACAAAGGUCUCAAGGGGUCUAAAUAUAUGACAGUUAAUUUUUUUACCAUAAAGAAACAGUACAAAAAUGUGAUGUUAUAAUAUAACAUAUUUCCACAGAUGACGUGGUUGCAGAUCCACUAACUAAAGGACUUUAUUCUUCUGUUCUUGAAUGACAUAUCAUUAAUAUGAGCUUAAGAGCAUCAUCAUAUGCUGUUAUUUAGUAGGAGUUAUUUUGGCUUUACUCUAAUAAAGUUUACUUCAGUAUUCGUUAUACUUAGUAACGGUUUGAUAUGUAUCAACUUUUGCAUUCAAUAAAAUAUUUUUGAAUAUGUUGUCAUUAUGUUGAAUACAUAUUGAUAAAAGCCUCAAGGUAUUGUAUAAACCUUAAGUGAAGGCUGGGGGCAUCCGGUUAUUAGCUUUGUACAUAUGUCUUGUUAUACAUAAAGAAAUAUUAACCGUAAAGACAAGGCAUAUGUGGGUUCAUUGGAACCAUAAAGAUAAUCUCUAGUGGCACAAGUUUUUUGUGACGUUUAAGAUAAGAGAAUGGCGACUGAAAAAUGGGAUCUCUUUAUGAGAGAUGUUAUCCAUUUGCCACAUUACCAUAUUGAAUCCAUAUCAAUAAAAUUGAAAGCACUCAUGAUCAUGAAAGGCUCUAUGUAUGUACAUGCAGUUACCACCAUAAUUCGAUGUUUGAGACUUUAUGGGAUGGGAUUGACUAUUAAGAAUUAUUUUUAGACCAAGGUGCGCACAUACGGUACAAUUUCAAUUAAUAUAGUCCAAGUGAGAGAAUGUAAGAGUUUUCCUAAUGUGGACUACAUUAAUUGAUAUCGUAAUUUGCCGUUUUACGGGGUUGGUCUAAGGUAAGAUAGAAUGUUUCUUAAUUAGUCUCAUAUGGGGCAGGCUAGUGUGGGCCGAGUUAAACCUGGCCCGUAAUGAGAAGGCCUAGUUGGAAACUCUAUAAAUAGUACUCAAGUCUCUCCUUUAACCCUAAUUCUCACAAGUAUCCUCACAUAAUGAGCGUUUACCUAGCGCUAAAGGGUGAGGGGCCGUCUAAUUGAGCCAGUGAUACGGAGGGUAAUAGAGAAGAAUGACUUGCACGUGGAUCAUCGCUUUUCUGCUUCCGCAUCAAGAACGAUGGAUUCCAAAACAAGUGCGUUAAUCUUUCUACCUAUUCAUCUAUGCUCUUAUUCUGGUUAUGGAGAUCUUGGGGUUGCACGUUUUGCAUCCUACAUCUUAGCCCAUGGACCUGCAUCACUGAAUGGACACUUCUAAUGUAUUCGAUUCUUGGAUGAGCAUUUUUCUGGCUCGGCAGUGAUCGACCCAUGUGGCCACGAUGAAUAGUGGAAGCAAAAUUGACAUUGGUGAACAAAGCUUAACAGAGAAGAUGUCGAGUCCAAUUGAAGAAAUCGCACAGGACAGGGGUGGGACCGUGCAUCGAUAAAUCCAGGUUCUUUCUACGUAUUCUGUCGUUGGAAUGCAAGAGAGAUUAUUGAGAAAGUGUAUAAAUGAAGUCUCUAUUAUCUUUUACGAGCUAAGGGCAUAAGCAUAGAGGCUCAGUUAUCUAAAGGUUCUUGAACACUCUACAAGCCUCAUAAAUAGUUUGAGCCCUAGUUUUAUAAUUGUUGGCAGGUUUGGAUAAAGGUUCUAAGGCUUUGAUUGAGAAGUCAUGGGAAAUCAGGUGGAUAGGUUAUUUGCAUAUGGACAGUUCUAGUAAAAUUGUUGACUCUGGAGAAAUCAGCUUAAGGUUCUUCAUGGGAUCCAAGUACCACAUAGAUAGAUAUAUGCUAUUAGAUGGUUAUUUUUUUUCCACCAAAAAACAUCAUAUGAUAGAAAGUACGGGUUAUACCUAUUCCCUAAUGUAGUUUCAUUUUGUAAAUGAACCAAUUAGUCCUUUCCUCUCCUAAUCCCUGGAAAGUACGCGCACAACCUAGGGAUUUCAUUUAUCUCUUGUGGAAGUGAUUAUGAUUAGGUUUACUCAUAAUGGCGUCUAAUGACUUUAACCCUAAUUCAGGAUUAGCUAGCCAAUUACAGAGUGUCUCUACUGGAGUACAUGCACAUAUAUGGAAAAUCAAAGUUUCACAUCUUAAAAAUUUAUCAGAUCACUGUACAACUUGAUUAAUUAACCGAUAGCUGUCCAAUAUGAGAUACAGAUCGAUGCCCUUUUGUUGUUUAAUCGCAUUAAUACAAAAGACUUGUCCUUUUGCGAAAUUGGCAUUUUGCAUUAAGCCAUUUGUUUUGCAUUACCAAGACUUACCAUGUCUGAAGCAUAGAUAACUGCUUUUCUUUAAAUGCGUUUUUAUCAGUUAGAUUAAUGUGACUUACUACCUAAAUAGUUUUUGUUUGUAGCUAAUUCCAAAGUGUUUGUUCUUAUAAUCUUCCAGCCUUUCAUCAGUCUCAUGGGCUUUUUUUCCCAUCACCCUACUUUGUUUUGUGCUAAAACGCAAGACUGACGGCAAGUGUAUCUCCAAUCGAUAGAAUCUUUUAGGAGGAAAUUCUAUCCAAAUCGAACUUUUAUUUACACUAUCCCUUCAAAAUUUUAAACAUAUGUGUUUCUUGUGGGAGAUAUCCAUAAUCGUAACUUACCCAUCAGAAGAUUGAGUAGGAGGAAAUCAUGACUUUUUUUUUUUUUAUAACAAAAGAAGGCAGAGAAUAUUCGAUAUGAUACUUAUUAAUUGCAAAUUAUAUUAAAAAAAACUAAUUAAGUUUUAUUUCUUCCGCUUGGUAGAGAACAUUUGAUAUGAAACUCUAAUUAACUGCAGAUUGCAAAACUAGUGAUUAAAGGCGCGAAUGAUAAACAUUCUAACUAGAAAUUGAUUUCUGGAAGAGAAAUAGAUUUUUUUAUUUCUAUUUCUAAAUGAGUUUCGAAGCAAAAAUACCCGUUUGAUAACGACACAAAAUUUCUACUCUAAAAAUAGAAAUUCGUUUGAUAACGACAUAAAAUUUCUUCCUUUCACCGACCAACGCUGCCGCCAUCUGCCGUCCGCCAGUCCGCAAUGAAGACCGGUUCAUAGUAAGGACGAAUGGUUCAUAGUAAGGAUGAACGAUGAGAAUAAUUUUUAUUUCUCAUUUCUGUUCCAGAAAUAGAAAAGUAAAAAAAAUUUACUUCUGAUUUCUAUUCCAAACCUAUUUCUAAAACAAAAAUCUAUUUCACAAAUAGAAAAAUAGAAUAAUUUUAUCAAACGGAUUUCUAUUAUAGAAACAAGUCUGGAAUAGAAAAAUUAUUCUGGAAUAGAAAUUGUAGUUUGUCAUGCACCCCUAAGAGUCCCAACUUGAUAGUUUGUGUUAUAACGUCUGACAAAAAUGUUAUGAAACUAAUAGGGGUGGACACACAUUGCAAUAGGAACACCCCCACCUCCGUCCUAGCCUAACUAGCCCUCAUUAUCGUCGAAUUUGUCAAUUGACGAAUGGAGCAGAUUGGAGCCCGUCGAUUGAUCCAAUUAUAUGAUUGAGAAAUCUCUAUGUUUAUAGCUAUACUUUUACCUUUUACCGAUUUUCUACAAAAAUUUUGUUACGUGUGGAAUAAUGAACGGUCCAUAAUUAUUUGAAAUUGCCGCGGAAACGGACGGCAACUUUUUAGCAUCACCUUACUGCGAAGACUUUGUUGUGGGCUACGACUAGCGCAGCCCUUGGGCCUGCAUCGCUUGUGAAUGGCACUCACGACGUACUCGUUUCUUGGAUAAGCAUUUAUCUGGCUCGGUAGUGAUCGACCCAUGUGUCCUGGAUGAAUAGUAGUAGCAAAAUUGACGUCGGCGAAGAGGGGUCAACAGAGAAGAUGUCCAGUCCAAUUAAAGAUAUCAAACACAUCCGGGGUGGACCCGCCUUUAUCCAUGCGUUCCCAAACUUUAUGGACUGUGCAUCGAUAAAUACAGUGUCUUUAGAUGUAUACUGUCGUUGGGAUGCAAGAGAGAUCAUCGAGAACGCAUGGGGACCAAGUUCCUAUAUUUACGAGCUGACGGCAUGAGAGCAGAGGCUUGGUUACCUGGAAGCCUAUAGAAAACCCUGCAAGCGUCAUGGAUAGUCCAAGUGGUCUGCGCAGGUGGUUCUGACUAGAGCAGCUUGUACACGGUUAUUGGAAUUCAAACAAAUGAACUCCAAUUUCUGACUUACCAAUCUCUAGAUUUGCAAUAGGCAAAUUGUUUCCCAUUUUAUCCAGUUCACUGGGUCAAGUUACAAAGAUAAUCUAAUUCGUUUGGAUAAAAUUUCUUAGGCUUUGAUUGAGAAGUCACGUUGAAUAAGGUGGAUAGGCUAUUUGCAUGGGAACCAAGAACCACAUAGAGAGAUAUAUCCUAUCAUAUGGUUAAUUAUUUCCACCAAAACAUCAUAUGAUACAUGAUAGAAAAUGUGGAUUAUGCAUAUUCUCUAAUGUAGUUUCAUUUUGCAAAUGAACCAAUUAGUCCUUUCCUUUCCUAAUCCCUGGAAAGUAAGCACUCUUCCUGGAGAUUUUCAUUUAUCUCUUGUAGAAGUGAUUAUAAUUAGGUUACUGAUAAUGGCAUCUUAUCACAAUGACUUUAACCCUAAUUCAUGACUAGUUAGCCAGUGACAGUUUAUCUAUUGGAGAGCAUGCACAGAUAUGGAGGCAGCGGGGAGAAUCUCAUCUGCACGUGAAAUCACAGCUUCCCAUCUUGAACAUUCAUCAGAUUACUGCACAUUUUGAUUAAUUAACCAGGGCCGGUCCAAUCUGAGAUAUAGAUGGAUGCUCUUUUCUUGCUUAAUCACAUUAUUAGGGAAGAGUUGUCCUUUACGAUAUCGGCAUAUUGCAUUAUUCCAUUUGUUUUUCAUAACCUAAGACAUGUCCUAUCGGAGGCAUAUAUGGAUGCUUGUCUUUAAUCAAGUCUUUUUCAAGUAGAUUGAUAUAAUUUACUACCUAAGUAGUUCUUGUUUCUAGCUAAUUCUCAAGUGUUCUUUUUUUUUUUUUUUUGCCUAUUCUAUUUCAUCCUUUCACCAAUUACGCGGGCUUUCCCAUCACCUUCUUUUAUUUUGUGCUCAAACGCCUUACAGAUUCCACGUGAUGAUAGAAUGAUUAGAGUCCAACAAAAAUCUAAUGCCUCGCUCUUUAUUAGUUAGAACUUAGGAGUUCCCCCACAGACCAACUUAUUUUUUGAGCUUAGGAGUCCCUAGAAACCAACUUAUUUUUUAUAUUUUCCUUUAUAUCAUGCUUUUGAUUAGUAGGUCAUAGCUUAUGGACAUCAUUCACAUGUAUACUCAAUUCAAUUUCAAUAAGGACAAUAUCUGUAUAUGUAACUAACCAAUCAUAAGACUGAGCAAGAGGAAAUCAUGACCCUUUUUUAACAACAAAUAGAGUCAAGGGAUUGCGAUGAUAUACCUCACUCAAGCCUUAGGUUCAAAUCACCCCGUUUGUGCAAGUACAAGCCUAUGUAUCAACAGUAAUUACUCGAUUGGUGUUAUAGAUUUGUCUGAGAAUCAAACGGAAUACAAUACUUGUUAAUUGCAAGUUGAACUAGAAUAACUAUUAAGUUUUAUUUCUUUCGCUUGGCAGAGAACAUUCGAUAUGAAACUCUAAUUAACUACAAAUUGAACUGACACAAGUUUUGUUUCUUUCGCUUCAUCCAUUUGUCCUAGAGAAUCUCUCUCUCUCUCUCUCUCUCUCUCUCUCUCUCUCUCUCUCUCUCUCUCUCUCUACCAUCAGUCCUAUAAAUUUCAUGCUCAAUCAAGCGAACCCUCCAACAACAUCAGCAUUCCCUCUCUCUAAAGAAAUGAGCGAGAUCGGUUUUAUCAAAAUGUCUCUCUUCUCCCUCUUCCUCGUCCUGCUGUUGCCACUCCAUGUUAGUUUUCUCAAGCUCUCUUCCCUCCCCUUCCACACACCAUAAUCACUGCUCAUCCUAUUUACGAACUUCGCAUGCAUUAACACUCAUAGUUUGUUGACCUUGUUUAUGUUCCUAUAUAUGUUAAAAGAGACAUGCGAAACAAAAAUCACGAAGUGAAAGACAUAUAUAAUGCCAUAAUAUAUAGGAGGUUUAUGUGUUCGCUUGUUUUUAUAACGUAGUGUAAGUCUCCAUUACUUAUGCUAAGCCAGAUAUGAUGUAUUGACAAAGAAAAAAAUGACUAUUAUCAUUCAGAUUGUGGACAUAAGUUGAAGGAUUUGUUAGGAAUAUUUAUCAUGCUAUCUAUUCUAUUCUUAAAAGUUGAUUUCAUUCUUGUUAUCUCACGGGCAUAACUUCUUGCUACUUUGCUUACGACCAUUUGCACGUUCAUUGCAGUUUCAUCCAUAUCCCAUGUAUAUGCUGCAUAAAUAUUUCACGAAGUCUGUUUGGCAUCGUAUUGCGAUUGUGGUGUAGCCUUGUUUGUCUUAUGACUGAGUUGUAAAUUGAAUUUUAGGGUUCGAUAUCUUUUAAACUAGGUGAACUAUCCUAGGUCGGUUGCAUCGUGCUAACUUUCUAGUCACUCAUUGAUUUUCUCUUUCGUCUCGCUAUAGGUUGUUUCCACCACCGCGAGAACCGCCGCCAAUGCCAACUCCCUUGCCGGCGAUGCCAACUCAAUCCCUCCCAAAGAAUAUUUUGUCCGUUACUGGACUGAACAAAUCACUAGCAACCCUGCCAUACCACCACUGCUCACAUCCAAAGUUUCACCCUUAACUGCUGCACAAACAACCCUUUUUGCCCAGCUCGUGGCUAAAGGUGCCAUCUCCGAUCACCUCUCAUCUUUCUGCAGGGCAGCACAACUGCUCUGCUUCCCAGCCUCACCACACUAUCCAGUUGGCUACACUGUCGAAAAUAGUGCCACGACGCGGGCAGGUGGCAUGAACGUGAACAGGGGCGUGGAGCCUAAUACUUCCGGGAAUCGAUGCUGAGGAGUGGGAAUGUGAUCCGGAUGCCGGAUCUUCGUGUCAAAUCUCCCAAAAGGUCGUUUUUGCCUCGCAGCAUUUCCUCCGGAUUACCGUUCUCCAUCUCGAAACUCGCCGAGCUGAAGCAAAUCUUCCAUGCUGGGGACGAUUCCAAUAUGGAGAAGAUCAUGAUGCGCACACUCAGCCAGUGCGAGCAAGCGCCAAUCCAAGGUGAGACCAAGCGAUGUGUAAGCUCUGUCGAGGGGAUGAUCGACUUCGCCACCACAAUACUAGGCCACGACAUCCAGCUUCACUCCACGGAGAGCGUCGAAGGGUCGAAGCGUGAGAUCUUAAGACUUCGGAUUAGAUUUUUAAUCAUUUUGAUUUCUUUGUCGUGAUAAUUAGAGUUAAGAUAAUCGUUAAUUUGACCUGUGAGACAACAAGUUAUUUUUUCGAUUAUCUACUCCUUUAUUUUGUUGAUAGCUUAGAUUUAAUAUUUAUUGAAUAAUUACUUAUCUUUUAAGAAAAAAAGCUACAAAAUCAAAAAAAAUUAAAAAAAAAUCAAAAUUAUGCAUGAGCAUAUAGGUUUGGUAACUCAGACAUUUAGGUUUAGUAAAUUAGAAUUUUCUUAGGAUUACAUUUUUAGGAUUGCAUUUUUAGAAAUAAGUUAGAGUUAAACCUAAUUAAUUUUUUAGGGUUUUAGAUAAUGUUCGCACAUUUAAUUACCUCAUUUUUCAAAAAAAAAUAGUUUUCUAAGAUAGGAUAGGGUUUAAGUCAAAUUAAUCCCUAGAAUAAAUUAGAAAAUUAUCCCUUUUUAGAUAGAUUAAUUAGGGUCUUCAUAAAUUCUAAACUUCAAUAAAAAAAAAUGCAAAAAUACUAGGUGCAUGUUAACUAGUUUGCAUAAUAGAAUCAUUUAAUCAGAAUUUAUUCAUUAGUGAAAUUAGGUCAUGAGGUGCAUGUUAAUUAGUUUGCAUAAUAGGCCCAUUUAAUUAGACUUUGCAUAUUAAUAAGAUGACUAAAAAAUGCAUUUUCAUAAAAGAAUUCUGAUUAAAAAAGAAAUAAAAAAAAAUUGUUUACUUCGUGUGAUGCAAUUUAUUUAUUGAAUGUUUGAGCAUCCGUGUGGUCACUUUUUGAAUGAUAGUAGUUUAGGUUAAAAUAAAUUAGCUACCUGCCAAAAAAAAUAAACAUUUUUGAAAAUUAAAAAGAAAUGGUACCGAAAGGGCAUUAGAGAGAUCUAGUGUAACCAAAUCCCCGUACCUUUAGUCUCUGGUUCGUAGAAGUAAAAUAAUUCUCCCAUUAUUUUACUUAGGUGUCUAAUCGACCUACCAUAAAUCGAUCAGUGGCGACUCCUAGAUAAUAAUCAUUUGCAUGUUAAAUAUUUGAAUAUCAAGUCGUGAAUUGGUAUGGGCUUGGGAGAGCUUGAGCUAAAUUUAAAGACUUAGUAGUCCAUUAACCUAGUUUUAGGUGGUGCACCCGAAAAAUAGGUCGCGACAGUCGUCCACUGACAAAGGCGGUUUGUUCCAUAGAAAUCAGCUUAGGUAACCAAGGUUUUAGGCGAUUGGCAAUUACCUUCGAAAUGACUUUAUAUGUAAAGUUACAGAGACUGAUUGGUUUGUAUUGCUCCAUUCUCUUUGGAUGAGAAGUCUUGGGAAUCAAAGCUAUAAUAGUGCGGUUCAAAUUGGCCAACAUCCGUCCUGUCUGAAAAAAAUUUUGAACUAGAAGAACAAGAUCGUCUUUUAUAACCUCCCAAUGUGUUUGAUAAGAUAUUCCAUUGAAACCAUCAGGGCCUGGUGCCUUAGUAGAUCUCAGCUGAAAGGUAGCCCGGCGAAUCUCCUCUGAAGUAACCACUUCCAGCAAUUGGUUGUUCAUUUCAUUGGUAACCACCUGUGAGCAUUGUUGAAUUAUGGGACUAUACUCUCGAUGACCCACCAUUGUAUAUAAACCUGAAAAGAAAUUGCGUGCCAUAACCUGUAAAGUAUGAGGAUCUCGAAUCCAUUGUUGGCGAUCAUCUUGAAAAAAUCGGAUAACUUACCGAUAAAUUUAUCGAUAGAAAAUAAUGCAUAGAUUAUCGAUGAGAUCCUUCACUAGUAGACAAAUUGAAUGAGAUCGAUAAGCCAUCAACAACAAAUAAUUACCUCAAGUAGUUGCAAAUUUCCAGUGAAUUAUUGAGGCUGUGUAAUUCAUGACCAAAACAGAGGCUUGCCAGAAUACAUCAGUAGGCAAAUACGGUGGAUUCACACCAACACGUGAUCAUUAGGUGGUUAUGCCUAUAACCAUGGAAUUUAUGACUUCUUCUGGAUAAUCACUGUCAAAUGAUAGAGGAUAAUGUUUAUAGUCUCGUAAAGCAUAAUUGCUCACCAAUAAUUGUAAAGAGUGCUAGGAAAUUAAUCGUGGAUUCAAAUCAAUAACUGCUUGUAAAAACUGCCCCAUGGUAAGAGAUAAAGCCCCAUGUUAUACUCAUUGUAAAAAAAAUCAAUCAACACCUAAUUUUCUAUUCUUAUGCACAUUUAAUUUCUUCUUUAAUUUUCCAGGAAAUGUACCGUUUUAGUAUCUUCAUAUUUUCGUGCCUUUAAUGAUUCUCGCAACUUUUAAUUUCCGAUACUUGCACUGCAAUUUCUUUACUUCUAUAGUCAUUUAGGGUGCGAAUGGUAACGUUUCUGUUCUUUUUUUGUUCCAGGGAAUAGAAACAAAAAAAAGUGUUUCUGUUCCGGGGAACAAUUUUUGAACAAAAAAACGCGUUUGGUAACAUUUGGUCCGGGAAUAAAAAAUGAACAGAAACACGUUUGGUAAAUUUUAUUCUUUUUUUGUUUCUUUUAAUUUUUUAAACAUUUUUAUUUUAUUUUUCAUUUUUUCCUUUCUUUUUUAUUUUUUCUUUUUUCGGCCGGUCACCGGCCUCCGGCGACCGGCCAACGAGGCCGGCAGCCUCGCCCAGCCAUGGCGAGGCUCGCCGGCCCUCGGCGAGGCCGAGCCUCGCCGUGGUUGGGCGACGCUCAGCCUCGCCUUGGCUGGGCAAGCUCGAGCUCGCCCAGAUCCGGCGAGGCCGAGCCUCGCCGGGGGGCCAGCGACGCUCGGCCUCGCCGGAUCUGGGCGAGGCCGAGCCUCGACGGCCGGUCACCGGCCAUGGCCGAGGCCGGCGACCGGCGAAAGAAAAAAGAAGAAAAAAAAGAAGAAGAAAAGAAGAAAAGAAGAAGAAGAGAGAGAAGAAACGUUUCCUUCGUUUUUGUUUCUGGAGCAAGAAACAACAAAUUGUUGUUUCUUUUUUAUGUUCUUAUUUCGUUCCAGAAACAAAAAAACAAAAAAAGAACAGAAACGCAACCAAACGCGUUUCUGUUCUUUUUUUGUUCCCGGGAACAAAAUCCGUACAGAAGUGUUCCAGAAACGUUUCUUAGAAACGUUUCCAUGCACACCCUUACAUUCUUGUCUAGAACCAACAAAGAAUCUAUUUUCUUCAAUAUUCACCGAUCCGAUUCAUCUAUUGAUAUUUACACUUUUUGGUGAAACACUAGCCUCAUUGUUUGCACUAGUCAAUGUUUGGAGUUGAACUCAUGUCAAGCGUUCUAAUUAUUCCACAAACAUGUGUUACUUUUUAUAUCACUAAAGCAACUCUAAUGGAUUUUGAUGUUAUAACUUCCAAACGAAGAGUGUGUAAAGAGUGGAAAUUAGAGAAUCACAGUCUGCGUGCUCUAUAAUUUCUUUUCCAAAAAAAAAAAUCCGAUCAGUUAUUGCAAGAAAAGAAUUAUUGUGCGACAAUAGAUGCUCAAUUAUUCGAUGGACAUUAAAUCCUCAUACAUGUGUGAGUUGACAAUCAAUAAGGAAAGGUCUAUGGCACGCGUGAUGGUGAUGGAUUUGUAUCUCUCCAAACAUGUCCUAUUCUGUGCACUACAAUCCGACAUGUCUUGUCCCAUAAAGCUUAAUCCAUUAAAUUGUGAGCCACAGAAUUCACAAGCAUCUAUGGAUUUAUUGUCAUCGCUCUCAAAGAUCUCAUUUGCUAGUUGGAGCACUUCUCUCCAAAAAUGAGGAUAUAUUGAUGUGAAAUUGACACCCUAGAUAUCAGAAGUUAGUGCAUACAUAAACUUCAAUCGAUCCUUUUCUAUAUUUUUCUAAUAAUAGUAGGAUAGUAAUGUAAACAAUGCUAAGCCAGUGCCAUGCAUCCACUGUCAAAUGAAUGCACUUGUAAAAAUAACCUAAAUAUAUUUACCCUUCAUCUGCCACCGUUCGUUAUUAGCACUACCCUCCAUAAUACCGCCAUCGAUCUGGGCAUCUCUCUCUCUCUCUCUCUCUCUCUCUCUCUCUCUCUCUCUCUCUCUCUCUCUCUCUCUCUCUCUCUCUCUCUCUCUCUCUCUCUCUCUCUCUCUCUCUCUCUCUCUCUCUCUCUCUCUCUCUCUAGGUGGGCACAAGUUUUGUCUCAUGGUCAUCAAACUGGGAGGAGUAGUAUUUUUCUAAAGAAAAGUGCACCUAAAGUCUUAAAAUUUACUACGAAAAUACAUUUAAAUCCUAAAAUUUUCAAAAUUGUAAUCAGAUGUUAAAACUGAUUAAAAUAAUGUAAGUAAGUAAUACGUCCUCUAUUAUUUUUUUCCUAAAAAAAAAGAUCCAAUCAGUUGUUACAAGAAUAGAAUUUUUGCGAAGGUGAGUGACAGGAAAUUUUCUAUAAUUCAAUGGCCAUUAAUCCUCAUACAUGCGUGUCGAUGACAUGCUUGAUGGUAAUGGAUUUGUAUCUCUCCAAACAUGUCCCAUUAGGUGCAGUACAAUCCUACAUGCUUAUCUCAUAAUGCUUAAUCUUUUAAAUUGUGAGUCGCAUAAUUCAUAAGCAUCUCUAGAUUUAUCAUCAUCGCUCUAAAAUAUCUCAAUUUGCAAAUUGGAGCACUUCUCCCCAAAAACGAGAUGCUAAUGUGAAAAUGACACCCUAGACAUCUAGAAGUAAGUGCAUACAUAAACCUCAAUCGGUCCUUUUCUAAUAUUUUCUAGUUAACAAUAGUAUAAGUUAAAAUUAAACAAUGCUAAGAUAGGUGGCAUGCAUUCACAUGUCAAAUGAAUACACAUGUAAACUUAAUCUAGAGAUAUUUACUCUCCAUCAGCUUCGCCCACAACUAAAUUAGUUGCAUUGGUACUAGCCUCCAUAGCAUCACCAUCGACCCGGCAUCUUUCUUGCAGGCGUAACGUAGGCACAAGGUUUGUCUUGUCGUCAUUGAACUGAGAGGAGUAGUAUUUUUCUAAACAAAAGUACACUAAAAGUCUUAACAUUUAUCAUAAAAAUAUAAUUAAAUCCCAAAACUUUCAAAAUUGUAAUCAGAUGUUAAAACUGUUUAAAAUAAUGUAAUUAAGUCCUACGUGCUCUAUUAUUUUUUCCCAAAAAAAAAAAGAUCCAAUCAAUUAUUCAAUUAUUACAAGAAAAGAAUUUUUGUGAAGGUGAGUGACAAUAGAUUUUCAAUUAUUCAUUGGCCAUUAAUCCGCGUACAUGCGUAAGGUGACAAUCGACAAGGAAAGAUCUAUAACAUGCUUGAUGGUGAUGGAUUUGUAACUCUUGAAACAUGUCCUAUUAUGUGUAGUACAAUCCUACAUGCCUGUCCUAUAAUGCUUAAUCCUUUAAAUUGUGAGUUGCAUAAUUCAUAAGCAUCUUCAAAUUUAUCAUCACUGCUCUAAAAUAUGUUAAUUUACAAAUUGGAGCACUUCUUACCAAAAAUGAGGAUCUAAUGUGAAAUUGACACCCUAGAUAUCUAGAAGUGAGUGCACACAUAAACCUCAAUCGGUCCUUUUCUAAUAUUUUCUAGCUAACAAUAGUAUAAGUUAAAAUUAAACAAUGCUAAGAUAGGUUGCAUGCAUUCACAUGUCAAAUAAAUGCACAUGUAAACUUAAUCUAGAGAUAUUUACUCUCCAUCAGCUUUGCCCAUAGCUAAAUCAGUUGCACUAGAUCUAGCCUCCAAAGCACCGCCAUCGAUCCAACAUCUUUCUCGCUGGCGUAAUCACCUCUCUCUCUCUCUCUCUCUCUCUCUCUCUCUCUCUCUCUCUCUCUCUCUCUCUCUCUCUACGGAGGUAGGCACAAGCUUUGUCUUGUCGUCAUCAAACUGGAACGAGUAGUAUUUUUAUAAAGAAAAGUGCACUAAAAGGUUUAAAAUUUAUCGCAUCCUAAGACUUUCAAAAUUGUAAUCAAAUGCUAAAACUGGUCAAAAUAAUGUAAUUAAGUUCUACGUGCUCUAUUUUUUUUCCCAAAAAAAAAAGAAGAUCCAAUCAGUUACUGCAAGAAAAGAAUUUUUAUGAAGGUGAGUGACGGCAGAUUUUCAAUUAUUCAACGGACAUUAAUCCUUGUACGUGCGUAAGGUGAUAAUCGAUAAGGAUGACAAUCGAUUAGGAAAGGUCUAAGACACGCAUGAUGGUGAUGGUUUUGUAUCUCUCCAAACACGUCCUAUCUUGUGCAGAACAAUCCUAGAUACUCGACCCAUAAUGCUUAAUCCUUGAAAUUGUGAGCCACAUAAUUCAUAAGUAUCUCUAGAUUUAUAGUCAUUGCUCUAAAAUAUCUCAAUUUACCAAUUGGAGCACUUCUCGCUAAAAAUAAGGAUGCUGAUGUGAAACUGACACCCUAGAUAUCUAGAAGUGAGGGCCCACAUAAACCUCAAUCGGUCCUUUUCUACUAUUUUCUAGUUAACAAUAGGAUAAAUUAAAAUUAAACAAUGCUAAAACAGGUGGCGCGCAUUCACAUGUCAAAUAAUUGCACACGUAAAUUUAAUCUAGAAAAAUUUUCUCUCCAUUAGCUUGUCCCACAGCUACACCAAUUGCACUAGCAUUGGCCUCCAUAGCACUGCCAUUGAUUCGAGCAUUUUUCUCGCAAGCGUAAUCACCUCAAUCUGGGCACUGGCCUACACCAGUUCUAAAAUUUGUCGAAAAGUGCAAUCAGACCAUAAAAUUUUCAAAAAGUAUAAUAAGAUCUUAGAACUUGUCAAAUUUGUGUAAUCAAGUCCCUUUAUCAACUUUCUAUAAUUUCAUUAAUGAAAAAUGCCGACAUGAUUAUAUUAAUUACUUUUGUUAUGACCAAAGCAGAAACUACUACAAAUGAAACUAAGAAAAAUAAAAGAACACACAAAUUUACGUGAAAACUCUCAUGGGAAAAAACUACAGGGAGAGAAGAAGAAAAAUCUACUAUGGAAAUUUAAGGAUUAUCAAAGGUGGCUCGAUAAACCUUAAUAAUCUUUUUAUCACUCACUUUAAAUCUAAUAACUUGGGAAAAAAUAAUAUUUAUAUUGCUCCAUACGAGGGGGCGCAAUCCUUGCACCUUUGCCAAGGAUUAGUACUGAAGUACUGGCUUGGGCCUCGACCAACACUAAACCUGACUUUGUUUUUAUCAAGUCGGGUUGUCGCAAAUUUCAAUUUAAGUAUCAAAACUCAAUUUAGGUUGAAUGCCUGGGAACACAAUUCAAGAUAUUCUCAACAAUUUCUUGAGACACGUGGCAUCCACUAAGCACCACAUCAAAUAAUGAAACUUUUGGAAAAAAAAAAUUAAAGAAAGAAAGAGAGAGUAAAAGUAAAAUAAGAAAAAAGGGAAAAUGUUCUAACAAAAGGCUAAUAAUGAAAAGAAAGGGGAAAAAAUUAUUUUAAAAAAAAAAAAAAAAGCAAGACCUCAGCUUCUGGUUUCCAAAAGAAACAGUGGUUUCGAUUCUUGCGAGCGAAAGUUGAGAUUGAAGGGAAUGAAUCUCUUUUUAACCCCGCAGAUCGCCUACGGACACUUCUUGGAUCAGUUUUACAUAUGAAAGGCUCCACUAUUCUGCCAUGGCUGUGGUAGGAUUGGCCAUUGCCGCCACAGCUGUACCUUCAUCACAGAUGCUGCGUCGACGGAGAGGUGCUCUCGAAUUUGCGGGCUGAGUCCAGCCUUUUCUACAUCGACCCAGUUCAUUCGGUUCCAUUUCGCAAUUUUGAUAAGGAACACUAAAAAUUUGAAAAAGACUUCCUACGCUCGCGAACAUAGCAAUAAACCAAAAAAAAAAAAAAAAGUUCAGGAGGAAGAUGUAGAUGUCUACGCUAGGGUAACGACAUCAUCCCCCCUUUUUUUUCUGGUCUGAUUUCGCCUUCUAUCAAGGAGGAGCUUUGCAAUAGUUCUCAAUAAAAACCCCAUGUGGGAGGAAAAAGGUGAAGGAGAAGGGGAGUCAUCUUCAUGCAAGUGCAAGAUCUUGCCCCCUUUUUAAGUUUUUGUUCUCUCUUUCCCCCUAUCAUCCUUUUCUAUUCAUUUUUUUUUAAUUUUAAAAAUUUAUCUUUUCAAAUUUUCGAUUUUUUUUCUAAUGUGGCACUUGAUAGAUGCAUGUAUCUUAAUAAAAUAAUAAAAGAAGCGUUAGCCAAAUUGAAUUGAUUGGUUGAAAGACCUAAUUGUAUCAUUUUGACAAGUCUUAUAACUCAAUUACAUUUUUGCGUCAAUGAUCACGUAUAAUGCUCGUGACAAGGCAACCAAAAUUUCCCUUAAUUAGGUUUUCAUCUAUUAUUAGUCGGUGGCUCGACCCAUAAAAAUAUUCUAAAUUAGUAUGCGCAUAUCUACAUGCCCUCAAUGGGUUUACAGAGACACUAAGCAUAAUUAACUUUAAUCUCCAGAAAUCCACAAUUAAAAUCAAAACCCUUCUCACAAUUAAGGUUUAAUAACCAAAUCACAACAUUCGAUAAAUACACACACACACACACAUAUCAAAGCACCUCAAAAACCACAUUCAUAAAUGAUAAACUUUUCAUGAUUUUUUCAUAGAAGGUUUCGCAAACCAUUUACAAGCAAUUAAUUCAAACUGAAGUUAAAGGAUGACUCCCCAUUUUAAACAAACAAAACGGCAGUAAAUGUUCGAUCCUAUUUUAUGCAACAACAGAUGCAAUUUCUUAACUUAUAACAUAUAUAAUCCAUAUCGUUUUCAAAAUAUAAAAACACAAAAAAGAAAUAGUAUCACUUUGGGAAAGCGAAAAAUCAGCGGGAGUAAUCCCAGCACAUGACGCCAAAUACUUAUUUGUAAUUAUAAAGGGAAAACCAUUUGCAAGUUGAACUAGAAACACAGUGGUUUUGUUCCUUUCGCUUAAUCCGUUUUGUCCUUAUCGAGUCUCUGGUCCUAUAAAUUUCUGGCUCGAUCGACCAAACCCUUCGACAAUCAUCAGCAUUUCCGCUCCCUGAUUGAACAAAUACAUGCACAACAGUUUCAGCACGAUGGCUCUCACCUCCCUCCUCCUCCACCUCCUCCUCCUCCUCUCUUCUCUCCAUGUCAGUAAUUUGUCAAGCUUUCACUCUCCAUGCGUACCCAACUGCUCAUCUCUCUCUCUCUCUCUCUCUGUGUUCUCAUGCAAAGACAGGGCUAUAUGUUUAAUUCGAUAUCUCGCGCUUAAUUAGUAUAUACUUCUUACCUAAGAAUUGCUGAAAAAAUUUUGCGGCCAUUUACUCCAUUGGCAAUUACUUCUCAUCCAUUAUUUGUUAACCCAAUCUCUCUAUACUGGUUUAGAGUGCACAGGCUAUCGGAUCAAAUGGGGAGCCCAGGCUUCAUAAGAACUAUUCGAUUUAAUUUACGCAUGCAAGAAGCUAAACAUGUUAGUUUGUAUCAAAAUUAAACAUCAUAAUAUUAUAUAUAUCUUCAUACCAAAAAAAUAUAUAUUUUAUAUAAUAUAUUUAUCUCGUUUGGAUUAUCUUAACGCAUGUCAGUAGAUCAAUUGUGUUUAUGUGUUCUUUAGGCUAACAAAGAAUAUUGAAUGAAACAUAGAUAAUCAAGUGAACAUAUAAUGCUUUGAUAAUAUGAAAGCAUGUAAGUUGCAAUAGUCAUUUUAAGUGAUUAAGCAUAACGUUACUACUUUUAGACACAAGCAUCAGAUAACAUACGUUGAUGAUUAUUAGGAUUAAAUUGGUGGGUCAUCUAUGUUCAUCAUAACAAUAAUCCCAAUCAUGCUAUUACGAGGUUCUAAUUUCGUGUCACGUGACUUGUACUUUUUCGCAUGUUCAUUACAAUUUUCUGUAUGUCUAUUUUACUUCCAUAUUUAUGUCAUUGCCCAGUUACUUAAGUCCAUAAUGUCCAUUCUAAUCGUGAUUAUAUAAACUUCUAGCUCACAGUCACUCUUUGAUUUUCUUUUGUGGAUUGUCCUGCGAUAGGUCCUCACCACCGUCGCUAGGGCCACUCCCGAGGCCGACUCCCUCGCCGACGAGGCUAACUCGAUCUCUCCCAAAGCAUACCUUGUCCAUUACUGGAACAAGCAAAUCACCAACAACCUUCCCAAGCCACCAAUCCUCUUCUCCAAAGCGUCACCUCUAACGGCCGCGUCAGCGACCAUCUUCGCCGAACUCGUUGCCAAAGGCGCCAUCUCUGACCACCUCCUAUCGUUCUGCGAGGAGGCGCAAUUGCUCUGCUUCAUGAACUCAUCAUCUGAUGGGGUCGCAGCGAUAUCUCCGUCUCAAAGAUACAUAUACAUAUAUUCCGACCAAAUAAAAGAAAAAAACAUAUACGGCCUCUCCCCCCCCGAUACAAUUGUGGCAACUGAUGACAAGAAAGUAAAUGGGGGCGUGGAGCGGGG
rnacentral:lncRNA from 1 species